rnacentral:lncRNA from 1 species
UUAACUCUGCUGCCUAUCAUCAUAAGAUUACCUAAUUUUACAAUCUAAUGAAAAUGGUUAAGUUUAAUACAAUGAAGUUUACAAUCAAGUGGAAUAAAUUUGAUUAAACAUCGUUUGAAGAUCAUAUAAAAUAAAGGAAACAAAGUGUAAACCUUAAAAUAAAGCCUCAAUGCCUUCAACUGCUAACUUGAGUCGGAGCUUACAAGCAACACGUAAAACAAAAAACAACAAUACAACAUAAUGUAUAAUGUCAAUAAAUACAAUGCCAUGAACAUUAAAAUCCGAUCCACCCCAUCCUUGGCUGAUAUGCCUUGGCAAGACAUUUACGAAAAUCAGUAUCUUUCACUUGAAGGAUCAAUCGAUUAGCUCGGAUACGUCCCCAAAAGUAUCCGAGAGGUUGAAUUGAUACACAAUGAAACUGUCAUGCUCUAGUUGGAAGCUUCAAGCACAGUAUAAUAGCUCGAAUCACAGCCACGUUUUCUUACUGCUGGAAUUCCGGCACCCCCUUAACAUCAUUCUCCCAAAACAGUGACUGUAAAUUCACAACGAAGAAUCACCGUAUGAAGCAAAUGGUUAUGGAAAAUCGCAUCGUUUGUUUCAAGACACAAACACCACACUGCAACCGCAUAACAUGUUCAGCUAAGAUCAACAACUACAGAUUUGUGUAAAUAAUGCAAUAUAAAAUAAUCAGAGUAGUAUAAUUUGUGUUUUCUCUUGUAGUAAAAUCAUAGUUUAGGAUUAGAGAAAGUGACUGUAAAGACAAAGUUUCGAAGCUCAUAAAAAUGAAUGCAUGAACCAAAUGGAUUAAAUCCAAAUUAUAUGAAGAACAUAAGGUGAUAGAAUAGUUAAUGCUUAGUGACUAAAGUCCCUGAUUGCCAAUUCCAGUAUUCAUCCUUUCUAUCCAAAACGAGAGUAAAACUCUGGAAUUUUAAUCACAAAAAUCAAAUCAAAGUUCAAUCUCUGAUAAUCUAAAAUACAAAAAAAGGAAAAUUAAUUCAAAUUUCAGCCCAAACUCAUAUGAUAAUGAAGUCAAAUGGCUCUACCUUGAAACCAACUCAAACUAAACCCAAAUCAUUUGUUUUUAAAAAAUCAGAUGGCCAUGAGGGUUGUAAAAGAUCACAAUGAAACAAAGGUAAUUAAGCUCACCAGGAAGGCUAAAUUGGAAAGAGCUUAUGGCUCCUCCAAAGGUCCUGUUAGAAAAAGGCAGCAGCAACAAUGAACAACAAAGAGCAUAAGCUCAUGAAAACAGCAAGCAAAACAAUUGAUAGGCCAAAGAAAAAAGUAACCGAAUGAGAGGUUCUGCUGCUUUCAUUUUCAUUUCAAAAUAUAAAGGAGUUACAAAAAUAAUAAUAAUAAUAAUAAUAAUAAUAACAAGUCAGUUACCUAAACACGUAACUGCUCUUACCAAAUUUGGCAAGUUGCCAACUAAAAUAUUACAAAAGAAAAGCUGAAAAAAUUCAGCUGUUACAUCCAUCAUUUUCAAAUCUAAAAGUACUAGCUUUAGAUAGCCAACUUGUUAACAUCACAAAAAUACAAAACAAAAGAAAGUUGCUUCUGGUUCAAUCUUCAAACAGACAUGUAAGCAUUACUGCUGCUGCUCACGAUGCUGGUGGUUUGUUGCAUUGCAGGCCAAUGCUCAAUAGCUCCAACAACCAGAAAGCAUUGAAGCAAAGUUGAAUGAUAUCAACUAGGAAAAUCUGUUAACAAAUUGCAAUACUGCCUCGACGUCUCAGUUCAAUCACAAAUAAUGGCAAUAACUCAAUAGAAGAAAUUAGAAGCUUACUCAUCUGCCAUUAAUGUCAUCUUGACUCUGUUUCCUCAUCUGCUUCUCUUAAACCAAUCACUGACAUCUUCAUUCCCUUCACAGAAGCAUAUUUAAAAUGUCAAAGCUUAAUCUCUAGUUUUUGGCUGACUUAUACUACAUUGCUUUAAACUCUGCAAAUAAAAAGCACAUCUAUAACGUGAGAUAAAAAAGAUUAGGCAUAGCGCACAACCUUACAUUAACACUUGAAAUUUAGUGGAACUUGUUUUUGUUGGUGAGAAGAAGAUAUCAUAUCAAACCCACCCUUAAUCUGCGAUUACAAUUCCAGUAUAAAUAGACAUGAAUCAUAAAUCAACGAAUCAAGAUAUCAUUGACGGAAAAUGCAAUGAGUAUAUUGAGAUACCAGAUGAUUAAAUCUCUACUUUUCAAUGAAGCUGAAUGAAGUCCUCCACUGAUCCUAUGGAGUCAACUGCCAAAAAGAAUAAAGCAUGAAUCUUAAUAUCACCUCACCACAAUGCUGCUUAAACAACUUGAAAGGCAAUAACAUACAAAGAGACUUCAUCCCCAACUGAUCUGAUGAUCAAAAUCCAAGAUAAGAAAAUAUCAAUUCCAAUGGCUCUACCAUGGAACCAGCUCUUCACUUCAAACUAAAAUCAUUUAAUAUUUUUCCAGUAUCUUCUUGGGUUCCUCAAUGGGAUAAACAUAAGCUCACCAAUCCAACUUGAGAAUGAUAGCCGUCAAACGCUUGCCUCCAGCUCCAUGUGUUCAUACCACAAAAUUUGAGAUACGAGCAACUCUCGGAAUUUCUUUGAUAAAUCUAGAAAAAAUAAGCAUUAGAUGAACCUAAAAUCAAAAUAAUAAGUCAAAGGUAACUUACUUCUCCACCAAGACUGAAUUGCCAGAGCCCAGAAAAGGUAUUCAAAAGAUUCCUUCAAUUUUGCGUUGAACCAUCAUAUGAAUAGACCAGUAAGGCAAAUCUGUUGACAACUUGCAUUGUCUCAAAAUAUCAGUUCAAACACAUAAAUAAAAUAAGCAUCAAGUAAAAGAAAUUGAAGCUCUUACAGCUUAGGUGUUCCUCCUUAUAUGGCUAAAGCUCCAACUCAUUAUUGGCUAAAAAUAUUUUGCAUUGGUCACAAACUUAAACUUUAAUACCAGAAAUUUCAUGGGAACUUGUUUUGUUGGUGAGAAAGAGGAUAUCAGAACCAUCCAUAAUCUGCAAGUUCUGUUGAGUACCGAAUCUCACAACAAAUAGGAAACACCUACUCCUAAAUCAACAUAAAAGCAAAGGUUAUAAGAGAAACCAAUCUUUCUAAUUAACAUGAAAUCAUGUAAUCAUGAGUUGAUGACAUAUGAGCACCGAUGUUAGAAACUAAACAAUGAGGCUGAAUAAUUUAAGUAUGAAUCUUAAUAUCUAAAUUUGGGCACCUACCACUAACCCCUAUUGAUAAUAAUCUAAAAUGACAUACUUUUAUGAGCUAAUUACAUAUAUAUUUUGAGUACGAUCCUAUUAAUUUGGGCUGUUUAUGGAUAUUUUAUCAAUUCCAAAGCAGGAUCUUUUUGCUACUGUAUUGAAAUCUCUCCAGUUGCCAUUCAAUUUUCCUCCAAAUCAAUUAAUAUGGAGAAUUUCCUUCUUGGACAAUAUAUUCUAUACCUACAAAAGAACACAGACUCAACAGGGGAAUGGAUAUGAGAAAAAUAAUAAGAAGAAACUACCACAAACUACAGAAAAAAUUUCCAUUUUAUGUUCAUAAACUAUGCUUUUAACAUUUACAAUGUGGAACUACAAGUUUUCAGUUUCUCGAAGAUGGUAAAGCACCUUCUAAAUGACUAGCAAUUUAUAAAGCAGAGCAAGUUAGCUUCAUUCUGGUUUGUUUUAAUUAAGUAAAUUGAAAUUUUAGUUUUAACAAUUGUGAAAAACAAAAGUAUGGCAAUAUGAAAAAUGACAUAAAAAAACUGAAAAAUGUAUGAUAAUAUGAAAAAAUGAGAUGAAAAUGAAAACCUUACCAAUGCAUUUGGAUGGCAUAAUUGAGAAGUUGUAACUCCUGAAAACCAGAGGCAAAGAUGAAAAGAAAUAAAAACUUCGAAAGUCAUCACGCCGUUUUUUCCUACCAUAUCUCGCUGCCCAUUUCAUAGCUAGGGAUCCAAUUUUGAGCAUGGCAUUUGCCUCAAUGUUAUUAGUUGACUCUUGAUUCAAGUUGAAACAAUUACAGAAUAGCAUGCAAAACACAUUGUAAUUGUCAUCAUCAAUUAAAGAAUCAAACUGAUAUAAACUUUGAUCUGCAAAGGAUACUUUUUCUAAUGAUGUGCAGUCAUGUACACUCAAGCCUUGCAGAUAUGGUGGAAGCUCUGAGAGUAAUUUGAGGCUCUUGCAACGAUCCAUCCACAUAUACCUAAGGGUUUUAGACCUCAAGCUUGGUGGGGGCACAUCAACAGUGGGAAACUCUCUUGAAUCGAACAGGGAGAUAUUACACUGUAGCUUUGGAAUACUUGAGCCGCUCAUCUCUAACUCCCUAGGAUUACUUAAAGAGUCUAUAGACAAGGCCGCUUCUUCAAUUGGAGUGUCAGAUAACUUUAACCAUAUUAAGCCUCUCGGGACUUUCGGAAAUUCGACCAUUGGGCAACCACUAAUAUCCAGUCGACGAAGGGAUUCCAACUUGAUCGAUGCAUUUUUUACCGCUUCGCCUUUCACUUUUAAGUACACGAGAUUACAUAAAGGGUCGAAAGAAAAUAACACUUCUUCAAUUUGAGUGUGUUAAACUUCUUGGGACUUUUGGAAUUCGGACCAUUGGGCAACCACUAAGAUCCAGUUUAAGGGAUUCCAACUUGAUCGAUACAUUUUUUACUGCUGAGCCACUCAUAUUUAAGAUCUGAAGAUUACAUAGAGAGUCGAAGGCAAGGACACUUCUUCAAUUUGAGUGCCAGAUAAAUUUAAUUCUAUUAAGCUUCUUGGGAUUUCUGGAAAUUUGAUCAUCGAGCAUUCACUAAGAUUCAGUUUACGAAGGGAAUCCAACUUGAUCGAUACAUUUUUGCCCGCUGAGCCACUGAUAUUUAAGUCCUGAAGAUUACAUAGAGAGUCGAAAGGCAACGACACUUCUUCAAUUUGAGUGCGAGAUAAGUUUAAAUUUGUUAAGCUUUUUGGGAUUUCUGGAAAUUUGAUCAUUGGGCAAUUACUAAGAAUCAAUUCACCAGGGAGUUCCAACUUCGAAAUAUUGAUCGAUACUUUUUUUACCUCUGACUUGCUCAACGACAAUCUCUGUAGUUUGUGGAGAUGCUCAAUUGAAUCAGGCACUUCUUCUAUUUCAGUUAUUUCUAAACCCAAAGAACAAAAGUGUCUUGGGACCUGAGGAAACUUCUUGAGCCUAUAACAUCCCUCAAGGUGAAGCUUAUCAUGAUGAAGAGAUGCCAAAUGAUUGAGGCAAGGAAGUUCAACCAAACUUUUACAUAAAGAGCAAUCAAGGAGUUCAAGGUUGAUGGCUCCUGAAAGAUUAUGUAUCUUCAUUAAAUUAGCGCACCAUGAAACGUCAAUUUGCCUUAAAUUAACAAGGUCCUCUAUAGAAAAAUUAACUGUAUUACUUUUAAGCAUUAAAAAAUGAAAAGGAAAUGAAUAAUUAUAAUACUAAAAAAUAAAAUUUUAUAUUUGAUGUGUUGGGCGUAAAUUCAGCCACAAUUACUAGAUCAUGUCACUUAUUUAAAUAAAUUUAAAAACUUUAAAUAAGAUGUUAUUUGAUACAUCAAAUAAUAAAUAUUUUUUUUUCCUUAAAAAAAUUUUUAGGCAAAGAAAAUAUGAAAGCACAUACCAUACGAUCAUCUUCAUUCCAAAGUUGUUCCAUAUUACCACGUCGUAAUAUCAAUACGACAAGAUUCUUUGAAUUAAAACUUGAUAAAGUUUUGAAGGGAAGAGAUAUACUAUCAACUUUGUUUGCAUAUUGCGGUGGAGGUUCCCAUAAAGUAUGUGCAAAAUACCUGAUGUUGAUAUAUCUAAGCUUAUGCAUCUUCUCAAAACCGGUAGCGCAAAAUUGUUGAUUACCAGUUUGAGUUACAUCUAACUUUAUUCCUUUAAAAAACUCAGUCACCUGAUAAAUAAAAAAUCAUAGAUUAACAUAAAGAAAUUUAUCGACAUUCUAUUAAAUCAGUCAUAAAAAUGCAUUAGAUAUUUAACUAACCCAAAAAACUUUUAACAAGAUUCCAUGUUGUAUCGUAAGACAUUUGGUCAUUAUGUUUAUGGUAAGAAACAAAUAAUUUUAUUUUUUGAAAUAAUAAUUAAAAAAGAUAAUACAUGGUACACAACAACAUCUAUUAAACCUACCAAAGAGUGAAAAGAAAAUAAAUGCAAUUAACACUUACUUUAUCAUAUUUGAACACCUCUUCCAUGUCUUCACAACUCCACAAUCUACUUCGCUUUCCGGGGCAUUCAGAUUUUCGCAUAACAAUGUCCUUGCCCAUCUCUUCAACCAUGUCAUGCAUAAAAACACAUCCAUAUUUGUUCUCAAGUAGACACUUGUCGACCAAUUUACUUAUUCCACAUGUUGCACCCUUAUAACAAUUACUUAGAACUUUUUCUACAUAAUCCAUGGCUUGCCCUUUAAAGAUGCAUGCUAGGUCAAGAAAUAUAUUAUUUUCUUCCUCAUCUAGCUCAUCCAAGCUACUCUUCAAAAUAUGUGAAAUUUUUAAUUUCGACAUCGUAUAUAGUUCAGAACCCAAAACUUUAAGAGCAAGUGGACUACCUUGGACAUAUUCUACAAACUUGCAUGAUAGAUCUCGAAAAUCAACUACAGGAUUCAACAACUUAAAUGCAAAUGUAGAAAAAAGUUGAAGAGAAUCAUUCUCAUUCAACUCCUUAACCUUAUAUAUGCGGUGAGCUCUUCGAUUUUUUAGUACUUGUCUAUCUCUAGAUGUUACAAUGAUUUUACUUCCAGGACCAAAAUAUGUGACACCCAUAAAAUCUAUUUGGUCUGGGUCACUAACAUUGUCAAGGACAAGAAGUACUUUUUUAUUAUUCAGCCGCUCUUGAUAAGGGUAACCUAUGGAAGGGGUAUCAAUACAAAUUUCUUUUUCGUUUAACAGUUUGGAAAGAAGUUCAUUUCGUAAAGAUUCAUUCCCCUGUUUUUUUAUUUUCUCACUAAUGUUUUGAAGAAACAAACGACAUUCAUACUUCGGAAAGACUUCUUUAUAAACAGCAUCAGCAAGGGUAGUUUUGCCAAUACCACCCAUUCCCCAAAGUCCUAUUACACGCACGUCCACUUGCUCAAUCAACCCCAAAAUCAUCUUCUUUUGAUCAUCUAUUCAGACCAAUUCUUCAGAAACACUUCUACAAUUGCUAUUCAACUUUUUUAAAACAUAUCCAACCACAUCUUUAAUGUACUUAGUUUCAGAUCUAGAAAAUGAUUAAAAAAACCAGCCGUCAAAAGAAAGAUAUGUCAAAUAUAAUAAGAUGAAUAUAUAUAUAUAGUUACCUAUCGAAUUUGCCUCCUUCUAUAUGCCACCCUUUUAACGUACGAACUUCAGUGAAGGUGUCUUUCGAUCGCUUCACUUCAUCAACCGGCCUCUUUGAUUCAUGCUCUCCGAAGGAUGUUGUUGAAGUUGGCCAGCAUGCUGCCUUGUUGCACCAGAAACAGCCCGAGCCAGUGAAGUUGCAGCAGAAGAUCAAGCUACUGUUGCCAUUUUUUUUCUUCAAGUGAUGUUUUGUAACUUAGUUGGAUUAAAAACUAAGUAGCUUUUGUACUUGAUGUUAUUAGGUGAAGAAUGAGCUGUUAAAUCAGCUUUACAAAGUGUACAAGUUAACUUUAUCAAGUUUCAAUGUGCUUAGUGGUAGUAGGUAUUGUUUAGGUGAUGAUUUUGUAACUCAUUGACCAGCUCAUUAUUGGAACCCACCCAUUGUUUGAAAAGUCAAAAAGGGUGGGCACCGAAAGUAGAAAGUAAAAUUGGUUGGCAAGUUGGGUUAAAAGUUGGCAUGGGAUAAUUGCAAUUUUGGUCCCUAAUUGUAUAGGGACAUUGCAAGUUGAUCCUUGAACCUCAACUAUAAAUAGGCCUAACCAUUUCUUACUUUCUUCAUCCCACACUUGCCAUUCUCUACUUAAGGCAAUUGUUCUCUCUCCCUAUUUGUAAACUUUCACUUGUAUUUUUGGAGUGAAAUAUAUUUGGUAGUGCCCGAGGACGUAGGCAAAAUUUGCUGAACCUCGUUAAAAUUCUAGUGUUCUUUAUUUUUUGUUCUGCAUAUUUUGCAAGUGUCAUUGUAGUGAUUUAUUGUGCUAUUAAAUUACGAUAGAGGGAUAUUCUGGCUAGGAAAGAUCUGGUAUGUAAGCGAUCCUCGUGAUCCACCUCUCUUUCCUGGGAAUUGAACUUAGUGUGAUUUUUCAGUACAAUAAUUUUACUCUUUCACACGCUUCCGCGCAACAAUUGGUACUAGAGCCAGGUUCGUACUUGGGGAAUACGACCGUCUACGGUACUAUUUACGUAUACGGCACUAUUUAUGUAUAUGGUACUAUUCACGUAUACGACACUAUUUAUGUAUACAGUACUGUUCACGUAUACAGUAGUUGGGAUUGAGGAGAAAAAUGGCAGCAGCAUCGUCAUCAGCAAGGACUACUGUGACAAAUGCAAAAUUUGAAGUAGAGAAAUUUGACGGUACCAAUAAUUUUGGUAUGUGGCAAUGUGAGAUCCUGGAUGUCUUAUGUCAGCAAGAGCUAGAUAUAGCCCUUGAAGAAAAACCUGACAAGAUGGAUGACAAGGAGUGGGCCAAGAUCAAUAGACAGGCGUGUGGUACAAUCCGCUUAUGUUUGGCCAAAGAGCAGAAGUACUCUGUCAUGAGGGAGACAUCAGCGAAGAAGUUAUGGGAUACACUGGAAGAAAAGUUUCUAACGAAAAGUCUUGAAAAUAGGCUUUAUAUGAAAAAGAAACUUUAUCGAUUCACGUAUGCACCCGGUAUGUCGAUGAAUGACCAUGUGAACUCAUUCAAUAAAAUUUUAGCAGACUUGCUAAAUUUGGAUGAGAAAUUUGAAGAUGAAGACAAGGCAUUAUUGUUGUUGAAUUCCCUUCUUGAUGAAUAUGAUCAUCUUACCACCACAUUGCUUCAUGGGAAGGACACGAUCACAUUUGAUGCAGUCUGUAGCGCGUUGUAUAGAUCUGAGACUCGAAAGAAAGAUAAAAGAGAUCACAGAGAUACAACCGCAGAAGUCUUAACAGUAAGAGGUCGUUCACACAGCAGCAAAUCUGGUAGAAGGGGAAAGUCCAAAGGGAGACCCGCCAAAGAUGAAUGUGCCUUUUGCCGUGAAAAAGGGCAUUGGAAAAAGAAUUGUCCUAAGCUACAAAAGGGCAAGGCUAUUUCUAAUGCAUGUGUAGCGGAGCAUGAUGAGGAGUCAGACUUUAGCUUGGUUGGCAUGGCAAUGGCAUGUCAAACGGAUGAGUGGAUUUUGGAUUCAGGAUGUACUUACCAUAUGUGUCCUAAUAAGGACUGGUUUUCUAGUCUUAAAGAGCUAGAAGGUGGAAUUGUUCUUAUGGGCAAUGAUAGUGCUUGUAAGAUAAUGGGAGUGGGUACAGUCCAAUUGAAGAAUCACGACGGCUCAAUCCAAGUCUUGACAGAUGUUCGCUACGUACCUAGCCUGAAGAAAAAUCUCAUCUCAUUAGGUGCCCUAGAAUCUAAAGGGCUCACAAUCACUUUGAGAGAUGGAUUACUAAAAGUAGUAGCUGGGCAACUGACGGUGAUGAAAGGCACAAGAAGAAAUAACUUGUAUUUUUUAAAUGGAAGUACAGUUAUUGGAUCAACAUCAACAGUUUCUACAAAAGAUGUAGAUUCAGAGGCUACCAGAUUAUGGCAUAUGCGAUUGGGACAUGCUGGUGAAAAAGCUUUGCAGACAUUGGUGAAGCAAGGCUGAUUGAAAGGUGCAAAUUCUUGCAAAAUGGAAUUCUGUGAACAUUGUGUUCUAGGCAAGCAGAAGAGGGUAAAAUUUGGUCCAGCAAUUCACAAUACGAAAGGAAUUCUGGACUACGUUCACAGUGAUGUGUGGGGACCUACCAAAGUAGAUUCUUUGGGAGGUAUGCACUAUUUUGUUACUUUUGUUGAUGAUUAUUCAAGAAAAGUAUGGGUGUAUCUAAUGAAAAAAAAAAGUAAAGUUUUGGAUGCAUUUCUGAAAUGGAAGAAGAUGGUGGAGACUCAGACUGGUCGAAAGGUCAAACGACUUCGAUCAGAUAAUGGUACUGAGUACAAAAACGAUCCAUUUCUACAAGUAUGCCAAGAUGAGGGCAUUGUGCGACACUUCACUGUUCGGGAUACACCACAGCAAAAUGGGGUGGCAGAACGAAUGAAUCGAACUAUACUGGAGAAAGUUCGAUGUAUGUUGUCCAAUGCUGGAUUGGGCAAAGAAUUUUGGGCUGAGGCAGUUACAUAUGCGUGCCAUCUAAUUAACCGUUUGCCAUCAGCUGUAAUAAAUGGAAAAACUCCUAUGGAGAUGUGGACUGGUAAAUCUGCUACUGAUUAUGAUUCUUUACAUAUAUUUGGUUCCACUGCAUAUUAUCAUGUAAAAGAAUCUAAGUUAGACCCAAGAGCAAAGAAAGCAUUAUUCUUGGGUAUAACUGAUGGAGUAAAAGGAUAUCGUCUCUGGUGUCCUGAUACAAGGAAGAUUGUUUUCAGUAGAGAUGUGACUUUUGAUGAAUCAACCAUGUUGAAGUACAAGGAUUCACAAAAGGAUGACAAAACCAGUAGUACUUUGCAGCAGGUGGAGCUUGAAAAGGUUAACGAUGAUCCAGCUAAUAUUGAAGGGACAAAUGAUGAAGAGGUUCCUACCCAAGAACCUCUACAGCAACAAGAUUCAAUUGCAUAUAGAAGGCCAAGAAGAGAGAUUCGUAAGCCAGCUCGCUUUGAUGAUAUAGUGGCCUAUGCACUUCCAAUUACAGAUGAUGAUGUUCCUUCUACUUACACAGAAGUAAUAAGUAACCCUGAUGGUGUAAAGUGGAAGCAAACAACGAAUGAAGAAAUGCAGUCUCUUCAUAAAAAUAAGACCUGGGAGUUGGUGACACUACCCAAGGGAAAGAAGGCAAUUGGAUGCAAAUGGGUAUAUGCAAAGAAGGAAGGAUUUCCUGAUAAAAAUGAAAUUCGAUACAAGGCUAGAUUAGUAGCAAAGGGUUACGCUCAGAAAGAAAGAAUAGACUACAAUGAAGUGUUUUCUCCAGUUGUGAAGCAUUCGUCUAUUCGGAUUUUGCUAGCCUUGGUUGCGCAAUAUGAUCUUGAACUAGUUCAGCUUGAUGUGAAGACCGCGUUUUUACACGGUGAUUUGGAAGAGGAAAUCUAUAUGACUCAGCCAGAUGGAUUCAAGGUUGCUGGAAAAGAAAAUUGGGUUUGCAAACUGACAAAGUCGCUUUAUGGAUUGAAGCAAUCUCCGAGGCAGUGGUACAAGCGAUUUGAUCAGUUCAUGAAAGGGCAAAGGUAUACAAGAAGUAAAUUUGAUCAUUGCGUGUAUUUUCAGAAGCUACAAGAAGGAACUUUCAUAUACUUGCUCUUAUAUGUUGAUGAUAUGCUAAUAGCAUCUAAGAGCAAAGUUGAGAUUGAAAGAUUGAAGACUCAACUCAAUCUCGAAUUUGAGAUGAAAGAUCUAGGAGAAGCUAAAAAGAUUCUCGGCAUGGAAAUAUGGAGAGAUAGAGCUCAUGAUAGAGUUAGCUUGUCUCAGAAGCAGUAUUUGAAAAAGGUACUACAGCAGUUUGGCAUGAACGAGCAGACAAAACCUGUAAGUACCCUGUUGGCUUCUCAUUUCAAGCUUUCUGCACAACUAUCUCCUUCGACGAAUACGGAACGAGAAUACAUGUUGCAAGUUCCGUAUUCUAAUGCAGUGGGUAGCUUGAUGUAUGUAAUGGUGUGUACAAGACCCGACAUUUCACAGGCAGUUAGUAUAGUGAGCAGGUAUAUGCAUAAUCCUGGAAAAGGACAUUGGCAAGCUGUGAAAUGGAUUCUACGGUAUAUUCAGAAGACCGUGGAUGUUGGAUUACUGUUCAAGCAGGAUAAUGCACUUGGUAAAGGUGUUAUUGGGUACGUUGAUUCUGACUAUGCCAGUGAUUUGGACAAGCGAAGAUCAACCACCGGUUAUGUGUUUACACUUGCUGGAGGACCAAUAAGUUGGAAGUCUACACUACAGUCUACAGUUGCAUUGUCAACCACAGAAGCCGAGUACAUGGUUGUAACAGAGGCUGUAAAGGAGGCUAUUUGGUUACAAGGUAUGGCUAAAACCUUGGGGUUGGUUUAGGAGCAUAUUAACGUGUAUUGUGAUAGUCAAAGUGCUAUUCAUUUAGCAAAGAAUCAAGUCUAUCAUGCACGUACAAAACAUAUCGACGUACGAAUCCAUUUUGUGCGGGAAAUUAUUGAAGAGGGGAAAAUUUGUCUUCAGAAGAUCAAGACUGCAGAUAAUCCCGCAGAUAUGAUGACCAAGGUGGUAACAUCAACCAAGUUCGAACAUUGUUUGAACUUGAUUAAUAUCCUGCAAGUUUAACAGUUGAAGAAGGCACUAUCAAGUAUUGUUGUCAAAGGCAAAAAGAAUUGUGUGAAGAUAAGAUUAUCCUAAUCAAAUCUUCAAGGUGGAGAUUAUUGGAACCCACCCAUUGUUUGAAAAGUCAAAAAGGGUGGGCACCGAAAGUAGAAAGUAAAAUUGGUUGGCAAGUUGGGUUAAAAGUUGGCAUGGGAUAAUUGCAAUUUUGGUCCCUAAUUGUAUAGGGACAUUGCAAGUUGAUCCUUGAACCUCAACUAUAAAUAGGCCUAACCAUUUCUUACUUUCUUCAUCCCACACUUGCCAUUCUCUACUUAAGGCAAUUGUUCUCUCUCCCUAUUUGUAAACUUUCACUUGUAUUUUUGGAGUGAAAUAUAUUUGGUAGUGCCCGAGGACGUAGGCAAAAUUUGCUGAACCUCGUUAAAAUUCUAGUGUUCUUUAUUUUUUGUUCUGCAUAUUUUGCAAGUGUCGUUGUAGUGAUUUAUUGUGCUAUUAAAUUACGAUAGAGGGAUAUUCUGGCUAGGAAAGAUCUGGUAUGUAAGCGAUCCUCGUGAUCCACUUCUCUUUCCUGGGAAUUGAACUUAGUGUGAUUUUUCAGUACAAUAAUUUUACUCUUUCACACGCUUCCGCGCAACACUCAUGUUUGGUAUUUGUAUUGGCUUCCAUUUUUAGUGUUUCAAAAGCUUAAUUCUGCUCUUGAAUUCUAUUUUUGUUUCUUCUGCAAGCCUUGAGCCUUGUUUCUCAAGUCUCAGCAAAACUUGCUUGCAUAUUAUUCAUAACACCAACAGAUGUCUUAAAAGUCCCACCAAUAUUUCGCACAUGGGAGGGAUCGACAUGGUACAAGAUAGGAAGAACAGUAUGCCCUUGAGUCUUUUUACACUUCAUGAUCUGAGAGAGUUCACCUAAGCAUGAUUUCGAAGAAGCAUAGCCUUUAGAUAAAACAAGGAUUGAGAGAUUUGAGGCUGCAAUUGCUUGAGAAAGUGCUUGUCAAAGUUGCUCCCUUUUCUUUAGUUUUUCUUCAUCGAAGAAUACAUUCAGUCCCGUGCCUUUCAAAGCUUUGAGUAGAUGACUGGUGAAGUUAAGGCGUGUGUCUUCACCUCUGAAGCUCAAGAAAACUUGGUGCUUCAUUUGACGAGAAGAAGAUGAAGAAGACGCCAUGAAAGAUUAUGGAUAUGUGAGUGAGGCAAAGAGAAAAAUUUAUAGCAAGGGAGCUUUGGUUUGCCUUUUGAAGAAGAAAAGUUUAAAAUAUGGAUCCAUCAUCAGUGGGAACCUUUUAUUAAAUGGAUUUUUGGUUGAAUUUUCGAACAUAUUAAAAUUUAUUUCUUUUUUUUUAUACAAAGCCUAUAGCUACACGUAAUUCUUUCUCACCUUUAAAUAAAAAGAAAAGACACGUUUAAACACACUCGAACUCACAUCUUUAAACAUUUGUGUGAUGCUAUUAUUUUCUAUUAAAGGUUGUCAUUAAUAAGCUAUUUAAAUUCCAUCACUAAGAAUAUAUUUUUUUCAUCACUUAAAUAAUGGCUUUAAUUAGAGAUAGAUUCUAGUGUCACGGGGCUAGAACUUCCGUCUCGCGAUCCGUGCGGCCUUAGGCGAUCCGUUCAUCCAAACUCGCCUAAGUCAGCUUUUACUCAAGUGAAGAUUCCUUAAGAACUCCUCCAAGGCACCGAAUUGAAGAGCGGAAGCGAUUUAUGCCAAAAGAAGAAUAAUGAAAGAACAAGAGAAAGUCACAGAAAAGAACACACCCAAGGUGUUUGAGUAAAUGCUCUCUGAAUUCUAUUACUCUUAAGAAUUCAAUCUUACAAUGGAUGAGUACAAAUGAGGGGAGGCUCUCUAUUUAUAGUUAAGCUCCCCUAAAAUCGACGAUCAAGAUACAUUUACAUCAACGGACGAGAUUAACCAUAUCUCUUAAUUUUAGGGAUUUACAAUAUUUGUCAUAUCAAAUCUAAUCUAAUCUUUACAAGAUAUGAUUCUCUCUAUCUUCUAAGAUUAGUUACCAAAAUUAGCCUAAGUUGCCAUGUCUUCAUUAUCGAGCUAACCAGGCUUCAAUCUGAUAGGUUUCUCCAACAAUUCUUUGAAUCGGGUCAGUUCUCGUGGGCUAAAUGUUCUCCAUUUAAUCGAUAGACCUCCAUGGGGCACAUCUUGUGUCAUGGUCACGGGCUUUAGACUUUGGCCCGUGACACUAGCACAUUCAGAUAACAUAAUUACGUAACAAAUAUAUUUAUAAAAAUUUACAUAAAAAAUAAGUGAAGUUCAUACAGGCAUAGGAGUCCCAUCACCUAUUAAGAGAGGGAAUGUACUUGAGUAUGGUGUAGACUUAUUCAAAGCAAAGGCAUCUCGACAAACAUGGUGCAUUGCCCCUGAAUCCAGAUACCAAGACGAAGUUCCUAUAGGUAUAGGAAUAUACGAAUCAUCAUUAUCAAAAUUGGACCCAAAAUAAGUGACAUUAAUAUUAGACCCAGUAGAGUUAGAGACAUUAGACGCAUGUAAAUCAGGUAUUCGAGGUAAUCCAAUGCAUGGAUCUGACCCAAUAUAAACACAAGCUCUUAGUUUUGUCCGCCAGGGAAUACACAACCCAUUUUAUGACCCAAAUGUAGUACAAACACCACCAUCUGAAGGCUCAAGCCCUCGUCCAUGACCAAGAGGGCUUGCAAACUCCACACAAUUAAAUGUCGGCCCAUUUGGAGAAACAUUAGCAGUCGACCCAACUGGAGAAAAAUCACCCCCAAAGUCCUAGCAUGGGCCAGAUGGCCUAGCACGCACAGACGGCCCAAGAUUUUGGCCAAUGGCCUAGUGAACCCAGUUACAAGCCCAAAAUACGGACCUAACCCAGUAAACUGCCUUAUGACCAGGCUCAAACCGCUGCUCAUGACCAAGCCCAAAUGGUUGGCUUAACCCAGCAUAAUGCCUAAGCGGUAGGCCUGCUCCAUCAUCAAACGCAAAAAAAGGGGUUAAAAACCCUAGUGUAUGACAUAUACAGGGGAGGCACAGCAGACAAAUGACCACCCUACCAUUUACCAGAAAGAAAUCGUGACUGCACCGUCUACGAAAGGCCACCAAACUGACUAGAGACGGGCGAUAGAAACGAGAAACCAGCAUCCAAACCCUGCCUAGUACGAUCGGUCGAAUUUGAAGCCCAGGCCACUAAUGCCAGGCCACUGUAGUCGCGAUUAUGACAAUAUUAAAAACGUUGAGCUAAAUGCCCAAACUGACCACAGAUCUAACAUUGGAGUUAGGAUCGAAACCUCUUUCCACAACCACCAGUAAGGGACGGCCACCACGCACAGAGUCCACCACCGGUGGUGACGGAAUAGUCUCCAAAAGGUUAGCAUGAAACGGCACCUCCUGAACCACGCGAAUUUAGCAACUUCCAUACUCCAACAACUCAUCCAUGAGGUGUUGUAACGGUAAGGCUUCCGACAAGAAUGACGCUAAGGUGAGCAUGGCGUUGAACUCCGGUGGUAGGCCCACAAGUACGAUCUCCAAUUUCUCUGCCUCCGAGAUCCAAGAUCGACAAGCCUCGAUUAAAGCACAGGUAUUCUGAAUCUUUACUACACACUCCUUUAUCGACAGAUUACCUUUCUUAAGCGAAUGUAAAUCAUGGCGAAUGCAAGAUAACUUGACACCUGUGGCGGUAGUGAAAAGGCAAGUGGCAGUGUUCCAAACAUCGCACGCCAUCCUAGCAUAUGUAAAAGAAGACAACAGUGAAGGACUAAUAGUAGAAAAUAACGAGAAAGAGGCAAGUAACCUAUCCUGCUGAACUAAUGCUGAGGCAUCUGGAUUUGGAACUAGAGAUCCCUCCGAAGACGGCACAAAAUGCGGCAGAACAGGUAACGUUCCCUCCAAAAAAAACCAUUGAAUUCAUAACCUUCAAUAAUCAAGUGAAUAUGUUGCUGCCUCUGUCAAUCAUUGUUGUCCGACGUUUACCAUGUUAAUAUCUACAAAAACUUGAAAGAAAAAUAGAAUAUGCAGAGAAUGAUUUUUGUAUUAUUAUCUUGAAUUUAACCAGUACAACUAUAGUAUUUAUAAAAUGUGUAUGAGUAACUGCUGCUAACAAUUUCACUUAACAACAUAACUGCUUGUAUAACAAACUAAAAACUAAUAGACUAAUAGAGUCUUUAUCUAUACUCUAACACUUUAAACAGAGCAAGUUAGAUUCAUCCUGGUUGGUUUUAAUUAAGUAAAGCACUUCAUUUUCUAUCAUAGGCAAUUAAUUUAAAAGUUGAAAAUUUAGUUUUAACACCUAUGAAAAACAAAAAUAUGGCAAUAUGAAAAAUGAAAUAAAAAAUCGAGUAAUAUGAAAGAAUGAGAUGAAAACCCCUUUAUGCAUUUAGAUGACAUGAUUGAGAAGUUGUAACUACUGAAAACCAGAGCCAAAAAUGAAAGGAAAUAAAAACUAUUGAAAUCGUUUAGGGCAUCCAUCCCCUUCUUCACCAUCAUGGCUAAAGCGUCUUUUGGUUUCGGCAGGUCUCAUUUCUGUAGCAUCAGCAUCACUCUCUGCAUCUACGUAAAAUACAUGAACACCACAUCUCUCCACCUUGAUAAAUUUUUCUGCUGCUUCUUCAUAAUGAUGGAAAUUUUUGAUGCAGAAAUCAAAUGAUGCCUCCUCAUAAUUCUUGUCUCUUUUAACCAUUUUGAUGCUAGAUAGAAUAAACACGUGAUCACCCAUGCAUUUCUCUGACUCAGAAGCAUCCAAGAAAGAUAUGGUACUUUUGAACUUUUUAUAACCACCAUCAGCGGCUGUAAGUUAGUAGCCACAAAUACAUUUAAGACUUCUCAAGCGAGGGCAGUGAGCGAGAUCAGCCACAAGGCAGAUAACAAAAACCAAAAAUCUGCUCCCACCACCCCCAUUUGGGGCUAUCUUCAAACUUAAGGAAGAAUUCAUACUCUGAUACUUGAACUUAUUUGUUGAAAUUUUGUUUCUUGGGAAACAACAAAUCAAACUUGGAAGGAUAUCACCCAGGUAUUUCCUACCAUAUGUCGCUGCCCGUUCCUUAGCUAGGGAUCCAAUUUUGAGCAUGGCAUUUGCCUCAAUGUUAUUAGUUGAUUCUUGAUUCAAGUUGAAGCAAUUACAGAAUAACAUGCAAAACACACCAUCACCUUCAUCACCUAACGAACCAAACUGAUAUAAAUUUUGAUCUGCAAAGGGAACUUUUUCUAAUUACGUGCAGUCAUGUACAUUCAAGUCGAGCAGAUAUGGUGGAAGCUCUGAGAGUAAUUUGAGGCUCUUGCAACGAUCCAUAUGCAUAUACUUAAGGCUUUUGAACCUUAAGCUUGGUGAGCGCACAUCAACAAUUGGAAAUUUAACGAUUAUACAACCACUAAGAUGUAGAGAAGAAAGGGAUUUCAACUUUGAAAUAUUGCUUGAUACAUCUUUUACCAUUGAGUUUGUCAAGGUCAACCGUUGAAGUUUGUCGAGAUGCUCAAUGAAAUCAGGUACUUCUUUUAUUCCGGUUUAUGAUAAAUCUAACUCAUAAAAUUUAUUUGGGAUCUCCGGAAACUUCUUGAGACUACGACAUCCCUUAAGGUGAAGGGUUUUAAGUGAUGUCAAAUGGUUGAGGCAAGGAAGUUCAACCAAACUUUUGCAUUUUUCACAGUCAAGUCUUUCAAGGUUGAGGGCUCCUAUUAAAUUAGGGAUCUUCUUUAAAUUUUUGCAACUAAAAAGUUUAAUUUUCCAUAAAUGAACAAGAUCCUGCACAUGAUGAGAAUAUAAAGUAGUUAGAGCAUCAUUUACUUAGACUCUAUCAAAAUAAAAAUUUAUAUUUGAUGUAUUGGGUGUAUUAAUUCACCCACCAUCAAUAUCAAAUUGCUUAUUAUAAAAAAAUAGAAUAAAAUCUUUUAUAUAUAUUUUAAAAAAUUAAUAAAAAUAUGCUAUCAUAAGAUUAAAUGUUAUAUCAAUUAUAAAUUAUUUUUCUUAAAAAAUUAUUGGAUGAAGAAAGUAUAAAAGUAUAUAUACUUGAUGACCUUCGUUCCAAAGUUGUUCCAUAUUUUCAUGUGCUAAUCUCGAUACAACAAGGUUUUUUGGUUUAAAAUUUGGUGAUAAGAUUUGAAGGGGUAAUAAUCCCAUUGAAGAUACCUUAGCUCAUCCAGAAGAGAUAUAAUAUCAACUUCGAAUGUAAGUAGCUUCUUAUAAUACUUAUGCUCUUUUCACAACAAAUUCUAAGGAGAAUAGAAGAAAAUAUAUCUAAGAUUAAUCAUGUUUUCAAAAACAAAAGGUUAGAAUAAUAGGUUAUCCAUAUGUGACAUGUCUAACUUUAUUCCUUGAAUUCGAUCAGUUCUCUGAUAACAAAAAUUAAUUUAUCAAAUAUUAUCCCGAAAAAAUUUAUAGACAUUCCAUUAAAUAACUCAUAAAAAAAUAAUUAUAUUAGGAUAGGCAUAGACUAAUUGAGCACUUUUAGGAAUUUUUACAUACAAAAAUUGUUUUCUUUUCUUUUGUUUUUAUUUUUUCAAAUCAAUGCAUUAAGGAUUUAACUAAGUCAUAAACCUUGAGCGGAUUCUACAUUAUAACUAAGACAUAGUCAUUAUGUGUCAUUAUGCAUCAAUUCCGUCAGACCGGGCCCUUGGUGCUUAAGAAAACUUGAUGCAUCAUUUGACGAGAAGAAGAUGAAGAAGACGCCAUGAAAGUAUAUGGAUUGUGAGAUUGAGGAAAAAGACCACAAAUAAACCGUGGGAGCUUUGCUUUUGUUUCUACUUUUUGAAUGGUAAGAAGAAAAAGUGACUUUAUUAAAUGGGGAUGAGAUUGAAAGUGUUUCUGUUAGGCUGAAGCAUAGCUAAUUUGUCCUAAUCCAAGGCUCGAAUAAGAAAAAGAGUCUUACAUUUCUUCCUAAACCUAUUUUUCGACCCUCAUAUUUUUUUACCUAAAUUCUCUUAUAUUUUAGAUUAACCUUCAAAUUUAAAUGAAUAGUUCGGCCACUUGAAUAAAUCUACUCUCGAUUUACAUAUUGGCAGUAGUACUUUUUAGUCUAAACCCACCCAAAUUAUAAAAGAACCUUUGGUCUAAAUCAAGCUAGCUUAAAUCAAUAAAAAAAGCCUUCAAUUUUGUCUAAAUUUAUUUUUUUAUUCAAAUUCUCUUAUAUUUUGGAUCUUUGUUAGUAAUACUAGCCGCUACCCUUAGUUGAAUAUCCAAUUUAAAGGGACUGUUUUUCUUGCCUAGUCAGUGAAAUAAUUGUUCCAUUGAUUAGUGUACUAUUUGGUCCCCGACGCCCCACAAUUAAGUUCACGUGAUAUUGAUUUUCAUGUGUUUUUUUCCUUACCUUCAUUCAUUGAUUGCAAAAAAGCAAAUCAAUACUAUGCUACAAAACUGUCAGUCAUCCUCUUGGUUGAAUUUUCAUGGAAAACCUGCAGAUUACAGUCUUAUGGCUGUAACUUCAUAAUGCACCAAAGCAUGAAAAUUCACCACUUGAUAUGCGACGCACAAUUUUUAUGUUUUGUGGGUGAUAAAUAAGAUACUUUAAACUCCUAUCAUCCAGUUUGGUUUUUAUAUAAGCACUUCAUUUUCUAUCAUAUGAGAUUAAUUUAUUUAAAAAUUGUGGAUGCAAGCUUACAACAUCUAUCACUAGCUAAUUUGUAAUGCUAAUGGACCUGAAUUUGUGUAAUUACUGCAAUUUAAAAUAAUCAGAGUUGUAUAAUUUGUGUUUUUUUCUUAUAGUAGAUCAUAGUUUAGGAUUACAGAAAAUUAUUUUAAUUACUAAGCUUCGAAUCUUGAACUUGAUGGAUAUCAUCACAUCAGAACCAAUGUACAAACCAAUUCUAAAACAGAGUAGAACUCUGGAAUUUUAAUUGCAAAAAGGGAAAAUUGAUUCAAGUUUUAGCCCAAACUGAUGUAACAAUCAAGUCAAAUAGCUGUACCAUGAAACCAACUUUUCAUUUUAAAGUUCCAACUAAAGCAAAAUCAUUUGGAUUCUUUUUUUCCAGGUGUUUAUGUUGGGUUCCUCUGUGGGGUAAACAUCAAUCUAGCUUAAGAAUGAAAACUGUGAUAGGGUUGGCAUUGAAAAUAACACCCAGGCUCCAUGUGUUCAUUCAGCGAGUUUUGAGAUGAGAGCAACUCUGCCAAAUUCUGAAUGCAUUUAUAUGGUCCAUUGAUAAAUCAGGGGAAAAGAAUGCCAUGAGGAUGCUAAUAAUCAGAAUGAGUCAAUAGUAAUUUGCCCAAGAGCAUAUGCUUCCUCUCAAUGGGAUAAACAAGGCAACUCUGUUGACAAGUUGCAGUACUGCUUCAAUAUCUAAGUCCAACCACAAUAUAAAUAAAUCAUUCAGUAGAAGAAAUUAAAGAGCUUAAAAGCUUACUUGUUACAAACAUCUGUUAUUUAUUCCCUCAUAUGCUUUCCUUACAUCAAUCAUUGCCAUCUUUAUUCCCUUCACAAUAAUCUCUAGGUAAAAGGGCACAUCUAUAAAUGUGGAUUUUGUGGGAACUACAUUUUUUGGUGAGAAAGAACAUAUAAAAAAACCACCCAUAAUCUGCAACUUCAAUUCCAAUAGAGUAUUGAAUCUGUGUCUGGCUUGACUAUCAUGCAAGUUUUAUGAAAUCUACAGAUCACAGUCAUAAAAAAUAGAACAUAACAAAUAGAAAAUACCUACUCCUAGAUCAAUAUAAAAGCAUAGGUUAUAAGAUUAACCAAUCUCGAAAAUAUGUUGACUAUAUUUAGGUAAUAGUUGGUAGGUUUACCUUGUUGAGAGCUGGACUGCAAUACAACAUGAAGCCAGCAGUAAGCUACUGUCGAGACCAGCAGCACCUACAGAGCUCAGCUCAUUUUGCUUGGUGUGCAAGAAUGAUUUUUGGACCGAAUGAAGCAACCAACAUUGUUGUUUUGUUUUGAUGUAAUUUGGUCUGGUUCAAUCUUAGUUUGCUUGUAAUGUUAGUAGAAGUUAAGUUAGUGAUAAGAUCUUUUGAUGUAAUGGCUGAUUGGUCAGCUAUAUUUGAUUAAUUUUUAGCUAGUGACUAGGUCUGUAUUAGUUGGGGCAGUUAAAUACAUUAGGUAACUGUCAAUGUAUAUUGUAACUUCUUUUAUAUUUCAAAUUUGAAUGAAAAAUUAGUAAUGUUCAGUUAUAAUUUUUUCUGAGUGUUCAAACUUUGUUCACUGCUUUUGUUUUGCUUUUCUUUUUGCUUCGAUUCCUCUUGCUUCUGUUUGCAAAUCUGUUUGGUGUUUGUUGCCAUUGUUCCAACAAAUGGUAUCAGAGCCCAAAUCUUUGAGGGGCCUUUGUAUGCAAUCUGUUGUGUUCAAACUUAAACCAACAUCAAAAUUUAAAAUUUGGAAAGAUCGAAGCAUUUAAAAUCAGUCUAGCAGGAUGAGUUUUACUCCACCACCUCCACCAGUGUUCACUGGAGAAAACUAUCACAUUUGGAUAGUUAAAAUGAAGACUUACCUCCAGGCACACGAUCUUUGGAGUGUGAUCGAGAAUGAUGCUGAACCACCUCCAUUGAGUGCCAAUCCCACCAUUGCACAGAUGAGACAACAUGCUGAUGAGCGAGCCAAGAAGCAUAAGGCUAUGGCUUGUCUACAAAAUGGAGUCUCUAAUGUGAUAUUCACUCGCAUCAUGGCCUGUGACUCACCAAAACAGGCCUGGGAGAAGCUGAAGGAGGAGUUCAUGGGGACUGACAAGACAAGGCAACAGCAGGUGAUCAACCUCAGGAGAGAUUUUGAGAAUGAGGAUGAAGGAGUCUGGGACCAUCAAGCAGUACUCAGACAGGAUAAUGGCCAUUGUCAACAGCAUUAGGCUCCUGGGAGUGGACUUCACAGAGAGCAGAGUUGUUGAAAAGGUCAUCACAACUCUCCCUGAAAAAUUCGAGUAAAAAAUCUCUUCACUUGAGGACUCGAGGGACUUAUCAGCCAUAUCAUUGUCUGAGCUGAUAAACUCCUUGUAUGCACUUGAGCAAAGGAGGGCAAAUAGGUAGGAGGAGAAUCCUGAGGCUGCUUUCCAGGCUAAAGCCAGUGAAGGCUCGAGUGUGAAUGCAAAAGGCAAAAAGUCUUGGCACAAUAGGAAGGCCAAGUCAGGAAGAGAUGAAGCAAAAAGGGUGUUUCCACCAUGUGUUCAUUGUAAGAAGGCAACACAUUCAGAAAAGUAUUGUUGGUUUAGGCCAGAUAUUCAGUGCAGAAAGUGCAAACAGUUUGGCCAUGUGGAGAAGGUGUGCAAGGGCAAACCAAAGGAGGCUGCUCUGCAACAAGCUAGACCUGCUGAAGAUAUGCAAGCUCAAGAGGAGCAUGUAUUCACUGCAACCUAUUUUGUUGGCACAACAAAGGCCAGCAAUGAUUGGCUACUAGACAGUGGCUGCUCACACCAUAUGGCAGCAGAUGAGAAGCUGUUUAAGAGCCUAGACAAAAGUUUCCACUCGAGGAUCAGAAUUGGAGAUGGCAAGCUGAUUGAGGCUAAGGGCAAGGGCAAUGUACUGGUUAGCACUGGUUCAGGUAACAAGCUGAUCUCUGAUGUGCUCUUUGUACCAGACUUAGAUCAGAACCUACUUAGUGUAGGCCAAUUGGUUGAAAAAGGCUAUACUUUGGUCUUUAAAAAUAGUUGUUGUAUUGUUCAAGAUAUGAAUGGUCUGGAGCUAGUCACAGUCUCUAUGACUGAUAGGUGCUUUAUGCUAGAUGUUAGCCAAGUAGAAAGAAAGGCAUGCACUAGUCUUGUUGAUAGUACAAACUUGAGGCAUAGGAGAUUAGGCCAUGCCAAUUUCAGAUCCAUUGAUCUGUUGCAUAAACUGAAUUUGGUUGAUGAUAUUUCAAAAAUUGAGGUUAGUGGAAAUGUUUGUGAAGUUUGUCAGCUUGGUAAGCAAGCGAGACUGCCUUUUCCUACUAACAGUGUUUGGAGAGCUCAACAUAAGCUCGAAUUGGUGCACUCUGAUGUUUGGGGCCCUAUGAGAACAUCUUCAAUCAGUGGCAACAGGUAUUUUGUCCUAUUUAUAGAUGAUUUAACAAGAUUAUGCUGGGUCUACUUCUUGAAGCAGAAGUCAGAAGUGUUUGAAGCCUUCUACAAAUUCAAGGCUUAUGCUGAAAAUCAGUUAGGCUGCAAAAUUAGAGCCUUGAGGACUGAUAAUGGCUCUGAAUAUGUGUCUGAGAGAUUUCAGAAGCUUUGUGACACUGCUGGAAUUCAUCAUCAGCUUAUCACAGUUUAUACUCCUCAGUAGAAUGGAGUUUGUGAAAGGAAAAAUAGGACUGUGCUGAACAUGGCUAAGUGUCUCUUGUUUCAAAGCAAGCUUCCAAGUCAGUUUUGGGCUGAGGCAGUCAACACCUCAGUGUACUUGCUCAAUAGGCUGCCAACUCGAGCAGUCAAGGAUAAAACACCUUUUGAGGCUUGGCAUGGAGUCAAACCAAUUGUGACACACUUGAAAGUGUUUGGAUGUGUGUGUUAUGCUCUUAUUCCAGUAGAGAAGAGGACCAAGCUUGAGAGCAGGGCUACAUCAGGAAUUUUUGUAGGCUAUAGCAGCAACAAGAAGGGUUAUAGGGUGUAUGAUCCUACAGCAAAGAAGGUCUCAGUCAGCAGGGAUGUAAAGUUUGAUGAGGAAAAGGUGUGGAAUUGGAAUGGUGCUGAAGCUGACAUGUCUGAAAUGGACCAGUUGGACUUGGUUAUUGAACCUAUGGAAGAGGGACCAGGAGAAGAUGCUGUGGAUGACACACCAGUGUGGGGAACCAGAACUUUAACUGAUGUCUAUCAGAGGUGUAAUGUUGCUGUAAUUGAGCCUUCAGACUUUGAAGAGGCUGUCAAAGACAGAAGAUGGAUGAAAGCUAUGGAAGCUGAGCUGGAAAUGAUCAACAAAAAUCAAACAUGGGAAUUGGUGAGCAUACUAGAACACAAGAAGGUCAUAAGAGUUAAAUGGGUGUACAGGGCUAAGUACAAUGCUGAUGGCUCACUGAACAAGCACAAGGCCAGGCUUGUGGUGAAGGGCUACAGUCAGCAAUAUGGUGUGGACUUCUUGGAGACAUUUGCACCAGUAGCCAGACUGGAUACAAUCAAGCUAUUAUUUGCUUUAGCAGCUCAGAAGCAGUGGAGAGUUCAUCAAUUGGAUGUGAAGUCAGCAUUUCUAAAUGCCUUUCUCAAGGAGGAGAUCUUUAUUGAGCAACCUAAAGGUUUUGAAGUUGCUGGACAUGAGGACAAAGUGUACAAGUUGAGGAAGGCCCUUUAUGGCCUGAAACAAGCACCAAGGGCCUGGUAUGACAGAGUUGAUGCUUACCUGACCAAGCUUGGAUUUGUGAAGAGUCUUAGUGAGCCUACUCUGUAUGUUAAAAGGUCAGAAUUUGAAACCUUGCUGAUUGUCUCCUUGUAUGUGGAUGAUUUGUUAGUGACAGGGAGCAAGGUUGAGCUCAUUGAUGAGUUCAAGGUUCAAAUGCAGCAAGUAUUUGAGAUGACAGACUUGGGAAUCAUGACAUACUUCCUUGGUAUGGAAGUGCACCAAUCUGAUCGAGGCAUCUUCAUCAGCCAACACACAUUUGCCUUGAAGAUCCUUGAUAAAUUUUGUAUGCAUAACUGUAAAGCAGUUAGCACACCAGUGGCUCAAGGAGAAAAGUUGACAAGCAGUGGUGAUCAGCAAAGGGUGGAUGAAAGACACUAUCGAAGCCUAGUAGGUUGCCUGUUAUAUUUGACAGCAACCAGGCCAGACAUCAUGUAUGGUGUUAGUCUGCUAUCGAGGUUCAUGCACUGCUGUAAUGAGACACAUUUGAAGGCUGCAAAAAGGGUUCUUAGAUACAUCAAAGGGACAGCUAACCUUGGGGUAAUGUUUGAAAGUGGAAAAAAACUGAAAUUGGAAGGUUAUUCUGACAGUGACUGGGCAGGAUCCCUUGAUGACAUGAAGAGUACUUCUGGAUACUUCUUCACACUUGGAUCAGGCAUGUUUUGCUGGAGCUCAAAGAAGCAACAAACUGUUGCUCAGUCCACAGUUGAAGCAGAGUACAUUGCUGCAGCAGUCAAUCAGGCCAUUUGGCUUAGAAAAUUGCUUCAUGAUCUCAAUGAAAUACAAGCUGAUGCAACUAAACUUUGGGUGGACAACCAGUCAGCAGUUGUCAUAGCCAAGAACCCUGUGUUUCAUGGUAAAACUAAACAUUUUAAAAUAAAGUUGCAUUCUGUUAGAGAGGCUGAACAAGCAAAGGAAGUCAGCCUUGUGCAUUGUGGCUCGGGGGCACAAUUGGCUGACAUACUGACCAAGCCCUUAGGAGCUAGUCGAUUUGAAUUAUUGAGAAAUGCAAUUGGAUUGUGUUGCAUAUAGUCCAAGGAGGAGUGUUGAGAGCUGGACUGCAAUGCAACAUGAAGCCAGCAGUAAGCUACUGUCGAGACCAGCAGCACCUACAGAGCUCAGCUCAUUUUGCUUGGUGUGCAAGAAUGAUUUUUGGACCGAAUGAAGCAACCAACAUUGUUGUUUUGUUUUGAUGUAAUUUGGUCUGGUUCAAUCUUAGUUUGCUUGUAAUGUUAGUAGAAGUUAAGUUAGUGAUAAGAUCUUUUGAUGUAAUGGCUGAUUGGUCAGCUAUAUUUGAUUAAUUUUUAGCUAGUGACUAGGUUUGUAUUAGUUGGGGAAAUUAAAUACAUUAGGUAACUGUCAAUGUAUAUUGUAACUUUUUUUAUAUUUCAAUAUUGAAUGAAAAAUUAGUAAUGUUCAGUUACAAUUUUUUCUGAGUGUUCAAACUUUGUUCACUGCUUUUGUUUUGCUUUUCUUUUUGCUUCGAUUCCUCUUGCUUCUGUUUGCAAAUCUGUUUGGUGUUUGCUGCCAUUGUUCCAACAUACCUUAGCUAACAUGAAUAUAAAUUAGAAAUCAUGAACUGAAAUAUUAUAUAGAUAUAUAUAUAUUUACCAACUUUCAAAGGAAAUAUGAAACAUAAAUCAAUGGGUGAACAAAUCAUUGAAGUAAAAUGCAGAUAGUAUUGAGAUGCAAUAUGAUUAAAUCUCUACUUGCUGCCUAUGGCAUGAGUACCAAUGGUGGAACCUAACCAAUUAAGCUAAAUGAUGUCCAUCACUGAUCCUAUGAAUCAAAACCAGCCAAUAACAAGUCACCUGUCAAAAAGAAUUCAAGUAUGAAUCUUAAUCUCUCCUCACUACAAUGCUCAAACAAUAUCAGAGCAGUAACAUAAAAACACACCAUUACCUUCAUCACCUAACGAAUCAAACUGAUAUAAAUAUUGAUCUGCAAAGGAAACUUUUUCUAAUGAUGUGCAGUCCUCUACAUUCAAUUCGAGCAGAUAUGGUGGAAGCUCUAAGAGUAAUUUGAGGCUCUUGCAACGAUCCAUAUGCAUAUACCUAAGGCUUUUAAACCUCAAGCUUGGUGAGCGCACGUCAACAGUUGGAAAUUUAACGAUUGGACAACCACUAAGAUCUAGAACUUCAAGGGAUUUCAACUUUGAAAUAUUGCUUGAUACAUCUUUUACCAUUGAGUCUGCCAAGGUCAACCGUAGAAGUCUGUCGAGAUGCUCAAGGAAAUCAGGUACUUCUUUUAUUCCGGUUUGUAAUAAAUCUAACUCAUAAAAGUUAUUUGGGAUCUCCGGAAACUUCUUGAGACUGCGACAUCCCUUAAGGUGAAGGGUUUUAAGUGAUGUCAAAUGGUCGAGGCGAGGAAGUUCGACCAAACUUUCGCAUUUUUCACAGUCUAGUCUUUCAAGGUUGACGGCUCCUAAUAAAUUAGGGAUCUUCUUUAAAUUUUUGCAUCUGAAAAGUUUAAUUUUUCGUAAAUGAACAAGAUCCUGCAGAUAAUGAGAACAUAAAGUAGUUAGAGCAUCAUUUACUUAGACUAUCAAAACUGGUGUUACUUGCACGCCACAUUAUCUUUUUGAAGAAAGCAAUGAGUUUCAAACUCUGAAGAGAGUUUUUUAUAUACAGCCUCAGCAAGGGUUGUUUUGCCUUGUCCACCCAUUCCCCAAAGUCCUAUUACACGACAGUCUUUUUGCUUAAUCAGCUUCAAAAUCGUCCUUUUCUGAUAUUCUAUUCCAACCAAUUCUUCAGAAACACUUUCAAACCCAAUAUUCGUCAACUUUUUUAUAACGUAUUCAACAACAUCUUUAAUGUACUUGGUUUCAGGUCUAGAAAACAAUAAAAAAUGUAAAUAAGUAAAUAUGAAAUCUAAAACAAAGAUAAGUUGAAAAUAACAAGAUGAGAAAAAUAUAAUUACUUGUCAAAUUUGCCUCCUUCUAUAUGCCACCCUUUUAAUUUACCAACCUCUGCAAAAGCAGUUUUCCAUUGUUGUACUCUAUCAGCUGGUUGCUCUGAUUCAUGCUCUUCGAAGGAUGUCUUAAAAUGCCCACCACUAUUUCGCACAUCGGAAGGAUCAACAUGGUAAAAGACGGGAAGAACAAUAUGUUUGUCAGUGGGAUUGUGCUUGCGAUCCAUGAUGUCAGAAAGUUCACCUAAGCAUGAUUUUGAAUAAGCAUAGGCUUUAGAUACAACGAGGAUUGAGAGAUUUGAGGCCGAAAUUGUUCGAGAAUACGUUGGUGGAAGCUUCUCUCCUUUUUUCAGUGUUUCGUUAUCGGGGAAGACAUUAAUUCCUACUUUUUCCAAAGCAUUGACUAGGUGAUUGGAGAAGUUGAGGCGUGUGUCUUCACCUAAGCUUAAGAAAACUUGAUGCUUCAUCAACUUUUGCAUAACAUACGCAACAAUAUCCUUGAUGUACUGGGUUUCAGGUCUAGCAAAUAAUAAAAGAAGUAUAUAUAUGAAAUCCAAAACGAAGAUAAUUCAAAUAUAAGGAGAUGAGACAAAUAUAGUUACCCAUCCGACCUGCUUCCAUCUAUAUGCCACCCUUGUAAUUUACCAACUUCAGCAAAAGCAGUUUCCCAUUGUUUCACUUCAUCAACUGACCUCUUUGUUUUAUGCUCAUCAAAGGAUUUCUUAAAACUCCCAUCAAUUUUCACCACAUCAGAGGGGUUAACAUGGUAAAAGAUGGGACGAACAAUAUGUUGUCCGAUGCUUUAGCGGUCCAUGAUGUCAGAGAGUUCAACCAAGCAUGAUUUCGAAGUGGCAUAGUCUGCAGACAAAACGAUGAUUGAGAUAUUUGAGACUGCAAUUGCUCGAGAAAGUGCUUGUGAAAGCUGGUCCCCGCUUUCCAGUUUUUCUUCAUCGAAGAAAACAUCAAGUCCCUCGUCUUUCAAAGCUUAAAGUAAGUGAGUGGUGAAAUUAAGACGCGUGUCUUCACCUCUGAAGCUCAAAAAAACAUGAUACUUCAUUAGAGUAGAAGAUGAAGAAGAAGAAGCCAUGAAAGAGUAUUGAUAGUGUGCUUGAAGCAAAAGAGAGAACAAAUAUAGCAAGUGAGUUUUGCUUGGGUUGUGGUAUUAUUGUAAGAAGAAAAAGUGUAAAUGGGAAAGAGAUUGAAGGCCUAGGCAAAAGCACAGGCGACGACUUGAGCUUAGCCAACUAUCCUUUCGUCAACACAGGUGUUACUUGAACGCCACAUUAUAAACUGCACCGCCCAUGAAAUUAGCCAAUUCGGAAAGGGUCAAAUCUUGUUUCAGGUCCCUCUACUAUUCUCAAAUUUGAGAUUUAGUCCUUCUUUAAAAUGAUCUCUUUCUUUUUAUGUUGUCAUUAAUUAAUUCAAAUAGGUAAGGUUGUUAACUAUUCAGGUUAAAAUUUUAGAGUGGAUAAAAAAAAAUCUUUUAUCAUAAAAGAUUCUUGUAAUUUUAAGAAAAAAAAUCAUGUUAUAGUAUUAUUUAUUUAUAUUAAUUAGUUACACAAAAAAAUUAUUUAAAAAUCUUUAAUCAAAAAAGAAAUUCUAGAGAAAGGUUGAGAUAACAAGAGAAACAUGUGGAUUAUCAUACAUGUUUAUCAUUUUUCACUAUUUUUUUAGAAAAACAUUUAUAGUAUAAUUUUCAUUUUGAGUUAUCAAACAUGUUUAAAAUUUUAAAUUACUAAAAAUAUAAUUUCUCAAUUAAAAUUUUUAAUAUUAGUAAAGUUAAGCUAAACAUUUUACGUGAAGAUUUGAUUGGAGAAGUGUUAAAAUCAACUUAAUUGAACGUGACUAAUUUGAUCAAUGUGUUAAAAUGAUUUUUAUCGAUAAAUAAUAUAUUUUAGCAAUUAUGAGAGAAGUUUAAUUCUUAAUUGAUAAUUUGAAAACUUUUCAUUACCUUUCAUGAAUUUUCUAUCUAAGUUGUCAUGACUUAAAUUUUGGGGAGUAUUUUUUUUCAAGCCAAAGACUUUUUCUUUUGGAUCUUGAGAAGGCUCGUGUUAUAUAAAAAAUGUGUAACGAUCCGAUAGUCAGGGUGUCGAAAAGUGUAUUCUCGAGACUUUUAUCCCGUAAAUCGAACUCAUAAAUAUUUACGAAACUAGUUGUGUAGUUAAUUAGGUUUCAGUUAAGUGAAUUCGCUCGAAUUAAAAGUAAUUAGGUAUAAGGACUAAAUUGCAUAUAGGGUUAAAGUUGAAGUAUAGAGCAAAGAAUAAUUAAAGGAACUAAAGAAUUGCUUCUUUAGUAGGACGGCAUUAAUUAAAGUUAUCUCAAGUAUUAAGAAAAUAUAUAUUAUAUAAUAAUAAAUCCACAUUAAGUAAAAGAAAAAGAAAGACAAAGUCAAGAAAUUAAAAAGAAAGAAAGGAGAAAAGAAGAGACGCAAGCAAGGCUAUGGCCCCAAAAUUUUCCAAGUUUAAUUGGUUAGUAUAUUUAACUCUAUUUCUUGUAAUCUUCAUGUUUUUGGAAUCCUAGUGCUAUGUAUUACUCGAUUCAUGUUGAAAUUUUAGCAUUAAUUGAGUUUUUAAAGGUUGCUAAUGUUGAAUAAUUUUAGUAUUAAUAAUUAAAUUGAUAGAUUUUAAGCUAGAAGUGAAAAAGGAUUAAAUUGUAAAAUAGAUUGUAAAAUUUGAGUAAUAGGGACUAAAUUGUGAAAUUUUCAAAGAUUAGGGAUUUAAGUGAAAAUAGGAAGUUAAAUUUAGUUUAAAGUAGAAUUUGUAUGAAAAUAUAUAAUUAAAUGUGAAGAAUAAAAAUUAGUUUUGGUUUAGGGGCUAAAUUAAAAUUUAGGCAAAUAUUGAGUAAAAAUUAAAAUAUUCAAUAUGAAAUUGAAUUAUGUUGUAUUGAUGAAUUUUCAUUGUUUUAAUUCUGUAGCUAACGUCGUACCGGAAUCCUCGAUUAAAAAAGGAAAAGAUAAGGUCGACGUCGAAUAGUUCGGAAUUCUUGGUUUGUAUUUCUAUAAUCUGAAUUAAGUUGUAAAAUUAUUGCAUUUUGAUUUAUUGUAUAUGGUAAGUAUUGAAGGUGAAAACUAUUGUGUUUUACAAUUGAAAUGGAUUGAUUCAGUAAGUCAUAAAUUUAUUAAAUUUAUAUGAAUUGAAUUAAAUUCAUAUGUAUAUAUGUGAUAAUGUGAUUAUAUGAAAAUUUGAUAUUGGAUAUUGGUUAUAUUUGAAAAGUGAAUUGGAACUCUAUUAACUGUAUUGGGCUAAGUUGGAUAUAAAUGACAUGCCAUAGGAUAGGAAGAGUUCAGGAAUUUAUUUGACUUUGAUUCGAUAAGGCACUGGGUGCCAAUUUACUUCGGUUUAACCGAUGAGACACUGGGUGUCAAUGUAUAUAGCACUGGGCGCAUAUUACUUCGGAUUUAUCCGAUGAGACACUGGGUGCCAAACUGGUGUGUUGGUUAAAUCCGUGUAUCCGUCCGAAUCCAAGUCGCGUUAAUAGGGUAAUUAAAUAAAACGAUACUAUGAUUGAUAUUGGAUGAUAUUGCAUGUGAAUUGAAAAUGAGAUAGUGAAUUGAAACAUGAAAAUGAGAUACAUGAAUUAUGUAUUCAUGAAUUGGAUAUGGAAUAGAUCAUGUUAUGUGGAUCAAAUUGUGAAAAGCUAUUAUAUAGCAAGUGAUGAGAAUUGAGUAUGGUAUGAAAUGGUGCAUUUAUGAAUUGAGUAUUAAAUGGCUAAUGUCAUUGUAUGAAUAAAUGUGGUUUUAAUUACUCAAUUGUCCUUAUAAUUAAUAUGUCUAUAUUAUAUUAUUAUAUUUUUAAAUAUUCAGAUUAUAAAAUAUCACUGAGUUUUACUCGAUGUACGAUUUUGUUUUCCGUGCGCAGAUUAGGUACUUAACUUUUGAUCGCCAAUUCAGAAUCCAACAACGAUCCUAACCUCAAAUGUAGUGAUAUUUACCUUUUGUGUUGGCAUGUACCUAGGGUGUCUAAAUAACAGUUAUUUUGUGGAUUGAUUGUAAAUAAGGUUAUAAGCUUAAUAUUAGUUCGAUAUAUAUAAACGUGUUUGUUUUUGAAGCCAUAUUAUAUCAUGGUAUAUUGAAUUAAACCUAGAUAUGUGUAUGUGAGUUUAAGUUGAUGUAUAAGUGCUCAUGAACUAGGCAAAACGAAUUGAAUUUGGUAUUUUUAUAAUUUGGAUUUGAAUGAUGCUUUGAUGAUAUGUUUUGAUGCUAUAAAUGUGGUACCAAUGAGGAUACAUUGGUUAGGCACCUAGAAUGAUUGUUUUGGCAUGUUUUGAAUGUUUUUGAUCAUGUUUUGAACGUUGAAUGAAUGGUUUUUGAGUUAUUUAAUGUCCUAACUUGUAAGAAAUGGUAAAUUUGUUAUUUAAGGCACAUUUUAGGUCCAUACGGCCAAACACACGGGCGCGUGACUCGGUCGUGUAAGACACAAGGCUAGCACACAGGCGUGUGAGACCAUUUUGAAAGGGAACACGGCCUGGCACACAGGCGUGUGGCCAAAGUCAGGGAAUUACAUAGGCAUAGACAUGGGCUGGGACACGACCAUGUGUCCCUAUUUCAAAUAUUUGAAAACAAGUCUUAAAUUUUAUUUAAAUUUACUUUUAAACUUCAUAUUUUAUACAAUAUCUUCAAAUUUGAAUGAUUAAUUUUUUAUUUUGGUAGAAAAGAACUUAGGACUAGCCUAAGGGAACAACAAGAUUACACCCUUUUUACCAAGGGCAGUCGAGAAACAAAACCGGCAAAAUCCUUGAAAGGCAUCGAUGUCAAACCACCAUGAAACAUGGAGGACAAAAACGAGGUCAGGAGCACCCCUCCCACCAUUGCAGCGACUAACCUCAAACAACUUACACUUAAAAUGCCUUCAAAUCAACUUACAAGCUAACUUUAAUUAACUAAAAAGAUAGUUCUCUUUUGUUCUAAAGUUCAAUGUAAUGUCAAACACCCCAGACAAAUUCCAAAGCCUAAGACAACAAAUUGUGACAAUGUGACAGCUAAACAGUUAAAAACAUACCUGGAAAACAACAUGAACUGGUGCGGAGAAGAACAAUCUAGGUAAAAGAUGUAAUAAGUCAAUGAAAGAACUCAUUUCUGGUUCAUGUUACCUUAGUGUCCAACUAUGAGUGUCGAAUCCACAUAUUCAACACUUGCACGAGAUCAUAGUAGCAAAUACGUGUCCAACUUUAAAACACCCAUUUAACAUAAAUUUAUGAAUAUAGCCUGGUCCUUGACCUAUUACCCCCUAACUAUACCCCUCCUUUUCCAUAAAAAAAAAGAUUAAAUUACCUUAAUAAGAUGUUAUAGGCAGCAUUGUAGUAUGUAAUUCAGCUCAAUUCCCUACUAAAUUCCCAACAUUUGCCACCAAUAUGAUUUUAAAACACCAUAGUCAUACAUAAGUCACAAGCAAAACUCAUUCUACCAUAAUCUUAUACGGUGUUGUCAACAGUGCAAGGUGCACCGUAGACGUUAGAACCAUUAUAUUGCCUUGAGUGCAAGGUGCAAAAAGACUAGCCUGAGUGAAGUAAAGCGCAAUAUACAUAUGUCCAUUUUUGGUGUCUACACACACAAACAUAUAUGUUUAUAUAUAGCUUAAGAUAUAUAAUAAACUCUACAUUGUGGUCUUUAUCUACAACAUAUGCAUAUUAUUUAUUGGUCAAUAUACAUGAUUUCUUAUCAUCCAUGUCUGCUGUUGAACACUCAUGAUUGAGAAGUACAGAGUUUGAUACUGUGCCUUCCUUACUAGCAAAGGAAUAUCAAAUGAAAAAAGUGAAAAAUAGAAGAAAGUAAAGGGAACUUCAAUGAGGCAGUUUUUUCUUAAUGCCUAUUGUCUUACAAAAGAGUGCGCCUAGGCACACUGCGCAUGCAUCAGAUUAAACGAGCCUGACCCGAAAGGGUCUCACACACUUCUAUUAUCUAAUGCUCAGGCACGAGGCACCAGAGUUCCUAGGUGCACACCUUAACAAUACUGAUCUUCUAAAUGUGUUGCAUCCAGUUCAACAUAUGCAGAUAAAAGUCUUUUUUUGUAUAGCUAAAGCUCAAAGCAUACUACCCAAAUAUCUGUCAUUCCCUCUUGACUCUGUUUUUACAAACUCUACAGGUCAGUCAUAUAAUUCUAAGAGAUAAAGCACAACAAAAAACAACCACCUAGAUCAAGAUAAAAUCACAGAUUAUAACACAAACCAAUCUCACACAUGAGAAAAUCACAGAUUACAACAAAAAGCAAGCUCACACAUAAGCAGACUUUUAAAUUAACAUAUAGAUAUAGGGAAUAGUUGGAUGGAAUAAAAAUCAGAAAUCAGGUGAUCCGAAUUAAUAAAAUAUUCCCUAACUUUUAAAAGAAAUAUGAAACAGAAAUCAAUGGAUGAAGAUAUCAUUGAAGUAAAAUGUAGAGAGUAUUAGAUACGAGAUUAUUAGGGUUUAAUAUAGUUGUGGUAUACGUUAGUUUCUGUUAUAGCAACUGUUAUAGUUAGUUACAGUAGUAGUUAAGGAACGGUUUAUCCUAGCAUUAAAUAUGUGUAACACACUCAAGUUAAUCAUCAUGAAUACAGCAUUCUAUUUCUUGAAUACUCUGAAUCUUAACAUGGUAUCAAGAGCUAGGUUUCUUUUGUUGUAAACAAAGUUUUUUUUCUCCUUUUUUGAUGGCUACAGAUGCUGUUCUAGACGGAGUGCAAGUACCUGAGACACCUCGACACUCUUCCAACACUAGGGAGGCUGCACAUUCACAGGGAAAUGACGUGGUUUGUGCAUCGACAGUCCAUUAUUUCUCCAAGCAUGACACCAUCAAACUGUCAUCACAUAACUUUCUGUUAUGGAAACAUCAACUUUUGUUGAUUCUUGAAGGAUAUGGGCUUGAAGGGUUUGUUCUCGGUACUAUUUCCUCUCCUCCUGCUGUUGUUGUUGAUUCUGAUGGUCAACAGGUCGAAAAUCCAGCAUUUGUUGUUCAUAGGAAACAAGAUAAGUUUCUCGCUUCCUGGCUAUCUUAGUUCAUCUCACUAAUGCUAAAACUAGUUGUGCUAUAUGGAACACCAUUGAAAAACGGUUUAGUGCAAAGUCCUCUCUAAAGAUCUCGAGCAUGCGUCAUGCGUUAUAUUCCCUAAAUAAAACAAAUCUUUCUGUUAAAGAUUACAUGGCUAAGGUGAAACAGCUUAGUGAUGAUUUAACUGCUGCUGGGAGUCCUAUAUCUGAGCAAGAACAGAUAAGUGUCAUCUUAGCUGGUUUGUCGGUUGAUUUUGAGUCUGUUCGGAUAUUUUCCUCUGUUACUCCUCUCUCUCUUGACUUGUUAACUGAAAUGUUACUCGACUGUGAAUCACGUCAAUUGGAGUUGUCUACAGAAGGUUCUUGUCAAGCAAAUUUGGCAACACGACAAUCUAGUAGUGAGGCUGUUUUGAAACAGUCCUCUGAGUCUUCAAACUAUUCUCAAGAGUCUAAACAACCCUAUAGAGGACAGGGUCAAGGUUUCUCUCAGGGACGAUCUCGUAGUAAUGGUCGGGGUUGGUCUCGUAGCAAGCCACAGUGCCAAUUGUGUGGUAAGGUGGGGCAUCUGGUUCAAACCUAUUUUCACAGAUUUGAUGAAAAUUUUUCAGGUGUUGCAGCGUCCGAUACAGUCCAGGUCAACUGUCAUCAACUGCAUGGCUCUAGUUGCUCUUCCUCGGCUCCUGCUUGUCAAACAGUCUUACAUUGCUGUGGUUCCUCUAGUCACUGUCAACCGGCUGUAACUUCACAAUCAGAAUCUGUUUGGUAUCCUGAUUCGGGAGCUACAAACCAUAUUACACCGGAUGUGUCUGGUCUCACUAAUGCCGCUCCAUAUGCAGGUACGAGUCAUGUCACUAUGGGUAAUGGUGCAUUUAUUUCAAUUGCUAAUGUAGGCUCGUCCUCUCUCUUAACUGGUACAAGACUUCUCAAGCUGCAGAAUGUGUUACAUGUUCCUGCUGUAUGUAAGAACUUGAUGUCUGUUGGGCAAUUUGCAAAGGAUAACAGUGUUUAUUUUGAAUUUCACCCAUUCUUGUGCUUUGUGAAGGACAUUCAGACAGGGAUGACGCUACUCGAGGGCCACAUGCAUGAAGGUUUAUACCGUUUCCAAUUCACCACGCCCACUUCUGUUGCUGCUCCGUCUCCUUUGAAAUCUAGUUCGAAACGCAGUUCUACUUUGGUGAACAGUGCGCAGCUGUCUUCUACUUUGUGGCACGAUAGACUUGGCCAUCCUUGUAAUGGUAUUUUAACCCGGGUGUUAAGAUCUUGUAAUAUUCCUUAUAAAAAAUGUUUUGAGUCAUGUUUGUACAGCCUGUCAAGUGGGAAAAGCUCACAAGCUUCCCUUUUCUACUUCAAACACUUUGUAUUCGGUCCCCUUUGCACUUGUGGUAUCCGAUGUAUGGGGGCCUGCACAUUUACCUUCAAAUGGAUUUCGUUACUACAUCUCCUUUGUUGACAUGUAUAGUCGGUAUACCUGGCUCUACUUUCUCAAAAACAAGUCUGAUGUGACUCAGUGUUUCUUGGAUUUUCAUCAGAUGGUACGAGUACAAUUUGGUUGUUCUAUUAAAAGUCUCCAAACGGAUGGGGGAGGUGAAUAUCGUGCUUUGUCUCCGCUCUUAUCUCGGCUUGGGGUUCAGUACAGGAUUACAUGUCCGUAUACCUCGAAGCAAAAUGAUGUUACCGAGAGGAAACAUCGUCAGAUAGUUGACAUGGGGUUUUCGUUGUUGGCACGGGCCAGCAUUCCUCUCCAGUUUUGGUUCCAUGCUUUUGUGCAUGCUGUUUAUCUGACUAACAGGCUUCCUACUCCGAUUUUGGGUCAUUUUAGUCCGUAUGAAGUGCUUUAUAAAGUCAAACCAGAUUAUAGCUCACUCAAGGUGUUUGGAUGCUCUUGCUUUCCCGAUCUUCGACCUUUUUAACGACAUAAAUUGAGCUUUCGUUCACAACAAUGUGUUUUUCUUGGGAUGGUACCUCACACUAAAGGCUACCGGUGUCUUGCUGCUGAUGGUCGAAUAUUUUUGUCGAGGCAUGUAAAAUUUGAUGAAACUAAGUUCCCUUAUCAUGAUGAUUUCAGCAAGGAGUUCCCAGAAAUAAGGGAAAAUCGGUGUACGUAUGUUCUUCCGUUAGUCACACCCAAUACUGGUGUCAUCAGCCAAGCACAACCUCUCUUGCGCUCUAGCCUGGGAACUGUUUCAGAUCAGUCACAUCUUAAUCAGCAUUCAGCUAGUACUUCAGCUGACUCAACUACAGGAGUUUCUUCUGAUCAGCUGAUUUCACAGCAACCAUCUCUCGGUAUGUUUGUUGAUCCCAUUACAAUAGUUGAGGAGUCUACUGUUGGUGAUCAGGCUGAACAGACUGUAGCAACUUCAUCUACUGCAAUACCUUCCAACUGUCACCCGAUGCAAACUCGCUCCAAGAGUGGUAUAUUUCGACCGAAAGUUUUUUCUUCUGUCCUAGAUGAGACCGAGCCUUCUACCAUUACAGAAGCUUUUCAGAGUCCUGCCUGGACUGCAGCAGCCAAUGAUGAGUACAGUGCGCUGCUUGCCAACCACACAUGGGAUCUUGUCUCCUUACCAGCAGGUCGUCGUGCUGUUGGUUACAAAUGGAUUUUCCGGAUUAAGAGACAUGCGGAUGGAACCAUCGCUCGGUACAAGGGCAGAUUAGUUGUUAAAGGGUAUUUGCAAGAAGCUGGGGUGGAUUUUCAGGAAACAUUCAGUCCUGUUGUCAAACCGACCUCCAUUCGAGUUGUUAUAGCAUUGGCCGUGUCUCUCAAUUGGCCUCUUCGGCAAGUAGAUAUAAACAACGCAUUCUUAAAUGGGGAUUUAAGUGAGGACAUCUACAUGGUUCAACCACCGGGUUUUGAACAAAGUGGCUCAAAUGGUGAACUUCUGGUCUGUAAGUUAAAAAAGGCUCUAUACGGUCUCAAGCAAGCUCCUAGAGCUUGGUUUCAGAAGCUAAGGGAAUUUUUAGUUUCCAUGAACUUUGAAGUAUCCAAAGCUGAUGGCUCUCUCUUAAUCCUUCGAUCAGGAGAACGGUUGAUGUAUGUGCUAGUUUAUGUUGAUGACAUCAUUGUCACUGGCAAUGAUGCUCAGGCUAUAGAUCAGUUUGUCAGUCAAUUGAAUGCUCGAUUCUCUUUAAAGGACCUAGGAAAACUUAACUAUUUCCUAGGCAUAGAGGUUCAAUACUGUUGAAGUUGGUCAGCAUGAAGCCAACACUCGAUUCCAUACAGGCCAUGAAGACCAAGCAAAGCUGGAACAGAUGCAAGGGCUGCUGAUGCAAGCUCAUUUUGUUCAUUUUGUUAUAUUUAGUUGAUGAAAUGAGUGUUAGUUCAUUUCUAACUAAGUUAGCUUUCUGAUUGAUGUAAUUAGCUUAUGUAUGAGCUGUAAACACAGUUUUGUAUAAGUUUACAAGCUAAGAUUUCAAGUUUCUAUGUAAUUAGUGGAGGUAGGUAAUUACUUGUUGAUUUUGACAAGCCUUAUGCUUGAGUUAUGUACUGGCUUCAAGCCAUUGUUUUAUGUAUGAAUGAAAUCAGUUUUGUUCAUCAAUAUUUUCUCAAAUUUUCCCAGCUUAUUCUCUUCUUUCUUUAACUCGAAAUUGUUUGUUUGCUCAGCAAGUUUUGAGGCUUGCUCGACAAGAUACUUGCUGAGUCUGCUUGAUUCUGUUGUUGCACCAACAAUUGGUAUCUAGAGCCUAUUUCUUAAGGGAUCUGUUACUCAAUUCCAUGGCUUCAUCAAGCUUUUCACCAGCUGCACCUCAAGUCUUCAAUGGAGAAGGCUAUCACAUAUGGGUGGUCAAAAUGAAGACCUACCUGCAGGCUUUCUAUCUGUGGGAGGUGGUCAACUUUGAUGUUGAACCAGAGCCACUUAGAGCUAAUCCAACAGUGGCUCAGAUCAGGCAGCAUGCUGAUGAAAGGACCAAGAGGCACAAAGCUAUGUCUUACAUCCAAAACUCAGUGUCUGAUGUAAUUUUCACAAGGAUUAUGGCCUGUGAAUCACCAAAACAGGCCUGGGACAAGUUGCAGGAAGAGUUUCAAGGGACAGAGAGGACAAGGUAGCAACAGUUGUUAAACUUGAGGAGAGAUUUCGAGAAUUUGAAGAUGAAGGAAGAAGAAACUGUCAAGCAAUAUUCUGACAGGAUUAUGGCUGUGGUUAACAGCAUCAGGCUCCUUGGAGAGCAGUUCAAUGAAGCUAGGAUAGUGGAGAAGGUUAUAGCAACUCUGCCUGAGAGGUAUGAGGCAAAAAUCUCAUCUCUCGAGGACUCAAGGGAUCUGUCCACCAUCUCCCUGACAGAGUUGAUCAAUGCUCUAUAUGCUCAAGAGCAGAGGAGAGCAAGCAGACUGGAGGAGCACCAAGAAGGUGCCUUUCAGGCAAGAACAAAUACUGCCUACAAAGGCAAGAAGGCCUGGAGAGACAAGCCAAAGAAUGAUGCUGCAAGGAGAGAAGGUCAGACUUGCAAGCACUGUAGAAAGGCUGGUCAUUCAGAAGAAAAAUGCUGGUUCAAUCCAGAUGCUGUGUGUCAGCAUUGUAAGAAGAAGGGUCAUGUUGAGAGAGUCUGUAAGAGUAAGACUAAAUCGAGGCAAAAUCAGUUUCAACAGAUGAAAGCUGAGGCUCGAGUAGCUAAGGAGGACAGUGACCAAGAGGAGCAAGUCUUUGCUGUGUCAUGCUCAGCUGCUCAGGAAAGGCUCUCAUCUGGUUGGCUCCUAGACAGUGGAUGCACCAACCACAUGACACCUGAUGCUGCAAUCUUCAAGUCUUUAGACAGAAGCUGCAGAACUAAAGUCAAGAUAGGAAAUGGUCAUUUUAUUCAAGCUGAAGGCAAGGGUGAUGUGCUGAUAUGCACCAUUACAGGUACCAAAGUGAUUUCAAAUGUGCUGUUGGUGCCUGAAAUUGACAGAAACCUCCUCAGCAUAGCUCAGUUGCUGGAAAAAGGUUAUUCAGUUGUGUUUAAAGACCACCAGUGCCAAAUCAGUGAUCCAAGUGGAUCCAAACUGAUGGCAGUCCCUAUGGCUGAUAAGAGCUUUGUGGUUGACUGGACAAAAAAGUCAGACAUUGCCUACACAGCCACUUCAGAUGAAUCCAAGCUGUGGCAUCAAAGACUGGGACAUGCCAACUUCAGAUCGAUGGCUCGAAUGGUCAGAGAGGACCUAGCUGAAAAUUUCAUCAACUCAGUGGACCAUGAUGAUGUAUGUGAUGUAUGUCAGCUAGGAAAGCAGGCCAGACUCCCUUUUCCCUCGAAUCAAGCCUGGAGAGCCUCUGAAAAACUCCAACUGGUGCAUAAUGAUGUGUGUGGCCCUAUGAAGACUGAGUCAUUAAGUGGAAACAGGUAUUUCAUACUGUUCAUUGAUGAUUUCUCGAGAUAUUGCUGGAUUUACUUUUUAAAACAGAAAUCAGAAGUGGCCUCAGUGUUUUGGAAGUUCAAGACUGCUUCUGAGACUGAAACAGGCUGCAAGCUGAAGACCAUAAGGUCUGAUAAUAGGACUGAGUACACCUCAGCUCAGUUCCAAGCCUUCUGUGAUAAGGCAGGCAUCAAACAUCAACUUACCAACACAUAUACACCUCAGCAGAAUGGGGUAAGUGAAAGGAAGAAUAGGAGUUUGAUGGAUAUGGCCAGGUGCUUGAUGAUUCAGAAAAAUCUGCCUAAAGCACUAUGGGCAGAAGCAGUUAACACUGCAACAUACAUUUAAAAUAGACUUCCAACCAAGGCUUUGGAUCAAAAGACCCCAUUCGAGGCCUGGUUUAGCUUCAAGCCAUCAUUGGCUCAUCUGAAGGUCUUUGGAUGCAUCUGUUAUGCACAUGUACCUGCUGUUAAAAGGGACAAAUUGUCUGAAAGGGCUCGACCUGGUGUUUUGGUGGGGUAUAGCACUGUUAAGAAGGGCUAUAGGAUUUUAGAUCCUUCAACAAACAAAGUGUCAAUAAGCAGGGAUGUGGUAUUUGAUGAGAGGUCAUGUUGGAACUGGGAAAGACAUGAACCUGAAGAAGUUUCUGAAGAACUUGCAGUAGACCAAGCUGAGCCAGACCAAAAUGUCCCUGAAAUGGAUAUUGAUGAUGAACCAGUCAGAGGAACAAGGUCAUUGGCUGAGGUUUAUGAAAGGGCUCAUGUAGCCAUAGCUGAACCAAGCAACUUUGAAGAGGCUGAGGCUCAACAAGGGUGGAAGCAGGCAAUGGCUGAGGAGAUCAGCAUGAUUGAGAAGAACCAGACCUGGAAAUUGGUUGAAAGGCCAGUCAAAAGGAAGGUGAUUGGGGUGAAAUGGGUGUACAAAGCCAAGCAGAAUGCUGAUGGUACCUUGAACAAGCUAAAAGCAAGGCUAGUGGUCAAGGGGUUCAGUCAGAGGUAUGGCUUGGACUACUUGGAGACCUUUGCACCAGUGGCCAGGCUCGACACCAUCAGACUGCUGAUUGCCUUAGCAGCACAGCUCGAAUGGAAGAUCCAUCAACUUGAUGUGAAAUCAGCCUUUCUGAAUGGUUUCUUAGAUGAAGACAUCUAUGUUGAACAACCACAAGGGUUUGAAAUAGCUGGCAGAGAGCAUAUGGUCUACAAAUUGAAGAAGGCCCUAUAUGGCUUAAAACAGGCUCCAAGGGCCUGGUACAGCAGAAUCGAUGGCUACUUGACUGAUCUGGGAUUCAAUCGAAGCAAGAGUAGCCAACACUGUAUGUCAAGAAGCAAGGGACACAAACACAACUCAUUGUCUCCCUAUAUGUUGAUGACCUGCUGGUGACAGGAGGAGAUCAAGCAGUGCUGGUUAAUUUCAAGACCAAGAUGCAAGAGGUGUUUGAAAUGUCUGAUCUUGGGGAGAUGUCCUAUUUUCUUGGAAUGGAGGUGACUCAAGCACAGAAUGGGAUAUUUUUAAGUCAGAAGAGCUUUGCCACAAAGAUUCUGACCAAGUUCUCCAUGCAAAACUGCAAACCAACUAAAACACCUGUUGCUGUUGGAGAAAAACUAUCGAGCCAAGGAGAUUUUGAGAAGGUAUGUGAAACUACCUACAGGAGUCUAGUUGGUUGUUUGCUAUACUUGACUGCCACUAGACCAGACAUAAUGUAUGCUGUAGGAUUGCUCUCAAGGUUCUUGCAUUGUUGCAAUGAGAAGCAUUUCCAGGCUGCCAAGAGAGUGCUCAGAUAUGUCAAAGGCACUUUGGACUAUGGCUUAAGGUACAGCAAGAAAGGAAAUCUAAAUCUAGUUGGGUACACUGAUAGUGACUGGGCUGGAUCGAUAGAUGACAUGAAAAGCACCUCAGGGUAUGCUUUCAACCUUGGUUCAGCUAUGUUCUGCUGGAGCUCGAAGAAGCAAAGUCUGGUGGCACAAUCUACUGCUGAAGCAGAGUAUGUGGCAGCAGCAAGUGCUGUCAACCAAGCCAUUUGGCUUAGGAAAAUCCUGGCUGAUUUGAAUAUGGAUCAAAGGGAAGCAACAGAGAUCUUCUGUGACAAUCAAUCUACUGUUGCAAUUGCCAAAAAUCCUGUGUUCCAUGGAAGAACAAAGCAUUUUAGCAUUAAGCUAUAUGUUGUUCGAGAAAUGGAGCAAGCUCAGGAAGUGAAGCUAAUUCACUGCAAUUCAGAGGACCAGCUUGCAGACAUUUUGACUAAAGCCCUUAAUGUCACAAGGUUUGAGCAUUUAAGAAGAAAAUUAGGUGUUUGCACCAUGCUAACCAAGGAGGAGUGUUGAAGUUGGUCAGCAUGAAGCCAACACUCGAUUCCAUACAGGCCAUGAAGACCAAGCAAAGCUGGAACAGAUGCAAGGGCUGCUGAUGCAAGCUCAUUUUGUUCAUUUUGUUAUAUUUAGUUGAUGAAAUGAGUGUUAGUUCAUUUCUAACUAAGUUAGCUUUCUGAUUGAUGUAAUUAGCUUAUGUAUGAGCUGUAAACACAGUUUUGUAUAAGUUUACAAGCUAAGAUUUCAAGUUUCUAUGUAAUUAGUGGAGGUAGGUAAUUACUUGUUGAUUUUGACAAGCCUUAUGCUUGAGUUAUGUACUGGCUUCAAGCCAUUGUUUUAUGUAUGAAUGAAAUCAGUUUUGUUCAUCAAUAUUCUCUCAAAUUUUCCCAGCUUAUUCUCUUCUUUCUUUAACUCGAAAUUGUUUGUUUGCUCAGCAAGUUUUGAGGCUUGCUCGACAAGAUACUUGCUGAGUCUGCUUGAUUCUGUUGUUGCACGAACAAAUACACAGCAGAAGGAGUAUAUCUAUCGCAAAUGAAGUACAUCCAGGACCUACUUUGUAAAGCGUCUAUGGAUCGGUCUAAUUCUCUUCCUACACCGAUGGUAACAAACUGUUACCUUUCAGCCAUAGGUGGAAAUCCAAUCAAUGAUGAACAUCAGUACAGAAGUAUUGUUGGCGAUUUGCAGUAUGUGGUGAUAACCAGGCUCGACAUUGCCUACUCCGUAAAUAAGGUGUGCCAGUUCAUGCAUAAGCCGUUAGACAUGCAUUUUCAAGCAGUCAAAAGAAUAUUGCGGUAUCUACAAGGGACGAUGCACUAUGGCUUAAAGUUUACUCGAGCCUCGCGGUUUCUUCUUGAAGGCUAUUCAGACGCUAGCUGGGGGUCUGAUGUUGAUGAUCGUAGAUCAACUUCAGGUUAUUGCAUCUUUUUUGGAGGAAAUCUGAUCUCUUGGAGUUCCAAGAAAUAGCAAGUGGUCUCCCGCUCCACUGCAGAGGCAGAAUACAGAAGUGUUGCUCAUUAGGCAGCUGAGAUAACAUGGGUACAGUCAUUAUUACGUGAGUUAUGUGCUCCAGUGCAGCCAAAGGCCUUGAUCUGGUAUGAUAGUUCAGCAGCAGUGGCAGUAGCUGGCAACCCAGUUAUGCAUUAAAAAUUCAAACACGUAGAGCUAGACGUAUUUUUUGUCAGAGAAAAGGUAGCCGCAGGGGUCCUUCAGGUUGGACAUGUUCCAGGAUCCUAUCAGAUAGCAGACAUCCUAACGAAACCACUGCCUUUGUCUGUCUUAAAUAAGUUUCGAGGGCAGCUUUGGGUUGUGAAUAUCACGUGAAAUGAGUUGUUUUUGGUAGCAAGCUGUUAGAUAAGUAUGGGGAAUAUUAGGGUUUAAUAUAGUUGUGUUAUACGUUAGUUUCUGUUAUAGCAAUUGUUAUAGUUAGUUACAGUAGUAGUUAAGGAACGGUUUCUCCUAGCAUUAAAUAUGUGUAACACACUCAAGUUAAUCAUCAUGAAUACAGCAUUCUAUUUCUUGAAUACUCUGAAUCUUAACAAGCACCAAUGCUGCAAACUAAAACAAUUAGGUUGAAUGAAUUCCACCACUGAUCCUAUGAAUUAAAACCAAUCAAUAUCGAUAAAAAACCAUUAUUGUAACUGUAUAGAAUUAUGUUGGAACAAUGACAGCAGCAAACAUCAAAGCAAAUUUGCAACUCAGUGUUUGCAAGACUGAAGCAAGAAGAAUCAAGGCAAGCAAAGCAUCAAAAAUCAAAAUACUCAGCAAUGUUUGUGACUGAACAUACAUCAUUUUUCAUUCAACUUGAAAUAUAUAAAAGAGUUACAAUUGUACAUUGACAGUUACCUAAUGUAUUUAACUGCCCCAACUAAUACAAACCUAAUCACUAGCCAAAAAAUAAUCAAACAUAGCUGACCAAUCAGCCAUUACAUCAAAAGAUCUUGUCACUAACUUAAGUUUAACUAGCAUUACAAACAAACUAAAGUUGAACUGAAUCAAAUUACAUCAAAACAAAACAGCAAAGUUGGUUGCUUCAUUCAGUUCAAAAACCAUUCGUGCGCACCAAGCAAAACGAGCUGAGCUCGAUAGCUGCUGGUCUCGACAGUAGCAAGCUUUUGGCUCCAUGUUGCAUUGCAGUCCAGCUUUCAACACUCCUCCUUGGACUGUAUGCAACACAUUCCAAUUGCACUUCUCAAAGAUUCAAAUCGAGCAGCCCCUAAGGGCUUGGUCAUUAUGUCAGCCAAUUGUGCUCCUGAGCUGCAAUGCACAAGGUUGACUUCCUUUGCUUGUUCAGCCUCUCUAACAAAAUGCAAUUUGAUCUUAAAAUGCUUAUUCUUGCCAUGGAACACAGGGUUCUUGGCUAUUGCAACUGCAGACUGAUUGUCCACCCAGAUUUCAGUUGCUUCAUCUUGAGUUUCAUUAAGGUCAUAAAGCAGCUUUCUUAGCCAAAUGGCCUGAUUAACUGCUCCUGCUGCAGCAAUGUACUCUGCUUCAGCUGUGGACUGAGCAAUAGUUUGUUGCUUCUUAGAACUCCAGCAAAACAAGCCCGAUCCAAGUGUGAAGAAGUAUCCAGAGGUACUCUUCAUGUCAUCGAGAGAUCCUGCCCAGUCGCUGUCAGAGUAGCCUUCUAAUUUCAGUUGGUUCUGACUUUCAAACAUUACACCAAAACUAGCAGUGCCCUCGAUGUAUCUAAGGAUCCUCUUUGCUGCCUUCAAAUGUGCCUCAUUGCAACAAUGCAUAAAUCUUGAUAACAGGCUGACACCAAACAUGAUAUCUGGCCUGGUUGCUGUUAGAUACAACAGACAACCAACCAGGCUUCGAUAGUGCCUCUCAUCAACCCUCUGCUGAUCACCACUGCUAGUCAGCUUUUCUCCUUGAGCCACAGGUGUGCUGACUGCUUUACAGUUAUGCAUGCAAAAUUUGUCUAGAAUCUUCAAAGCAAAUGAGUGUUGGCUGAUGAAGAUACCUCGAUCAGAUUGGUGCACUUCCAUGCCAAGGAAGUAAGUCAUGAUCCCCAAAUCUGUCAUCUCAAACACUUGCUGCAUUUGGACCUUGAACUGAUCAAUGAGCUCGAUUUUGCUCCCUGUCACAAGCAAAUCAUCCACAUACAAGGAGACUAUCAGCAAGGUUUCAUGUUCUGACUUUUUAACAUAUAGAGUAGGCUCACUAAGGCUCUUUACAAAUCCAAGUUUGGUCAGGUAGGCAUCAACUCUGUCAUACCAGGCCCUUGGUGCCUGUUUCAGGCCAUAGAGGGCCUUUCUCAACUUAUACACUUUGUCUUUAUGUCCAACAACUUCAAAACCUUCAGGUUGCUCGAUGAAGAUCUCCUCCUUGAGAAAACCAUUCAGGAAUGCUGAUUUGACAUCCAAUUGGUGAACUCUCCACUGCUUCUGAGCUGCUAAAGCAAACAGCAGCUUAAUUGUAUCCAGUCUUUCCACUGGAGCAAAAGUUUCUAGGUAGUCAACACCAUACUGCUGACUGUAGCCCUUCACCACAAGCCUGGCCUUGUGCUUGUUCAGUGAGCCAUCAGCAUUGUACUUGGCCCGAUACACCCAUUUAACUCCUAUGACCCUCUUGUGUUCUGGUCUGCUCACCAACUCCCAAGUCUGAUUUUUGUUGAUCAUUUCCAACUCAGCUUCCAUAGCUUUCAUCCAGCUUCUGUUUUUAGCAGCCUCUUCAAAGUCUGAGGGCUCAAUCACAGCAACAUUGCACCUCUGAUAAACAUCAACCAAAGUUCUGGUGCCCCUCACUGGUAUAUCAUCGACAGCAUCAUUACUUGGUCCUUCUUCUGCAGGUUCAGCAACCAAGUCUAACUGGUCCAAUUCAGACAAGUUAGCCACAACACCAUUCCAAUUCCACACCUUUUCCUCAUCAAACUUAACAUCCCUGCUGACUAAAACCUUCUUUGCUGUAGGAUCAUACACUCUAUAGCCCUUCUUGUUGCUGCUGUAGCCAACAAAGAUUCCUGGAGUUGCUCUGCUCUCAAGCUUGGUCCUUUUCUCCACUGGAAUAAGUGCAUAACAUACACAGCCAAACACUUUUAAGUGUGUUACCACAGGUUUGACUCCGUGCCAAGCCUCAAAAGGAGUCAUAUCCUUGACUGCUCUAGUUGGCAGUCUGUUGAGCAGAUACACUGAGGUGUUGACUGCCUCAGCCCAAAACUGACUUGGAAGCUUGCCUUGAAACAAGAGGCACCUGGCCAUGUUCAGUACAGUCCUAUUCUUUCUCUCACAGACUCCAUUCUGUUGAGGAGAAUAGACUGUUGUGAGCUGAUGGUGAAUCCCAGCACUGUCACAAAGCUUCUAAAAUCUCUCAGACACAUAUUCAGAUCCAUUAUCAGUCCUCAAGGCUCUAAUUUUGUAGCCUGACUGAUUUUCAGCAUAAGCCUUGAAUUUACAGAAGGCUUCAAACACUUCUGACUUUUGCUUCAAGAAGUAGACCCAGCAUAACCUUGUUAAAUCAUCUAUAAACAAGGCAAAGUACCUGUUCUCACUGAUUGAAGGUGUUCUCAUAGGGCCACAAACAUCAGAGUGCACCAAUUCGAGCUUGUCUUGAGCUCUCCAAGCACUGUCAGCAGGAAAAGGCAGUCUAGCCUACUUACCAAGCUGACAAACCUCACAAACAUUCCCACUAGCUUCAAUUUUUGAAAUGUCAUCAACCAGAUUUAGCCUAUGUAAUAGAUCAAUAGAUCUAAAAUUUGCAUGGCCUAGUCUCCUAUGCCACAAGUCAGUGCUUUCAACAAGGCUGGUGUAUACCUUUCUUUCUAUUUGGCUAACAUCCAGCAUGAAGCACCUAUCAGUCAUAGAGACUGUGACUAACUCCAGACCAUUCAUGUCUUGAACAAUACAGCAACCAUCCUUAAAAACCAAUGUAUAGCCCUUUUCAACUAAUUGGCCCACACUAAGCAAAUUCUGGUCUAAGUCAGGUACAAAAAACACAUCUGAGAUCAGCUUGUUACCUGAACCAGUGCUAAUCAACACACUGCCCUUGCCUUUAGCCUCAAUCAGCCUACCAUCUCCAAUUCUAAUCCUCGAGUGGAAGCUUCUGUCUAGGCUUUUGAACAGCUUCUCAUCUGCUGCCAUAUGGUGUGAGCAGCCACUGUCUAGUAGCCAAUCAUUGCUGGCCUUGGUUGUGCCAACAAAACAAGUUGCUGUGAACACUUGCUCCUCCUGAGCUUGAAUGUCCUCAGCAGGUCUAGCUUGUUGCAGAGUAGCCUCCCUUGGUUUGCCCUUGCACACCUUCUCCACAUGGCCAAACUGUUUGCAUUUUCUACACUGAAUAUCUGGCCUAAACCAGCAAUACUUUUCUGAAUGUGUUGUCUUCUUGCAAUGAACACAUGGUGGGAACACCCUUUUUGCUUCAUCUCUUCCUGACUUGACCCUUCUAUUGUGCCAAGGCUUCUUGCCUUUUGCACUCACACUCGAGCCUUCACUGGCUUUAGCCUGGAAAGCAGCUUCAGGAUUCUCCUCCUGCCUAUUUGCCCUCCUUUGCUUAAGUGCAUAUAGGGAAUUUAUCAGCUCAGACAAUGAAAUGGCUGAUAAGUCCCUCGAGUCCUCAAGUAAAGAGAUUUUAGACUCAAAUUUCUCAGGAAGAGUUGUAAUAACCUUUUCAACAACUCUGCUCUCUGUGAAGUCCACUCCCAGGAGCCUAAUGCUGUUGACAAUGGCCAUUAUCCUGUCUGAGUACUGCUUGAUGGUCUCAGACUCCUUCAUCCUCAAGUUUUCAAAGUCUCUCCUGAGGUUGAUUACUUGCUGUUGCCUUGUCUUAUCAGUCCCCAUGAACUCCUCCUUCAGCUUCUCCCAAGCCUGCUUAGGUGAGUCACAGGCCAUGAUGCGAGUAAAUAUCACAUCAGAGACUCCAUUUUGCAAGCAGGCCAUAGCCUUAUACUUCUUGGCUCGCUCCUCAGUAUGUUGCCUCAUCUGUGCAAUGGUGGGAUUGGCUCUCAAUGGAGGUGGUUCAGCAUCAUUCUCGAUCACACUCCAAAGAUCAUGUGCCUGGAGAUAAGUCUUCAUUUUAACUAUCCAAAUGUGAUAGUUUUCUCCAGUGAACACUGGUGGAGGUGGUGGAGUGAAACUCAUUCUGCUAAACUGAUUUUAAAUGCUUCAAUCUUACCAAAUUUUGAACUUGCUGUUGGUUUUGUUUCGAACACAACAGAUUGCAUACAAAGGCCCCUCAAAGACUCGGGCUCAUGAUACCAUUUGUUGGAACAAUGACAGCAGCAAACAUCAAAGCAAAUUUGCAACUCAGUGUUUGCAAGACUGAAGCAAGAAGAAUCAAGGCAAGCAAAGCAUCAAAAAUCAAAAUACUCAGCAAUGUUUGUGACUGAACAUACAUCAUUUUUCAUUCAACUUGAAAUAUAUAAAAGAGUUACAAUUGUACAUUGACAGUUACCUAAUGUAUUUAACUGCCCCAACUAAUACAAACCUAAUCACUAGCCAAAAAAUAAUCAAACAUAGCUGACCAAUCAGCCAUUACAUCAAAAGAUCUUGUCACUAACUUAAGUUUAACUAGCAUUACAAACAAACUAAAGUUGAACUGAAUCAAAUUACAUCAAAACAAAACAGCAAAGUUGGUUGCUUCAUUCAGUUCAAAAACCAUUCGUGCGCACCAAGCAAAACGAGCUGAGCUCGAUAGCUGCUGGUCUCGACAGUAGCAAGCUUUUGGCUCCAUGUUGCAUUGCAGUCCAGCUUUCAACAAAUUAAGCAUGAACCUUAAUAUCUGAAUUUGGGUACCCACCACAGCCUCCAGCUGCCUUCAACUUGAUAACAAACAUAUAAUCACAUAAAGAUCACAUUCUAUCAUAAUCUUAUAAAUGCAUCUAGUUCAACAUAAGCAAAGCACGAUGAAGCAAGCAGUGUGAAUCACACAGUGUCAAUCCUAAUUUCCAAGUUCAAUCGCCUAUGAUCAUAUUCAAUAAAGCCAGAAAGAAAGCAUUCAAUAAUUAACUAACAAAAACAAAAAGAUUAAACAUAAAACAAACAGAAAAUGUUAAAACUUAGAUUUAUUCUUGAAGCAGAAGAAAUUAGCACAUAAUAAACAUCAAGUUGUUCUCAGCUCACAUUUUAUUUGAUCAUUUUAAACCCAAACAUUAAAAGCACAGACAAGUUAUCAGAUCACAAAUUAUAUACACAAAUAUCUAUAAAUAUAAGCUAAGGAUCUGCUACUAAUUCCCAGUUGACUCUCUGUUUUGAUAUACAUAUAUUAUGUUUCUUUAAACUCUCCAAGGAUCUGCAAGUAAAUACCAAACACUUUGAUCAAUAUAAAAGCAUAGGCUGCAACCUAUAAGGAAAACCAAUCUGACACAUACGAAAUAGUUGGAAGGUUUAUAUCAGCUAACAUGAAUAAAAAUCAGAAAUAUUUAAAGGAAAUGUGAACCAUAAAUCAAUGGAUUUAUAUAUCAUUGAAGGAAAAUGCAGUGACUAUCAUCAUAAUCAAAGUACAUGCAUCAUAAAAUAAAGUGCACCUUUGUCUCAUGUACAUUGGCUCUACCAUGAUAUCAUUUGGAUUUGUCAUAAAAUAAAGUGCACUUGUCUCAUGUACUUGGCUCUACCAUGAUAUCAUUUGGACUUGUACAACUUCUUUUUCUGGUUCAUGUACAUUCCACAGAAGAACAACUUCCGCAAAUUCUUGAUUUUUAGUCCUUUGAUAAAUCUGAGAAAAAGAGUGGCAUGAGGAAGCUAAAAAUCACAAUGAGUCAAAGGUAAUUGAAGAUUCAAGGAAAGUAAUGAUUACCUAUUCCUCAUUUUUUUAAAAGCUAAAGCUCAAAAUAUCUUUUCUAAGAUCUGCUAUUCCCUCAUGAUUUUGGUUAGGCAUCCGCUUUCCGUACAACAAUCACUGCCAUCUUCAUUCCCUUCAUCGUUGCAAAUUUAGGAGGUCAAAGCUUAAUCUCUAUGUUUUGGCUAACUGAUACUACAUUGCAUUAAGAAAGUUGAGACAAAAAAGCAUAUCUAUAAUGUGAGAUAAAAAUGGUCUUGCAUUCGUCACAACCUUGACACGAAGACCAGAAAUUUCAUGAGAACAUGUUUUGUUGGUGAGAAAGAAGAUAUCAAAGACAACCCUAAUCUGCAAAUACAGUAGAGUAUCAAAUAUGCCAACAGCUGCACUUUCAUGCAAGUUUUACAAGAUCUACAGAUUUAGUGGUAUCUAUCAUGCAACCCUAAUAUUUGAAUGAGUUGCGAUUUAGUGGUAUCUAUCUCUUGUGGUUCAACCUGUGAACCACGCUAAUUUAAAUUUAGCAAUACGAAAUUGCUAUUUACUCUGAUAUUAAUUACUUACUUUUAUGAUUAAUCUAAUAAAAUGAUUAGAGUAAACUACAUCCGCAAUCAGUUUUUAUUUUGAUCACACAAUUAUAAAAGAACUAAUGUUUUUGAGAUUUGAUUUGUUGGUCACUCUACCAUUUAAUUGCUAUCUUUUUCUUUAUUUGUAUAAUAAUAAAUUUAACUCUCUAAUGUUUGUACAUUUUAUCAAUUUGAUUUCUAGCCUUUAAUGUUGAUAUGUUUUGUGAAUUUAGUCUUUAUUCUAAAAAACUCAAAUUAAAAUUAAAUUUUUAAAAAUUAAAAAUUCAACAUUUAUAAGUACCAAGUGGGGAGGAGGUGCCAAGUCUAGGAGCCAAAUGAGUAUUUAAGUCAUAAAUUCAUUAUAAUUUUUUUUAAUUUUUAUAAUUUUUUUAAAUGUUUUAGAAUCAGGAUUAAAUUGACAUAAUAUGUAAAUGUUGAGAGUUGAAUAUAUUAAAAUUUGUAGAAUUAAGACCAAACUAAUGGAACGGAUAAACAUUAGAGGACUAAAAUUGUUAUUAUGCUAAUAAAAAAGCCACAUAAGCCUUCCAUUAAUGAUUUGAUGACUAAUUGACAAAAAAAUCACAAUUCAAAAAUGUUAGUGACUUAAUAGAAAUUUGUUAUAAUUAGAUGACCAAAAUCUUAAAAACAGUUAUCAUAGUUGGAUGACUAUUUGUGUAUCCAAAUGAAUCAAUUUUAACCAUAGAUUGACAAAAAAGAAAGUCAAAUUUCAAAAAUACUUACAAUUAAAUUGAAUAUUUUAUAAUUGAAUGACAAAAAAAUUGAUGCGUCGUUGACAGCACAAAAAAUAUUCUAUCACUAAAAAAUAAUGAAAAUAAUAGUAUAAGGGAAGUAAGGUCAAAUCCUUAAAUACUGGACUUGCAUAAGUUCCUGUUCAUCGAGAUCCCAAGCAGAAUCGUGCCCAAGAAAAAUGGUGUACGUGAAAAAAAAUAGAAUUAAAAGUUUGGUUGAAUUAAGAUUGUGUAAAUUGAAAUUGAAAUUAUAAAAAUAAAUAGAGUUGAGAAAAGAUAGUUUUUGAUGGAGAGAUUCCCCAGUUAUCUCGAUCCUCCUUGGGUUCAAUCCUAGGCUUUUAAAUGUUCUUUAUCAUAAUAGAAUAAGCCAGUUAUAGUGAAAGAGGAUGCCUACAAACACCAGCUCCACUUAGAUUUUAGACUUACGAUAUAGAGGAACCUGACUCUAGCCAACCAUCACUUUUGUGAGAAAGUCUUACACUAGAUCAUCACUUCUUAAUGGUGAAUACUACACCAUUUUGUUUCUUGGGCUCAAUAACCACUGAUGGAGUAGGCUAACGAACCGACUAUGCAACCUUCCCAAAACAUACAAAGUGACCGCCUUUGCACAAGAUGAAAAAAUCACUUUUGAAGGAACAUGGACGGAAGCGUCAGUCUCGUAGUACGGAGAAACGAUGAAUAUUCUUUGAAAAGGCUAAGUGCGGAUUCUAAGCCUCAUGAACCCUUUUUGGGGAAUGUCAACAACCUUUGGCUAAAUGAAUUUAGUAGCUCAUGCUUACUUAAUAAAAAUGGAAUUUUAUUGGAUAAAUAAAAGGAACAAAAGCUAGAGCUUUUUGGGAGAGGGAGCUUUUACAAAAAAGAAGAGUGAAAUUUGUGUCAAUCCAUCCCCUAUUUAUAGUACUUAGAAAACCUAGUUUGUUUCUAUUUAAAUUCUAAAAGAUAAAUAAAUAUAAAAGCUAAAAUUAAAUCUAAAUAAUAAUAUUAACAAUAAUCCUAAUAAAAUUCAAAUUUAAAUAUAGUCUUGUGUUUAUAAAAUCUCUUCUUUGAACUUUUUCUCUCAAGUCUUCCACAUUUUUGCACCACUUCUUUCCUAUUUAGCAUGCUGACCCAUUUUGUCUUCAAAUUCAUGCUUUUUCCCCCAAAUUUCCCUUUUCCUUCAAUUUAGUCCCUACAAGAUAAAAAAUCAUAAAUAGCUCAAAUUAGUAAGAUCAUACUCAAAAUAAAUCUGUAAUUAAUACAUAAAAAUGUAAUUCCAGAGUAUUAUAAAAAACUCUCAUAAUUAAGUGAAUAUGUACCCCAAACAAAUAUCGUUUCAUUCAAUAAUCUCUAAUCAAAUACAUUAAUUUAAGUGACAAAGCAAUUGCUUUGAUUACAUUAAUUUAAGUGACAAAGCAAUUGGUUUGAUGAUAAUAAGUAGAUUAAAUUUGGGUAGUAGUUUAUGUAAUAAAAAUUGGAUGGAUGGGGACAUGGGGUCAUUUCUUACACUAAGAAAAUCAUUAGUGGAAUGCCUUGGGCAUAUUCUACAAAUUUGUAAUUUGAUAUAUCUCGGAAAAUCAACAGUAGGAGAAAUAGAAAAAAGUUGAAGAGAGUCAUUCCCAUUUAACUUGUUUAUCCUCAUGUAUUUGGCUUUAACUCCCAUUCUUAGUACUUUUCUAUCUCUAAUUUUAAGAUUACCUAAUUUUACAAUCCAAUUCAAAUGAUAAUUUAAAUUAAAAUGAAGGUACAAACCAAUUUCAAUGUUGCAUCCUAUCAAUUCCAAAACAGAGUAAAACUCUGCAAUUUUAAUUAUCAAAAGGGGAAUUUGAUUCAAGUUUUAGCCCAGACUGAUGUAACAAUCAAGUUAAAUGGUUGUACCAUGAAACCAACUCCUCACUUUGAAGUUCCAACUAAACCAAAAUUAUUUCGAUUUGCUACAACUUUCUUUUUUCCAAGUGAUUAUGUUGGGUUCCUCCAUGGGGUAAACAUAAAAGCUCAUCAAUCUCGAGAAUGAAAAUUGUGAUAGGGUUGGCAUUCAAAAUAGCAUCCAAGCUCCAUGUGUUCAUUUAACAACCAGUACCUCGAUUAGUUCUUGGUCUAAUUAGCCAGUCCGGUUCAAAAAACACCAAUUUUGAUCGAUAAAAUUACUUUUCUAAUCUUGUCAGGUCGAGCAAGCAGAUGAUGAAGUUCAAAAACAGAAUUAUUUGUCAACGUCUUGAUCUCAAGCAAACAAAUUUCAAGCAUUGUCAAUAUUGCUAGACAUUAUAAAAGAUAAAAAGGAAAAAAAUAGAAAGAAACAUAAAGAGAAAGAAAUAAUGUGAAAGAAAAAAAAGAAAAUUAAAGAAUUAAAAAAAUAUUUUUUAUGUUUAUAUGAUGUGACGGUUUAUUAUUGGCUGAGAUUUUUUUUAACAGAUAUAAUAUUUUGAUGUAAAAUGAAUAAUAGAAACAUAAUUUAAGUACCACUUAUGAUAAAGAAAAAUAGAUAUCAACUCGAAUUUUCAAAGUAUUUGAUGUUUUAAUUGGUUAACUUAGCAAGACAAUGUGAUCUUCCCUCUAUUUUUAUUUUUCUUUGUUUUUUCUCCCUCUUUUAAACCUAUCUUAUUAGAAUCAAAUGUACAUUAAUAAAAAUAUGAAGCCCCAUUGGAAGACCAUGAUCACUUUGAGGUUACUCUUUAUAUUUAUAAUAAUCCCAACUAAUUUAGUCAAUAACAAAUAGAUUAUUUGCAUCACAAUUUUGUCCCAUUGGAAGACCAUGACUUUGAGAGUACACACCAAUCACCAAACCCCAUGCACAACACAUAAUAUAAAACUAAUUGCAUAAGGAUCAAAUUCAUAUAGUAUGCUGCAAUGGGUAAUUAAAUAAAUAAACAAAGCCGGCCAACCUCUUUUCAACCUUUCUUCAUUGGAAUCAACUGUAUAAAUAUUUAAAAUAAUAUGAAGCGUAGUUUAUCAAGUAAACUUGACAAUGCUGUUAUGUUUAGAAUAAUUUGCUAAGCUCAAGUCAUCGCCUAUGCUUCUGUCUAACAAAAUCACUUUCAAUCUCUUUCCCAUUUAAUAAAACCACUUUCUCUUCCUACGAUAGAAGCAAAGCAAAUCAAAGUUCCCUCAACGUAUUUUGUUCUCUUUCAUGGCAUCUUCUUCUUCUCUUCCUCCUCCUCAAGUGAAACACCAAGUUUUCUUGAGCUUCAGAGGUGAAGACACACGCAAUAACUUCACCAGUCAUCUACUCAAAGCUUUGAAAGACACGGGAUUGAAUGUCUUCUUCGAUGAAGAAAAACUAGAGAAAGGGGAGAAACUUUCAGAUGCACUUUCUCAAGCAAUUGCAGCCUCAAAUCUCUCAAUCCUCGUUUUAUCUAAAGACUAUGCUUCGUCAAAGUCAUGCUUAGGUGAACUUUCUGACAUUAUGGAUCGUAAGCGUAAGCCCACUGACAAACAUAUUGCUCUUCCCAUCUUUUACCAUGUUGAUCCAUCCCAUGUGCGAAAUAUCGGUGGGACUUCUAAGACAUCCUUUGAGCAACAUGAAUCAAAGAGGCCAGUUGAUGAAGUGAAGCGAUGGAAAGUCGUCUUUACUGAAGUCGGUACAUUAAAAGGGUGGCAUAUAGAAUGAGGCAAAUUCGAUAGGUAACUAUAUAAAUGCAUAUGUAUUCAUCCUUUUAUAUAUGACAUAUCUUUCUUUUGACUAUUAAUUUCUUCAAUUGUUUACUAGAUCUGAAACCGAGUACAUUAAAGACGUCGUUGAAUAUGUUUUGAAAAAGUUGAAUAGCAAUUGCACAAGUGUUUUUGAAGAUUUGGUUGGAAUAGAUGAUCAAAAAGGGAUAAUUUUGGGGCUGAUUGACCAAGUGGACAGUCGUGUAAUAGUGUUGAAGCUAUGGCCUGCAGUGCAACAGAGAACCAGUAGCAGAAAAUUGAUCAAAGACCAGCAGCAGCAAAUUGUAUAAUUUGAGCUGCUACACUGUUUUGAAGUAAAGUAAUGAAGUUGGUUCUCUUGGAAGAUCACAUUUUAGAUGUUUUGUUCCUAUGGAACUUUGUUCAAUUCUUUUGUAUUUUGACAGCAAAGUCAGUAGGAAAAUUGACUGAUGUAAUAGCUGGUAUGCCAGCCUUCUUUUGUAAUCAACUUGCAUUAUUUUAGUAUGUAUUAAGUAAGGGCAGUUAAGUUAGUAGGUAACUGUCAAACAUUACUUGUAACUCCCAUAUAUUCAAAAAUUUGAAUGAAAAAUACAUGACUUCAGUUACAAUUCUUUGCUGAGUUUUUUUUAGUUCUCUUUUUGCUUCAUUUGGUUUGCUUCUUUGUACUGUCAUUUAUCCAACAAAUGGUAUCCAGAGCUUUCAGUCUUUGAGGGCCUUGGUUGUACACUGUCAUUAAGCAAAUUGUAUUUGAAACAAAAGAAGAAGAGGUUGUUUUGCUUGCUGAAAAAUGAGCUUUACACCACCUCCUUCACCUGUCUUUGCUGGAGAAAAUUACAACAUCUGGGCAGUGAAAAUGAGAACAUAUUUGCAGGCACAUGACCUGUGGAAUGUUGUUCUCAAUGACACUGAGCCACCACCACUAAGAGCCAACCCGACCAUAGCCCAGAUCAGGCAGCACAAUGAAGACUGUGCCAAGAAGUACAAGGCUAUGUCGUGCAUUCAAAGUGGGGUCUCUGAUGUUAUUUUCACAAGAAUAAUGGCUUGUGACACUCCAAAACAGGCCUGGGAUAAACUCAAGGAGGAGUUUCAGGGGUCUGACAAGACCAGGCAACAGCAGCUGAUCAACAUGAGAAGAGACUUUGAAAAUCUCAAAAUGAAGGACUCAGAAACCAUCAAGCAGUAUGCUGACAGAAUCAUGGCUACUAUCAACAACAUAAGGCUGCUUGGGGAAGAAUUCAGUGACCAAAGAGUGGUUGAGAAGGUCAUAACAACCUUGCCAGAGAAGUAUGAGGCAAAAAUUUCUUCUCUGGAAGACUCAAGGGACUUGUCAACAAUCCCUUUGACAGAGCUUAUAAAUGCUCUUUAUGCUCAAGAGCAGAGAAGGGCAAAUAGGCAGGAGGACCACUAUGAAGGAGCUUUUCAGGCUAGAGGCAGAGAAAGCUCAAGUGCAAACUUAAAUGUCAAAGGCAAGAAGCCUUGGACUGAGAAGAAAAAGAAAGAACCUGUCAAAAGGAAGUUCCCACCUUGUGUCCAUUGUAAGAAGACUACUCAUCUUGAGAAAUACUGCUAGUACAGACCAGACAUUCAAUGCAGAGCCUGCAAGCAAUUUGGCCACAUUGAAAAGGUCUGUAAGAGUAAGUCAAAAACACAACCACAAUUUCAAAGCCAAGCUCAAGCUGCAGAAGAGGUUGAAGCACCAGAAGAGCAUGUUUUUUCAGCAUCAUGCUUUGCAAGCUCGAGCAAGGUUAACAAAAUUUGGCUGAUUGACAGUGGAUGCACCCACCAUAUGGCUUCUGAGAAGAGUAUAUUCAAGGAGCUUGACACUACCUUCAAGUCCAAAGUCAGAAUUGGCAAUGGUGAGCUACUAGAGGCAAAAGGGAAAUGCAAGGCUUUGAUAAGCACCAAGUCAGGUAUUAAAACCACUUCAGAGGUUCUCUAUGUACCUGAUAUUGACCAAAACUUGCUAAGUGUUGGCCAGCUAUUGGAGAAAGGCUAUUCUCUAAUUUUUGAAGGCAAGAACUGUUUGAUCAAAAAUGCUGCUGGUGAAGUGUUAACCACAGUGGCUAUGCAAGAUAGGACUUUCAUUGUAGAUGUGAAUCAGCUUCAGGCUAAAGCAUAUGCAUCUCAGUCUGAUGAGACUGAUUUGUGGCACAGGAGGAUGGGACAUGUGAACUACAAUUCUCUGAAUAUGAUGCAAAAGAUGGAUUUGGUCAGUGACAUGUCUAAAAUUGAGCCAAGGGAUGCUGUGUGUGAAGUCUGUCAGUUAGGAAAACACACCAGGUUACCAUUUCCUGUCAACAAAGCAUGGAGAGCUCAUGGGAAGCUUCAGCUGGUUCAUACAGACAUUUGUGGACCAAUGAAGACCACCUCCUUAAAUGACAGCAGGUACUUUGUACUUUUUAUUGAUGAUUAUUCAAGGUUCUGUUGGGUGAAUUUUUUAAAGCAUAAGUCAGAUGUUUAUGGUUCUUUUUGCAAAUUUAAAGCCUUGGUUGAAAACCAAGCAAAUUGCAAAUUGAAAUGUUUGAGGUCUGACAAUGGUUCUGAGUAUGUAUCUCAGAAGUUCCAAAAAUUGUGUGAUGAUGCUGGAAUUCAACACCAAUUGACUACUGUGUACACACCACAACAAAAUGGUGUCUGUGAAAGGAAAAACAGAACAGUCCUUGAUAUGGCUAGGUGUUUGUUAUUUGAGGCUAAAAUGCCUAAUGCUUUUUGGGCUGAAGCUGUGAAUACAGCUGUUUACUUGUUGAAUAGGCUGCCAACUAAUGCAGUCAAGGGUAAAAUACCCUUUGAAGCCUGGUUUGGACAAAAACCAUCUGUCUCACAUUUGAAGGUAUUUGGUUGUCUAUGUUAUGUGUUGGUACCUGAGGAGAGAAGAACCAAGUUGGACAGGAGGUCCAUGCCUGGGGUGUUUGUUGGCUACAGCAAUGUGAAGAAAGGAUACAGAGUCUUUGAUCCACUGACCAAGAAGGUUGUAGUGAGCAGAGAUGUGAAAUUCAGUGAAGCAAGUAGCUGGAAAUGGGAUGGAAUUGAAGCAAAUUUGCCCGAGGGAGAACAGAUUGAUGUUGAUCUGCAGCAAGCUGAAAAUGAAGAAGUAACUGAAAAUGGCUAUGAUGAUGAACCUGUUCGAGGCACCAGGACAUUAACAGACAUCUAUGAGAGAUGUGCAGUAACCAUAGUAGAGCCUUCAUGUUUUGAAGAAGCUGCAAAAGAAAAGUGCUGGCAGGAUGCUAUGGAAACUGAAUUUAAAAUGAUUCAGAAAAAUGAUACAUGGGAGCUUGUGGAUAGACCUGAAAAUAGAAGAAUCAUUGGUGUCAAAUGGGUCUUUAGGACUAAAAACAAUGCUGAUGGUACUUUGAACAGACACAAGGCUAGAUUGGUUGUAAAAGGUUAUAGUCAGCAGCAAGGGGUUGAUUUUUCUGAAACCUUUGCACCUGUUGCAAGGUUGGAUACUAUCAGAUUACUGCUUACUUUGGCAGCUCAAAAGCACUGGAAGGUGCAUCAUUUAGAUGUUAAGUCAGCUUUUUUAAAUGGCUUUCUUAAUGAAGAAAUAUUCAUAGAGCAACCUGAAGGUUUUGAGGUCUCUGGUGAAGAACAGAAGGUUUACAAGUUGAAAAAGGCCUUAUAUGGCCUAAAGCAGGCUCCAAGAGCCUGGUAUGAGAGGAUUGAUGGCUACUUGGCAAGGCUUGGGUUCACAAAGAGUGUCAGUGAGCCUACACUCUAUGUUAAGAAGGAUCAGGACGAAACCUUGUUAAUUAUUUCCUUGUAUGUUGAUGAUUUGCUAGUCAUUGGCUGCAAAGAUAAACUUAUUGAAGACUUCAAGAAUCAGAUGCAACAUGUCUUUGAAAUGACUGACCUUGGUCUAAUGACCUAUUUCCUUGGUAUUGAAAUCAGACAAGGAAGUGAUGGAAUUUUUAUAAGUCAGCAGACUUUUGCUUCCAAGGUACUGGAAAAAUUUUGCAUGCUGAAAUGCAAAUCAGUUACUACACCUGUUGCAUUGGGGGAGAAAUUGUCAAGUGCCAGUAAGCAUGAUCGAGUAGAUGAGAAAGCAUAUAGAAGCUUAAUUGGUUGUCUGCUUUAUUUAACAGCAACUAGACCAGACAUUGUCUAUGCUGUUAGUCUACUUUCAAGGUUUAUGCACUGUAGUAAUGUGGCACAUCUGAAAGCAGCAAAAAGAGUGUUAAGGUAUGUCAAAGGUACCAUCGAUGCUGGUGUGAAGUUUUGGAGGGCAAAGGAGCUGAAACUUGUAGGCUAUUCUGAUAGCGAUUGGGCAGGGUCAGUUGAUGACGCGAUGAGUACUUCAGGUUAUUUUUUCACCUUAGGCUCGAGUGUUUUCAGCUGGAGUUCAAAGAAGCAACAAACUGUUGCACAAUCCACAGCAGAGGCUGAGUAUAUCUCAGCUGCAGCAGCAGUAAAUCAAGCCAUUUGGCUUAGGAAGAUUUUGGAUGAUUUGAAUGAAAAUCAAGCUCAGCCUACUAAGAUUAGAGUGGAUAACCAAUCAGCUGUGGCCAUAGCCAAAAAUCCAGUCUUCCAUGGUAAGACUAAACACUUCAAAAUCAAAUUUCAUUUUGUUAGAGAAGCUGAGCAAUCGAGGGAGGUUAGCUUAGUUCAUUGCAGUUCAGAAAUUCAGUUAGCUGACAUUUUAACUAAACCAUUGGGAGCCAACCGAUUUAAUGCUUUGAAAGAAAAGAUUGGUGUUUGUUGCAUACAGCCCAAGGAGGAGUGUUGAAGCUGUGGCCUGCAGUGCAACAGAGAACCAGUAGCAGAAAAUUGAUCAAAGACCAGCAGCAACAAAUUGUAUAAUUUGAGCUGCUACACUGUUUUGAAGUAAAGUAAUGAAGCUGGUUCUCAUGGAAGAUCACAUUUUAGAUGUUUUGUUCCUAUGGAACUUUGUUCAAUUCUUUUGUAUUUUGACAGCAAAGUCAGUAGGAAAAUUGACUGAUGUAAUAGCUGGUAUGCCAGCCUUCUUUUGUAAUCAACUUGCAUUAUUUUAGUAUGUAUUAAGUAAGGGCAGUUAAGUUAGUAGGUAACUGUCAAACAUUACUUGUAACUCCCAUAUAUUCAAAAAUUUGAAUGAAAAAUACAUGACUUCAGUUACAAUUCUUUGCUGAGUUUUUUUUUAUUUCUCUUUUUGCUUCAUUUGGUUUGCUUCUUUGUACUGCCAUUUAUCCAACAAAUAGGACUUUGGGGAAUGGGUGGUAUUGGCAAAACUACCCUUGCUGAUGUUGUAUAUAAGGAAGUCUCUCCAAAGUUCGAAAGUAGUUUGUUUCUUCAAAAUGUUAGUGAGAAAAUAAAAAAACAGGGGAAUGAAAUUUUACGAAAUGAACUUCUUUCCAAAAUAUUAAAGGAAAAAGAAAUUUGUAUCGAUACCCCUUCCAUAGGAUACCCUUACAAUGAGAGGUUGAACAAUAAAAGAGUACUAGUUGUCCUUGACGAUAUUAGAGACCCAAACCAAAUAGAUUUUAUGGGUGUUAAACAUUUUGGUCCUGGAAGCAAAAUCAUUGUAACAUCCAGAGAUAGACAAAUACUUAACAAUGGAGGAGCUAAUAAAAUACAUGAGGUAAAGAAGUUAAAUACGAAUGACUCUCUUCAACUUUUUUCUACAUUUGCAUUUAAGCAGUUGAAUCCUGCAGCUGAUUUUCGAGAUCUAUCAUGCAAGUUUGUAGAAUACGCCCAAGGUAAUCCACUUGCUUUUAGAGUUUGUGGUUCUAAACUAUACAAAAAGUCUAGAAAAGAAUGGGAAAGCGAGGUGGAUAAACUGAGGGAAUGUGCGCAACCACAAAUUGUACAGAUUUUGAAGAGUAGCUUUAAUGGGCUUGAUGAGAUAGAGAAGAAUAUAUUUCUCGAUGUUGCAAUCUUCUUUAAAGGGGAACGAAGAGAAAAUGUAGAAGAAAUUCUCACUUGCUGUUAUAAGGGUGUAGAUGGUGUAAUAAGGAGCUUGCUUGACAAGAGCUUACUUGAUACCAAAAGUUAUUCAGAAAUUUCUAUGCAGGAUAUGCUUGAAGAGAUGGGUAGAGACAUUGUUCGUCAAGAAUCUAGAAGACCUGAAAAGCAAAGUAGAUUAUGGAAUCCUAAAGACGUGGAUCAAGUGCUCAAAUAUAAUAAGGUAACUAAGUGCUAAUAGUCUUUGGAUUGUAUAUGUUGUUCAUAUAUUUGUUGAUUUAACAAGUGUAUAAAUUCAAUUAAUUAACAAUUUUAGUUAUUUAUAGUUAUUUUCAAUGUUUAACUUAAAUGUUCUUUUAUCUGUUAUUAGGGGACUGAUUUAACUAAAGGAAUAAAGGUAUGCAUGUCUCCUACUGAUAUUCGACGGAUAAGCCCUACUGCUUUACAGAACAAGCACAUCUUCGAUUUAUCUACUUUUCUUUGACUAAAUGGGUUGGGGGAUUUGCUUAUGACCAAGUUUAUGAUAUUGCAUACCUUCCUAAUGAGUUAAGGUGUCUUUGUUGGGAUUAUUAUCCUUUCAAAUCUUUAUCAUCAAAUUUUAAUCCAAAGAAUCUUGUCGUAUUGAGACUACGAGGUAGCAAUGUGGAAUAACUUUGGGAUGAAGAUGAACAUCAGGUAUAUACUUUUUUUAUUUUCUUCAUUCAAGAUUAAAAAAAAAAGUUUUAAAAUUGAUGUAUAUAGCAUCUUAUUAAAAAAAAUUAAAAAUAAAUACUAAAGAUUUAGAAGAAACAAUUUCAUUUGAUUUUUUAAUGGUGAAUGAAUUUAUUAUACUACAACAGCACAUCAAAUAUAUUAUAAUAAUUUAUUUUUGAAGUAAUAUAGCUAAUUUAUAUUAUCAUUUGGUACAGGAUCUUGUUAAUUUAAGGCAAAUCGAUGUUUCUUAUUGUAAAAAAUUAAGAAAGAUCCCUAAUUUAUUACGAGCCAUCAACCUUAAAAGAGUUAUCGGUAGUUGGUGUGAUAAUUUGGUUGAAAUUCCAUGCCUCGAUCAUUUGGAAUCUCUAGAUGAACUUGAAUUGGAGGGAUGUUGUAAUCUCAAGAUGUUUCCCACGGUCUCAAAUAUCUUUUCGGAGUUAGACUUAUCGUAUACUGGAAUAGAAGAAGUGCCUGAUUCAAUUGGGUAUCUCGACAUGCUUGAAUGUUUGGAUUUGUCACACUCAAAAGUCCAAAGUGUAUCAAGCAAUAUUUUAAAGUUGAAAAAGCUUGAUGAUCUGGAUCUUAGUUAUUCCAUGAUCACUAAAUUGCCGGAAACCCCAAAGAACUUGACGUGCUUAAACUUAAGUGGGACUAAAAUUAAAGAAGUGUCCUUGUCUUCCAACCCUUUAAGUAAUCUUCGGAAGUUGGAUAUGGGCUUCUCAAGCAUUCAAAAGCUACAGUGCAAUAUCGCCCUCUUUUGUUCAGGACAGACAACAGUUGAUGCGCCCUCACCAAUCUUGAGGUUUAAAAGCCUUGGAUGUUUGACAGUGCAUGAAUGCAACAGUCUUAAAUUACUCUCCGAGCUUCCUCCAUAUCUGCGGCAAUUGGAUGCGAAUUACUGCCUAUCAUUAGAAGAAGUAUCGUUCUCAACUCAACAUCAAGAUCUAUAUGAACUUCAUUCUAGUUUUGAUAAUUUUGACUGCUACAUGUUAUUCAACAAUUGCUUCAGCUUGAAUCAAGAUUCAAUUGAUAACAUUUGGGCAAAUGCCAUGCUCAAAAUUAGAUUCCUAGCCAAGAAAUGGGUAUCAAAAUAUCGUCUUCGUCCACCAGUUUUUUAUUCAUGUUUCCCAGGAAACGAAAUUCCAUCAAAUAAGUUCGAAUAUCAGAGCAAUCAUUCUUCCUUAAUCUUGAAGAUAGCCCCAAAUGGGUGUAAUGGGAGCAGAUUCUUGGUUUUUUCCAUCUGCCUUGUGGCUGACCUCACUGAACUUCUCUUGGAUAGUUCUGAAUUUAUCUGUGAAUGCCAAUUGACAGCUGCUAGUGGUGCUCGUCAUGAAAAGUUCAAAAGUGUGUGGCAAGGCAAGCAAUAUCAUAGCGCAUCGAUGGUGUUCAUGGGUGACCAUGUGUUGAUCCUAUUUGGUGGUGAUAUGGUUAAAAAAGACAAGGGUUAUGAGCAGGCAACAUUUGAAUUCUACCUCAAAUACAUGGGCGAAGAAAAUAUGAAGGUGAAGAAAUGUGGUGUAGAUGUAUCUUACGUGGAUGAAGAACCUAGGCACACUUAAACACAAGUAAGUGGGUUUCAUUUCAGUUAACUUGUGUGGAAAUAAACUGCUUUAGAACCAAAAUGACAUCUAACUUGCUCUGCUUUAGAAAUUGCUAAACCAUUUUUUCAAGAAACUGAAACCUUGCAGUUCUACCAUGUAAAUGUUAAAAGUAGAGUUUGUGAUAAUUCUACAUAACAAGGGAAAUUUGUAAAGAGUUUAAGGGUUGAAUUUCUUUCUAGAAAUUAUAGUUUGUGACAGUUGCUUAUUUGUUUACUUAAAAGAGUUUAAGGGUUGUGUCUGUUUUUUUUUUUCAGGUACAAAAUAGAUUGUGAAGAACGAAAUUGGAGGGCAACUGAAUAUUUGAAUAGAGUAACAAAAAGUUUCUGCUUUGGAUUUCAUAAAAGUAUCCAUAGGAGGACAUGGUGGGCUCCCGAAUUCAGAUAUUAAGAUUCAUACUUUAAUUCUUUUUUGACAGCUGACUUGUUAUUGCUUGGUUUUAAUUCAUAGGAUCAGUGAUGGACAUCAUUCAGCUUCAUUGUUUAGUUUCUGGCAUUGGUGCUCAUGACAUAGGCAGAGUAAGUAGAGAUUUGAUCAUCUUGUAUCUCUAUACUCAAUGCAUUUUCAUUCAAUGGUAUAUUGACUCAUUGAUAUACAUUUCAUGUUUCGUUUAAAAGCUAGUGUUUGAUCACCUGAUUUCUGAUUUUUAUUAAUGUUAAUCAGAAAGAUUGGUUUUUUCUUAUAACUUAAGGCUUUUAUGUUGAUGUAAGACUAGGUGGUUGGUAUUUUCUGUGCAUUGUCUUUUAGAAUUAUAUAACUUUGAUCUCUAGUGGUCUCGAUGUCAAGGUUGUGACCAAUGCAAGACAAAAUUUAUCUAACAUUAUAGAUGUGCUUUUCAGUGACAGGGUUUAAUGAAUUGUAGUAUAAGUAAGCCAAAACCUAGAGUUUAAGCUUUGACUUUAGAAAUUUGCUACUAUCGGGGGAACGAAGACAACAAAGAGUGUAGAGGGAAUAAAUGGCAGAUCUUUGCAAAGGCCAUUAUACAGAAAACGAGGAAAAAGUAAGCUUUUAAUUUCUUCUGCUGAAUGCUUGCUUUAUAUUAUAGUUGAACUAAUAUCUUGAGGCAGUACUGCAACUUGUCAACAAAUAUGCCUUCUGGUUUUGGAGCUUUAGAGGAAACAUGUGUUCUUGGCAAUUUAGCCUUCCUGGAAAGGUAAAUUACUUUUGAUUCAUUGUGAUUUUUUAGCAACCUUACCUCAUGGCCUUCUUUUUCCUGAUUUAUCAAUGCAUCAUAUAAAUCCAGAAUUGGCAGAGAUUGCUUUUUCCCUUAACUUGUGGAAUGGACACAUGAAGUUGGAGGUUAUUUUCAAUGGCAACUUUGGACUGUAUUCGUUCUCCUGCUAGAUUGGUGAGCUAUUUUGUUCGAAGUGAAGAAUUGGUUUCAUGGAAGACCAAUUGGAGUUGAAAGCAGGGUGAAAGAGAUAUUGUAUCGGCUUGAAUUUCUUCUAUUGAAUGUGUUGGAGUUAAAACAGAAGCAGACAAGCUCAGCUUGAGUCUUGUGCAACAAGCCUCGAUGCUUGCUGUGCAAACAAACAGAUUCGAGCAAGAAGAGAAAAAAAAAAAACUAAGGAAAAAUGGAGAUAGUUUGAAGAACAAAUCUGAAUUCAUUCAUAAGUGAAUAAUGGCAUAAUGCCAAUACAUAAAACAAAGCACUAAGCUUGUCAAAAACAGCAAGUAAUCACCUAAACAUUACCUACCUCCACUAAUUACAUGGAAACUUGAAACUUAAACUUGUAAGCUUGAACAAAGCUGUGUUUACAGCUCACACUCUAGCUAAUUACAUCAAUCAUAGGCCUAACUUAGUUAGAAAUGAACUAAGAUACAUUUCAUUAACUAAAUAUAACAAAAUGAACAAAAUAAGCUUGCAUCAGCAGCUCUUGCAUCAGUUCCAGCAUAACUUGAUCUCCAUGGCAUGCUUGCUGUUGAGUGUUUGCUACAUGCUGGCCAACUUCAACAGAAUGCUUGCUUUAUAUUUUUAGUUGAAGUGAGAUAUUGAGGCAGUACUUCCAUUUAAUCCAGAAUUGUUAGAGUUAGAGGUAAAUUUAAUUUAAUUCAAUCGAGUUGUUGAUGAUAAUUCGAUUUAGUUAUUUUUUUUUUUAGAGUUCAAUUCUUACUCACUUAUGGGACCUUUCUCUUUUUAUUUUUGCUUACAGUAGAUAUAAAGAAGAGCGUGCAUAUUAGUGUUUGCAAGCUAUUUUAGUUCUAUUAAAAAGCUAGAACUCAUUUUAGUAAUUAUUGAGUUGAGUUCGAAUUAAAGUACAUAUAUAUUUACAGUUUUCAUUUUUUUUUUGUAGAAAAACUUGUAUCGUAAAGUUUUCAUUGUGGGUUAUUUAAUGUGUUUAAAAAUUUAAACUAUUGCAAAUAUUAAUUUUCAGUUUUUUUCAACAAUUUAUCAAACAAGAUCUGUAUUAAUAUGACAUCAACUUAAUUAAAAUCUUUAGAAUUAGUAAAUUAAAAUGCUUAAUGUCAAGGUUUAAUUGGAGAAGUGGUUAAAGUUCUUAUUUGACACUUGAGUAAUGUGGGUUUAAACCUUGUCAAUCUAAGUUCGGCUCAGAUAAAAAAAAAUCUUAAAUAUUUUCUAAACCUACUUUUUGAACCUCAUAUUUUCUAUCUGAACUCUCUUAUGUUUUAAACAAACCUUCAAGCUAGUUCAACCCCUUGAAUAUAUCUACUCUCCAUUUGCAUAUUGCCAGUAAUACAAGUUGCUAUAUAAUAAUAAUAAUAGUUGUCUCAAAAAAAUCUUUAAUAAUAUAGUAAAGUAAGAUAUAAGUUAUAAGACGUUUGGUUCAUAAUUGAUUAAAUAAAAACUUGUGGGUUACAAUGAAAUUUCUUAUAUUGUGGGUGGGUGUUUUUGUCUAAGCCCACCCAAAAUAAGAGAACUUUUAGUUUAAAUCAAAGUUGAGAUGGAUUAAAAAAAAAUCUAAAAUCUUGUUUAAUUUUACUUUUAGGACAUCAUAUUUUUAUUCAAAAUUUCUUAUAUUUUGAACAACCUUUAAAUUUCAACGAAAAAUUUGGCUCUACUCCUGUUUAUUGUUGGUAAUAUGUUUUUCUUGCCUAAUCUGUGAAAUAAUUGUUCAAGUAUUGAUUAAUGUACUAUUUGGUCCCCCACGCCCCACAAUUAAAUUCACAUCAUAUUGAUUUUCUUGUGUUUUUCCUUAUCUUCAUUCAUUGAUUGCAAAAAACAAAUCCAUGCAAUUCUACAAAGCUGUCAGAGUCAUCCUCUUGGCUGAAUUUUCAUGGAAAAUCUGCAGAUUACAGUCUUAUAGCUGUCAUUUCAUAAUGCACCAAAGCAUGAAAAUUGACCCCUUGAUAUGUGACUCAUAACUUUUAUUUUUUGUGGGUGAUAAAUUCCUGGUUGGGUUUUAUAUAAGCAUUUUAUUUUCGAGAUUAAUUUAAAAUUUAAAGAUCAUUAGCUAAUGGACCUGAAUAUAAAGAUCAUUUGAAAUCCAAAAACAUGAUGGAUCAGACAUUGUUAUGGUAGCUUAAACGUUUUUAGAAUUAGCAAUGUAUAAUUUAGCCAUGGACCUUAAUUUAUGUAAAAUUAGGAAAUACAAAAUUGCAAUGUACUUUAAGAUUACCUAAUUUUACAAUCUAAUUAAAAUGAUAAAGUUUCAUACAAUGAUGUUCACAAUCAAAUGGAAUAGAUUUGAUUAAACAUCGGCUGCAGCUUACAAGCAACACAUGAAACCAAAAAAACAACAAUGCCACAUAAUGUAUAAUGUCAAUAGCCACCAUGUCAUGAACGUAAAAUCCAAUCUACCCCGUCCUUGGCCGAUAUGCCUUAGCAAGACAUUAACAAAAAUCGAUAUCUUUUGCCUGAAGGAUUGAUCGAUCAACUUGAAUACAUCCCCCAAAGAAUCCGAGGUUGAAUUGAUACAAAAUGAACCUGUCAUGCUCUAGUCCGAAGCUUCAGACGCAAUAUAAUAGCUCGAAUCACAAACACGUUUUGCGACCGCUGCAAUUCUAGCACCCUCUUAACAUCAUUCUUCUGAAACAGUGACUGUAAAUUCACCACGAAGAAUCAAGUCAAAUGGGUGUACCAUGAAACCAACUCUUCACUUUGAAGUUCCAACUAAACCAAAAUCAUUUGGAUUUUUUCCCAAGUGUUUAUGUUGGGUUUCUCUAUGGGAUAAACAUAAAAGCUCAUCAAUCUAACUUGAGAAUGAAAACUGUGAUAGGGUUUGCAUUGAAAAUAACAUCCAGGCUCCAUGUCUUCAUUCAACGAGUUUUGCGAUAAGAGCAACUCUGCCAAAUUCUGCAUGCAUUUAUAUAAUCUAUUUUAAAUCAGGGGAAACGAACACCAUGAGGAUACUAAAAAUCAGAAUGAGCAAAAGUAAUUUACCCACGAGCAUAUGCUUCCUCUCAAGGGCCAAAAUCCAGAAAGCAAAGCUGGAUUGGGUAAACUCUGUUGACAAGUUGCAGUACCGCUUCAAUAUCUCAGUUCAACCACAAUAUAAAGAAAUCAUUCAGUACAAGAAAUUGAACAUCUUAAAAGCUUACUUGUUUCAAACAUCUGUCAUUUAUUCCUCAUCUGCUCUCCUAACAUCAAUCAUUGCCAUCUUUAUUCCCUUCAAAUUACCAAAUUCAAAAGGUAAAAGCUUAAUCUCUGGCUAAAAGGGCACCUCUAUAAAUGUGAGUGAGAUCAAAUGGAUUUUGCAUUGAUUCGCAACCUUCACCUUAACACCAGUAAUUUUGUGGAACUUCAUUUGCUGGUGAGAAAGACGACAUCCAAACCACCCAUAAUCUGCAACUUCAAUUCCAGUAGAGUAUUGAAUCUGUGUCCCGCUUGACUUUCUUGCAAGUUUUAUGGAAUCUACAGAUCACAGUCAUAAAAUUCAAAAUAACAAAACAUAACAAAUAAAGCCUCUUUUGUGUAUCACUAUUGGCUUCCUCAAAAAAAGCUUCUUCGGCAGAGUAAAAACUGCCGUCGGAUUCAUCAUUGCUCAUCUCAUUUAAGUUGGAGUUUUCACUGGAUUCAACAUUGCCAUCGGCACAACUCUUUGCACCCACGUAAAAUACAUGAACACCGCAUUUCUUUACCUUGAAAUCAUGGAGACAUAUUUUUUCACCCUCUUCAUUGUAGCUAUAACUUCUGAUGUAGAAUUCAAAUGUUGCCUCUUCAUAAUUCUUGUCUUCUUUAACCAUAUCCUCUUGAAAUAGAAUCAAUACGUGAUCACCCAUGCAGUUCCACUCUGACUCUAAACUCCCACGGUCAUAUAACACACUUUUGAACUUUUCAUAACCACCAACACCAUCACUACAACUAGAGACUGUCAGUUGGUAUUCACAGGUAAGUUCAAGUUUUCCGAAACCACUACAGUGGGUGAGAUCGGCCACAAGGCAGAUAGCAAAAGCCAAGAAUCUUCUCUUACCACACACAUUUGGUGCUAUCUUCAAUGUUAAGGAAGAAUACACGUUCUGGGACUCGAACUUAUUUGCUGAAAUUUCUGUUCCCGGGAAACAGCAAACCAAUGAUGGAAGAAAAAUAUUUUGCCCUGCCCAUGUCUCUGCUAUGGAUCCAAUUUUGAACAUGGCAUUUGCCUCAAUGCUAUCAAUUGAAUCUUGAUUCAAAUUAAUGCAAUUGAAGAACAUCAUGCAUAACUUAUACGGAUCACCAAGAAAACCGUGUUGUUGUAUGAACGAUACUUUUUCUAAUGAUGGGCAGUCACGUGCAUCCAAGCGCCAUAAAUGUGGUGGAAGAUCUAAGAGUAAUUUAAGGCUCUUGCAAUGAUUCAUCGUCAAAUUUCGAAGGCUUUCAAACCAUAAGAUUGAUGAGGGCACAUCAAUGGUUGGAAUCUUUCUUGAACCAGAGAGGGAAAUAUUGCACUGUAGCUUUUGAAUACUUGAGCCGCUCAUAUCCAAGUCUGCAAGAUUACCUACGUAGUCGAAAGACAAGGACACUUGUUCAAUUUGAGUCUUUGAUAAGUUCAAACUACAUAAGCUUUUUGGGAUUUCUGGAAAUUUGGUGAUUGGGCAAUGACUAAGUUCCAAAUCAUAAAGGGAUUCCAACUUCAAAAUAUUGUUGGACACAUUUUUAACCCUUGAGUUUCUCAACCGUAAUCGUCUAAGCCAGAUGAGAUGUUCAAUUGAAUCAGGCACUUCCUCUAUUCUCGUUCCUUCUAAAUCCAAGUAAUGAAAAUGACUUGGGAUCUCAGGAAUCUUCUUGAGAUUAUGACAUCCAUCAAGAUCAAAACUUUCAAGAGAAGCCAAAUGAGUCAGGCAAGGAAGUUCAACCAAACUUUCGCACCCCAUACAGCAAAGGCUUUUAAGGUUGAUUGCCCCGAGUAGACUAGGAAUCUUUCUUAAAUUCUUGCAAUCAAAAAGGUCAAUUUCCUUUAAACUAACAAGAUCCUGGCAAAGAAAGUAUAAAACAGCUAUGUUACUUCUAACCAUCGUCUACAUGCUUUGGGCAUAUUGAAAUUUAAAAGAAAAAUUAAUUAUUACACUGAAAAUAAAAACUAUAAAUAAUAAUAAUAAAAAAUAAGAUAUCAUUGUAUGGUUAUCUAAUACAUCAACUAUAAAUCCUUUUUUUUUUAAAUAAAUUCUUGGAUAAAGAAAGUAUGAAAGAAUAUACCUGAGGAUUAUUUCCAUUCCAAAGUUGUUCCAUAUCACCAUGUGGUAAUUUCAAUACAACAAGAUUUUUUGGGUUAAAACUUGAGGAUAAAGAUUUGAACGGGUAAUACUCCCAACAAAGAUACCUUAGCUCAUCAGGAAGAGAUACAAUAUCAACUUGGUCUGCAAGUAGCUUUUUAUUCCAACAUUCCCCAAAUUUUCGAGGAAGAUAAAAGUGGAUAAAUCUAAGAUUUAGCAUAUUCUCAAAAACAGUAGGAGAUAACUUUAAAUUAUCAAUUUGAGACAUGUCUAACUUUAUUCCUUUAAUUGCUUCAUUUCCCUGAUAACAAAAAAAAAAAUUUAUCAGCAUAAAGAAAUAUAUAGGAAUUCCAUUAAAUAGAAGUAAAUAGACUUAGACUAGUUGACCAUACCUUUCUAUUGCAAAAAUUUUGACAUAUAUUAAAAGUGUUUAAUUUUGUUUUUUUAAAAGCAAUGUAUUAUUAGAUAUCUAAUAAUCAAUAUUGAUUAUUAUGUGUAUGGUAGGUAAAUAGAUAUCUUCAUUUUUGAAAUAAUAAUUAAAAGAGUUAAUAUUUGACAUGAUGUUCGUGUAUAGAUUUAUAAAUAUACCAUUAAACUUACUUUAUUGUAUCUCAGCAUUUGAUGCACAUUAUUAGGACUCCAUAGUCUACUGCAAUUUCCAAUGCCUGUAGCUUCUUGGCGAAUAAUAUCCUUGCCCAUCUCUUCAAGAAUAUCAUGCAUAGAAAUAAUUAGAGGUCUUCCUGCAAAUGCUGAUUGACAUGUUGAUGCUGAGCGAGGCCGUCUGAGAUCUUGAAGUCUGAGAUCUUCCUCAAGCAUAUCUUGAAAAUGGAUGGUGUCAAGUAGGCAUUUAUCCACCAAAUUGCUUAUUCCACACACUGCACCAUUAUACAAGGAACAUAGAAUAUCUUCUACUUCUUUCUUAUAUUUCCCUUUGAAGAAACAUGCUAUGUCAAGAAAUAAAUUCUUCUCUAGUUCAUCUAGCUCAUCAAAGCUACUCUUUAAAAUUUGUGAUAUUUUUGGUUGGCCAUAUUCCUUUAGUCUAUCCACCUCGCUCUCCCACUCUUUUCUAGAUUUCGUAUAUAGUUUAGAACCCAAAACCUUAAGAGCAAGUGGAUUGCCUUGGGCAUAUCUUACAAAUUGGUUCGAUAGAUCUCGAAAAUUAGCAGUAGGAUUCAACUGCUUAAAUGCAAAUGUAGAAAAGAGUUGAAGAGAGCUUUUCUCAUUUAACUCAUUGACCUUGUGUAUUUUUUCAGCUCCUCCAUUCUUGAGAACUUGUCUAUCUCUAGAUAUUAGAAUGAUUUUACUUCCAUCACCAAAAUGUUUAACACCCAAGUAAUCUAUUAGGUCUGGGUCAUCAACAUCAUCAACAACAACAAUUACUUUUUUAUUGUUGAGCCUCUCUCGAAUAAAAGCGGACCCUAUGGAGGGGGUAAGUACAUCAAUUUCUUGGUUUAAUAUUUUAGAAAGAAAGUUAUUUCGUAAAGACUCCAUCCCUUGUUUGCGUAUUUUCUCUCCAACAUUUUGAAGAAACCAACAACUUUUAAACUUUGAAGAGAUUUCAUGAUAUACAACAUUAGCAAGAGUAGUUUUGCCUAUACCAGCCAUUCCCCAAAGCCCUAUUACACGACAAUCGUUUUGAUUAAUUAGCUUCAAGAUUGUCUUUUUCUGAUAAUCUAUUCCAACCAAUUCUUCAAAAGCAGUACUGGAUUUGUUAUUCAUCAGCUUUUUUGCAACAUAUUCAACGAUAUCAUUGAUGUACUUGGUUUCAGGUCUAGACAACAAGACAAAAUGAAAGUUAAAACUAAAAUAAGUCAAAUAUAAGAAGAUUAGAGAAAGAGAGUUACCUGUCGAACUUGCCACCUUCAAUAUGCCACCCUUUUAAUUUACCGACGUCAGCAAAGGCUUCUUUCCAUCGUUGUACUUGAUCUAAACUUUUUGAUUCAUGGUCAUUAAAGGAUGUUUUGAAACUGCCACCAAGGUUCCGCACAUCAGAAGGAUCAACAUGGUAAAAGAUGGGAAGAACAAUUUUUCGUCGAGUGAGCUUGCAGUACAUGAUGCAAGAAAUUUCAGCCAAGCAUGAUUUCGAAGAAGCAUAGUCUUUAGAUAAAAUGAUGAUCGAGAGAUUUGAGGCCAUAAUUGCAUUUGAAAGUGCUGGUGAAAUUUGCUCCCCUCUUUCCAAUGUUUCUUCAUCGAAGAAGACAUUCAGUCCCGUGUCUUUCAAAGCUUUGAGUAGAUGACUGGUGAAGUUAAGGCGCGUGUCUUCACCCCUGAAGCUCAAGAAAACUUGGUGCUUCGUUUGACGAGAAGAAGAUGAAGAAGACGCCAUGAAAGAUUAUGGAUAAUGUGAUUGAGGCAAAGAGAGAAAAUUAUAGCAAGGGAGCUUUGGUUUGCCUAUUGAAAAAGAAAAGUUUAAAAUAUGGAUCCAUCAUCAGUAGGAACCUUUUAUUAAAUGGAUAGGAGAUUUCUGACGAAUCAAAGGAGAUUCGUGCAUCGCAAGGGAGGGGCACAGUAGAUCGGAAAAUACCUUUUGGAUGGAGGACACUCCGGCGUUGGCGAGAGAGACGGUGGCUGCAGAGGAGAUGAGAAAUGUUCCCCGAACGACUGAAUGAUGUGUUUAGGGACGACCGGACUGGCCUGAUGGUUUACUGGCGGCCACGCUUCAGUCACCGGAGAAGUUUUUUGAUGGUGGGUCUGUUUUCUACCGGGUUUCCAAUUAAUUUUUACUUUGUCGGUUCCAGAUGUCCUUUGGAAUUCUCUAAACUGAUAAAUGUUGGUUGUUUUUUAUUCUUUGGAUUACUUUAAUGGAGAUAACGGUUUUACCCCUCAAAAAAAAAAAAAAGGAGAUUCGUGCUUAUCAAAAAAGUAACAUAUUUAAAAAAAAGUUAUUGUUGGUUGAAUUUUCAAACAUCUUGGGUCAAAACUUAGGUUUGAAUAGCGUUUAAUUUACCAAUUAAAAAUAAAAUAUUAAAAUUAAUUUAUGAGAAUAAAUUAUAUUAGAAUGACAAAAGUAUAAUUUGUAGGCACUAAUAAAAUCAUGCCACGGCAUUAAAAUUUAUAGAUAACAAAGAUUAUUUUACACUCAUUUAUAUCUAAUAUCUUCUCUAACUUAAUUUAACUUUAAUUAAAUUAUUUAAAAUAAUUAAUUUUUUAAAAUUAUAAACAAAUCUUUUCUUCUUUUACAAAAUUUAAUCAUUUUAUUUUUUUCCAUAAGUUAAUAUUUUUAUUUUUGUGCAACCAAUUUUUUUAAAAGAAAAGAUAAAUUUUGUGCAAUUUUUUUCAUGACAUUGACACAUAAUUUUAGUAAUUAUUUUACCUUAAACCUCGAGAUUUAGGAUUUGGGUUUGAGAUUUAAGGUUUAAGUUUAGUGUUGAGGUUUAAAGUUUAGGUUUAGAGUUCAAGGAUUUAGAGUUUAGGGUUUAUGGUUCAGGUUUGAAGAUUUAGGGUUGUAAGUUACAAGUUUAGGAUUUAGGGUUUGGGUUUAAGGGUACGAGUUUGGGGUUCGAGAUUAUCAAAAUUAUGUGUCAAUGACAUGAAAGAAAUUGUCUAAAUGUAAUUAAAUAAUUGGAAAAGGACUAUAAAUAAUGUGGUGGGAAGGGUCCAUAAAAUAAUUUCUCUGUAGAUGGGUGUAUAAUAAUAAUUUUAUGUCUUUAAAUUUUAACAAUGUGUCAAAAUUUUAUUGGUGCCUAAAAAUCUUAAUUUUUAGAAUAUCCUUAUGUAAGUUAUUCCCUUAAUUUAUAUAUUCUUAUAAUUAAAAUUUAUUUAUUUUUUAUACAAAGUCUACACAUAAUCCCUCCCUAUCAAAAGAAAAAACAUAUUUAAGCAUACUCAAAUUUACAUCUUUCUAAUUGUUACAAUAACAACAUAAUCAAUUUGAACAUCCGUGUGAUGCUAUCCUUUUUCUUGUUUGCUGUUAACUUCUAUCACUAGGAGUAUUUCGUUACUUUUUGUGCAUCGCUUAAAUAGUAGCUUUAAUUAUACCUAAAUUAUUAGGUAUUCAUUAUACGGGUGAAAAAUCAAAAUUAUAUAAUAAAUAUAUUUAUAAAAAAUUAAUUAGCUUUUAUUAAAGUAGUGCAAAUGUUAAAAACUGUUAAAAGUUUUUUUUUUCUCCGCCAAAAUAAAAAAAAAAUUUAUUAAAGAGAAGUAAUGGUCAAAACAAACCAAAUGGUUAGAAACUAAAAACAAAACAGCUCAACAUUCAAAAACACCAACUUCAUUCUUGAAACUCAAGCCCUUGCAACAUUCAAAAAUCAAGAUAGCAAAGAUCCCAAAUAGUAUUCCAAAACCUCUCAAGACACACCUAUGCGUUACGCCAAGUGUUAAGUAUGACUCCGAUUUCAAUCAAAUUUGAGAAAUAAUUUUCUAGUUAAACUCUGUUUAUUUGUUUCAAUCAAACACUGAUUAGUUUAGAUUAUUUUAUUAUUAUUUGAAAUAUGAAUUUAGCUUAUAAAUAGGUUCUUUUAUAACCAAAUCUAGUUGAUGGAUAUUAAGUAAAUUUCAAAGCACAAAAUAUUGGUGCCCAAAUUAGUUUGGAUUAUUAUAAUAAUAUAAAAUUAGGCCAUAUUUAGAAACAAAUUAAAAAGGUAAUCCUCUUUUAAUAAAUGUGAGAAAUAGGUCGUACGGCAGCAUUAGUAGUGGAGCUUUUAUUUUAAUGCCACGAUCGAGUGAGAUUAAAAAAUUGUCUUAUUUUAAUUAAGGUUUGGCUCAUUGUAUAUUUUUUAUUUAAACUUUCGUAUUUUAGACAAAACUUUUCAAAUUUCAACAAAUAGUUUGUCCCUUCAAUAAAUCUACUAUCAAUGGAACUCUUUUCCUUGCCUAGUCUCUGAAAGAACUGAUUAAUUGUACGAUUUGAUUCCCACACCCCCAAAGUAUUGAUUCGUUGAUUGCAAAAAAUUUGCUACAAAGAUGCCAAGAAUCUUCUCCUUUUUCCAGGAAGCAACAUAAUUAGGAAUUUCGCUGAAUUUACAAAGAAAAUCUGCAUAUCACAGUCAUACAUAUUGUUCCAAAAUGCAUAAGGAAAAGUAAAAGUUGAUAAUGCACCAAAGCAUGGAAACUCACUUUUUUUUUUGUUUUUGGUGAGGUGAUAAAGACGAUACAUUAAACUUAUUAAUAAAAUAUUUGUAUUGGCUGAGAAAAAGAAAAGGUUGCUUUUGCUUUUGACAUCAAUUUCAAAAUGACUAAUAAACAGCACUUCAAAAUAUCAUCCAACCUUCUUUCUUUCCUCGAAGCUACAUAUGUAGGAAUUUGGAUAAAUCAAACCAGAACCACCCCUGGGCUGAAUUUUCAUGGAAGUUCCACAAAAAUUGGCACAUCACAACCAUACAUAUAGCUUGUAAAAUGCAAAAGGAAAAAGGUAAGUUGAUAAUGCACCAAAGAAUGAAAAUUCUAAAUCACAAGCUAUUUGUACAGCAUGUGAUUCUGGUUGGUUUUAAUUAAUUAAAGCACUUCAUAUUUCUAUCAUUGGCAAUUAAUUUAAAAGCUGGAAAAUAAUAGUUUAUGUGUUAGAACGUAAAUGUUGAGUAAAAUAUUAUUCAACGUGCCAAUAUUGGCACAUUUGCUAAAUAGGUCGGGUCUUGGGCAAGACAUUUUAGCCUUGCUCGAAUUUGACCAUUUCUUUUUUGUUGUUAUUUACUGCUGUUAUAUUGUUGUUUUGCUACAAGCUCAUUUGACGAGAAGAAGAUGAAUAAGAUGCUAUGAAAGUGUAUAGAUUGUGAGAUUGAGGAAGAAGAGAGGAAAGUACACAAAGGGAGCUUUGGUAUCCUAGUAUUAAAUGACAAAUGAGAAUAUGAGAUUUAACAAAGGCAACGAGUGGAGGAGAUCAGCUAAAUUAUCUGAGUCAAGAAAAUUGUCACUCUCACACUUUCCAGGAAAUGACAGUCUUCUUUAUUUGUAUAUUUUACCCACAAAAGUCAAGGUCUUCCAAUGGCACAAUGUUCAGCAAAUGGUUAAAAUCUUAAAAGAGUCCUUGAACUAGUUUACUUUUGUUGUACCCAAAUAAACCCCUAUGUUUUUAUCUGUGUUUAAAUUAGCCCUUAUUUCAAGUGACAUGUUAAUUUUAUUGUAUAAAGCAAUACAUUAGAUAUUUAAUUAAUUUAAUAAAACCCUUAGUAGAUCCAUGUAAUAACUUAAGAUUAGGGUUAGCAUUUGAUAAAAAUAAUUGAAAAGAAAAUUUUAAUUAAUCAAAUUGGUGAGUUUUAUUAUUUAACUAAAUUUUAAACUACAACAUAUAAAUUUGAGUGUAUAUAAAGAUGUAAAAUUGUCUAAUGAUCGAACUUAGAAUUAGUGCCGACUAAAGACUUAAUUUGCCACUCUACUCAUUUUCCGAUUGAAAAUUUCCCUUUUUUUCUUUUUUUUCUGUCAUAGAUAUGAAACAUCGAUAAAAGAAUAUAUUGGAAGAGUAUAGGGUAAGAAAUACUUAUUUCAGUUGUUCUUAUUUAUUCAUUUUCAAAAAGUAUAGGGACUCAAAUGACAAUAAAUAUAAAUAGUGAGGGCUAAUUUUGAUAAAAAAAUCAUCAACAGAAUAAUGAUGUGUCUUUUUUUUUAAAUUAGAAUAAGAAUAAAUUAGUCCUCAACGUAUAUACGUUUUAUAAAAUUAAUAAAAUAUAAACAUUGAGAGUUAAAUUUAUUAUUAUUUUAAUUAAAAAAAAAAGACCUAUCAUGCUUCCGUUAAUGCUUCCGUUAAUAAUUAAUAAUGGAGGAAUGAUUAAAACAAAAACAAAAAAAACUUGAUGUUAAUAACGUUGGUGAUGAAGUUAAAUUUUUGUAUAGUUAUAUGGUUAAAACAAAAGCACUCUAAUACUUAGGUGACCAAUAGUGCUGUUUAAUUACCAUAUAGAUUUAUAAAUUUACUGUGACAAAUGUUAAUUCUAUUACAAAUUAUUUAAAAUCUUUAUUUACAUACCAUACACAUAAUGGUAGGUUGAGUAAAAUUCAAUUUUCUCCUUGAAAAAAUAAAAAAGAAAUUAAAUUUUUGGUUCGAUAUAUUCCCUUAACUUAUCCAUCUCGCUUUAUUAGCUGUAUAUCACAGCCAUGUUGCAAGCCUAUUAGCUGUGUGAUGCAGCCACGUCGCAAGUCUGCUGCAACGUUCUUUGUCUCUAUUCUCCAUUCUGUUGCAUUUUUGACCAUCAAGUCUCCCAAAAACAACAAUCUAUUGCAGUUUCUUGUAAAUCUUAAAAAAGAAAAAAUGUUAUUUGGGAGCUCUCCUUGAGACUACGGCAUUUGUGAAGAUUAAGUGAACCUAGAGAUGCCAAAUGAUUCAAGCAAUAUACAUUCAAUGUCUUCAAGGUUGAUGGCUCCUAAUAGUUUCGAGAUCUUCCUUAAAUUCUUGCAACCAGAAACGACAAAGAGGCUCAAAUUAACAUUAGUAAUAUAAAUUAGCUAUAUAUUAUUUCUAAGCACCAUCCACAUACAAUGGGCUAAAUAAAAAUGAAAAGGAAAAAAAAAACAUUAAUCAUAAAAAAGUUUAUAUUUGAUGUAUUGUCUGUAUAAUCCCACCUACCAUUAAUAGAUCAACUUGUUUCUUUCAGAAAUAAUAUAUAUAUUUUUAUUUUUAGUGGCAAAUGUUUUAAUAAGAUGUCAUACAAUAUAAUUUACUGGCACAUCAAUUAGAAUCAUUUUUAUCUUUUAAAAAAAAUUAUUGGAUGAGCAAAGUAUGAAAGAAUAUACCUAAUGAUCAUCAUCAUCCCAAAGUUGUUCCAUGUUGCCAUUUGAUAACUCCAACGUAAUAAGAUUCUUUAGAUUAAAACUUGAUAAAUUUUUGAAGGGACAAUAACUCCACCGAAGAAGCCUUAAUUCAUUAGGAAGAGAUACAUUAUCAUGCUCCUUUGCAAGUAGCUCUUGUCAGAGUUACUUGAAUAGAAGUAGAGAUAUUUAAGAUUAACCAUGUUCUCAAAAGUAGAAAGAUGUAAUCGUAGCUCAACUUUGAUUUGAGAUAUGUUUAGCUCUAUUCCUUCAAUUGAUUCAAUCCCCUAAUAUAUAUAUAUUAUCAAGCAUCCGUAUAGAUAAAUUUAUGGUUGUAUUAAAUCACUCAUAAAAAAAUAAUUAUGUUAAGAAAGGCUUAGACUAAUUUAGCAUACUUUUUAUUUACAUGAACUUUCAGCCAUAUGAAGUGUUUAACUUUAUUUUGUUUUUUUAAGGCAAUGCAUUAGAUAUUUAAUUAACCCAACAGAAUGAUAGAUACUUGAGUGGAUCCUAUGUUAUACCUUAACUCAUUAGGAAAUAUCUUUUUACGUACCCCAUGUUCAAACCUUUCCAUAAGUACAUAGAAGAAAAAAAAUAUCUAUAGUUAUAUAUGUAUGCUCUAGAAAAUAAUAGGAUAUAAUUGUAUGUUAUCAAUUUAAGACAUGUCUACGUUUAUUCUUUAAAUUGGUUCAGUCCCAUAAUAACAAUAUAUAUCAAGUCAUAAAGAUAUUAAAAAAAUAUGUUUUUUCAAAGCGAUGAAUUAGAUAUUUAACUAACAUUUAUACCGUAAAACAUUGGCCAUAUCAUAUGAAGACAUCUUAUUAAAAAUUCUUAUUUGAAGUAUAGAUUUGCAUUUGAUAAACUGACAUAAUACGAUUCAUAUACUAUCAAUGAAGAAAAUGAUGACACAUAAUUAAAAAUAAACUUGGAUCUUUUUAAAAUCUGAUUAUCUUAUCAUAUGAUUUAUUGAUAGUGCAUUGUGCGUCAGAUUAAACUCUAAUUGCAGUAACAGACAAAGAAAUUUCAGCCUAAACUGAUAUGAUAAUCAAAAUUCAAGAUAAGAAGCUAUCAACUCCAAUGGCUCUACCAUGGAACUAAUCCAAUCUAGCUUGAGAAUGAAAACUGUCGAAGGUUGCAUCUAGCUCCACGAGUUCAUCCCGCAAGUUUUGAGAUCUGUUGCAAAUUCUGGAUUUAUAUAAUCCCAAUGCUAAAUAUGGGAAAAAAUGGUGAGGAUGCUGAAGAUCAUUAUAUGAACCUAAAAUCAUAAUUAAUAAUAAGUCAAAGUCAAAGGUAACUUACUUCUUCACCAAGACUGAAUUGCCAGAACCCAGAAAGGGCCUCAAAGAUUACCUUGAAGUUGUGUUCACAAAUCUGUUGACAACUUGCAUUGUCACCAAAUAUCAGUUCAAGCACUUGUAAAAAGCAAGCAUUCAGCAAAACAAAUUGAAGAUCUUACAGUUCAGGUUCUCCUCCUUGAAACCAUUUGGAAUGUUUGAGAAUCUCUUUGUGUCCCAUUUGACACCAAAAUAUUCGUAUUGUUUAUUUAAGAUUGUUGGGCGUUAGUUUUCUAGUAUUCAAUAAAAACCCAGAAUUUAGAAAUGCCUUUAUGUAUGGGAAAACCCAAAUGGCAACAAUUUUAUUGAAACAAACCAACAUAUCACAAUUGAUGUAAUACAAUAUAUAUAUCUCGUACAUUUAUUCCAAUCAAGUAGAACAGAAUUAUAUAAUUUUUGCAGAAUUUAAAACAAUUAAGUCUAAAAAUAUAAUCCUAGUAAUGAAUUACAGUCACGUUACAUUCAUUAAUGACAUUAGUGGAAUUUAUAAAGUAUGCCUUAAGUAGUGCAAACCCUGUUGCCAUCUUGAAUUGUCCUCUUCCUCCAAUCACCGCAACCUCACGUUCUACCUCUCGUAUCGGAUUCCUUGAAAAUAUGCUUAAAGAGCUGCCAUUAAACUUUCCGGUAGUAAAUGCGAAAUCUACAUACAUCACCGCAUCGGUUGUAUUUGUUCCGGCAAAGACCGCAAGUCCCUGAGCAUUUCCAAUCACCUCAGAGUCAUGCUCAGGACCUAUCUUGAGGGGAUCAUCAAGGGCAUAUAGGGUAGCAAAUGGCACUGAUGAAUUAUUGUCGUUGCUUGGGAUGUUAGCUUGGGCUAUCACCACUGCUGUUGGGUUUUCUCUGCCGAGAGUUUCAUGAAAAAAGAAGUGAAGAUGGGUGACCUUAACUGGCUUGGGAUGAUACGGUCGGCUCUUCGAGUAGUAUUGGCACUGCACUGCUACUAGGGAGAGGCAGACGAUCAGAAUCCAAAUCAACAUCAAUGUUCCUCUCAUUGUCUCCGCUUUACUAUAAUUUCUUGUAGAUGAAAGCUAAUAGAAUGAUCACGUAACAGAAGCUUGGUCUAAUUAGCUGCUUGAUUACUUAUGAUCCACACCAUUCUGUCUAUAAAUAAGAAUCUCUCCACUUCAUAAUUAGAAUCGUCAACUAUUCUGUUAUUAAUUUUCAAUUGGAAGACUUUUCUUAAUAAGAUUUUUCAAUAGCUAAUGUUGAAUUUUUUAGAAUUUGAAUAAAAUUGAUAGAAGUGCAAGCAUAGAAAACCUAAAUUUGUUAUUAGACCGAAAAAAAGUUCACAAUAAACUUCGGUUUUAAAAAGCUGCCUGAUUAAAUCCAAAAAGAAUUAAUAAUUAGAUAACUAAAAUAGAGCGAACUGAAUGAUUAAGUGUAUUAUUGUAGAAAAAAUAACAAGGAAAAAAAUGUGGGGCAUUGUAAAGCAAGUUAACAAUUGUUAUCUUCAAUCCAAAUAGUUGAUUCGCAAGACUGAAAGCUUGGUUGGCUUUUUGUUUUUUUUUUUUUUUCAAUUUUGUCUGCAUUGGGUUUUUUCGUUAAAAAGUAAAAACAAGUUAGGAUGGCAUUAAUUCAAUAAAAAUAUUUAAUAUUAAUAAAUAUUAAAAAUAAUUUUAUUUAUUCAAAUUCAAAGCAUAUUUAGCAAAAAAUAAAAUAGGUAAUUCUUAAAAAAAAAUGUAUAGUCUUUUAUCAACCGCACAACUCAAACCCAAACCACAUCUGAGAUGGUUAACACCCUUGACCAUCAAGCCAUCACAUGAGGCUCACUAAGCAUUUCGUUUUAUACAAUAUCAAAGGUGGAGAUGGAGUAACACAAUUUUAAUCCGUGCUAAACUAAUAUUUAAUAAAAGUCUUAAUCACUACUUCAUACAAGUUUUAAAAUAAAAAUCCUAGACAUUUCAUUAAUAUCAUUAUUUGAUUUUAGUUUUAAAUAUUUUGCUUAAAUUAGCAUGAGACCAACUCUGAAAUUUCAUAAGUUUGUGAACAAUAAUGUUGACUUCUGCACAAUUUGGCAUUUAGGUCAAUUGAAGUGAGUUUUCUUAUAAUUUUCCAAAGAAUAUUAUUUACUCUUACGCAUUUUUGGGUGAAUUGAAGCCGAAAAUGAAGAAAAAAAAACUAAAAUUUCCUACAAUUUCUAAACAAUAAUAUUCACUUUUACACAAUUAAGUUAAUUAAAUUGAAAUUUCAUUCUUAAUAUUGAUUUUUCUUUGAGAAGUCAAAAAAAUUUAUAGAUGGUCAAAAGCAAAGACUAGUAAAACAUCAAUUAAGACUCAAUGCAAAAUAAAAGUGUCACUAAGUCUUUAACCAACGUUGAAAUUAUUGUCAUUGUUUGGAAUUAGGACAAGAUUGAAACAUUAUGAGUUUAAGAAGAUUGAAACUUUGAAAGGUCACAUGUUAUGAUAAUUUCUACCAAAACGUUGAACAUUAUAAUCAAAUGUUUUCCCUUUCCUGAAAAAGAAUUUUAAAAAAUAGUAUAUUGUAUUAUUCUGUUAUUUGUGUGAAUUUUGCAAAUGAAAGGAUUGUUAUUUGUAUUUUUUUUAAUAUAAUGCCUAAGCCAGUAAAAUUCCUCCUAGUUAUUGUAAAAGCUAAUUGAGUUUAGAUUUAAUCACAAUUGAGUUUAAACUUUCCAAAGGGAAAUUUAGACAUGCAUUUAUGUAUGGGAACAAUUUCAUUGAAACAAACCAACAUAUCUCGUACAUUGAUUCCAAUCAAGUCGAACAGAAUUAUAUAAAGAUGUAAUCUUAGUAAUGAAUUACAGUCACGUUGUAUUCAAUAACGACAUUAGUGGCAUUUAUAAAGUAUGACUUAAGUAGUGCAAACCCUGUUGCCAUCUUGAAUUGUCCUCUUCCUCCAAUCACCGCAACCUCACGUUCUAUCUCUCCUGUCGGAUUCCUCGAAAAUAUGCUUAUAGAGCUGCCUUUAAACUUACCGGUCGUAAAUCCGAAAUCUGCGUAAAUCACUGCAUCGGUUGUAUUUGUUCCGGCAUAGACCGCAAGUCCCUGAGCAUUUCCAAUCACCUCAGAGUCAUGCUCAGGAGCUAUCUUGAGGGGAUCAUCAAAGGCAUAUAGGGUAGCAAAUGGCACUGAUGAAUUAUUGUCAUUGCUUGGGAUGUUAGCUUCGGCUAUCACCACUGCUGUUGGGUUUUCAUUGCCGAGAGUUUCGUGUAAAAAGAAGUGAAGAUUGGUGACCUUAACUGGCUUGGGAUGAUAUGGUAGGCUCUUCGAGUAGUAUUGGCUCUGCACUGCUACUUGGGAGAGGCAGAUGAUCAGAAUCCAAAUCAACAUAUAUGUUCCUCUCAUUGUCUCUCUGCUUUACUAUAAUUUCAUGUAGAUGAAAGCUAAUAAAAUGAUCACGCAACAAAAGCUUGGUCUAAUUAGCUGCUUGAUUACUAUGAUCCACACCAUUCUGUCUAUAAAUAAGAAAUUCCCCAAUUCAUAAUUAGACCCGUCAACUAUCUCCUUCGACGAAUACGGAACGAGAAUACAUGUUGCAAGUUCCGUAUUCUAAUGCAGUGGGUAGCUUGAUGUAUGCAAUGGUGUGUACAAGACCCGACAUUUCACAGGCAGUUAGUAUAGUGAGCAGGUAUAUGCAUAAUCCUGGAAAAGGACAUUGGCAAGCUGUGAAAUGGAUUCUACGGUAUAUUCAGAAGACCGUGGAUGUUGGAUUACUGUUCAAGCAGGAUAAUACACUUGGUAAAGGUGUUAUUGGGUACGUUGAUUCUGACUAUGCCGGUGAUUUGGACAAGCGAAGAUCAACCACCGGUUAUGUGUUUACACUUGCUGGAGGACCAAUAAGUUGGAAGUCUACACUACAGUCUACAGUUGCAUUGUCAACCACAGAAGCCGAGUACAUGGCUGUAACAGAGGCUGUAAAGGAGGCUAUUUGGUUACAAGGUAUGGCUAAAACCUUGGGGUUGGUUCAGGAGCAAAUUAACGUGUAUUGUGAUAGUCAAAGUGCUAUUCAUUUAGCAAAGAAUCAAGUCUAUCAUGCACGUACAAAACAUAUCGACGUACGAUUCCAUUUUGUGCGGGAAAUUAUUGAAGAGGGGAAAAUUUGUCUUCAGAAGAUCAAGACUGCAGAUAAUCCCGCAGAUAUGAUGACCAAGGUGGUAACAGCAACCAAGUUCGAACAUUGUUUGAACUUGAUUAAUAUCCUGCAAGUUUAACAGUUGAAGAAGGCACUAUCAAGUAUUGUUGUCAAAGGCAGAAAGAAUUGUGUGAAGAUAAGAUUAUCCUAAUCAAAUCUUCAAGGUGGAGAUUAUUGGAACCCACCCACAUUGUUUGAAAAGUCAAAAAGGGUGGGCACCGAAAGUAGAAAGUAAGAUUGGUUGGCAAGUUGGGUUAAAAGUUGGCAUGGGAUAAUUGCAAUUUUGGUCCCUAAUUGUAUAGGGACAUUGCAAGUUGAUCCUUAAACCUCAACUAUAAAUAGGCCUAACCAUUUCUUACUUUCUUCAUCCCACACUUGCCAUUCUCUACUUAAGGCAAUUGUUCUCCCUCCCUAUUUGUAAACUUUCACUUGUAUUUUUGGAGUGAAAUAUAUUUGGUAGUGCCCAAGGACGUAGGCAAAAUUUGCUGAACCUCGUUAAAAUUCUAGUGUUCUUUAUUUUUUGUUCUGCAUAUUUUGCAAGUGUCAUUGUAGUGAUUUAUUGUGCUAUUAAAUUACGAUAGAGGGAUAUUUUGGCUAGGAAAGAUCUGGUAUGUAAGCGAUCCUCGUGAUCCACCUCUCUUUCCUGGGAAUUGAACUUAGUGUGAUUUUUCAGUACAAUAAUUUUACUCUUUCACACGCUUCCGCGCAACAAUUAUACUGAUGAAGAGAUGCCAAAUGAUUGAGGCAAGGAAGUUCAACCAAACUUUCACAUUUAUAGCAACCAAGGAAUUCAAGGUUGAUGGCUCCUAAUAAACUAGGAAUCUUCCUUAAAUUCUCGCAAUAUGAAAUGUCAAUUUUCCUUAAAUUAACAAGAUCCUGUGCAGAAAAAAUAACUAUAUUACUUUUAAGCAUCAUCUACUUACUUUAGGUAGUAAAAAAAUGAAAAUGAAAUAAAUUAUAAUACUAAGAAAAAUAAAAAUUUGCAUAUGAUGUAUUACAAUUAAUAGAUCAAAUAAUGUCACUUAUUUAAAUAAAAUAAAAUAUUUUUAUAUUUAUUUUUAAAAAAAUUAAAUAAGAUACCAUAAGAAUAUUUUAUACAUCAAAUUAUAAUUUUUUUUUGUUCAAAGAAAGUAUGAAAGUACAUACCAUAUGAUCAUCUUCAUUCCCAAGUUGAACCAAACUUCUACAUUUAUAGCAAUUAAGGAGUUCAAGGUUGAUGGCUCCUGAAAGAUUAGGCAUCUUCCUUAAAUUCUUGCAAUUUGAAACGUUAAUUUCCCUUAAAUUAACAAGGUCCUGUGCAAAAGAAAGAAUAAUUAUAUUACUUUUAAGCAUCAUCUACUUACUUUAGGCAGUAAAAAUUGAAAAAUGAAAUAAAAUAAUUAUAAUACUAAGAAAAAGAAAAGAAAAUAUUUUAUAUUUAUUUUUAAAAAAAUUUUAAAUAAAAUGUCUUCGUAUGAAUAUUUCAUACAUCAAAUUAUAUAAAUCCUUUUUUCUUCGAAGAAAGUAUAAAAGCACAGACCAUAAGAUUAUCUUCGUCCCAAAAUUGAACCAAACUUUCACAGUCAGAGCAAUGAAGGAGUUCAAGGUUGAUGGCUCCUGAAAGAUUAGGUAUCUUCCUUAAAUUUUUGCAAUUUGAAACGUUAAUUUCCCUCAAAUUAACAAGGUCCUGUAUAGAAAAAUAUUUGUAUUACUUUUAUGAAAUGAAAAGAAAAUAAAUAUUUAUAAUACUAAGAUAAUAAAAAUUUAUAUUUGAUGUAUUCAGUGUGAAAAUUCACCCACAAUUAAUAGAUUAAAUGAUGUCACUUUUUUUAUAUAAAAUAAAAAAAAUAUUUCAUGUUUAUUUUUAAAGAACUUUAAAUGAGAUUUCAUUAUACGAUUAUUUGAUAUAUCAGAUUAUAAAUUGUUUUUCCAUAAAAAAAAAUUUAGAUGAAGAAAAUAUAAAAGCACGUACCAUAUGAUCAUCUUCAUUCCAAAGUUUUUCCAUCUUGCCAUAUCGUAAUUUCAACACGAUAAGAUUCUUUGAAUUAAAACUUGAUAAAGAUUUGAAGGGGAAAUAAUCCCAACAAAGAUACCUUAGCUUAUUAGGAAGAGAUACACUAUCAACUUGGUUUGCAAGUAGCUUCGGGUUCCAAUCCUCUUUCUCAAUCUCAGGUUUAUAGAAGUAAAUAUAUCUAAGAUUAAACAUGUUCUCAAAAACAGAUGGACAUAACUGCAGCUUAUCAAUUUGAGACAUGUCUAACUUCAUUCCUUCAAUUGAUACAGUCCCCUAAUCAUGAAAAACAAUUUAUCAAGUAUCAGUAUGUAUAGAUAUAAAAGUGUUCAAUUUUAUUUUUCUUUUUUUAAAAGCAAUCCAUUAAAUAUUUAACCAACCCAAUGAACAAUUGAGUAGAUCCCAUGUUAUACCCUAACACACUUGUCAUUACUUGUAUGGUAAGUAAACAAAUAUUUUAUUUUUUGAAAUAAUAAUUAAAAUGAUUAUCAUUUCAUACAAUGUAAAUACAAACAAUUAAACUUUUAACAUAUUAAAAUAUAUAAUUAAUUGAAUUUAUAUAUUUACAAGAUAUCAAAAAUAACAAAAAAAAUAAAAAAAUAAUGGAAGCGGAUUGAGUUUUAGCUCGAUUGACAUGGAGUUUAAGAGUGCACUAUCAUCCUAUUUAAGGGUUGGAGAGAGGCUAUGGGUAAUUUUAGCCAUUGUAUCAAAAAGAGGAGAUAUGAUCCGUAUCUAUAAUGAGAUUGUUAAAAAAAGACAACGAAAAAAAAUGUAAAUACAAUUAGCGCUUACUUGAUUAUAUCUAAGCACUUGAUCCACGUCUUUAGGAAACCAUAUCCUGCUGCACUUUCCCGGGUUUUCUUUACAUUUUUGGCGAACAAUGUCUUUGCCAAUCUCUUCAAGCAUAUCAUGCAUACAAAUAUGAUAACCAUCUAUACUAUCAAGUAAGCACUUGUCGACUAAGUUUCUUAUUCCACACAUUGCACCCAUAUAAUAAUUACUUAGAAUUUUUUCUACAAUAUCCAUUUUUUCCCCUUUCAAAAAGCAUGCUACGUCAAGAAAUAUAUUCUUCUCUAGCUCACCCAACCCAUCUAAGCUGCUCUUCAAAAUCUGUGAAAUUUUUGGUUCGACAUAUUGCUUUAGUUUAUCCACUUCGCUCUCCCACUCUUUUUUAGACUUUGUAUAUAGAUUAGAACCCAAAACUUUAAGAGCAAGUGGGCUACCUUGAGCAUAUUCUACAAACUUGCAUGAUAGAUCUUGAAAAUCAGCAACAGGAUUCAACAACUUAAAAGCAAAUGUAGAAAAAAGUUGAAGGGAAUCGUUCUUAUUCAACUUCUUUACCUCAUGUAUGUGGUUAGCUCUUCCAUUUCUAAGUACUUGUCUAUCUCUAGAUGUUACAAUAAUUUUACUUCCAGGACCAAAAUAUUUGACACCCAUAAAAUCUAUUUGGUCUGGGUCACUAACAUCAUCAAGGACAAGAAGUACUUUUAUAUUAUUCAGCCUGUCUUGGUAAGGGUAGCUUAUAGAAGGGGUGUCAAUACAAAUUUCUUUUUCGUCUAGUAGUUUGGAAAGAAGUUCAUUUCGUAAAGACUCAUCCCCCUGUUUUUUUAUUUUCUCACUAACAUCUUUAAGAAACAAACGACAUUCAAACUUUGGAGAGACUUCCUCAAAUACAGCAUUAGCAAGGAUAGUUUUGCCAAUACCACCCAUUCCCCAAAAUCCUAUUACACGGAUGUCCGCUUGCUCAAUCAACCCCAAAAGCAUCUUUUUUUGAUCAUCUAUUCCGACCAAUUUUUCAGAAGUGAUUCUAGGCGCACUAUUCAUCAAUUUUCUUGUAACAUCAUCAACUAUAUCCUGGAUAUACUCGGUUUCAGAUCUAUCAAAGAAUCAAAAAGUAAGUAUAAUUAUAUAUGAAAUCUAAAACAAAGAUAAGUCAAAUAUAAGAAGAUGAGAAAAAUAUAGUUACUUGUUGUCUUGUAUAUGAAUUCCUUUUAAUUUCCCGACUUUAGCGAAGGCAUCUGUCCAUCGUUUCACUUCAUCUGUGGGCCUCCUUGAUUCAUGGUCUUCAAAGGACGUUUUGAAACUCCCACCAAGAUUCCGCACAUUGGAAGGAUCGACAUGGUAAAAGAUGGGAAGAACAAUAUGUCCUUCAGAGCGAUUACGGUCCAUGAUGUCAGAAACUUCAGCUAAGCAUGACUUCGAAGAAGCAAAGUCUUUAGAUAAAACGAUGAUUGAGAGAUUUGAGGCUGCAAUUCCUUGCGAAAGUGCUGGUAAAAGUUGCUCCCCUGUUUCCAGUGUAUCUUCAUCGAAGAAGACAUUCAGUGCCUUGUCUUUCAAAGCUUUGAGCAGAUGCGCGGUGAAGUUAAAGCGGGUCUCACCUCUGAAGCUCAAGAAAACUUGAUGCUUCGUUGAACAAGAAGAUGAAGAAGAAGCCAUGAAAGUGUGCUUGGUUUAAUUAGGACUGAUUUUACCGCUUUGUUUACAAGUAGUUACUAAAUGCUUUCAACCCUUGUUAUUUCAGCCCUUGUGUGAUAUUUAGUAAGCCUUGACUGUGUUAUGCUGGGGUUUGGUGAUUGGUUUCUAAUCUCAAAGUCACAAAUUUGUGAUGCAAAUAAUGUGUUUUUUUAUUGACUAAAUUAGUUGGGAUUAUUAUAAAUAUAAAGAGUAUUGUCUAGUUUGCUUGCUUGACUACCCUUCCUCUUUUUUUAAUGUACAUUUGAUUCCAAGAAGAAAGGUUUAGAAAAACAGAGAAAUAUAAAAACAAUCCGAAGGUUGCGUACUCAAUUAUGCUUCUCUAUUUUUUUUUCUCAAUCAAUUUUAGGAAUUUUAUUAAUAAGGAAGAUCACAUACUCAUGCUAAGUUAACCAAUUAAGACCAACCAAUAACUUGUCAACUACCAAUUAAAACAUCAAUUAUUUUGAAAACGUGAAAAUAUCCAACUUCAACUUUUUUUCCUAAGUUAAAUCUAAAUUCUUUUUUUUUUUUAUCAAAAGUCGUAUUUCCCUGUUACUUAUUUUACAUCAAAAUGUUAUAUCCGAUAAAAAAUUUCUACCAAUAAUAAAUUGUCACAUCGUAUAAACAUAAAAAAAUAUUUUUUUAGUUAUUUUUUUCUUUUACAUUAUUUCUCUCUCUAUUUUGUUUCUAUUUUUUCUCUUUUCUUAUCCUUUAUAAUGUCUAGCAAUAUCAAUGCUCAAAAUGUUUUUUUUUUAUCAUUUUCAUUCCACAGUUGUUCCAUGUCACUAGAUUGGAGAUUGAGUUAGAGAAUUUGCAUAAUUGCCAUGUUAAAUUCAUUAGCAAUAUAGGCUCGCCCUACGGUUGUUUGAGUGCAGCCGCUCAGGGUUCAAGGUUGAAAGAAGCUCAAAAAAUAUUUUUUUUUUAACUUUUAAUGUGAAAAAAAAUGUAGGCUAAAAUAAAUUAAUUAAAUGUUUAGAACUUUCAAUUUUUCACCAUAAAUGUUUCAUCUCCUAAGACCUCAAUAAUUUUUCAGCUUUUAUCGUAUUACAUUUUAUAAUUUUUCUUAAAAUAAGACCCCAAUUUAUUGUUUCACCUACCUGGAGUUCAAAACAUGUCAAGAACAAGCAUGUGAAACAAUGUUUUGCAUUUUUCAACCUCAAAAUUUGAAUAUUGAAUUUGGACAGUGAAGAAUAUAUGUUAGAGCAUGGAUUUUUGGAGAAUUUAGAAGCUAAAUAAAGCCUCACGCUUAGCUAGUUCAUACAAUUACUUUUUAAAGGUAUAAUUAGUCUGUCAAAAGUUUUCUACUAAAUUAAGCAUUCACAAAUUGUCUAACAUGUGGUUUAUCCUCAAUUAAUCUUCUUCUAUAGUCAACAUCCAUAAUUGAAUUACGAGGUAUGUUAUUAUUUUAGAAAGAUUAUUCAUAGAGAAAUUUUAUUUCUUGGAAAUAAUAAUUCAUUACAAUGCAGCAUAUAAGUGUAAUCCGUCUUAGCAAUUCAGUUUGGCUUCCGAUAGUUCUUUGACAGGGGAUUGGGUACAUCUUUAUACUGAUGGGUUGUUAGGUUGGAGUCUGGCUUUGCUGCUUCAGGGGGUCAUCUGUGGGGAAAGAGGAGAAUAGAUUCUUGGUUAUAACCAUUAUUUGGGGAGUUAAUGUUCAGCUUUUGAGGCUGAACUUUGGAGUAUUCUUAAAGGUUUGGCACUUAUUAUGGAACGGGGGUAUAAGAAUAUUUUGGUCCACUCGUAUAGUUUGGAAAUUAUUACAGCUAUACCGACUAGUUGCUUAGAAAGUUCGCCAUCAGUUUUGGUAAGAUGAAUUCACUUGAACUUACAAACUGUUAAACAGUGGAACUUCACACAUAUUCCAAGGGAGAGGAAUAGACUUGCAGAUAGUCUCGCUAAAAUGACUUCAGGAAGCAAUUCACAAGAACAACUAUUUGUUAGGAUCCUAGAGGAGUUCUUCGAUGAAUUUGGGUUUGAUAGAGUAGUUGAGUUUUCCGUUGUAAUUACUUAGGUUAGGAUUUAGGCUAUUUUUUGCACCAAAAAAAGAGUUAGUAAUGUCAUGCACUUGUAUGUUGAUCAAGCACUCAUUUCUUAUCAAGAUAUGCUUCAACAACUACCCAAUAAUUUUGAUGUUAUGACUCCUUUUCUCUUUUGGGUCGAUAGGGGAUUACUUUGUUGAUGUGAUAAUAAUUCCUAAUUAUCGUAUAAUCCAACCACAAUAAAAUUUAGGAUGCUUCCUAAAUGUCCCCAAAAUAUCCCACCGAAGACAUAUAUUUGUUUUUCUACUCUUGGAUUUGGGUUGGAUCAUUUCCCCCAAAAUAUUAUAUUUUAAUGCUACGUUCGUUUGAAUCAGUUAUAUGAAUAUAAAUUAAUCAAGGAGUCAACUAUAAUUUCCGGACAGAAAUUCACCCCAACUCUUGAAUAAAAUUCUUUUUUUAUGUUAAAUUUUAAUAAAUAAAAGAAAUCGAUAAUAUAUGAAAUUUAAGUUGUAUAAUUCUACAUAUAAAAUUUUGAUUUUGAUUCAAUUAUACAAAUUAAUAAAAAUAAAUUAAUCAAAUAAUUUUCGUAUAUGGGAUAGAUAAUGCUGAAUUUUGAUAAUUAAGAUUUGUGUUUCUUCGUCACUUUUAAAAGGAUGGUUUACCAAGUAAACUUGACAAUUCUCUUAAAUUAUAAUAAUCCCAUCUGAUUUGACAAUAAUAUCUAUUUAAUCACCAUACCCAACUAAUGAAAUUUCAUUCCGGUCCAUAAAAAUAUAUGAUUUGCAUCACAAUUUUGUCCUACUGGAAGACCUUAACUUUGAUAUUACACACCAAUCACCAUUUCUCAAACAAAUGUUGUGUGUACCUAAACUUUGAAUUUUUAUCAAAUUUUUUCUUGGAAUCAAGUUUUUUUAUAAAAAACAAAAAUUAAAUACGCUUGAUGAUUACACUAAUGUUGAAUCUUGAUAAUUAAGAAUUAUGUACCUAUCAUUUCUAAAUAUUUUUUUAGAAAAAUAUACGUGAAGCAUAGUUUAGCAAGUAAACUUGACAAUGCACUUAUGCUUAUAAUAUCCCAACUAAUUUGAUCCAUCAUUAUUUUUAGGUUAAACUACACAAGUAAUCAUUAAACUAUUAAUGUGUUUCCACUUUGAUCACCCAAGUUUAAAAAUAAUUCUAUCUUAACCACUAACAUGGCUAAAGAUCCAAUUCAACAGUGGCACAAAUAACCAAUCUUUCUAAUGGAUCUAGAUAUCAUUGAAGGAAAAUGCAGCAAGUAUUGAGAUACCAGAUGACACCAAUGCUGGAAACUAAACAAUGAAGCUGAAUCGAGUCCACCACUGGUCCUAUGAAUUAAAAAAACCAACCAAUAACAACUCAGCUGUCAAUAAGAAUUAAGCAUGAAUUUUAAUAUCUGAAUUUUAAGAACACAGACGCAAGAGGGGAAUGAAGAUGAGAAAAUAAUAAUAAUAAGCAACAAUCACAAACUUUUGAACAAAUUUCCAAUUUUUAUGUUCAUAAAUUAUGCUUUUAACAUUUACAAUGUAGAACUACAAGGUUUCAGUAUGGUAAAGCACCUUAUAAAACACAAGUAAUUUAUAAAGCAGAGCAAGUUAGAUUCAUCCUGGUCGGUUUUAAUUAAUUAAAGCACUUCAUUUGCUGUCAUUAAUUUAUAAGUUGAAAAUUUACUAUUAACAAUGGUGGAAAACAAAACUAUGGCAAUAUGAAAAAUGAAAUGAAAAAAUUGAAAAAUGUAUGAUAAUAUGAAAAAAAUGAGAUGAAAAUGAAACCCUUACCUAUGCAUUUGGAUGAAACUCCUCAAAAGCAGAGCCAAAAAUGGAAAGAAAUACAAACUAUUUCAAUCUUUUAAGUCCUCAAUCCCCUUCUUCACCAUCAUGGCUAGAGCUUCUAUUGUUCCCAGCAACUCUCUUUUCAGUAGCAUCUGAAUCACUCUUUUUAUCCACGUAAAAUACAUGAACACCACAUCUCUCCACCUUGAUAUACUCUUCUCCUCCUCUUCCUAAAUCCAGAAGUCUGACGUAGAAUUUGAAUGAUGCCUCCUCAUAAUUCUUGUCUUCUAUAACCAUGUCGAUGCUAGAUAGAAUGAACACGUGAUAAUCCAUGUACUUAUCUGGCUCAUGAAGACUGAAGUGAGAUAUCUCACUUCUGAAAUUUUCACAACCAUCUCCACCAUUGCCGCCACCGGCAGCUGUAAGUUGGUACUCACCAAUAUAUCGAAGUAAAACGUCAUGGCGGUGAGCGAGGUUAGCCACAAGGCAGAUAGCAAAAACCAAAAAUCUGCUCCCACUACCCCCAUUUUUGGAUAUCUUCAAACUUAAGGAAGAAUUCAAGCUCCGAUACUUGAACUUAUUUGCUGAAAUUUCGUUUCCUGGGAAACAGCAAAUCAAACUUCGAAGGUUAUCACGAAAGUCUUUCCUACCAUAUGUCGCUGCCCAUUCCUUAGCUAGGGAACCAAUUUUGAGCAUGGCAUUUGCCUCAAUGUUUUUAGUUGACUCUUGAUUCAAGUUGAAGCAAUUACAGAAUCGCAUCAAUAAGUUAUGAUCUCUGCAAAACUCAUCAACCAAAGAAUCAAACUGAUAUAAAUUUUGAUCUGCAAAGGAUACUUUUUCUAAUGAUGUGCAGUCAUUUGCACUAAAGACUUUCAGAUACGGUGGAAGCUCUGAGAGUACUUCGACCUUUGGGCAACCAUUAAGAUUCAGUUUGCGAAGGGAUUCCAACUUGAUCGAUACAUUUUUGACCGCUGAGCCACUCAUAUUUAAGUGCUGAAGAUUACAUAGGGGAUCGAAAGGCAACGACACUUCUUCAAUUGGGCAAUCACUAAGAUCCAAUUUACGAAGGAAUUCCAGCUUUAAAAUAUUGAUGGAUACAUUUUUUACCUUUGACUUCCCCAACCACAAAGUUUCAAGUUUGUGGACAUCCUUGAUUGAAUCAGGCACUUCUUCUAUUUCGGUUUCUGACAAAUCUAAAGAACAAAAGUGACGUGGGACCUGAGGAAACUUCUUGAGACUAUGACAUCCGUUAAGAUGAAGACACCACCCACUAAGAGAUGCCAACUGAUCGAGGCAAGGAAGUUCAACCAGACUUUUACAGUUAGUGCAAUCAAGGAAUUCAAGGUUGAUGGCUCUUGAAAGAUCAGGCAUCUUUCUUAAAUUACUACAAUUUGAAACGUUAAUUACCGUUAAAUUAUCAAGGUCCUGUACAGAAAAAAUAGCUGUAUUACUUUCAAGCAUCAGCUACCUGGUAAAAAAUGAAAAGGAAAUAAAUAAUUAUAAUACUAUAAAAAAAUAAAAAUUUAUAUUUGACGUAUCGGUGUGAAAAUGCACCCACAAUUAAUAAAUCAAACAAUUUCACUCAUCUAAAUAAAAUAAAAUAUUUUAUAUUUAUUUUUUAAAAACUUUAAAUAAAAUGUUAUCAUAUGAAUAUUUAUACAUCAAAAUAUAUUUUUUUUCAAAAAAAAGUAUGAAAAUACAUACCAUACAAUCAUCUCCGUUCCAAAGUUCAACCAAACUUUUACAGUUAGAGCAAUCAAGGUAUUCAAGGUUGAUGGCUCUUGAAAGAUUAGGUAUUUUCCUUAAGCUCACGCACCCAUUGAAGUCAAUUUGCCUUAAAUUAACGAAAUCCUGUAUAGAAAAAAUAAGUGUAUUACUUUUAAACAUCAACUAUUUAGUAAAAAAUGGAAAGGAAAGAAAUAAUUAUAAUACUAUACAAAAAUAAAAAUUUAUAUUUAAUGUAUCCGGCGUGAAAAUUCUCCCACAAGUAAUAAAUUAAACGAUGUCACUUAUCUAAAUAAAAUAAAUUAUUUUAUAUUUAUUUUUUAAAGACUAAAUAAAAUGUUAUUAUAUGAAUAUUUGAUACAUCAAAUUAUAAAUCAUAUUUUUUGAAGAAAAGUAUGAAAACGCAUACCGUACGAUCACCUUCAUUCCCAAGUUCAACCAAACUUUGACAGUCAGUGCAAUCAAGGGAUUCAAGGUUGAUGGCUCUCGAAAGAUUACAUAUCUUCCUUAAAUUAUUGCAUUCUGCAACGUAAAUUUCCCUUAAAUUAACAAGCUCCUGUAUAGAAACAAUAUUUGUAUUACUUUUAAGCAUUAACUACUUACUUUAAGCUGUAAGAAAUGAAAAAGGAAAUAAAUAAUUAUAGUACUAAGAAAAAUAAAAAUUCAUAUUUGAUGUAUUGGAUGUCAAAAUUAACUCACAAUUAAUAGAUCAAAUGAUGCCACUAAUUUAUAUAAAAUCUUUCAUAUUUAUUUUUUAAAAACUUUAUGAUUAUUUGAUACACUAAAUUAUAAUUUUUUUUCUUAAAAAAUUCUUGAAUGAAAAAAGUAUGAAAGUACACAUACUAUAUGAUCAUCUUCAUUCCAAAGUUCAACCAAACUUUCACAGCCAAUGCAACGAAGGAGCUCAAGGUUGAUGGCUCCUGAAAGACUAGGCAUCUUCCUUAAAUUCUUGCAAUAUGAAACGUCAAUUUCCCUUAAAUUAGCAAGGUCCUGUGCAAAAGAAAAAUAUAAAAAAAUAAUUAUAUCACUUUUAAGUAUCAUCUACUUACUUUCGGCAAUAAAAAAUGAAAAAAAAAUUAACAAGAUCCUGCACACGAUGAGAGCAAAAGUAGUUUCAUUACUUUAGAGCAUCAUUUACUUAUUUUAAGACUAUCAAAAUAAAAAUUUAUAUUUGCUGUUUUGGGUGUAUUAAUACACCCACCAUGAAGAUUAAAUUAUGUUGCUUCUUUUAAAAAAUAGAAUAAAAUUAUAUAUAUAUAUUAAAAAAAUUUAAUAAAAAUAUGUUAUCAUAUAAUUAAAUGCUAUAUCAAUUAUAAAUUCUUUUUCUUUUAAAAAAAAUUCAAAUGAAGAAAGUAUAAAAGUAUACAUACCUGAUGUCCAUCCCAAUGAUGUCCAUCCCAAAGUUGUUCCAUGUCUCCAUGUGGUAAUUUCAAUACUACAAGGUUUUCUGGAUUAAAACUUGAUGAUAAAGAUUUACAGGGAUAAUCAUCCCAUCGAAGAUACCUUAGCUCAUCAGGAAGAGGUACAAUAUCAACUUGAUUUGUAUAUAGUUUCUUAUCAUUUCCACACUCUGAAUUCUUAGGAGAAUAGAAGAUGAUAUAUUUAAGAUUAGUCAUGUUUUCAAAAACAAAAGGGUGUAAUAGUAGUUUAUCCAUAUGUGACAUGUUUAACUUCAUUCCUUGAAUUCGAUCCGUCCCCUGAUAACAAAAAUCAAUUUAUCAAAUAUGAGCAUGGAGAAAUUUAUGGAUAUUCCAUUCUAAAAGUGUUUUUUUUUUCCAAAUCAACGCAUAAUGUAUUUAACUAAGCCAUAAACCUUGACCAGAUUUUACAUUAUACUUAAGACAUCGGUCAUUAUGUGUCCAAUAUAGAUUUAUAUAGUGAUGUUGAACCACAUGAUAGUAUAUCAUUAAAGCAUAUUAAAAAAAAUAAAAGAAUAUGAAUACAAGUAAUGCUUACUUGAUUAUAUUUGAGCACUCGUUUGAUGUGUUCAUGACUCCAUAGCCUCCUGCACUUUCCAGGGGUUUUAGAUUUUUGGCGAAUAAUAUCUUUUCCCAACUCUUCAAGCAUAUCAUGCAUACAUAUUAUAUCUUCAUUAUGAGUAGAAGAUGAAGGUGAGAUAUUAAUUAGGCACUUGCUGACCAAUUUGCUUAUUCCAUCCUCUACCCCUCGAUAACAACUUAGAACAUGUUUUAUUCUUUUUAUGGGCUCCCCUUUGAAGAAGCAUGCAAUGUCAAGAAAUAUAUUCUUCUCUACCAUACCUAGCCUAUCAUAACUACUUUUCAAAACCACAAAAAUUUCUGGGUGGGAAUAUUCCCUUAGCUUCUCCAUCUCACUUUCCCAAUCAUUUAUAGUCCUUUCAUAUAAAUUACAACCCAAAACUCUAAGAGCAAGUGGAUUGCCUUGGGCGUACUCCAGAAACUUGCAUGACAGAUCUUGAAAACCAACUGCGGGAUUCAACUGCUUAAAUGCAAAGGUAGAAAAAAGUUGAAGAGAAUCAUUCUUAUUUAAUGCCUUCACCUCAUGUAUUGUGUCAGCUCCUCCACUCUUAAGCACUUGUUUCUCUCUAGAUGUUAUAAUGAUUUUACUUCCAGAGCCCAAAUGUUUAACACCCAUACAAUCUAUUUGGUUUGGGUCACUAAUAUCAUCAAGGACAACAAGUACUUUCUUAUUGUUGAGCCUCUGUUGAGUUAAAGUGGAUCCUAUAGAGGGGGUGUCUAUAUCAACAUUUGAGUUCAAUAAUUUCGAAAGAAGUUCAUUUCGUAAAGAUUUCUUCCCCUGUUUUUCUAUUUCCUCUCUAACAUUAUGAAGAAAGCAACAACUUUCAAACUCUAAAGAGAUUUUUUUAUAUACAGCCUCGGCAAGGGUUGUUUUGCCUUGACCACCCAUUCCCCAAAGUCCUAUUACACGACAGUCUUUUUUCUUAAUCAGCUUCAAAAUCGUCCUUUUCUGAUCAUCUAUUCCAACCAAUUCUUCAGAAGCACUUUCAAACCCAAUAUUCGUCAACUUUUUUAUAACAUAUUCGACAACAUCUUUAAUGUACGCGGUUUCAGGUCUAGAAAACAAUAAAAAAUGUAAAUAAGUAAAUAUGAAAUCUAAAACAAAGAUAAGUUGAAAAUAACAAGAUGAGAAAAAUAUAGUUACCUGUCAAAUUUGCCUCCUUCUAUAUGCCACCCUUUUAAUUUACCGACCUCUGCAAAAGCAGUUUUCCAUUGUUGUACUCUUUCAGCUGGUUGCUUUGAUUCAUGCUCUUCGAAGGAUGUCUUAAAAUGCCCACCACUAUGUCGCACAUCGGAAGGAUCAACAUGGUAAAAGACGGGAAGAACAAUAUGUUUGUCAGUGGGAUUGUGCUUGCGAUCCAUGAUGUCAGAAAGUUGAUCUAAGCAUGAUUCUGAAGAAGCAUAGGCUUUAGAUAAAACGAGGAUUGAGAGAUUUGAGGCCGAAAUUGUUCGAGAAUAUGUUGAUCGAAGUUUCUCUCCCUUUUUCAGUGUUUCGUUAUCGGGGAAGACAUUAAUUCCUACUUUUUCCAAACCAUUGACUAGGUGACUGGAAAAGUUGAGGCAUGUGUCUUCACCUAAGCUUAAGAAAACUUGAUGCUUCAUCAACUUUUGCAUAACAUACGCAACAAUAUCCUUGAUGUACUGGGUUUCAGGUCUAGCAAAUAAUAGAAGUAUAUAUAUGAAAUCCAAAACGAAGAUAAGUCAAAUAUAAGGAGAUGAGGCAAAUAUAGUUACCUAUCCGAGAUGCUUCCAUCUAUAUGCCACCCUUCUAAUUUACCGACUUCAGCAAAAGCAGUUUUCCAUUGUUUCACUUUAUCAACUGACCACCUUGUUUGGUGAUCAUCAAAGGAUUUCUUAAAACUCCCAUCAAUAUUCUCCACAUCGGAGGGGUUAACAUGGUAAAAGAUGGGAAGAACAAUUUGUUGUUUGACGCUAUAGAGCUCCAUGAUGUCAGAGAGUUCAAGCAAGCAUGAUUUCGAAGAGGCGUAGUCUGCAGACAAAACGAUGAUUGAGAUAUUUGAGACUGCAAUUGCUCGAGAAAGUGCAUCUGAAAGCUGCUCUCCCCUUUCCAGUUUUUCUUCAUCGAAGAAAACAUCAAGUCCCUCGUCUUUCAAAGCUUGAAGUAAGUGAGUGGUGAAAUUAAGGCGCGUGUCUUCACCUCUGAAGCUCAAGAAAACAUGAUACUUCAUUAGAGUAGAAGAAGAAGAAGAAGAAGAAGAAGCCAUGGAAGAGUAUUGAAGCAAAAGAGAGAAAAUUUGCUUGGGUUGUGGUAUUAUUGUAAGAAUAAAAAGUGUAAAACAUGCAUAAUCUUUGGUAUCCUUUUAUUAAAUGGGAAAGAGAUUGAAGGCGUUUUCCUUAGACUUCUUAGCCAAUUAUCUUAGACAACACCACCAGAGAGAAUCAAUUCUCCUUUUUAUCUUUUACCGACAAAAGUGGGAGUGUUUUCAUGGUAUUCUUAUUUGAACGAUUAAUAAAAUAUAAAUUUAAAAAUCGCGAUUAAUUGAGCUUAGAUGAGAGGAUAAGUUUACAGUUUUAUAAUAAAGUCCCUCGUGAUAGUUUUAAAUUUUUUAAAUCAAGAUAAAAGGUAAGAGUGCUUUUGAUCAAUUUAGUUUGAUGUAAUUUUUAUUUGUUUGUUUAUUUUUUUACUAAAAAAUCAGUUAUUUUCUUAAACCGAAUCGAAUUGAAUUUUAUUUUUAUUUCAUACAUAAUUAAUUUUAAUUUUUAUGAUAUAAAAAUAUAUAUUUUAUAUUUAAAAUAGUGAAAGUAAUUUAAAAAUUAAAAAAAUGAAAAUGAAUUUAAAAUUUAUCAAAUAAUAUUUAAAAGCCAUAAAAUAAAACUCAUUUUAUCAAAAUAAACCUUAAAAAUUAAAAUAAAAACUUAAUAUAAAAAAUUGUGAACAAAUCGAGCCGAAUUAAACUAUAAUAGACGAUUCAAAAAAUAUAAAUAACCCGACCCUGUGAACCUCUUAGAAACUUCAGUAUCCAUGAAAUUAGCCAAUUUGAAAAGGGGUCAAAAUUUGAUUUUGAGUCUCUCUACUAUUCUCAAAUUCGAGAUUUAGUCCUUUAACUUAAAAUAAUCUCUUUAUUUAUAUGUUGUCAUUAGUUAAUUCAAACAAGACAGUUAACUAUUUCAAUUAAAAUUAAAAUUUUAGUACAUAUUAUUAUUUAAGUGAUAUAAUAUCUUGUGAAAGGUCACCAAAAUAAACAAAUAAAAGAACAAAAAAAAAUUGAGAGAGAAGUGAUGAAGAUAAGGGCAUAGUUAACUUUUUCCAUGUUUAUUAAGGUAAAUAAUCUUAUGAAGCAAAUCCAAAAAAUUUAAUUUGGACCCAAUUCUAAAGUUUGGCUGAAGCAUAGGCAAAGACUUGAAUAACCCACCGCCAUAAAAAAAUUUACUGGAAAACAGUUAAAUUUUAAUUUUGAUCCCUAUAUUAUUUUCAAAUUUAAGAUCUAAUUUCUGAAAAUUAGUAAGUAUUCCUAUUAUGACAUUAUCGAUUUGGAGUAUUCUCAAAUUUAAAAUGGAAUCCCUAUAUUUCAAAAUCACUUGUAGUGAAGCAUAGGCGACGAUUUGAGCUUAGCCAAUUAUCUUUGACGGCAAUAAAAAAUACAUGUGCUUGUGCAGCUUUGAUAAAUUGCAUAGUGAAUCUUGUUUUUUCUUGUCUAGUCUGUUCAAUAAAACUGAACUAUCUGACCCACACAUCUCAAAUGUUAAGUUAACAUGCGAUCUUAAAAGAAAUAUGGGUUAUGGUGAGAAGAAUUCAGAACACUUUUAUCUUCAACUCAAUUAAUCUAGUGGCUCCAAAUUGGCUUUUUUUUUUUUUUUGCUUUUUUUUUUUACCAUUGGAUUCUAUUUGAUAAAACUAAAAAUAAGUUCUUUUCUUCAUAAGCAUUGUUUUUCAAAGUUGAAACCCCACCACCCAUUCAAUCCUAUCCAUUACUUGAUAAAAGCUGAAGCAUAGGCCACGAAUUUAGCUUACCCAAUUUUCUUUUACCGACAGAAUUGAGCAAUAAGAUUUACUCUUUCGACAGAAUUUUUUUAAAUGUCAUUCAUCAUAUAGUCGAUGCUACCCUCAACAAUUGUUCCAUAUCGAGAUUUUGUCCCUAACUUCCACGGAGAGCCAUUGUAUGGUUCACCGGACAGGAAACCUCGAUUGGUGGAGAAGAUACGUACUUGUAGGAGAGGUAAAAUAUUUUUCACGGGCAAAAUAUUUAAAACCAACAUGCUCCCAAGGAGAAGGUUAUUUAUGCCUUGAUUGGUGGUUUGAAUCUCCACGUGCAUAUUUUAAAAUGAUUAAUAUUUUUGCAUAAUGCUCACGCUUCUCUCCUAAUCUCCUAAAAGCACGUAUCUCUUCCACCAAUUGAAGCACUCCACUCCCUAAAUCCACAAGGCUCUCCACUUAGUUGAGACGUAAAAACUUCAACACGGGAUAAUACCUCUAAUAGUUGGGUGAAGUACUGACUGCCCGACAAACAACACCUCAAAGACUUCUCUUGAAAGAGUCGGACCCCCUCAACAAAUUUAAACCGAAGUUCUUUUUUCAUGAAAACCUAAAACAAUAAAAGUGGGACAAAAUAAAAAUUUAGAUUACAAACCAUAAAUAGUUUGAGCAAAAACAUUUAAAAUGAUGUUUUAUAAUGAAAACUUAUUUUAAUUAUGAAAUUUGAUCCAUAAUCAAACAACACAGCUCGUUUGUAUAUGUCAUGCUACGUACCUUAGCUGUAAAGGGUAUCAAGUAACUAGUCGACAAUCCAAAAUUAUAACUUAUUUCAAAUAUGACAUUUCCAUCAUUUUCGGUAUCCAAGAUAUCCAAAAUCUUUCGGGGAUUGAGUUUUAGCAUAGAUAUCAUCGUUGGCAUUACAAUAAUUAAGAGGAUGUGUUUAAAUAUUUUAAAAGUUUGAUAGUUUAUGAUAGAAGUAGGGAUUAUAUAAGAAAAUUAAAAUUCUUCCAAAAUGAUGGUGAUGAUUAGGAAUUUCCAAGUCAAGGUCUUCCAAUGGGACAAAAUUGUUAAGCAAGUGACUAAACUAAUAAAAGAGUCGUUGAACUAGUUAACUACUUGUGUUAAAUAAGUUCAAAUACUUUCGGUCUACUCAAAUAAAACUCUAGUUUGAACUACCCGUUAUUUAAAAUGAAGUAUUAAUUUAUAUUAAAGAUUUUAUUUAAGAUAUUUGGAUAACAUUUAAAGUUUGAAUGCUUAUUUGGGGUAUAAUACAAGUAUAAGAAAUUAUUUAGAUAAAGUGAUAAAACUUAAGGGCCUAUUUCAUAUAUUCAUAUAAGUAAAUUAUCUAUAGGAAAAAAUAUAUUUGUUGAUUUUUUUAUAGAUAUUAUCUAUAUUAGUAGUUUCAACAAAUUGAAAUAAAAUGGGUUUCUUUUUAUAGUUAAAAUUUAUUUUAAUUUAUGAAAUUUCGCUUGUGAUCAAGUAGCUCUGCUCUUAUGUUGUAGGUAUACCUAUUCAUGGGUCGGGUCAUUCGACCCGGUCUGAAGGCUUGUCUGAAAAGUGGGAGAAUUUUAGUAAAAAUAUAGACUCGAAAAAUGGAAUUGAAAAAAAAUAAAGCCUGUUUAAAAAACGGAUUAGGCCCCAGGUAAGACAUUUUUGGCCCAAGCCUGUCCCAAAUUCACUAAAUGACAAAAGAAUAUACUAUUUUUUUGUUAUUUUAAUUAUAUAUUCUUGUUGUUUCCUCCUUAUUUUGCUACCAUUUCACUAUUAUGUUGCUAAUAUUUUGUUGUUAUUAUUUGGAUAUUGUAUAACACUUGUUUUACUGUUAAUUUUGUUAUUAUUUGAAAUAUAUUUGCUUGUUAAGUUGCAUCUAUGUUAGUGAUAUUUAAUUAUACAUAUUUUUUAAAAUUUGUUUUCAAUUUGUUGAGAAAUAUGUAUUUUAAUGUUUUUAAUAUUUUUUAUAUAUUAUAUAUAUUUAAAAAAUCAUAUAAAAAUUUAAUAUGGGUGGGCUAUGUCGGACCCAAGUUUUACAUUUUUAUCUAGGCCCGACUUGGAUAAAUUUUUAAGCCUAUUUUUUAGCCAAACCCAGGUCUAAUAAAUAGACCUAAAUUUUUACUUGAGCUCAACUCAGCCUGACCCAGUCCAUGAGCACCUCUAGUUUUAUGUGAUGCUAUUUUUUAUUUUUGAAGAUAAUCAAUAACUAGUCAACAAUCCAAAAUUAGCCAUUGUUUCAUAUAUGCAUAUUUUUGGAAUGGGAUAAAGCAACAUUCAAUCUGACAUUUUUUCUUAACUUGGUCCUCAACUUGGUUUUUUGUCCAUAUUAAUCUUGAAACAUGUCAAUUUUUAGCAAUUUUGGUACCUGCGAUGAUGUGACACUUUUAGAUUGAGCUACAUCAUCAAUUAAGUUAUUAUAUAUUUUAAAGUGCAACAUCAUUAUAGCGAUCAAAAUUUGAAAAAAAAAAUACUCAUUUUCAUUAAAGUUCCCUGAUAACAAAAACUAAUUUAUCAAAUAUUAGCACGGAAAAAUUUAUAGACAUUCCACUAAAUAACUCAUAAAAAUAAUUAUAUUAGGAUAGGCGUAAACUAAUUGAACACUUUUAAGAAUUUUUACAUACAAAAAGUGUUUUCUUUUCUUUUCUUUUUAUUUUUUCAAAUCAAUGCAUUAAGUAUUUAACUAAGUCAUAAACCUUGAGCAGAUUCUACAUUAUACCUAAGACAUAGUUAUUAUGUAUCAUUAUGCAUCAAUUCUGUCAUACCAGGCCCUUGGUGCUUAAGAAAACUUGAUGCAUCAUUUGAUGAGAAGAAGAUGAAGAAGACGCCAUGAAAGUGUAUGGAUUGUGAGAUUGAGGAAAAAGAGCACAAAUAAACCGUGGGAGCUUUGCUUUUGCUUCUACUUUUUAUUCAAAUUCUCUUAUAUUUUGGAUCAACCUUCGAGCUUGACAUUUGCAUGUUGUUAGUAAUACGAGCUGUUAUCCUUAGAUGAAUAUCCAAUUUAAAGGGACUGUUUUUCUUGCCUAGUCUGUGAAAUAAUUGUUCCAUCCAUUAGUGUACUAUUUGGUCCCCGACGCCCCACAAUUAAGUUCACAUAAUAUUGAUUUUCAUGUGUUUUUUUCCUUACCUUCAUUCAUUGAUUGCAAAAAAGCAAAUCAAUACUAUGCUACAAAGCCGUCAGUCAUCCUCUUGGCUGAAUUUUCAUGGAAAAUCUGCAGAUUACAGUCUUAUAGCUGUAACUUCAUAAUGCACCAAAGCAUGAAAAUUCACCACUUGAUAUUAGACACCUAUCAUCCAGUUUGGUUUUUAAAUAAGCACUUCGUUUCCUAUCAUAUGAGAUUAAUUUAUUUAAAAAUUGUGGAUGCAAGCUUACAACAUCUAUCACUAGCUAAUUUGUAAUGCUAAUGGACCUGAAUUUGUGUAAUUACUGCAAUAUAUAAUAAUCAGAGUUGUAUAAUUUGUGUUUUUUCUUAUAGUAGAUCAUAGUUUAGGAUUACAGAAAAUUAAUUUAAUUACUAAGCUUCGAAUCUUGAACUUGUUGGAUAUCAUCUCAUCAAAACCAAUGUACAAACCAAUUCCAAAACAGAGUAGAACUCUGGAAUUUUAAUUACAAAAAGGGAAAAUUGAUUCAAGUUUUAGCCCAAACUGAUGUAACAAUCAAGUCAAAUAUAUAGCUUUACCAUGAAACCAACUCUUCAUUUUGAAGUUCCAACUAAACCAAAAUCAUUUGGAUUUUUUUUUCCAGGUGUUUAUGUUGGGUUCCUCUAUGGGGUAAACAACAAUCUAGCUUGAGAAUGAAAACUGUGAUAGGGUUGGCAUUGAAAAUAACAUCCAGGCUCCAUGUGUUCAUUCAACGAGUUUUGAGAUGACAGCAACACUGCCAAAUUCUGCAUGCAUUUAUAUGGUCCAUUGAUAAAGCAGGGGAAAAGAAUGCCAUGAGGAUACUAAUAAUCAGAAUGAGUCAAUAGUAAUUUACCCAAGAGCAUAUGCUUCCUCUCAAUGGGAUAAACAAGGCAACUCUGUUGACAAGUUGCAGUACUGCUUCAAUAUCUAAGUCCAACCACAAUAUAAAGAAAUCAUUUAGUAGACGAAAUUGAAGAUCUUAAAAGCUUACUUGUUACAAAAAUCUGUUAUUUAUUCCCUCAUCUGCUUUCCUUACAUCAAUCAUUGCCAUCUUUAUUCCCUUCACAUGAAUCUCUAGGUAAAAGGGCACAUCUAUAAAUGUGGAUUUUGUGGGAACUUCAUUUUUUGGUGAGAAAGAACAUAUCAAAAAACCACCCAUAAUCUGCAACUUAAAUUCCAGUAGAGUAUUGAAUCUGUGUCUGGCUUGACUUUCAUGCAAGUUUUAUGAAAUCUACAGAUCACAGUCAUAAAAAAAAAAAAAAAUAGAACAUAACAAAUAGAAAAUACGUACUCCUAGAUCAAUAUAAAAGCAUAGGUUAUAAGAUUAGCCAAUCUCAAACAUAUGUUGAUUAUAUUUAGGUAAUAGUUGGUAGGUUUAGCUAACAUGAAUGUAAAUUAGAAAUCAUGAACUGAAACAUUAUAUAUAUAUAUAUAUUUACCAACUUUCAAAGGAAACAUGAAACAUAAAUCAAUGGGUGAACAAAUCAUUGAAGUAAAAUGCAGAUAGUAUUGAGAUGCAAUAUGAUUAAAUCUCUACUUGCUGCCUAUGGCAUGAGCACCAAUGGUGGAACCUAAACAAUUAAGCUGAAUGAUGUCCACCACUGAUCCUAUGAAUCAAAACCAGCCAAUAACAAGUCAACUGUCAAAAAGAAUUCAAGUAUGAAUCUUAAUCUCUCCUCACUACAAUGCUCAAACAACAUGAGAGCAGUAACAUACAAAGAAAUUUCAGCCCAAACUGAUAUGAUAAUCAAAAUCCAAGAUAAGAAAAUAUCAACUCCAAUAGCUCUACCAUGAAACUAACCCAAUCUAGCUUGAGAAGAAAACUGUCAAAGGUUGCCUCCAGCUCCAUGUGUUUAUCCCACAAGUUUUGAGAUCUGUUGCAAAUUCUGGAUUUAUAUAAUCCCAUUGAUAAAUAUGGGAAAAAUGGCGAGGAUUCUGAAAAUCAUUAUAUGAACCUAAAAUCAUGAUAAUAAGUCAAAGUCAAAAGGAACUUACUUAUCCACCAAGACUGAAUUGCCAGAACCCAAAAAGGGGCUCAAAAGAUUACUUUGACUUUGUGUUGACAAAUCUGUUGACAACUUGCAUUGUCACCAAAUAUCAGUUCAAACACUUAUAUAAAGCAAGCAUUCAGUAAAUAAAAUUGAAGGUCUUACAGCUCAGGUGUUCCUCCUUGUAUGGCUAAAGCUCCAAUUCAGCAGUGGCAUUCCCAAAGAUUUGUCAUUCCCUAAUCUUACAUCAACACAGAAGCAAAGGAUAUAAGAAAAAACAAUCUCACAAAUAACCAAUCUUUCUAAUGAAUCAAGAUAUGAUUGAAGGAAAAUGCAGCAAGCAUUGAGAUACCAGAUGAUACCAACGCUGGAACUAAACAAUGAAGCUGAACCGAGUCCACCAAAUAGCUAAAGCUCCAAUUCAGCAGUGGCAUUCCCAAAGAUUUGUCAUUCCCUAAUCUUAAAUCAACACAGAAGCAAAGGAUAUAAGAAAAAACAAUCUCACAAAUAACCAAUCUUUCUAAUGAAUCAAGAUAUGAUUGAAGGAAAAUGCAGCAAGUAUUGAGAUACCAGAUGAUACCAACGCUGGAACUAAACAACGAAGCUGAACCGAGUCCACCAUUGGACCUAUGAAUUAAAAAAAAAAAACCCAAUAACAAGUCAACUGUCAAUAAGAAUUAAGUAUGAAUUUUAAUAUCUGAAUUUUGGCAACCACCAAAAUCCCCUAUGGAUAUUUUAUCAACUCCAAAGCAGAAUCAUUUUGCUACUGUAUUGAAAUCUCCAGUUACUGUUCAAUUUUCCUCUAAAUUAAUUAAUAUAUAUGGAGAAUUUCCUUCUUGGACAAUAUAUGCUAUAUCUACAAAAGAACACAGACACGACAGGGGAAUGAAGAUGAGAAAAAUGAUAGUAAGCAACAAUCACAACUGUUGAACAAAUUUCCAAUUUUAUGUUUCAUAAAUUAUGCUUUUAACAUUUACAAUGUGGAACUACAAGGUUUCAGUAUGGUAAAGCACCUUCUAGAAGACAAGUAAUUUAUAAAGCAGAGCAAGUUUAGAUUCAUCCUGGUCGGUUUUAAUUAAUUAAAGCACUUCGUUUGCUGUUAUUAAUUUAUAAGUUCAAAAUUUACUAUUAACAAUUGUGGAAAACAAAAGCAUGGCAAUAUGAAAAAUGAAAUGAAAAAACUGAAAAAUGUAUGAUAAUAUGAAAAAAUGAGAUGAAAUGAAACCCUUACCUAUGCAUUUGGAUGACAUAAUUGACAAGUUGAAACUCCUCAAAAGCAGAGCCAAAGAUGGAAAGAAAUACAAACUAUUUCAAUCUUUUAAGUCCUCCAUCCCCUUCUUCACCAUCAUGGCUAAAGCUUCUUUUGUUCCCAGCAUGUCUCUUUUCAGUAGCAUCUGUACCAUCUGUACCAUCUGUAGCAUCUGUAUCAUCUGUAGCAUCUCUCUGCAUCCACGUAAAAUACAUGAACACCACAUCUCUCCACCUUGAUAUACUCUUUUCCUCCUCUUCUUAAAUCCAAAAGUCUGAUGUAGAAUUUGAAUGAUGCCUCCUCAUAAUUCUGGUCUUCUUUAACCAUAUCGGCGGUAGAUAGAAUAAACAAGUGAUAAUCCUUGUACAUCUCUGGCUUAGGAAACAAUAACAAAGAUAUUUUACUUCUUAGCUUUUCAUAACCACCACCACCACCAUCAUUGCCACCAUCGGCGGCUGUAAGUUGGUACCUACAAAUACAUUCAACAUUACUAAUGUAACGGCAGUGAGUGAGAUCUGCCACAAGGCAGAAAACAAAAACCAAAAAUCUGCUCCCACCACCCCCAUUUGGGGCUAUCUUCAAACUUAAGGAAGAAUUCAUGCUCUGACACUUGAACUUAUUUGCUGAAAUUUUGUUUCCUGGGAAACAACAAAUCAAACUUGACAAAUCAGGAAUCUUGCCACAGCAAUCAAACCUCGCUGCCCAUUUCUUAGCUAGGAAUCGAAUUUUGAGCAUGGCAUUUUCCUCAAUGUUAUUAAUUGACUCUUGAUUCAAGUUGAAGCAAUUACAGAAUAACAUGCGAAACACACCAUCACGUUCAUCACCUAAAGAAUCAAACUGAUAUAAAUUUUGAUCUGCAAAGGAAACUUUUUUUAAUGAUGUGCAGCCAUGUACAUUCAGGUAGAGCAGAUAUGGUGGAAGCUCUGAGAGUAAUUUGAGGCUCUUGCAACGAUUCAUAUGCAUAUACUUAAGGCUUUUAAACCUAAAGCUAGCUGAGCGCACAUCAACAGUUGGAAAUUUAACGAUUGGACAACCACUAAGAUCUAGAACUUCAAGGGAUUUCAACUUUGAAAUAUUGCUUGAUACAUCUUUUACCAUUGAGUUUGUCAAGGUCAACCGUUGAAGUCUGUCGAGAAGCUCAAUGAAAUCAGGUACCAUUUUUAUUCCGGUUUCUGAUAAAUUUAACGUAUCAAAGUUAUUUGGGAUCUCCGGAAACUUCUUGAGACUACGACAUCCCAUAAGGUAAAGGGUUCUAAGUGAUGUCAAAUGGGCGAGGGAAGGAAGUUCGACCAAACUUUCGCAAUUUUCACAGUCAAGUCUUUUAAGGUUGACGGCUCCUGAUAAAUUAGGGAUCUUCUUUAAAUUUUUGCAACUGAAAAGGUUAAUUCUCCGUAAAUGAACAAGAUCCUGCACAUGAUGAGAACAUAAAGUAGUUAGAGCAUCAUUUACUUAGACUCUAUCAAAAUAAAAAUUUAUAUUUGAUGUAUUGUUUCUUUUAAAAAAUAGAAUAAAAUCUUUUAUAUUUAUUUUUUAAAAAAUUUAAUAAAAAUAUGUUAUUUAAAUGCUAUAUCAAUUAUAAAUUCUUUUUCUUAAAAAAAUUCUUGGACAAAGAAAGUAUAAAAGUAUAUAUACCUGAUGAACUUCGUUCCAAAGUUGUUCCAUCUUUCCAUAUGGUAAUUCCAAUGCAAUAAGGUUCUUUGGAUUAUAACUUGAUGAUAAAGAUUUGAAGGGAUAAUAAUGCCAUACAAGAUACCUUAGCUCAUCCGGAAGAGAGAUAAUAUCAUCUUGGUAUGUAUGUAGCUUCUUAUACUCCUCAUGCUCUUUCCUCAACCAACUCCGUGGAAAAUAGAAGAAAAUAUAUCUAAGUUUAAUCAUGCUUUCAAAAGCAGAAGGUUGGAAUAAUAGGUUACCCAUACGUGACAAAUCUACCUUUAUUCCUUGAAUUCGAUCAGUUCCCUGAUAACAAAAACCAAUUUAUCAAAUAUUAGCAUGGAGAAAUUUAUGGACAUCCAUUAAAUAACUCAUAAAAAAUAUAAUUAUAUUAGGAUAGGCGUAGACUAAUAGAGCACUUUUAAGAACUUUUACAUACAAAAAGUGUUCCCUUUUCUUUUGUUUUUAUUUUUUCAAAUCAAUGCAAUAAGUCAUAAACCUUGAGUAGAUUCUACAUUAUACCUAAGAUAUAGUCAUUAUGUGUCCAGUAUGAUGAUAAUUCUAAAUACUAAUUAAAAGGGAUAAUACUUGAUAUGAUAUCAAAUGUAUGGGUUUAUAUAGUGGCAUUCAACCAAAUGACAAUAUCUCAUUAAAGUAUAUUAAAAAUAUAAAAGAAUAUAAAUAUAAUUAGUGCUUACUUUAUUAUGUUUGAGCACUUCUUCCACGUCUUUCAGAUUCCAUAGUCUACUGCACUUACCAAUGUCCUUUCCCAUCUCUUCAAGCAUAUCAUGCAUAGAAAUUGCAUCUCGUAAUAAUUUACGGGGGCCCAUUGUAGAAUAACCAAAAUAAUCAAGAGAGAAAUUAGUAGAUGAGACAUUGAUCAGGCAUUUGUCAACCAAUUUGUUUAUUCCACACUCUGCACCCUUAUAACAACCACUUAGAAUAAGUUUUGCUCUUUCCAUGGGUUCCCCUUUAAAGAAGCAUGCAAUGUCAAGAAAUAUAUUCUGCUCUACUAAAUCUAGCCCAUCAUAACUACUUCUCAAAGCCUCUGAAAUUUUUUUUUCUGGGGGACAGUCCUUUAGCUUCUCCGCCUUACUUUCCCAAUAAUUUAUACUUUUAUUUAAAUCAGAACCCAAAUCAGAACCCAAAACUUUAAGAGCAAGUGGAUUGCCUUGAGUGUACUUUACAAACCUACGAGAUAGAUCUUCAAAACCAACUGCGGGAUUCAACUGCUUAAACGCAAAGGUAGACAAAAGUUGAAGAGAAUGGUUCUUAUUUAACCCUUUCACCUCAUGUAUUGUGUCAGCUCCUCCACUCUCAAGCACUUGUCUAUCUCUUGAUGUUAUAAUUGUUUUACUUCCAUAACCAAAAUGUUUAACACCCAUAUAAUCUAUUUGGUCUGAGUCAUCAACAUCAUCAAGGACAACAAGUACUUUCUUCUUGUUGAGUCUCUCUUGAGUUAAAGUGGAUCCAAUGGAGGGGGUGCCUAUAUCAACAUUUGAUUUCAAUAAUUUCGAAAGAAAUUUAUUUCGUAAAGAUUCCUUCCCUUUUUUUUUUACUUUCACUCUAACAUUUUGAAGAAACCAAUGACUUUCAAACUCUGAAGAGAAUUUUUUAUAUACAGCCUCAGCAAGGGUUGAUUUGCCUUGACCACCCAUUCCCCAAAGUCCUAUUACACGACAGUCUUUUUGCUUAAUCAGCUUCAAAAUCGCAUUUUUCUGAUAUUCUAUUCCAACCAAUUCUUCAGAAGCACUUUCAAACCCAAUAUUCGUCAACUUUUCUAUAACAUAUUCAACAUCUUUAAUGUACUCGGUUUCAGGUCUAGAAAACAAUAAAAAAUGUAAAUAAGUAAAUAUGAAAUCUAAAACAAAGAUAAGUUGAAAAUAACAAGAUGAGAAAAUUAUUGUUACCUGUCAAAUUUGCCUCCUUCUAUAUGCCACCCUUUUAAUUUACCGACCUCUUCAAAAGCAGUUUUCCAUUUUUGUACUCUAUCAGCUGGUUGCUCUGAUUCAUGCACUUCGAAGGAUGUCUUAAAAUGCCCACCACUAUUUCGCACAUCGGAAGGAUCAACAUGGUAAAAGACGGGAAGAACAAUAUGUUUGUCAGUGGGAUUGUGCUUGCGAUCCAUGAUGUCAGAAAGUUCACCUAAGCAUGAUUUUGAAGAAGCAUAGGCUUUAGAUAAAACGAGGAUUGAGAGAUUUGAGGCCGAAAUUGCUCGAGAAUACGUUGGUGGAAGUUUCUCUCCUUUUUUCAGUGUUUCGUUAUCGGGGAAGACAUUAAUUCCUACUUUUUCCAAAGCAUUGACUAGGUGAUUGGAGAAGUUGAGGCGUGUGUCUUCACCUAAGCUUAAGAAAACUUGAUGCUUCAUCAACUUUUGCAUAACAUACGCAACAAUAUCCUUGAUGUACUGGGUUUCAGGUCUAGCAAAUAAUAGAAGAAGUAUAUAUAUGAAAUCCAAAACGAAGAUAAGUCAAAUAUAAGGAGAUGAGACAAAUAUAGUUACCUAUCCGAGAUGCUUCCAUCUAUAUGCCACCCUUGUAAUUUACCAACUUCAGCAAAAGCAGUUUUCCAUUGUUUCACUUCAUCGACUGACCUCCUUGUUUCAUGCUCAUCAAAGGAUUUCUUAAAACUCCCAUCAAUAUUCUCCACAUCAGAGGGGUUAACAUGGUAAAAGAUGGGAAGAACAAUUUGUUGUUCGACGCUAUAGCGGUCCAUGAUGUCAGAGAGUUCAAGCAAGCAUGAUUUCGAAGAGGCAUAGUCUGCAGACAAAACGAUGAUUGAGAUACUUGAGACUGCAAUUGCUCGAGAAAGUGCUUGUGAAAGCUGCUCCCCUUUUUCCAAUUUUUCUUCAUCGAAGAAAACAUCAAGUCCCUCGUCUUUCAAAGCUUGAAGUAAGUGAGUGGUGAAAUUAAGGCGCGUGUCUUCACCUCUGAAGCUCAAGAAAACAUGAUACUUCAUUAGAGUAGAAGACGAAGAAGAAGAAGCCAUGGAAGAGUAUUGAAGCAAAAGAGAGAAAAAUAUAGCGAGUGAGUUUUGCUUGGGUUGUGGUAUUAUUGUAAGAAGAAAAAGUGUAAAUUUUGCAUAAUCUUUGGUAUCCUUUUAUUAAAUGGGAAAGAGAGUGAAGGCCUUUUCCUUAUACUUGAGCUUAGCCAAUUAUCUUAGUCAACACCACCAGAGAUAAUCAAUUCUCCUUUUUAUCUUUUACCGACAAAAGUGGGAGUGUUUUCAUGGUAUUCUUAUUUGAACGAUUAAUAAAAUAUAAAUUUAAAAAUCGCGAUUAAUUGAGCUUAGUUUACAGUUUUAUAAUAAAGUCUCUCUUGAUGUUUUAAAUAUUUUAAAUCAAGAUAAAGUUAAGGGUGCUUUUGAUGUAAUUUAGCUUGUUUAUUUGUUUUUUUACUAAAAAAUAUGUUUUUAUCUGAAAUCGAAUUGAAUUUUAUUUUUUAUUUAAUAUAUAAUUAAUUUUAACUUUUUUGAUAUAAAAAUAUAUAUUUUAUAUUUUAAAUAGUGAAAGUAAUUUAAAAGUUUUUGAAAAAUUAUUGUAUUUUAGAAAUAUUUAUGAAAUUAAAUUUGAAAUUUAUCAAAUAAUAUUUAAAAGCCAUAAAACAAAACUUAUUUUAUCAAAAUAAACCUUAAAAAUCAAAACAAAAAAUUAAUAUAAGAAACUGUGAGCCAAAUCGAGCUGAAUUAAACUAUAAUGGAUGGUUCAAAAAAUAUAAAUAACUCGGCCUGUGAACCUCUUUGAAACUUCACUAUCCAUGAAAUUAGUCAAUUUGGAAAAGGGUCAAAUCUUGAUUUUGAGUCCUCCUACUAUUCUCAAAUUCGAAAUUUAGUCAUUUAACUUAAAAUAAUCUCUUUAUUUAUAUGUUGUUAUUAGUUUAUUCAAACAAGACAGUUCUAUUUCAAAUAAAAUUAAAAUUUUAGUACGUAUUAUUAUCAAAGUGAUAUAAUAUCUUGUAAAAGGUAACUAAAAUAAACAAAUAAAGAACAAAAAAAUUGAGAGAGAAGUGAAGAUAAGGGCAUAGUUAACUUUUUCUAUGUUUAUUAAGAUAAAUAAUCUUAUGGAGCAAAUCCAAAAAUUAGUUUAGAGUCUACUGUUGGAGAGGAUAAUGAUAGUAGUUAUGGAUCAUCUGUUGGUGAUGAAAAUGCUGUUGAUUUUGCAUUAGAUGAAGUGAACAAUGUUGCGGUUGCAAUUAGUGGAAAAGAGGAGGAUGGGAAUAAUACUAAAACUGAGGUAUGGGACUUAGAUGAACAUGGCAGCUUGGUUGGGUUCAAUGAAGAUGAAGAACAUGAAGAUGGUGAGAGAAGAAGAAGCAAGUUUCUUUUAUACAAUGAUCGAUCUAAUCCGUUAAAAUUUAGUUUUGGGAAUGUUGUUUAAAGAUGGCAAAUAGUUUAAGAGUGCAAUUCGAAACUACUCCAAAGAAUGUAGAAGACAACGGAAGUUUCUUAAGAAUGAAUCGAAAAGGGUUGUUGUGAGGUGCAUUGCUUCCCCUAACUGUCCAUGGAGAAUUUUGGCUAGCUAUAAUCCUAUUGCCAAAUACUUGCAAGUAAAAACUUUUCAGGAGAAGCAUCAUUGUUUGGGUAGUUUUGAGAACAAAAUGAUGAUUGCUGCUAUGAUUGCCCAACAUUUUAAAGCAAUUAUCAAUGAUCACUUUAAGAUGCAACUAAGGAAAAUUCAAAGAAAAUGUGCUUCAGAGAUGCAUGUAAAUGUGAGCAUUCAGUGUUGUUAUAGAGCCAAGAAAGUAGUGAAGGAGAAAAUGGUUGGGAAUUAUGAGGAAUUUGGUCAGUUAUAUGACUAUACUCAUGAGUCAAGGUCAAAGAUGUCAGGCAGCACAAUAAAAAUGGUUGUUCACAAUAGAUUCCCCUCCUCAUUUUAAAAGGUUUUAUCUGUGCUUUGAUACACUAAAGAGAGGUUGGAAAGUGAGGUGUAGGCCACUUAUUGGAUUAUAUGAUUGCUUCCUAAAAGGGUCAUUUAAGAGUGAAAUUCUCACAAUUGUUGGAAGGGAAGCAAACAACCAGAUGUUCCCUAUUACAUGGGUUGUGGUUGAAGUGGAAUACAUUGAUUCAUGGGCCUAGUUUCUUAGUCUCCUAUCAACUGAUUUCGGCUUGGAGGAUUGGUAUGGGUUUACAAUUAUCAGGGACCAACAAAAGGUUAGGGAAUUAAUAAAUUUGGGCUUGGUCUUGUUUUUUUAUUUUGUUAAGUAUAAUUAACUAUAUUUUUCUAACAAUCUAUUUGGUUCAUUAAAACACAAUUAAGGCCUUCAGAGUGCAAUUUCUGACAUAUCGCCAAAGGUGGAGCAUAGGAAUUGUGCGAGGGACAUGUUUGCAAAUUGGUCAGGAAGGAAGCUAGGGAAAUCUUAUAAAUAUGAUUUCUGGCAGAUUGUGAAUUCCACGACUGAGAAUGAGUGGGAGGAAUUAUGUGCAGCACUAUGUCCGACUUGACUUUCAUGAAAAUUUUAUGGAAACUACGGAUCACGGUCAUAAAAUUCAAAAUAAUAAAACAUAACAAAUAGAAAACACCUACUCCAAGAUCAAUAUAAAACCAUAUGUUAGAAGAUUAACAAAUCUCAAGCAUCUGUUGAUUAUAUAUAGGGAACAGUUGGUAGGUUUACCUUAUCUAACAUGAAUAUAAAUCAGAAAUCAUGAACUGAAAACAUAUAUAUUCACUAACAUUUUAAGGAAAUAUGAAGCAUAAAUCAAUGGGUAAACGAAUCAUUGAAGUAAAAUGCAGAUAGUCUUGAGAUACAAUAUGAUUAAAUCUCUACUUACUGCCCAUGGCAUGAGCCCCAAUGGUGGAACAUAAACAAUUAAGCUGAAUGAUGUCCACCACAGAUCCUAUGAAUCAAAACCAACGAAUAACAAGUCAAUUGCCAAAAAGAAUUCAAGUAUGAAUCUUAAUAUCUCUUCAUUGCAAUGCUCAAACAACAUGAGAGGCAGUAACAUACAAAAAACUUUCAGCCCAAACUGAUACGACAAUCAAAAUCCAAGGUAAGAAGCUAUCAACUCCAAUGGCUCUACCAUGGAACUAAUCCAAUCUAGCUUGAGAAUGAAAACUGCCGAAGGUUGCAUCUAGCUCCACGUGUUCAUCCCACAAGUUUUGAGAUCUCUUGCAAAUUCUGGAUUUAUAUAAUCCCAUUGAUAAAUAUGGGAAAACAUGGUGAGGAUGCAGAAAUCAUUAUAUGAACCUAAAAUCAUGAUAAUUAAGUCAAAGUCAAUGGUAACUUCUUCACCAAGACUGAAUUUGCCAGAACCCAGAAAGGGCCUCAAAAGAUUACUUUGAAGUUGUGUUCACAAAUCUGUUGACAACUUGCAUUGUCACCAAAUAUCAGUUAAAAAACUUGUAUAAAACAAGCAUUCAGCAAAACAAAUUGAAGCUCUUACAGUUCAGGUGCUCCUCCUUAUAUGGCUAAAGCUCCAAUUCAGCAAUGGCACAAAUAACCAAUCUUUCUAAUGAAUCUAGAUGUCAUUGAAGGAAAAUGCAGCAAGUAUUGAGAUACCAGAUGACACCAAUGCUGGAAACUAAACAAUGAAGCUGAAUCGAGUCCACCACUGGUCCUAUGAAUUAAAAAAACCAACCAAUAACAAGUCAACUGUCAAUAAGAAUUAAGUAUGAAUCUUAAUACCUGAAUUUUAAGAACACAGACACAACAGGGGGAUGAAGAUGAGAAAAUAAAAAUAAAAAUAAAAAUAAUAAUAAUAAUAAUAAUAAUAAUAAUAAUAAUAAGAAAAAAUCACAAGCUUUUGAACAAAUUUCCAAUUUUUAUGUUUACAAAUUAUGCUUUUAACAUUUACAAUGUAGAACUACAAGGUUUCAGUAUGGUAAAGCACCUUAUGAAAGACGAGUAACUUAUAAAGCAGAGCAAGUUAGAUUCAUCCUGGUCGGUUUUAAUUAAUUAAAGCACUUUAUUUGCUGUUAUUAAUUUAUAAGUUCAAAAUUUACUAUUAAUAAUUGUGGGAAAAAAAGUAUGGCAAUAUGAAAAAUGAAAUGAAAAAACUGAAAAAAAUAUGAUAAUAUGAAAAAAUGAGAUGAAAUGAAACAUUGAAACCUUACCUAUGCAUUUGGAUGACAUAAUUGAGAAGUUGAAACUCCUCAAAAGCAGAGCCAAAGAUGGAAAGCGAUACAAACUAUUUCAAUCUUUUAAGUCCUCCAUCCCCUUCUUCACCAUCAUGGCUAAAGCUUCUUUUGUUCCCAGCAACUCUCUUUACAGUAGCAUCUGUAUCACUCUUUGCAUCCACGUAAAAUACAUGAACACCACAUCUCUCCACCUUGGUAUACUUUUCUCCUUCAUCAUUGGCUUCAUCGAAAUGGAAAUUUUUGAUGUAGAAUUCAAAUGUUGCCUCCUCAUAAUUCUUGUCUUCUAUAACCAUGUCGAUGCUAGAUAGAAUAAACACGUGAUAAUCCAUGUACUUAACUGGCUCAUAAAAACUGCGGAAACAUAUCUCACUUCUGAAAUUUUCACAAUCACCUCCACCAUUGCCACCACCGGCGGUUGUAAGUUGGUACUCACAAAUACAUUCACGUAAUUGAAAUUCAAGGCAGUGAGUGAGAUCAGCCACAAGGCAGAUAGCAAAAACCAAAAAUCUGCUCCCACUACCCCCAUUUGGGGCUAUCUUCAAACUUAAGGAAGAAUUCAUGCUCUGACACUUGAACAUAUUUGCUAAAAUUUUGUUUCCUGGGAAACAACAAAUCAAACUUGGAGCUCUGUCAGGGUUGUAUUGCAAAUCAUAUCUCGCUGCCCAUUUCUUAGCUAGGGAUCGAAUUUUGAGCAUGGCAUUUGCCUCAAUGUUAUUAGUUGAGUCUUGAUUCAAGUUGAAGCAAUUACGGAAUCGCAUCAAAAAGUUAUGAUUUAUGCAAAACUCAUCAUCUAAAGAAUCAAACUGAUUUAAAUUUUGAUCUGCAAAGGAUACUUUUUCUAAUGACGUGCAGUCAUUUACACUCAAGACUUCCAGAUAUGGUGGAAGCUCUGAGAGUAAUUCGACCUUUGGGCAACCACUAAGAUCCAGAUAAUGAAGAGAUUCCAACUUGAUCGAUACAUUUUUGACCCCUGAGCUACUCAUAUUUAAGUGCUGAAGAUUACAUAGAGAGUCGAAUGGCAACGACACUUCUUCAAUUUGAGUGCCAGAUAAGUUUAAUUCUAUUAAGCUUCCUGGGAUUUCUGGAAAUUCGACCAGUGGGCAACCACUAAGAUUCAGUUUACGAAGGGAUUCCAACUUGAUCGAUACAUUUUUGACCGCUGAGCUACUCAUAUUUAAAAGCUGAAGAUUACAUAGAGAGUCGAACGGCAACGACACUUCUUCAAUUUGAGUGCCAGAUAAGUUUAAUUUUAUUAAGCUUCCUGGGAUUUCUGGAAAUUUGACAUUGGGCAUCCACUAAGAUUCAGUUUGCGAAUGGAUUCCAACUUGAUCGAUACAUUUUUGACCGCUGAGCCACUCAUUUUUAAGUGCUGAAGAUUACAUAGGGGGUCGAAAGGCAACGACACUUCUUCAAUUGGGCAACCACUAAGAUCCAAUUUACGAAGGAAUUCCAACUUUAAAAUAUUGAUCGAUACUUUUUUCACCUUUGACUUCCCUAACCACAAAGUUUCAAGUUUGUGGAGAUCCUUAAUUGAAUCAGACACUUCUUCUACUUUGGUUUCUGAUAAAUCUAAAGAACAAAAGGGACGUGGGACCAUAGGAAACUUCUUGAGACUAUAACAUCCGUUAAGGCGAAGACUAUAUUGAUGAAGAGAUGCCAAAUGAUUGAGGCAAGGAAGUUCAACCAAACUUUGACAGUUAGAGCAACCAAGGAAUUCAAGGUUGAUUGCUCUUGAAAGAUUAGGUAUCUUCCUUAAAUUCACGCACCCAUCAAAGUAAAUUUUCCUUAAAUGAACAAGGUCCUGUAGAAAAAAUAAUUGUAUUACUUUUGAGAUUCAACCACUUACUUUAGACAGUAAAAUAUGUAAAGGAAAUAAAUAAUUAUAAUACGAUAAAAAAUAAAAAUUUAUAUUUAAUGCAUCCGGCGUGAAAAUUCACCCACAGCUAAUAAAUCAAACGAUGUCACUUAUCUAAAGAUAAUAAAUUCUUUUAUAUAUUUUUUUUAAAAACCUUUAAAUAAAAUGUUAUCAUAUGAAUAUUUGAUACACCAAAUUAUAAAUCAGUUUUUCAAAAAAAGAGAGAGUAUAAAAACGCAUACCAUACGAUCAUCUUCAUUCCAAAGUUCAACCAAACUUUUACAGUAAGAGCAAUCAAGGAAUUCAAGGUUGAUGGCUCUUGAAAGAUUACAUAUCUUCCUUAUAUUUUAGCAUUCUGAAACGUAAAUUUCCCUUAAAUUAACAAGCUCCUGUAUAGAAACAAAAUUUGUAUUACUUUUAAGCAUCAACUACUUACUUUAAGUAGUAAAAAAUGAAAAAGGAAAUAAAUAAUUAUAAUACUAAGAAAAAUAAAAAUUCAUAUUUAAUGUAUUGGGUGUGAAAAUUAACCCACAACCAAUAGAUCAAAUGAUGCCACUAAUUUAUAUAAAAUAAAAUAAAAUCUUUCAUAUUUCUUUUUUAAAAACUUUAAUUAAGAUGUCAACAUAUCAUAUGAUUAUUUGAUACAUUAAAUUAAAAAAAAUCUUAAAUGAAAUAAGUAUGAAAGCACACAUACUAUAUAAUCAUCUUCAUUCCAAAGUUCAACCAGACUUUCACAGCCAAUGCAACGAAGCAGUUCAAGGUUGACGGAACCUGAAAGAUUAUGCAUCUUCCUUAAAUUCUUGCAAUAUGAAACGUCAAUUUCCCUUAAAUUAGUAAGGUUCUGUGCAAAAGAAAAAUAUAUAAAAAAUAUAUAACAAUAAUUAUAUCAUUGUUAAGUAUCAUCUACUUACUUUAGAAAGUAAGAAAUAAAAAGAAAAUAAAUAAUUGACAAGAUCCUACACAGGAUGAUUACUUUAGAGCAUCAUCUACUUAUAUUAAGACUAUCAAAAUAAAAAGUUAUAUUGGGUGUAUUAAUUCACCCACCAUUAAUAGAUCAGAUUGCUUCUUUUAGAAAAAUAGAAUAAAUUUAUAUAUAUAUUUAAAAAAUUAAAUAAAAUGAUUUCACUUAUUCAAAUAAAAUAAAAUAAAACAAAACAAAAUGUUUCAUAUUUAUAUUUUAAAAACUUUACAUAAAUAUCAUAUGAUAUAUUAUUUGACACAUCAAAUUAUAAAUCCUCUUUCUCCUUAAAAAAAACUUCUUAGAUGAAGACAGUAUGAAAGUAUAUACCAUAUCGUCAUCUUCAUUCCAAAGUUGUUCCAUGUUGCCAUGUAAUAGUUUCAACACGACAAGAUUUUUUGGAUUAAAACCAGAUAAAGAUUUGAAAGGGUAAACAUCCCAACGGAGAAACCUUAACUCAUCAGGAAGAGAUAUACUCUCAACUUGAUUUGCAUAUAGCUUCUUAAGCCAUAACAUUUUCUUAGGAAAGCUAAUGUUGAUAUAUCUAAGCUUAUGCAUCUUCUCAAAAGCAGUAGCACAAAACUGUAGACUAUCAACUUCAGUCAUGUCUACCUUUAUUCCUUUAAUUAGGUCAGUCCCCUGAUAAAAAAAAAUAUUUAUCAUGAAUUAACACAAAGAAAUUUAUGUACAUUCCAUUAAAUCAGUCAUAAAAAAGCUAAUUAAAUUAGGAAAGACUUUAAACUAACUUGGCAUACCUUUUUAUUAGUGGAAUUUUUAGAUGCACAAUGUUUUUACUGUUUAAUAUUUUUAAAGUAAUGCAUUAUAUAUUUAACUAACUCAAAAAACCUUUAGCAAAUUCCAUGUUGACUGUUUGUAUCAUAAGACAUUUGGUCAUUAUGUUUAUGGGAAGUAAUAAAUAUUUUAUUUUUUAAAAUAAUAAUUAAAAACGAUAAUACUUUGUACACCACAACAUCUAUUAAACCAUGUGAAAGAAUAAAAAGAAUAUAAAUACAAUUAACACUUACUUUAUCAUGGCUGAUCACUUCUUCCACAUCUUUACAAUUCCAUAAUCUACUGCGCUUUCCAGGGUAUCCAGAUUCUUGCAUAACAAUGUCUUUGCCCAUCUCUUCAAGCAUGUCAUGCAUAGAAAUAGAUUCAUAUUUGACCUCAAGUAGGCACUUGCCGACCAACUAACUUAUUCCACAUCUUGCACCUUUAUAAUAAUUACUUAGAAUUUUUUCUACAUAAUUCAAGUGUUGCCCUUUAAAGAUGCAUGCUACGUCAAGAAAUAUAUUCUUCUCUUCCUCAUCCAGCCCAUCUAAGCUACUCUUCAAAAUAUGUGAAAAUUUUAUUUCUCCACAUUGCUUUAGUUCAUGUUUAACUUCUUUACCUCAUGUAUGUGGUUUGCUCCUCCAUUCCUAAGUACUUGUAUAUCUCUAGAUGUUACAAUGAUUUUACUUCCAGGACCAAAAUAUUUAACACCCAUAAAAUCUAUUUGGUCUGGGUCAGUAACAUCAUCAAAGACAAGAAGUAUUUUUUUUAUUAUUCAGCCUCUCGUGGUAAGGGUAUCCUAUGGAAGGAGUAUUGUUUAAUAGUUUGGAAAGAAGUUCAUUUCGUAAAGAUUCACUCCCCUGUUUCUUUAUUUUCUCACUAAUGUUUUGAAGAAACAAACUACAUUCAAACUUUGGAGAGACUUCCUUAUAUACAGCAUCAGCAAGGGUAGUUUUGCCUAUACCACUCAUGCCCCAAAGUCCUAUUACAUGGAUGCCCGAUUGCUCAAUCAACACCAAAAGCUUCUUUUUUUGAUCAUCUAUUCCCACCAAUUCUUCAGAGACACUUCUACAAUUGCUAUUCAACUUUUUUAAAACAUAUUCAACGACAUCUUUAAUGUACUCAGUUUCAAAUCUAGAAAAUUUAAAAAAAAAAUCAACAGUCAAAAGAUAUAUAUAUAUAUAAGUCAAAUAUAAGAAGAUGAGAAUGUAUAUAUUGUUACCUAUCGGAUUUUCCUCCUAUAUGCCACCCUUUUGAUGCACCGAUUUCAGCGAAGGCGGCUUUCCAUCGCUUCACGUCUUCAAUUGGUCUCUUUGAUUCAUGCUCUUCGAAGGAUGUCUUAAAAGUCCCACCAAUAUUUCGCACAUCGGAAGGAUCAACAUGGUAAAAGAUGGGAAGAACAAUAUGUUUGUCCGUGGGCUUGCGCUUGCGAUCCAUGAUGUCAGAAAGUUCAGCUAAGCAUGAUUGUGAAGAAGCAUAGUCUUUAGAUAAAACGAGGAUGGAGAGAUACGAGGCUGCAAUUGCUUGUGAAAGUGCAUGUGAAAGUUCCUCCCCUUUCUCUAGUUUUUCUUCAUCGAAGAAGACAUUCAGUCCCUUGUCUUUCAAAGCUUGGAGUAGAUGAACGGUGAAGUUAAGGCGCGUGUCUUCACCUAUGAAGCUUAAGAAAAUUUGAUGCUUCAUUUGACGAGAAGAAGAUGAAGAAGACGCCAUGAAGGUGUAUGGAUUGUGAGAUUGAGGAAAAAGAGAACAAAAUAAACCGAGGGAGCUUUGCUUUUGCUUCUAUCUUUUUAAUGGUAAGAAGAAAAAGUGAGUCAAUUAAAUGGGAAUGAGAUUGAAAGGGUGAAGCAUAGCCAAUUUUAUGAGUGAAGAAUGUGCGUGUGGACCUUAGAAACCGCACCACCAAUCAAACUCUAUCUCUCCAAAAGCCUUUAACUCUGCUGCCUACCAUCAAAAACUCGAACCAAAUAAAAUUAACUGUGCUGCUUGCUCUGCUCUUUUUUUCUUUUUUUUUGAAGUUUGAAAUUUUUUUAAUCAAAAUGGCUUUUUAUAAUUAAAAUUUAUUUUAAUAUAUGAAACUUUGAUUUGUAAUCAAGUAACUCAGCUCUUGUGUAUGUAUGUGAUGCUAUUUUUGUCUUAAAGAUUAUUAUCAACAAGAAAAAUUGUUCCAAUGAUGUUGGGGGUGUUAAUUUCCAGGUCAAGGUCUUCCAUUGGGACAAAAUUGUUAAGUAAAUAAAUUUCCAUUCUUGAAUUUCUUUUUGGGUCCUAACAAAAAUAUUGACUUCUACACACUUUGUGAUUUGGGUCAAUUGAACUGAAAUUUCAUAUAAUUUUCUUUUAGGCAAUUUUAAGUGAAUUCAACUUAAAUUUCCCACAACUUUAUAAUUUUCACUUUUUUCCCCUAAAUGAAAAGUCUUUGGAAUGAAGGGUGUUGUGUUUCUAUUUUCCUAGGUAAAAUAAUGAUAGAUUUUCUUUCUGCUUUGGGGGUUUCCUAUUUAAUCCUUUAUUUUGAGCACAGGUAAGGUGAGUUUGGUUAAAAAGACCUCUUUAGUUUCUUUCAAUUUUGGAAUCGAAUAAAUUGGUCACUCUCAAAAAAGAAAAUCAAAGCAAUUUAAUCAUUGUUAAUUUUAAAGGUGAGUAACUAAGGACAAUUAAUCGUGAUGUUAACGUCUUUCGUCAAUUGUACAUAAUUUUGAUUGGUAUAACAAUAAAUUUAGCCUUCAAUGUUUUCAUUUUUUGUCAAUUUGGUCUUGGUUCUAAAAAAUCAAUAAAUUUAGUAUCAACAUUUACACGAAUGUUGUGGGCUAAAUUUGUUAAAUCAAGACAAAAUUGUAAAAUUUAAGGGGUAAAUUUGUUAUUAUACUAAUCAAAAUUAUGUACGUUUGUUGGACAACAUUAAUGUUGUGAUUAAUUUACCUUAAUUGCUCACUUUCGGAAUUGAUGGAAUUUAAAUUGUUCUAAUUUUUUUAAGAGAGAUCAAUUUACUAAAUAUCAACAUUGAGAGAGAUAGAAUAGAUCUUUUACCAACAAAUAUGGUUGCUUACAUUUAUUUUAAACAUAGAUUCGAAUCAGUUUGCUAAUUAAACAUGGAUUCACCUAAACUGUUUAGCAAGUAAGAAUGAGCAAAAUUCUAUUCUAUUUGAAAAAAUUGAAAAAAAAAUUGAAUUUUAAAUUAUUCGACUAUAGUUAAUUGAGUUAAUCAAAUUAAUUGACUCAACUUGAUUUUUUUUCAAAUUUCGAGUUCAAUUCGGAGUUUUCGAAUUCAAAGAAUCCAAAUAAUUCGAAUAAAUCGAAUACCCAAAAAAUUAAGCUAAAUGAUGUCAUUGCCAAAAAGAAUUCAAGUAUGAAUCUUAAUGUCUCUUCACUGCAAUGCUCAAACAACAUAAGAGGCAGUAACAUACAAAGAAAUUUCAGCCCAAACUGAUAUGAUAAUCAAAAUCCAAGAUAAACUCAAUCUAGCUUGAGAAUGAAAACUGUCAAAGGUUGCCUCGAGCUCCACGUGUUCAUCUCACAAGUUUUGAGAUCUGUUGCAAAUUCUGGAUUUAUAUAAUCCCAUUGAUAAAUAUGGGACAAAAAAAGAUUAAGGAUGCUGAAAAUCAUCAUAUGAACCUAAAAUCAUAAUAAUAAGUCAAAGUCAAAGGUAACUUACUUCACCACCAAGACUGAAUUGCCAGAACCUAGAAAGGGCCUCAAAAGAUUACUUUGCAUUUGUGUAGACAAAUCUGUUGACAACUUGCAUUUUCACCAAAUAUCAGUUCAAACACUUGUAUAAAGCAAGCAUUCAGUAAAACAAAUUGAAGCUCUUACAGCUCAGGUGUUCCUCCUUGUAUGGCUAAAGCUCCAAUUCAGCAGUGGCAUUCUCAAAGAUCUGUCAUUCCUUCGUCUUACAUCAACACAAAAGCAAAGGAUAUAAGAAAAACGUAUCUCACAAAUAACCAAUCUUUCUAAUGGAAGAAAAUGCAGCAAGUAUUGAGAUACCAGAUGACACCAAUGCUGGAAACUAAACAAUGAAGCUGAAUCGAGUCCACAUUUGGCCCUAUGAAUUAAAAAAACCAACCAAAAACAAGUCAACUGUCAAUAAGAAUUAAGUAUGAAUUUUAAUAUCUGAGUUUUGGUACCCACCAAAAUCCUCUAUGGAUAUUUUAUCAACUCCAAAGCAGAAUCAUUUUGCUACUGUGUUGAAAUCUCUAGUUUCCGUUCAAUUUUCCUCCAAAUUAAUUAAUAUAUAUGGAGAAUUUCGUUCUUGGACAAUGUAUGCUAUAUCUACAAAACAACACAGACAUUACGGCGGAAUGAAGAUGUUGCGCGGAAGCGUGUGAAAGAGUAAAAUUAUUGUACUGAAAAAUCACACUAAGUUCAAUUCCCAGGAAAGAGAGGUGGAUCACGAGGAUCGCUUACAUACCAGAUCUUUCCUAGCCAGAAUAUCCCUCUAUCGUAAUUUAAUAGCACAAUAAAUCACUACAAUGACACUUGCAAAAUAUGCAGAACAAAAAAUAAAGAACACUAGAAUUUUAACGAGGUUCAGCAAAUUUUGCCUACGUCCUCGAGCACUACCAAAUAUAUUUCACUCCAAAAAUACAAGUGAAAGUUUACAAAUAGGGAGAGAGAACAAUUGCCUUAAGUAGAGAAUGGCAAGUGUGGGAUGAAGAAAGUAAGAAAUGGUUAGGCCUAUUUAUAGUUGAGGUUUAAGGAUCAACUUGCAAUGUCCCUAUACAAUUAGGGACCAAAAUUGCAAUUAUCCCAUGCCAACUAAUCUUACUUUCUACUUUCGGUGCCAACUUUCUGCCACUAUUCAUCUUUGAAAAGUCAAAGAUUGUAGGUAUCCAAUAGAAGAUGAGAAAAAAUAAUAAUAAGCAACUAUCACAAACUAUUGAACAAAUUUCCAAUUUUAUGUUCAUAAAUUAUGCUUUUAACAUUUACAAUGUGGAACUACAAGGAUUCAGUAUGGCAAAGCACCUUCUAAAAGACAAGUAAUUUAUAAAGCAGAGCAAGUUAGAUUCAUUCUGGUUGGUUUUAAUUAAUUAAAGCACUUCAUUUUCUGUCACUAAUUUAUAAGUUGAAAAUUUACUAUUAACAAUUGUGGAAAACAAAAGUAUGGCAAUAUGAAAAAUAACAUGAAAAAUAACAUGAAGAUUUAUGAUAAUAUGAAAAAAUGAGAUGAAAAUGAAACCCCUAACUAUGCAUUUGGAUGACAUAAUUGAGAAGUUGGAACUCCUCAAAAACAGAGCCAAAGAUGGAAAGAAAUACAAACUAUUUCAAUCUUUUAAGUCCUCCAUCCCCUUCUUCACCAUCAUGGCUAAAGCUUCUUUUGUUCCCAGCAACUCUCUUUUCAGUAGCAUCCACGUAAAAUACAUGAACACCACAUCUUUCCACCUUGUUAUAGUCUUCUUCUUCAUUAACUUCAUCAUCAUUGUCGAUGAUGUAGAAUUUAAAUGAUGCCUCUUCAUAGUUCUUGUCUUCUUCAACCAUGUCGUUGCUAGAUAGAAUAAACACGUGAUCACCCUUGUACUUAUUUGGCUCAGAACAAUCGAAGAAAGAUAUCUUACUUAUGUAGCUUUUAGAAUCACCACCACCGGCGGCUGUAAGGUGGUACUCACAAAUACAAUUAAGAUAUUUAAAGCGAUGGCAGUGAGUGAGAUCAGCCACAAGGCAAAUAGCAAAAACCAAAAAUCUGCUCCCACUACCCCUAUUUGGGGCAAUCUUCAAACUCAAGGAAGAAUUCAUUCUCUGACACUUGAACUUAUCUGCUGAAAUUUUGUUUCCUGGGAAACAACAAAUCAAUCUUGGAAAGUCUUCUCGCUGGUAUUUCCAAUCAUAUCUCGCUGCCCAUUUCUUAGCUAGGGAUCCAAUUUUGAGCAUGGCAUUUUCCUCAAUGUUAUCAAUUGACUCUUGAUUCAAGUUGAUGCAAUUACAGAAUAGCAUGCCAAACAAAUCAUCACCUAACGAAUCGAACUGAUAUAAAUCUUGAUCUGCAAAGGAAACUUUUUCUAAUGAUGUGCAGCAUUGUACAUUCAAGUUUUGCAUAUAUGGUGGGAAACUUUUUCUAAUGAUGUGCAGCAUUGUACAUUCAAGUUUUGCAUAUAUGGUGGAAGCUCCGAGAGUAAUUUGAGGCUCUCGCAACGAUCCAUCCUCAUAUGGUUAAGGAUUUUAGGCCUCAAGCUUGGUGUGGGCAAAUCGACAGUUGGAAACUCUCUGGAACCGAACAGGGUGAUAUUACACAUUAGCUUUUGAAUACUUGAGCCGCUCAUAUUUAAGUAUUGAAGAUUACUUAAAGAGUCUAACGACAAGGCAGCUUCUUCAAUUCCAGUUCCAGAUAAGUCUAACCAUGUUAAGCUCCUCGGGAUUUUUGGAAAUUCGACCAUUGGGCAUUCACUAAGAUUCAAUUCACUAAGGAGUUCCAACUUUGAAAUAUUGAUCGAUACUUUUUCUACCUUUGAUUUGCUCAACAACAAUCUUUCAAGUUUGUGGAGAUACUUAAUUGCAUCAGGUACUUCUUGUAUUUCAGUUUCUCAUAAAUCUAAAUAACAAAAGUGACUUGGGACCUGAGGAAACUUCUUGAGACUAUAACAUCCUUCAAGGCGAAGCUUAUCCUCAUCACGAGAUGCCAAAUGAUUGAGGCAAGGAAGUUCAAACAAACUUUCACAGUAAGAGCAAUCAAGGAGUUCAAGGUUGAGGGCUCUUGAAAGAUUAGGUAUCUUCCUUAAUUUUUUGCAAUUUGAGACGUCAAUUUCCCUUAAAUUAACAAGAUUCUGCACAGGAAAAAAAUUUAAAUGUCAUCCACUUACUUUAGGCAAUAAAAAAUGGAAAGGAAAUAAAUAAUUAUAAUAAUAAGAAAAACAAAAACUUAUACCGAUGUAUUGGACUUGAAAUUUCACCCACAAUUAAUAGAUCAAAUGAUGUCACCUAUUUAAAUAAAAUAAAAUCUUUUAUAUUUAUUUUUUAAAAAACUUUAAAUAAGAUGUCAUCAUAUGAUCAUUUGAUACAUCAAAUUAUAAUUUUUUUUCCUUAAAAAAAUUCUUAGAUGGAGAAAGUAUGAAAGCACAUACCAUAUGAUCAUUUUCAUUCCAAAGUUGUUCCAUAUUGCCGCUUCGUAAUAUCAACAUGACAAGAUUCUUUGGAUUAAAACUUGAUAAAGUUUUAAGGGGAAAAUAAUCCCAACAAAGGUACCUUAGCUUAUUAGGAAGAGAUAUACUAUCAACUUGGUCUACAAGAAACUUCGGAUUUCGAUAGCCAUUCUCAAUCUUUGAAUCAUAGAAGCAAAUAUAUUUAAGAUUAAGCAUGUUCUAAAAAACAGAUGGACAUAACUGCAGCUCAUCCAUUUGAAACAUGUCUAAUUUUAUUCCUUCAAUUGAUACCGUCCCCUAAUAAUGAAAAACAUUUUAUCAAGUAUCAGUAUAUAAAGUUACAUUUUGCUGUUUUUUAAAAGCAAGGUAUUAAAUAAGUACCAACCCAGUAAAUCCUUGAGUAGAUCCCAUGUUAUACUCGGAGACAUUUGUCUUUAUUUGUAUGGUAAGUAAACUGAUAUUUUAUUUUUUGAAAUAAUAAUUAAAAUGAUUAACAUUUGAUACAAUAUAAAUACAAACAAUUAAACUUUUAACAUAUGAAAACAUAUAAUUAACUGAAUUUAUAUAUUUACAUGAUAUUACAAAUAAAUUUUAAUUAAAAUAACACAAAUAUAUAAAAUAAUAGAAAACAAUGUAAAUACAAUUAGCGCUUACUUUAUUAUAUCUGAGCACUUGAUCUACGUCUUCAGGAAACCAUAACCUGCUACGCUUUCCCGGGUCUUCUUUACAUUCUUGGCGAACAAUGUCCUUGCCGAUCUCUUCAAGCAUGUCAUGCAUAGAAUAACAAUCUAUGCUAUCAAGUAAGCACUUGUCGACUAAGUUCCUUAUUCCACUCAUUGCACCCAUAUAAUAAUUACUUAGUAUUUUUUCUACAGUAUCCAUUUUUUCUCCUUUAAAUUGAAGCAUGCUAUGUCAAGAAAUAUAUUCUUUUCUAGCUCACGCAACCCAUCUAAGCUACUCUUCAAAAUAUGAGACAUUUUUGGCUCGGCAUAUUGCCUUAGACUAUCCACUUCGCUCUCCCACUCUUUUCUAGACUUUGUAUAUAGUUUAGAACCCAAAACUUUAAGAGCAAGUGGAUUACCUUGGGCAUAUCCUACAAACUUGCAUGAUAGACCUUGAAAAUCAGCUGCGGGAUUCAACAAGUUAAAUGCAAGUGUAGAAAAAAGUUGAAGAGAAUCAUUCUCAUUCAACUUCUUCACCUCAUAUAUGUGGUUAGCUCUUCCAUUUUUAAGUACCUGUCUAUCUCUAGAUGUUACAAUGAUUUUACUUUCUGGACCAAAAUGUUUAACACCCAUAAAUUCUAUUUGAUCUGGGUUACUAACAUCAUCAAGGACAACAAGUACUUUUUUAUUGUUCAACCGCUCUUGGUAAGGGUGUCCUAUGGAAGGGCUGUUAAUACAAAUUCCUUUUCCGUUUAAUAAUUUGGAAAAAAGUUCAUUUCGUAAAGAUUCAUUCCCUACAUUUUUUAUUUUCUCACUAACAUUUCGCAGAAACAAGUGGCUUUCAAAAUUUUGGCAGAUUUCACCAUACACAACAUCAGCAAGGGUAGUUUUGCCAAUACCACCCAUUCCCCAUAGUCCUUGCUCAAUCAGCCCCAAAAUUAUCUUUUUUGAUCAUCUAUUCCAAUUUCCAACCAAUUCUUCAGAAACACUUGUACAAUUGCUAUCCAACUCUUUUGAAAUAUAUUCAACCACAUCUUCAAUGUACUCUGUUUCAUAUCUAGAAAAUAGUUAAAAAAUCGACAGUCAAAAGAAAGAUAGUCGUAUUAGUCAAAUAUAAGGAGAUGAGAAUAUAUAUAUUGUUACCUAUCGGAUUUGCCUCCUAUAUGCCACCCUUUUAAUGCACCGACCUCUUGAAAUGCAGAUUUCCAUCGUUGUACUCUAUCAGCUGGUUGCUUUGAUUCAUGUUUUUGGAAGGAUGUCUUAAAAGUCCCACCAAUUUUUUGCACAUGGGAAGGAUUAACAUGGUAAAAGAUGGGAAGAACAAUAUAUUUGUCAGUAGGAUUGCGCUUGCGAUCCAUGAUGUCAGAAAGUUCACCUAAGCAUGAAUUUGAAGAAGCAUAGUCUUUAGAUAAUGAUGAUCGAGAGAAUUGAGUCCGCAAUUGCAUUCGAAAGUGCUGAUGAAAUUUUCUCCCCUUUCUUUAGUGUAUCGUCAUCGAAGAAGACAGUUCAUCCCUUGUCUUUCAAAGCUUGGAGUAGAUGAGCGGUGAAGUUAACGCUCGUGUCUUCACCUCUGAAGCUCAAGAAAACUUGAUGUUUCACUUGACGAGAAGAAGAUGAAGAAGACGCCAUGUAAGUAUAUGGAUUGUGAGAUUGAGGAAAAAGAGAACAAAAUAAACUGAGGGAGCUUUGCUUUUGCUUCUAUUUUUGUAAUGGUAAGAAGAAAAAGUGAGUCACUUAAAUGGGAAUGAGAUUGAAAAGGUGAAGCAUAGCGGAUUGUUAAGUUUAGUUCCCUAGCAAAGGUGGCCAUGCACGACAUGCAAAGGUGGUCAUGCUCGAAAAAAUAGCAGCAAGCAGUGGUGCCAUGGUGUGCAGCAACUGAAGUUUGAAGCUGCCAAUCCACUUGCUGUUUUUAGUUCCAUUUUGAUUGUUUUGUAAUCUAGUUCAUGUUGAACUAAGUAGGUAAAUGUUUUGAUAUUGAUUGACUGAAAAGUCAGCAAUGCAAGUUGUACAAGCUAAUCUUGUAAGUUUCAAUGCAAAUUAGUGGAGUUAGGUAGUUGAUUAGGUGAUUACUUGUUUGUUUUACUUGUUGACUGAAAUAUGUAAUGGCUUAAUGCCUUGUUGGUGUGUUAAUGAAAAAUAUCAGCUCGUUUUUCAUUCAAUCUUCUUCUCUCUUUUCUGUUAUUCACUAGCUAGUUUCAUUUUCUGUUUUUGCUUCUGAGUUUGUUUCUUCACCAAGGCUCGAGGCUUGCUAUUCAAGCAAGAUACAAAACAGCCUGUUAUUGUCUCUUUGUUCCAACAAUUGGUAUCUAGAGCUUCAUUCUUAGUGGACCUGUUGUAUUAAACUAAGAAAGCUGAAUGUCUUCCUCAAGUUUUUCACCAGCAGCCCCACCAGUCUUCAAUGGAGAUGGCUUCCACAUAUGGCUGGUCAAAAUGAAGACUUACCUGCAGGCCUUUGAUCUGUGGGAAGUUGUUAACACAGAUGCUGAGCCAGCACCACUGAGGGCUAAUCCCACAGUAGCUCAGAUAAGGCAGCAUGCUGAUGAGAGGACCAAAAGGCAUAAAGCCAUGUCCUGCAUCCAGAACUGUGUAUCAGAUGUCAUCUUCACCAGAAUUAUGGCCUGUGAGACUCCAAAACAGGCCUGGGAUAAGCUUAAGGAGGAGUUUCAAGGCACUGAGAGAACAAGGCAACAGCAGCUAUUAAAUUUGAGAAGGGAUUUUGAGAAUCUGAAGAUGAAGGAAGAAGAAACAGUGAAGCAGUAUGCAGACAGAAUCAUAGCAGUGGUUAACAGUAUAAGGCUCCUUGGUGAGCACUUUGAUGAGGCAAGAAUUGUGGAAAAGGUCCUCUCCACUUUGCAUGAGAGAUAUGAGGCCAAGAUAUCCUCCUUAGAGGACUCAAGAGACCUUGCUACCAUCUCUUUGACUGAGCUAAUCAACACUUUCUAUGCUCAGGAACAAAGGAGAGCUAGCAGAGCUGAAGAUCACCAGGAAUGUGCAUUCAAUACCAAGGCCAGAGAAGCCUCGAGAUUCAAUGCUCCAAGAGGCAAAAGGCCUUGGAAAAAUAGGUCUAAGCCUGAUACUGCAAGGAGUAAUGACCAGCCCUGCAGACAUUGCAAAAGGCCAGGUCAUCCAGAAUACAGAUGCUGGUUUAGGCCAGAUGCAGUAUGCCAACACUGCAAGAAGAAGGGCCAUGUUGAAAGGGUCUGUAAAAACAGGAGUAAGCCAAGGCAGAAUCAAUUUCAGCAGUUAAAGGUUGAAGCUCGAGUAGCUGAGGACAGUAGUGACCAAGAAGAACAGAUCUUUGCUGUUUCCUGCUUAGCUGCUGAAAAGAAAUGCUCAAAAGGCUGGUUGUUGGACAGUGGUUGCACUAACCACAUGUCACCAGAUGCCUCCUUGUUUAAAACCUUGGACAGAAGUUAUAAAACCAAGGUCAAGGCUGGAAAUGGUCAGUUUAUAAGGGCUGAAGGAAGAGGAGAAGUGCUGAUAUGUACUCCCACAGGCAACAAGAUCAUUCCAAAUGUGCUGUUGGUGCCAGAGAUUGACAGAAACCGUCUCAGCAUAGCUCAACUGCUCGAGAAAGGUUAUUCUGUUGUGUUCAAGGACAAACAAUGCCACAUUACUGAUCCAAGUGGAUCAAGCCUUAUGACAGUCACAAUGACUGAUAAAUGCUUUGAGGUUCACUGGGCAAAUGACUUAAACUCAGCAUACACAGCCUCUGUUGAUGACUCCAAGCUUUGGCAUCAAAGGCUUGGACAUGCCAACUUCAGAUCAAUGGCUCGAAUGGCCAAAGAGGGCUUGGCAGAGAACUUCACCAACUCAGUGGAGCAUGAUGAUGUGUGUGAAGUUUGCCAGAUGGGGAAACAGGCAAGACUGCUAUUUCCUACAAAUUCAGCUUGGAGAGCUACUGAAAGACUGCAGCUGGUGCACUCUGAUGUAUGUGGCCCGAUGAGGACUGAAUCACUCAGCAAAAACAGGUAUUUCAUCCUCUUCAUUGAUGAUCUUACAAGGUUUUGCUGGAUUUUCUUCUUAAAACACAAGUCUGAGGUAGCUCAAGUGUUUGUGAAGUUUAAAACUGCUGUAGAGAAAGAAACAGGUUGCAAGCUGAAAUCGAUAAGGACAGACAAUGGCAGUGAGUACACUUCAGCUCAGUUUCAAGCCAUUUGCAAUGAUGCUGGUAUCAAACAUCAGCUUACAAAUGUCUACACACCUUAGCAGAAUAGGGUAGCUGAAAGAAAGAACAGAAGCCUGAUGGAUAUGGCCAGAUGUCUCCUGUUUGAAAAGAAACUACCCAAGACCAUGUGGGCUGAGGCAGUAAACACUGCUGUUUACCUUCAGAACAGGCUUCCUACCAAAGCUCUUGCAUCCGAGACACCUUUCGAGGUUUGGUUCAGUUUCAAGCCUUCCUUGGCACAUCUGAAGGUGUUUGGUUGCCUGUGUUAUGCACAAAUACCAGCAGCAAAGAGAGACAAGCUCUCUAAAAGGGCUCAACCAGGUGUUCUAGUAGGCUACAGCUCAGUCAAGAAGGGCUACAGGGUUCUGAAUCCCUUGACAAACAAAGUCCAGGUGAGCAGAGAUGUCAUCUUUGAUGAAAAAGCCUGCUGGAAUUGGGAGAAAAAUUAGCCAGAAGCAGUUUCAGAAGACCUAGUGCCUAAUCAAUUUGAACUUGAGCAGCUAUGACCUGAAAUGGAUGUUGAUGAUGUACCUGUGAGAGGCACAAGGCCCCUAGAUGAUAUUUAUGAAAGGGCACAGGUUGCAAUAGCAGAACCUAGCAGUUUUGAAGAGGCUGAGGCAGAUGAAGGCUGGAAACUAGCUAUGGUCAAUGAAAUCAACAUGAUUGAGAAGAACCAGACAUGGGAGCUAGUUGAUAAACCUGCUGGAAAGAAGACCAUUGGAGUAAAAUGGGUUUAUCGAGUAAAACAGAAUGCAGAUGGCAGUCUAAACAAGCUAAAAGCCAGGCUUGUUGUCAAAGGAUUUAGCCAAAGGUAUGGUCUGGACUACCUAGAGACAUUUGCACCAGUAGCCAGGCUUGACACAGUUAGAAUGAUAGUUGCCUUGGCUGCUCAACAUCAGUGGACCAUUCAUCAGCUUGAUGUUAAGUCUACAUUUCUCAAUGGUUUCCUGGAAGAAGAGAUCUACAUCGAGCAGCCUCAAGGAUUUGUGAUCACUGGCAAAGAACACAUGGUGUACAGACUGAAAAAGGCUUUAUAUGGCCUGAAACAGGCUCCUCGAGCCUGGUAUGCUCGAAUUGACUCUUACUUGCUCAGUUUGGAAUUUGAGAGAAGUCCCAAUGAACCAACACUGUAUGUGAAGAAGAACCAAGCUGAAACUCAGCUUAUCCUGUCACUCUAUGUUGAUGAUUUAUUGGUAACUGGAGGAGAUAGAAGAAUGCUGAAAGAUUUCAAAGGAAAAAUGAUGGAAAUGUUUGAAAUGUCUGAUUUAGGCAGAAUGAACUACUUCCUUGGAAUGGAAGUGAAGCAAACAGAAAAGGGAAUCUUUCUUAGUCAGAAUUCUUUUACUAUGAAGAUCCUGGAUAAGUUCUCUAUGAAGAACUGCAAGCCAACAAGCACACCAAUGGCUGUUGGAGUGAAGCUUUCGAGGCAAGGGAGUGGUGAACCAAUUUGCGAGACUAUGUACAAGAGUCUCAUUGGUAGUCUGUUGUAUUUGACUGCAACAAGACCCGAUAUCAUGUUUGCUGUUAGUGUGCUAUCGAGAUACAUGAAUUGCUGCAAUGAUCAGCACUUUCAAGCAGCUAAAAGAAUGCUAAGAUACAUCAAAGGCACCAUUGAUCAUGGUGUAUUGUUCAAAAGGGCUGAAAACAUGAAGCUGAUAGGCUAUGUUGAUAGUGACCGGGCUGGAUCGAGUGAUGACAUGAGGAGCACAUCCGGAUAUGCAUUUAGUCUUGGCUCAGGCAUGUUUUGCUGGAGUUCUAAGAAACAAAGUCAGGUGGCACAAUCAACAGCAGAAGCUGAAUAUGUUGCUGCUGCAUCUGCUGUGAAUCAAGCCAUAUGGCUUAGAAAAAUCUUGGCUGAUUUAAACCAAAACCAAAAGGAGGCAACAGAGAUUUAUUGUGACAACAAAUCUGCUGUUGCAAUUGCAAAAAAUCCCGUUUUUCAUGGCAGAACCAAGCACUUCAAUAUUAAGUUGCAUGUUAUAAGGGAGAUGGAACAAGCUCAUGAAAUCAAACUGAUUCAUUGCAAUUCAGAAGUGCAAAUUGCUGAUAUCUUCACAAAGGCACUCAAUGUGUCUAAAUUUGUUAAAUUCAAAAGGGAAUUAGGUGUUACUAGCAUGGAAACUAAGGAGGAGUGUUAAGUUUAGUUCCCAUGCAAAGGUGGCCAUGCACGACAUGCAAAGGUGGUCAUGCUCGAAGAAAUAGCAGCAAGCAGUGGUGCCAUGGUGUGCAUCAACUAAAGUUUGAAGCUGCCAAUCCACUUGCUGUUUUUAGUUCCAUUUUGAUUGUUUUGUAAUCUAGUUCAUGUUGAACUAAGUAGGUAAAUGUUUUGAUAUUGAUUGACUGAAAAGUCAGCAAUGCAAGUUGUACAAGCUAAUCUUGUAAGUUUCAAUGCAAAUUAGUGGAGUUAGGUAGUUGAUUAGGUGAUUACUUGUUUGUUUUACUUGUUGACUGAAAUAUGUAAUGGCUUAAUGCCUUGUUGAUGUGUUAAUGAAAAAUAUCAGCUUAUUUUUCAUUCAAUCUUCUUCUCUCUUUUCUGUUAUUCACUAGCUAGUUUCAUUUUCUGUUUUUGCUUCUGAGUUUGUUUCUUCACCAAGGCUCGAGGCUUGCUAUUCAAGCAAGAUACAAAACAGCCUGUUAUUGUCUCUUUGUUCCAAAACGGAUGAGUUUUUACUGAUAAAAAUUUCAAUAUUGCCUCCGCUUAUGGAGUUUAAAACCUCUAUUAUCAAUAUACCAAAUAUUUUCCUAUAAAUUGAAUGCUAAAACUUAUCUAAAUAUAAGUUAAAUAUUAAGGGUUAUUUAGACUUUAAAGGCUUAUUUGGGGUAUGAUAAAAGUACAAGAGAUUAUUUAAAUAAUGAAAUAAAUCAUCUAUAAGAAAAACAAAUAUGACUUAAUUUUUGUUGAAGUUGGUCAGCAUGCAGCAACCUCGCAGACAGCAAGCAGGCCAUGAAGACCAAGCCAUGCAGGAGCCGCUGGAACGAGCUGAAUUUUGUUCAUUUUGUAUUCUUUAGUUGAUGAAAUGAGUUUUAGUUCAUUUCAAACUAAGUUAGGCCUAUGAUUGAUGUAAUUAGCUGGUGUGUGAGCUGUAAACAGAGCUUUGUGCAUGCUUACAAGUUUAGUUUUCAAGUUUCAAUGUAAUUAAUGGUGGUAGGUAUUGUUUAGGUGAAUGCUUACUGUUUUUGACAAGCAAAUUGCUUGGAUAUACUUAUUUAGUAUAUUAGUCUAAGCAAAUCAUCUAUAGGAAAAAAAGUUACUAGUUGAUUUUGUAACUAAAUCUAGUUGAUGGAUAUUAAGUAAUUUUCAAAGCACAAAAUAUUCAAAUAUUUACUGUCAUUUCCUGGAAAGUGUGAGAGUGACAAUUUUCAAAGCACAAUUUUCUUGACUGAGAUUUAACAAAGGCAACGAUUGGAGGAGAUUAGCUAAUUAUCUGAGUUAAGAAAAUUGCCACUCUCACACUUUCCAGGAAAUGACAGUCUUCUUUAUUUGUAUAUUUUACCCACAAAAGUCAAGGUCUUCUAAUGGGACAAUGUUCAGCAAAUGGUUAAAUUCUUAAAAGAGUCCUUGAACUAGUUUACUUUUGUUGUACCCAAAUAAACCCCUAUGUUUUUAUCUGUGUUUAAAUUAGCCCUUAUUUCAAAUGACAUGUUAAUUUUAAGCUAAGUUGGCGAUGAGGGGAGUGUUGAAUUUCAACAUCAACUUAUAAUCACCAUUUAAUAUAUUUUAUUUGUGUUUAUUGUUGUGCAAAGUUUAACUAUUAUUGUUAGUUUUUAAAAACCAAGUUUAACUUAAAUCUUUUGGUAGUUAAAAGGAUAAUAAAUCUCGUAUUGCUUAAGAAUAAAGCACAAAGGGAUUAUGAAUCUAUAUAAAAGCCCAUAUUUCACAUCAUUUAGAAAAACAAAGGAAAAAAGAUUUAGAGUUUAUAUAAAGAACCAUAUUUUAAGCCAUAAGUCUAUAUAUUAGCCUUCUGGUGAUGUGGCCUUUGAUGAAGAAGAAGGCAUGAAAGAGUAUUAAAAGGGAGUUUUGACCAACAAGAAAACUUGUUCCAAAUGACCAUGAUGAUGAUGGGUGUUAAUUUCCAAGUCAAGGUCUUCCAAUGGGACAAAAUUGUUAAGACUAAAACUUUUCUAGAUACAAGUUAAAAAUUAAAAGUUAUUUGGAUAAAAAAUAAAGUUUAAAGGCUUAUGUGGGGUAUGAUAAAAGUACACAAUAUUAUUUAGAUAAUAUGGUAAAGGUUAAGGGCCUAUUUAAUAUGUUAGUAUGAGUAAAUCAUCUAUACCAAAAUAUAUAUUAGUUGAUUUCGUAACCAAACAUAUUAACUUAAAAAAAAAUUGUCACCAUUCAUGAAUUUCUUUUUGGGUUGUGAUGAAAUUUCUUACGAAUUCCUAACAAAAAUAAUGACUUGAACACAUUUUUUCAUUUGGGUCAAUUGAACUGAAAUUUUGUAUAACUUUCUUAAGAAUAAUUUCCACGUUUAGACAAUUUUAAGUGAAUUGAACUUAAAUUUCCUACCACUUUCUUGAAGAAUAAUUUUCACUUUUUUCCCCUAAAUAAAAAGUCUUUGGAAGGAAGGGUGUUGUGUUUCUAUUUUCCUAGCUGAAAUAAUGAUAGAUUUUCUUAUUUCUCCGACAUUGUAGUGGAACAGAUUGAAGUUACAACAGCGAAUCUUACUUCCCCGACAUUGUAGUUGAACAGAUUGAAACUACAACAGCGAAUCUUACUUCCCUGGCGGUGUAGUGGAACAGAUUGAAGCUACAACGACGAAUCUUACUUCCCCGACAUUGCAGUUAAACAGAUUGAAGCUACAACAGCAAAUCCUAUCUCCCUAACGUUGCAGUGGAUUGGAUCGAAGCACCAGUUUCUAUACCCCUAAAGAUGCAGUGGGGUAGAACGAGGCUACUUGAAGAAGAGAAGCACCGAAGAAGUCGAGGCUCGACAGGACUGGGCACAAUUGGGCUUUUAGUCUUUGCUCCGUUCCCGUUACACGACAACGAGCAAAGAGGGGCAGCUAACCACACCCAAACCCAAAUACAUCAAACCCACUAAGCCCAAAUAUUACAAACCCAAUACCAGCCCAAUACCCAGCCCAAAUCAAGGCCGAAACCCUAGUAGUUUCUGAAACAGCAACAGACUCCCCUCCGCGCCGCGCCACCACGCAUCCCCUCCAUGUCACCACGCCUCUGUACGGCCGUACCUGCAACAAACAGCAAAGCAACAACAACAAUAUGCCAACAUAAGAAAAAACAAAGGAAAUAAUAGAAAAAAAAUAAUUGAUUUUUUGUAAUAUUCGGCAAUAUAAAAGCCGAUUGAUUCAUUUUUGUAAGGAUUACACGCACGAAAUCAAUAAAAAAGAUUUCAAAGGCAAAUCAGGUUUUUUUAAGGUGAUCUGAGUUUUUUUCCUUUCGAUUAUUUCCUUUUUCGAUUCUUUGAUUGUUUUCCUUGUUUAUUUAUUAUUUAAGAAAGGAAAAAUGAAAGGAGAGUGGUUUUAAUUGAUAAUGGAAUCGUUGUUUGCUCCGUUGUGAUCAGAGUCGAGCGACGGUUCAAAGAAGAGAGGGGAUUCCGAAUAGCGAGAUUACAGGAGCGGCGCAUGGGGUUUUCCUUCUGCUUUAGGUUUUUUUUUAAAAUAUGAAUAGGCUGUUGAGAUUUAGGGUUUCUUUUGGCUUCUAAGCGACAUACGAAACGACGUUGUUUGAUGCAAAUGCAAUGGUGUCAAAACGGUGUCAUUUAAGACUAAGACCCGCGCAGUGACCCGGCCCGAGGCAGGAUCCGCGCAAUUUGGUUCAAGGGUCUAUUUGUGCAACGAGCCCCUCUGUGUUUUAUGUUGUUUCAAUUUGAUUUUCUUCAAUUUUUAAUCUAUACCGCACAUUUGGUUCCAAUUUCAUUUGGAUCCAUGUUUAAACGGUGUCGUUUUCCACAUUUGAUUUUGAAUAUUCGGAUUUUUGCGUUUAAUUGCUAUUUUAAUCCCUCAAAUUUUAAGUCGAUAAUAAAUUUAGUUUAUCUUUAUUUUCCUUUUUAUUUCUAGUUGUAGUGUUUUAUUUUUAUUUUUAUUUAAAUUCCAAUUUCAUUUUUAAUCCAUUAUUAUUAUUAUUAUUAUAUAUUCUAAAUUAUAUUUCAUGUCCAAUUUAGCCUCCAAAAGUAUAAUUUUAAAAUAAAUUAAUACUUAUCUUAAUACAUUAUUUCUAGUAUUAUUUUAAUAUUUAGCUUGACAUUGCUUUUAAACUUAUUAUUAAUAUGAUUUUAAAAUGUAAUAUACUAUUAUUUUUAAAUUAUUACUAACAUGUUUUAAAAUUAUCAUACAUUUUUUUAAAAACUCCAUUAUAUACUUUUAUUUUCAAACUUGAUAUGUUAUUAUUUGAUUCAUCAUUUAUUAAUAUAUAUAUUUAUUUUUAUAAGAAUUUGAUAUACUUUGUAUAUAUUUUAAUGUUUUAUUUUAUGUUAUAACUUAAAAUUCCUUUUUUUUUAUAUUUCUAUAUGAUUAAUGUUUACAUAAUAAUAUUUUUUAUACUAUUAUUAUUAUAUAUAAAUUUCUAAAUUAUUUUUUUAAAGUAAAUAUUAAUGUUUUGAUAUUUGAUACUAUUAUGAUUAUUAAUUUCAAGUGUUUUUAACAUAUUUAUAUAUAGGAUAUAUUGAUUAUAAUUUUUUUCCUUUCAUUAUCUUGAUGUAUCUUUUAGAAAAUUGAUUAUUAAUUCGAUGGAUGUUUAUUUGUUAAUAUUAGUGUUUGUAUGAUAUGAUUAGCUAUUUUGUAUUUACCUAUUACUUGCUUGUUACUUCUUAGUAUGUGUUUGGAUUACCAUUUAUCUUUUACAUUAUAUAUUACCAUUCAAUCAUGUUACAUUUAUUUAAAAAAAUUGUGUUUUAUUAAAGCACUACAAUCAUUCUAUUCCAUAAUUUUCAAAACUGCUCGAUGUUCACGAUUCUCGAGAGGAUUGUGCCCUAACUUACUGGGCUUCGAUUCUUUUCAAUGAAUUUAGAUAGCCAAGCAUUUAUUUUGCAAUAAAACCAUACAAAUUCUAAAUAAAGUUUUUUUUUUAGGAUUUCAAAAUGUUGGAUCCUAACUCACUGGGUAUGAGAUCUUGCUAUCUCGAUUUAAGGAUUUUUUAAAUAAAGGAAAUAUUCGGUGUUUAGGAAUUUCGAGAAAUUGAACCCUAACUUUCUGGAUUCCGAUUUCUCGUUUGACCUAAAUAAUCAAAUAUCCUUCUCAAAAUGCAUGAAUUUUAAAUUUUUAAAAAGAUAAACUUGAUUUCAAAGAUUAAAUUGUUGCACCCUAACUCACUGAGUGUGACAGUUUAUUUCUUUGAAAUGAGUAUGUCUUGUCAUCCAAUUCAUUUAUUCAAGUUUUUUCUAAAGGAUCAUAUUUUAAAAUCUUUUCAAAUUUUCAGCAGUAAGACGUUAAACAAUCAAUUCGGUACCAAUUUUGGGCAUUACGAGGGUGCUAACCCUUCCUCGUGCGUAACCGACUCCCGAACCUGUUUUCUCAAAUUUCGUAACCAAAAUCGUUAUUUUAGCAAAUCAAAAUGUUUUAUUAAAAUCUCAAAGUGAUCUGAUCACACCUCGAAAAAAGAUUGGUGGCGACUCCAUUUUUGUUUUUUAAGUCGAUUCACGUUUUUCAAAUAAAAAAAUGGUUUCGACAGUUGUUUCUUAGAAUGUCAAGAGAUGGGUGUGAGGCCAAAAUACACACAGUAGGAUGUUGUAGUCCGGUGAUCAUCAAAAUCCAGCCCUCAAUUGGCAUCGACAUAACCAACUAACCAAAGCCUAUAAGAUGGACGAAAGACUAUCCCAUAAUCAAGAGUCUAAAUCAAGCUAGCUUAAAUAAAUAAAUAAAAAGCCUUCAAUUUUGUCUAAAUUUAUUUUUUUUAUUCAAAUUCUCUUAUAUUUUGGAUCAACCUUCAAGCUUUACAUUUCCAUAUUGUUAGUAAUACGAGCUGUUACCCUUAGAUGAAUAUCCAAUUUAAAGGGACUGUUUUUCUUGCCUAGUCUGUGAAAUAAUUGCUCCAUUCAUUAGUGUACUAUUUGGUCCCCGACGCCCCACAAUUAAGUUCACAUGAUAUUGAUUUUCAUGUGGUUUUUUCCUUACCUUCAUUCAUUGAUUGCAAAAAAGCAAAUCAAUACUAUGCUACAAAACUGUCAGUCAUCCUCUUGGCUGAAUUUUCAUGGAAAAUCUGCAGAUUACAGUCUUAUAGCUGUAACUUCAUAAUGCACCAAAGCAUGAAAAUUCACCACUUGAUAUGCGACGCACAAUUUUUAUGUUUUGUGGGUGAUAAAUAAGAAAAAUUAAACACCUAUCAUCCAGAUUGGUUUUUAUAUAAGCACUUCAUUUUCUGUCAUAUGAGAUUUAUUUAUUUAAAAAUUGUGGAUGCAAGCUUACAUCUAUCACUAGCUAAUUUGUAAUGCUAAUGGACCUGAAUUUGUGUAAUUACUGCAAUAUAAAAUAAUCAGAGUUGUAUAAUUUGUGUUUUUUCUUAUAGUAGAUCAUAGUUUAGGAUUAGAAAACUAUUUUAAUUACUAAGCUUCGACUCUUGAACUUGUUGGAUAUCAUCUCAUCAAAACCAAUGUACAAACCUAUUCCAAAACAGAGUAGAACUCUGGAAUUUUAAUUACACAAAGGGAAAAUUGAUUCAAGUUUUAGCCCAAACUGAUGUGACAAUCAAGUCAAAUAGCUGUAUCAUGGAACCAACUCUUCAUUUUGAAGUUCCAACUAAACCAAAAUCAUUUGGAUUUUUUUUUUCCAGGUGUUUAUGUUGGGUUCCUCUAUGGGGUAAACAUCAAUCUAGCUUGAGAAUGAAAACUGUGAUAGGGUUGGCAUUGAAAAUAACAUCCAGGCUCCAUGUGUUCAUUCAACGAGUUUUGAGAUGAGAGCAACUCUGCCAAAUUCUGCAUGCAUUUAUAUGGUCCAUUGAUAAAUCAGGCGAAAAGAAUGCCAUGAGGAUGCUAAUAAUCAGAAUGAGAGCAUAUGCUUCCUCUCAAUGGGAUAAACAAGGCAACUCUGUUGACAAGUUGCAGUACUGCUUCAAUAUCUAAGUCCAACCACAAUAUAAAGAAAUCAUUCGGUAGACGAAAUUGAAGAUCUUAAAAGCUUACUUGUUACAAACAUCUGUUAUUUAUUCCCUCAUCUGCUUUCCUUACAUCAAUCAUUGCCAUCUUUAUUCCCUUCACAUUAAUCUCUAGGUAAAAGGGCACAUCUAUAAAUGUGGAUUUUGUGGGAACUUUACUUGUUGGUGAGAAAGAAGAUAUCAAAAAACCACCCAUAAUCUGCAACUUCAAUUCCAGUAGAGUACUGAAUCUGAGUCUGGCUUGACUUUCAUGCAAGUUUUAUGAAAUCUACAGAUCACAGUCAUACCAAAAAAAAUAAAAAAUAGAACAUAACAAAUAGAAAAUACCUACUCCUAGAUCAAUAUAAAAGCAUAGGUCAUAAGAUUAACCAAUCUCAAACAUAUGUUGAUUAUAUUUAGGUAAUAGUUGGUAGAUUUACCUAACAUGAACAUAAAUUAGAAAUCAUGAACUGAAAUAUUAUAUAUAUAUAUAUAUAUAUUUACCAACUUUCAAAGGAAACAUGAAACAUAAAUCAAUGGGUGAACAAAUCAUUGAAGUAAAAUGCAGAUAGUAUUGAGAUGCAAUAUGAUUAAAUCUCUACUUGCUGCCUAUGGCAUGAGCACCAAUGGUGGAACCUAAACAAUUAAGCUGAAUGAUGUCCACCACUGAUCCUAUGAAUCAAAACCAGCCAAUAGCAAGUCAACUGUCAAAAAGAAUUCAAGUAUGAAUCUUAAUCUCUCCUCACUACAAUGCUCAAACAACAUGAAAGCAGUAAGAUACAAAGAAAUUUCAGCCCAAACUGAUAUGAUAAUCAAAAUCCAAGAUAAGAAAAUAUCAACUCCAAUAGCUCUACCAUGAAACUAACCCAAUCUAGCUUGAGAAGAAAACUGUCAAAGGUUGCCUCCAGCUCCAUGUGUUUAUCCCACAAGCUUUGAGAUCUGUUGCAAAUUCUGGAUUUAUAUAAUCCCAUUGAUAAAUAUGGGAGAAAUGGUGAGGAUGCUGAAAAUCAUUAUAUGAACCUAAAAUCAUGAUAAUAAGUCAAAGUCAAAGGUAACUUACUUCUCCACCAAGACUGAAUUGCCAGAACCCAAAAAGGGGCUCAAAAGAUUACUUUGACUUUGUGUUGACAAAUCUGUUGACAACUUGCAUUGUCACCAAAUAUCAGUUCAAACACUUGUAUAAAGCAAGCAUUCAGUAAAUAAAAUUGAAGGUCUUACAGCUCAGGUGUUCCUCCUUGUAUGGCUAAAGCUCCAAUUCAGCAGUGGCAUUCCCAAAGAUUUGUUAUUCCUUAAUCUUACAUCAACACAGAAGCAAAGGAUAUAAGAAAAAACAAUCUCACAAAUAACCAAUCUUUCUAAUGAAUCAAGAUAUGAUUGAAGGAAAAUGCAGCAAGUAUUGAGAUACCAGAUGAUACCAACGCUGGAACUAAACAAUGAAGCUGAACCGAGUCCACCAUUGGUCCUAUGAAUUAAAAAAAAAAACAACCAAUAACAAGUCAACUGUCAAUAAGAAUUAAGUAUGAAUUUUAAUAUCUAAAUUUUGGUACCCACCAAAAUCCCCUGUGGAUAUUUUAUCUACUCCAAAGCAGAAUCAUUUUGCUACUGUAUUGAAAUAUCCAGUUAUUGUUCAGUUUUCCUCCAAAUUAAUUAAUAUACAUGGAGAAUUUCCUUCUUGGACAAUAUAUGCUAUAUCUACAAAAGAACACAGACACGACUGGGGAAUGAAGAUGAGAAAAAUAAUAGUAAGCAACAAUCACAACCGUUGAACAAAUGUCCAAUUUUAUGUUUCAUAAAUUAUGCUUUUAACAUUUACAAUGUGGAACUACAAUGUUUCAGUAUGGUAAAGCACCUUCUAGAAGACGAGUAAUUUAUAACGCAGGGCAAGUUUAGAUUCAUCCUGGUUGGUUUUAAUUAAUUAAAGCACUUCAUUUUGUGUCACUAAUUUAUAAGUUGAAAAUUUACUAUUAACAAUUGUGGAAGACAAAAGUAUGGCAAUAUGAAAAAUGAAAUGAAAAAACUGAAAAAUGUAUGAUAAUAUGAAAAAAUGAGAUGAAAUGAAACCCUUACCUAUGCAUUUGGAUGACAUGAUUGAGAAGUUGAAACUCCUCAAAAGCAGAGCCAAAGAUGGAAAGAAAUACAAACUAUUUCAAUCUUUUAAGUCCUCCAUCCCCUUCUUCACCAUCAUGGCUAAAGCUUCUUUUGUUCCCAGCAACUCUCUUUUCAGUAGCAUCUGAAUCACUCUUUUUAUCCACGUAAAAUACAUGAACACCACAUCUCUCGACCUUGAUGUACUCUUCUCCUCCUCUUCCUAANNNNNNNNNNNNNNNNNNNNNNNNNNNNNNNNNNNNNNNNNNNNNNNNNNNNNNNNNNNNNNNNNNNNNNNNNNNNNNNNNNNNNNNNNNNNNNNNNNNNNNNNNNNNNNNNNNNNNNNNNNNNNNNNNNNNNNNNNNNNNNNNNNNNNNNNNNNNNNNNNNNNNNNNNNNNNNNNNNNNNNNNNNNNNNNNNNNNNNNNNNNNNNNNNNNNNNNNNNNNNNNNNNNNNNNNNNNNNNNNNNNNNNNNNNNNNNNNNNNNNNNNNNNNNNNNNNNNNNNNNNNNNNNNNNNNNNNNNNNNNNNNNNNNNNNNNNNNNNNNNNNNNNNNNNNNNNNNNNNNNNNNNNNNNNNNNNNNNNNNNNNNNNNNNNNNNNNNNNNNNNNNNNNNNNNNNNNNNNNNNNNNNNNNNNNNNNNNNNNNNNNNNNNNNNNNNNNNNNNNNNNNNNNNNNNNNNNNNNNNNNNNNNNNNNNNNNNNNNNNNNNNNNNNNNNNNNNNNNNNUAUGUUGCAUUGUUGUUUUUUGUUUUACGUGUUGCUUGGAAGCUCCGACUCAAGUUAGCAGUUGAAGCCAUUGAGGCUUUAUUUUAAGGUUUACACUUUGUUUCCUUUAUUUUAUAUGAUCUUCAAACGAUGUUUAAUCAAAUAUAUUCCACUUGAUUGUAAACUUCAUUGUAUUAAACUUAAUCAUUUCCAUUAGAUUGUAAAAUUAGGCAAUCUUAUGAUGAUAGGCAGCAGAGUUAAAAGGCUUUUCAAAAGAUAGAAUCUGAUGGGUUUGUAAGGUCCGUACGCACAUUGAGUGAUAGAUAAUUGGGUAAGCUUAAGUUUUCAUUUUCUUGCAGAGCAAUAGAAACCCAUCAAAUAUCUAAAUAAUUAGACACUGUAAAGACUUACUAAAUAUCACACAAGGGAUCAAAGUAUAUAUAAGCUCUCAAGUGUAGGCAAAUCCAAAUAUUUAUUUGCUUUUAAGACUUACUAUUCUAUAACAAUGGUAUCUCCUAUUGAUCUUUUAAUACUCUUUCAUGCCUUCUUCUUCAUCAAAGCCCACAUCACCAGAAGGCUAAUACAUAGACCUUGACUUGGAAAUUAACACCCAUCAUCAUCGUCGUCGUUUGGAACAAGUUUUCUUGUUGGUCAGAACUCCCUUUUAAUACUCUUUCAUGCCUUCUUCUUCAUCAAAGCCCACAUCACCAGAAGGCUAAUACAUAGACCUUGACUUGGAAAUUAACACCCAUCAUCAUCGUCGUCGUUUGGAACAAGUUUUCUUGUUGGUCAAAACUCCCUUUUAAUACUCUUUCAUGCCUUCUUCUUCAUCAAAGCCCACAUCACCAAAAGGCUAAUACAUAGACCUUGACUUGGAAAUUAACACCCAUCAUCAUCGUCGUCGUUUGGAACAAGUUUUCUUGUUGGUCAAAACUCCCUUUUAAUACUCUUUCAUGCCUUCUUCUUCAUCAAAGUCCACAUCACCAGAAGGCUAAUACAUAGACUUAAGGCUUAAAAUAUGGUUCUUUAUAUAAACUCAAAAUCUUUUUGCCUUUGUUUUUCUAAAUAAUGUGAAAUAUGGGCUUUUAUAUAGAUUCAUAAUCCCUUUGUGCUUUGUUCUUAAGCAAUACGAGAUUUAUUAUCCUUUUAACUAACAAAAGAUUUAAGUUAAACUUGGUUUUUAAAAAUUAACAAUAAUAGUUAAACUAUGCACAACAAUAAACACAAAUAAAAUAUAUUAAAUGGUGAUUAUAAGUUGAUGUUGAAAUUCAACACUCCCCUCAUCACCAACUUAUUUUAAAAUUAACGUGUCAUUUGAAAUAAGGGCUAAUUUAAACACAGAUAAAAACAUAGGGGUUUAUUUGGGUACAACAAAAGUAAACUAGUUCAAGGACUCUUUUAACAAUUUAACCAUUUGCUGAACAUUGUCCCAUUGGAAGACCUUGACUUUUGUGGGUAAAAUAUACAAAUAAAGAAGACUGUCAUUUCCUGGAAAGUGUGAAAGUGACAAUUUUCUUGACUCAGAUAAUUAGCUAAUCUCCUCCACUCGUUGCCUUUGUUAAAUCUCAUUUUCUCAUUGUCAUUUAAUUCUAGAAUACCAAAGCUCCCUUUGUGUACUUUCCUCUCUCCUUCCCAUCUUCUUCAUCUUCUUCUGGUCAAAUGAUGCGUUAAGUUUUCUUAACCUUUGAGGUGAAGACACAUGCCUUAACUCAAAAUUUAUUUUCUCAUAGGUUCUAGUAUGAUAAAAUUAUCGUGACUUUAAUAAAAUUAGAAUUUAGUUGAGAAAAUAAUUUAAUUGAAUGAAUGAAUUAAAUUUAUUUUAAUUAAUUAUAUAAAUAAUAUUUUUACAAUGAAAACUUGAUAUUGGGUUGGAUAAUUAAAUGAGUUGAUUUAAGUUUAUAUAGACUUGAUCAUGGGUCGAGCCGGUGCAAAAUUUUAGGCCCAUUUUCUAAGCCCGGCCUGACCUACCCGUAUUAAUUUCUUUAGAUUAUUUUUAUGUAAAGAUAAAUUUAAAAAAUAUAAUACAUCAAAUACACUAAAAAUAUUAAAAUAAAUGUUUCUCAAUAAAUUAAAAAUAUAUUUUUAAAAUAAAUAUUUAUACUUAAAUAAUACUAAUACAGUUGCAACUCAACAAUCAAAUGUUUUUAAAUAGUAGCAAAAUUAACAAUAAAACAAAAAAUUCAAUAUCCAAACAAUAACAAUAAAAUAUUAACAAUACGAUAAUAAAAUUGUAACGAAACAACAAUAUAACAGCAGCAAACAACAACAGAAAAGAAAUAGUCAAAUUCGAGCUGGGUCAAAAUAUCUAGCCCAAGACCCGAGCUAUUUAGGAAAUGUGCCAAUAUUGGUAAGUUGAAUAAUAUUUUACUCAACAUUUACGUUCUAACACAUAAACUAUUAUUUUCCAGCUUUUAAAUUAAUUGCCAAUGAUAGAAAUAUGAAGUGCUUUAAUUAAUUAAAACCAACCAGAAUCACAUGCUCUACAAAUAGCUUGUGAUUUAUUCUUUGGUGCAUUAUCAACUUACCUUUUUCCUUAUGCAUUUUACAAGCUAUAUGUACGGUUGUGAUGCGCAACUUUUGUGGAACUUCCAUGAAAAUUCAGCCCAGGGGUGGUAGCUGCUUUGAUUUAUCCAAAUUCCUACAUAUGUAGCUUCGAGGAAGCAAAGAAGGUUUAUUAGUCAUUUUGAAAUUGGUGUCAAAAGCAAAAGCAACCCUUUUUUUUUCCUCAGCCAAUAAAAAUAUUUUAUUAAUAAGUCUUUAUCACCUCACCAAAAAAAAAGUGAGUUUCCAUGCUUUGGUGCAUUAUCAACUUUUACUUGUCCUUAUGCAUUUUGGAACAAUAUGUAUGACUGUAAUAUGCAGAUUUUCUUUGUAAAUUCAGCGAAAAAACAAAAGAAAAAAGGCGAAGAUUCUUGACAUCUUUGUAGCAUAUUUUUUUUGCAAUCAAUGAAUUAAAAUAAGACAAUUUUUAAUCUCACUCGUGGCAUUAAAAUAAAAGCUCCACUACAAAUGCUGGUGUACGACCUAUUUUUCACAUUUAUUAAAAGAGGAUUACAUUUUUAAUUUGAUUCUAAAUAGGGCCUUAUUUUAUAUUAUUAUAAUAGUCCAAACUAAUUUGGGCAUCAAUAUUUUGUGCUUUGAAAUUUACUUAAUAUCCAUCAACUAGAUUUGGUUACAAAAUCAACUUGUAACUUUUUUUUUCCUAUAGAUGAUUUGCUUAGACUAAUAUACUAAAUAAGUCAUAAGCUUUAUUCAAUUAAGCUCUUAAAAUUUUAUGGGUAAAUUAUCUCGUUAGUUAUUUUAAAUAAGGGUCAUUCCUAUUUUGGUUGCUCUAAUAUUUUUGUUAAUUUGGUAAUCCAAAAGGGAAAUUGAUCACUCUUCUGUAAAACGAUAAUGGAAUAUUGAUUGUGUAUUUCCAUAUUAGUCAUGCUGAAAUUUUUAUGAUGGAAGCAAUUUUUGUUUUAAAAAUUCACGUCAGUAUUUCAAUUGGAAUAAUUAAUAGUAAUAUUUACUUGGAUUAAUUGAUGAUAUUAUUGUAGUAAAGGAUCAAAUUAUUCCAUUUUAAAGUAUAAAAAUAAAAAUAUAAAUUUAGGAAUAAUAAUAGGACCAAAACAAAAUUUUAAUUGUAAGGACUAAAUUAUAAAAUCUAGAAAUUUUAGAAAAGGGACUGUUUUGUAAAAUUGUACAAAAAGAGGUUUAGAACUGAACUGCAGAAUAAUAAAAUCUAUUUUUGAGGAAUUAAAUUGCAGAAUAGUAGAAUUUUAGAUUCCAGGGACUAAUUCGUAAAAAUAUAAAAUUGAAAUAUGAGGGACUAUUUUCUUCGACAGUGAAGAGACCUUUCCUUUUGUUGCUCUAAAAGCUUCUCCUUUUUGUUUCUUCGACAGUGAAGAUAGUCAAUAUAGUCUUAUUAGUUUGGAAAAUGUCUUAUGGAAAAAAAAAUUGGUAAGAUAUUUUCCUUGAAAAUGUCUUGAUUUUACAUUUUUUUUCAAGAAUGAUUUCCUUUAGUAAUUCAUUUUCCACCAAAUAUAGACGGUAAAACAAUGAAAAUAUUUUACAUACAAACAAAUAGACCAUUAAUUAGAAAAUCGAUUCGAUUCUAUAUUUAAAAUAAAUGUUGGCAAGCAUAUUUGUUGGUAAAAAAUCUAUUAGACUCUCUGAUCAAUUUUGGCAUUAAGCAAAUUGGAGUCGCUUAAAAAAAUCGAAGCAAUUUAAAUCCCAUCAGUUUCUACAGUGAGUAAUUAAGGAUAAUUAAUCACAACAUUGAUGUUUUCCAUCAAAUGUAAAUAAUUUUAAUUGGUAUAAUAACAAAUUUACCCCUCAAAGUUUACAAUUAUAUCACUUGUCUUGAUUUAACAAAUUUAGCCAGCAAUAUUUGUGUAAAUGUUUAUACUAAACUUGUUGAAUUUUCAGAAUUAAGACCAAAUUGACAAAAAUGCAAACAUGGCUAAAUUUUUUGUUAUAUCAAUCAAAAUUAUGUACAAUUGACGAAAAAUAUUAAUGUCGUGAAUAAUUGUUCUUUGUUGCUCACUUUUGAAAUUAAGAAUGAUUAAAUUGCUUUGAUUUUUUUGAGAGGGACUAAUUUAUUCAAUUUCAAAAUUGAUAGAGAUUGGAGAUAUAUUUUUACGCAAACACACCUUACCUUUGUUCAGAAGAAAGGACUAAACAGGAAACCCCCAAAAGCACAAAGAAAAUCUAUCAUGGUUUCACCUAAGAAAAAUAGAAAUACAACAUCCUUCCUUCCAAAGACUUUUCAUUUAGGGGAAAAAAGUGGCGAUUAUUCUUGAGAAAGUUGUAGGAAAUUUAAGUUGAAUUCACCUAAAAUUGUCCAAUUAUUCUUAAGAAAGUUAUACCAAAUUUCAGUUCAAUCGACCCAAAUGACAAAGUGUGUAAAAGUCAAUAUUUUUUGUUAGAAAAUUUAUAAGAAAUUUUAUCACAACCCAAAACGAAAUUCAAGAAUGGUGACAAAUUUUUUUUUUGAAGUUAUACGUUUGAUUACAAAAUCAAUUAAUAUUUACUUUUUGUAGAGAUGAUUUAUCGCAUUAUUUAAAUAAUCUCUUGUACUUUUAUCAUACCCCAAAUAAGCCUUUAAAGUCUAAAUAACCCUCAAGUUUUUUACCUGUAUCUAGAUAAGUUUUAGCAUUCAAUUUAUAGGAAAAUAUUUAGUAUAUUGAUAAUAGAGGUUUUAGACUUCACAACUUGACAAAUUUUUAUCAGUAAAAACUCAUCGGCUAUGCUUCACCCUUUCAAUCUCAUUCCCAUUUAACUGACUCACUUUUUCUUCUUACCAUUACAAAAAUAGAAGCAAAAGCAAAGCUCCCUCAGUUUAUUUUGUUCUCUUUUCCUCAAUCUCACAAUCCACUAUCUGUUUUGCCCUUUGCUCGAUUUCGUAAUCUUCUUCGGGUUUUGCCUAUCGAGAAGAUGAGUGAAUGUUAGAGUAUAGAUAAAGACUCUAUUAGUUUAUUAGUUGUUAGUCUGUUAUACAAGCAGUUAUGCUGUUAACUGAAAUUGUUAGUAGCAAUUACUCAUACACAUAUUAUCAAUACUAUUGUUAUACUGGUUAAAUUCAAGAUAAUAAUACAAAAAUCAUUCUCUGCAUAUUCUAUUUUUCUUUCAACUUAAUGUAGAUAUUAACAUAAAGCAAGGUUGUGCCGUAUGCCUACUUUUUUAUUGUCUUACAUUAUAGAUGUGCUUUUUACUUGCAGAGUUUAAAGCAAGGUAGUAUAAGUCAGCCAAAACCUGGGGAUUAAGCUUUGACUUUUUAAAUAUGCUACUAUGAAGGGAAUGAAGAUGGCAGUGAUCGGUGUAAGAAAAACAGAUGAGGAAACAGAGAGUCAAGAGGGAAUUAAUGGCAGAUCUUUGGAAAGGCCAUUAUGCUUGGAAUUUUAGCUAUUCAAAAAAGAGAGGGAAUGAAGAUGGCAGUGAUCGGCGUAAGAAAAACAGAUGAGGAAAUAGAAAGUCAAGAGGGAAUUAAUGGCAGAUCUUUGGAAAGGCCAUUAUGCUUGGAAUUUUAGCUAUACAAAAAAGAGAGGAAUAAGUAAGCUUCUAAUUUCUUCUACUGAAUUAUUGUCAUAUAUUUGUGGUUAAGCUGAGAUAUUGAGGCUUUAUUGCAACCUGUUAACAGAUUUGGCUUGUUGAUAUCAUUCAACUCUGAUAAUUUUAUAUUGCAUUAUUUACAGAAAUCUGUAGGUGUUUAGCUUAGCUGAACAUGUUAUGCGGCUGCAAUGUGGUGUUUGUGUCUUGAAACAAGCGAUGCGAUUUUCUAUAGCCAUUUGCUGCGUACAGUAAGUCUUCGUUGUGAAUUUACAGUCACUGUUUUGGGAGAAUGAUGUUAAGGGGGUGCUGGAACUCCAGCAAUCGUAAAACGUGGCUGUGAUUCGAGCUAUUAUACUGUGCUUGAAGCUUCGAACUAGAGCAUGACAGUUUCAUUGCGUAUCAAUUCAACCUCAGAUUCUUUGGGGGACGUAUCCGAGCUAAUUAAUUGGUCCAUCAAGUGAAAGAUAUCGAUUUUUGAAAAUGUCUUGCUAAGGCAGCGGCCAAGGAUGGGGUGGAUUGGAUUUUAAUGUUUAUGGAAUGGUAUUUAUUGGCAUUAUACAUUAUGUUGUACUGUUGUUUUUUGUUUACUGUGUUGCUUGUAAGCUGUAACUUUUACACUUGGUUUCCUUUAUUUUAUAUGAUCUUCAAACGAUGUUUAAUCAAAAAUUUUCCACUUGAUUGUAGACUUCAUUGUGUGAAACUUAAUCAAUUUCAUUAGAUUGUAAAAUUAGGUAGUCUUAAGAGUAUAUUGUAAUUUGAUAUUGCUAAUUUUACAUAAAGGUCCAUGGAUAAAUUAUACAUUGCGAAUUCUACAAAUGUUUAAGCUAUGAUAACAAUGUCUAAUUCUUCAUUUUAUCAUUACAAAUUAGCUAGUGAUAGCUGUUGCAAACAAUGUUGUUUGAAUUGGUAAUCAGGGAUUUAGUGAGUAAGAAUUGAGUAUUUUAUUACCCAUAAAUUCAAAACUUGAAUCCUAAACUAUGAUCUAAAACAGAAUUUAUAUUUUAUAGUAUAACAAUGGCAGUCCUUUCAAUGAAAUGCACCAUACUUAAAUAUGGUGGUUAGAAAUUGAGUGGAGCUAAGCUUAAGUUUGCCAUAAAGGGGUCCCAUUUUGUACAUCAAAUAUAAAGACUCAACUGUGUUUAAUGGUCCACAGCCUAUACUUUUGUGUAUACAAAUAUGGAUGUCCAUUUCAUGAUUCCCCUGAAAUUAAGGCACUGUUUUCUUCCACCAUUCAUUCUCUAGGGGUCUUAUCUACUACCCUUUCUGCAUUUAUUGGAGAUAUUUGGCACUAAUGAGCUUUGCAUUUUAGAACAAUAUGUAUGACUGUAAUCUGCAGAUUUUCCAUGAAAUUUCAGCGAAAUUCCUUGUAAUAUAGCUUCGUGGAAAAAAAAGAUGAGAAGAUGACUCUUGACUCUGUUUUGCUACUAUUGAUUUGUUUUUGGUUUUUUUUUUUUCAAUCAAUGAAGGAUGAUAAUAACAAGCUCUUAAAAUUUUAUGGGUAAAUUAUCUCGUUAGUCAUUUUAAAUAGGGGUCAUUCCUAUUUUGGUUGCUCUAAUAUUUUUGUUUAAUUUGGUCAUCCAAAAAGGAAAUUGAUCACUCUUCUGUUAAACAAUAAUGGAAUAUUGAUUGUGUAUUUCCAUAUUAGUCAUGCUGAAAUUUUUAUGAUGGAAGCAAUGUUUUUUUAAAAAAAUUCACGUCAGUAUUUCAAUUGGAAUAAUUAAUAGUAAUAUUUACUUGGAUUAAUUGAUGAUAUUAUUGUAGUAAAGGAUCAAAUUAUUCCAUUUUAAAGUAUAAAAAUAAAAAUCUAAAUUUAGGAAUAAUAAUAGGACCAAACAAAAUUUUAAUUGUAAGGACUAAAUUAUAAAAUCUAGAAAUUUUAGAAAAGGGACUGUUUUGCAAAAUUGUACAAAAAGAGGUUUAGAACUGAACUGUAGAGUAAUAAAAUCUAUUUUUGAGGCAUUAAAUUGUAGAAUAGUAAAAAUUUAGAUUCCAGGGACUAAUUCGUAAAAAUAUAAAAUUGAAAUAUGAUGGACUAUUUUCUUCGACAGUGAAGAGAGCUUUUCUUUUGUUGCUCUGGAAGCUUCCCCUUUUUGUUUCUUCGACGGUGAAGGCAGUCAAUAUAGUCUUAUUAGUUUGGAAAAUCUCUAACGGAAAAAAAAAUUGGUAAGAUAUUUUCCUUGAAAAUGUCUUGAUGUUACAUUUUCUUUCAAGAAUUAUUUCUUUUAGUAAUUCAUUUUCCACCAAACAUAGACGGUAAAACAAUGAAAAUAUUUUACGGAAAACAUUUUCCAUACAAACAAAUAGACCAUUAAUUAGAAAACCAAUUCGAUUCUAUAUUUAAAAUAAAUGUAGGCAAGCAUAUUUGUUCGUAAAAAAUCUAUCGAGACUUUCUAAUCAAUUUUGGUAUUGAGCAAAUUGGAUUCUUUUAAAAAAAAUCGAAGCAAUUUAAAUCCCAUCAGUUUCAAAAGUGAGUAAUUAAGGAUAAUUAAUCACAACAUUGAUGUUUUCCAUCAAAUGUAAAUAAUUUUAAUUGGUAUAAUAACAAAUUUACCCCUCAAAGUUUACAAUUAUAAAACUUGUCUUGAUUUAACAAAUUUAGCCAGCAAUAUUUGUGUAAAUGUUUAUACUAAAUUUGUUGAAUUUUCAGAAUUAAGACCAAAUUAACAAAACAUGCAAACAUGGCUAAAUUUUUUGUUAUACCAAUCAAAAUUAUGUACAAUUGACGAAAAAUAUUAACGUCAUGAAUAAUUGUUCUUGUUGCUCACUUUCGAAAUUAAGAAUUAUUAAAUUACUUUGAUUUUUUUGAAAGGGACCGAUUUAUUCAAUUUCAAAAUUGAAAGAGAUUGGAGAGAUAUUUUUACCCAAACUCACCUUACCUAUGUUCAGAAGAAAGAACUAAACUGGAAACCCCCAAAAGCGCGCACAAAGAAAAUCUAUCAUUGUUUCACCUAAGAAAAAUAGAAACACAACAUCCUUCCUUCCAAAGACUUUUCAUUUAGGGGAAAAGGGUGGCGAUUAUUCUUGAGAAAGUUGUAGGAAACUUAAGUUGAAUUCACCUAAAAUUAUCUAGAAGUGGCAAUUAUUCUUAAGAAAGUUAUACCAAAUUUUAGUUCAAUCGACUCAAAUGACAAAAUGCAUAAGAGUCAAUAUUUUUGUUAGGAAAUUUAUAAGAUAUUUUAUCAUAACCCAAAACGAAAUUCAAGAAUGGUGACAAUUUUUUUUUGAAGUUAUACGUUUAAUUACAAAAUCAAUUAAUAUUUAUUUUUCUUAUAGAUGAUUAUCACAUUAUUUAAAUAAUCUUUUGUACUUUUAUCAUACCCCAAAUAAGUCUUUAAAGUCUAAAUAACCCUUAAUUUUUAACUUGUAUUUAGAUAAGUUUUAGCAUUCAAUUAAUAAGAAAAUAUUUGGCAUAUUGAUAAUGGAGAUUCUAGAUUCCACAAGCGGAGGCGGUAUUAAAAUUUUUAUCAGUAAAAACUCAUCCGCUAUGCUUCACCUUUUCAAUCUCAUUCCCAUUUAAUUGACUCACUUUUUCUUCUUACCAUUACAAAAAUAGAAGCAAAAGCAAAGCUCCCUCAAUUUAUUUUGUUCUCUUUUUCCUCAAUCUCACAAUCCAUACACUUACAUGGCGUCUUCUUCAUCUUCUUCUCGUCAAGUGAAACAUCAAGUUUUCUUGAGCUUCAGAGGUGAAGACACGCGUGUUAACUUCACCGCUCAUCUACUCCAAGCUUUGAAAGACAAGGGAUGGACUGUCUUCUUCGAUGACGAUACACUAAAGAAAGGGGAGAAAAUUUCAUCAGCACUUUCGAAUGCAAUUGCGGCCUCAAUUCUCUCCAUCAUCAUUUUAUCUAAAGACUAUGCUUCUUCAAAUUCAUGCUUAGGUGAACUUUCUGACAUCAUGGAUCGCAAGCGCAAUCCUACUGACAAAUAUAUUGUUCUUCCCAUCUUUUACCAUGUUAAUCCUUCCCAUGUGCAAAAAAUUGGUGGGACUUUUAAGACAUCCUUCCAAAAGCAUGAAUCAAAGCAACCAGCUGAUAGAGUACAACGAUGGAAAUCUGCAUUUCAAGAGGUCGGUGCAUUAAAAGGGUGGCAUAUAGGAGGCAAAUCCGAUAGGUAACAAUAUAUCUAGUCUCAUCUCCUUAUAUUUUACUUAUACGAAUAUCUUUCUUUUGACUCUCGAUUUUUUAACUAUUUUCUAGAUAUGAAACAGAGUACAUUGAAGAUGUGGUUGAAUAUAUUUCAAAAGAGUUGGAUAGCAAUUGUACAAGUGUUUCUGAAGAAUUGGUUGGAAUAAAUGAUCAAAAAAAGAUAAUUUUGGGGCUGAUUGAGCAAGAGCAUAGCCGUGUAAUAGGACUUUGGGGAAUGGGUGGUAUUGGCAAAACUACCCUUGCUGAUGUUGCGUAUAGUGAAAUCUGCCAAAAUUUUGAAAGCCACUUGUUUCUGCGAAAUGUUAGUGAGAAAAUAAAAAAUGUAGGGAAUGAAUCUUUACGAAAUGAACUUUUUUCCAAAUUAUUAAACCAAAAAGGAAUUUGUAUCAACAGCCCUUCCAUAGGACACCCUUACCAAGAGCGGUUGAACAAUAAAAAAGUACUUGUUGUCCUUGAUGAUGUUAGUAACCCAGAUCAAAUAGAAUUUAUGGGUGUUAAACAUUUUGGUCCAGAAAGUAAAAUCAUUGUAACAUCUAGAGAUAGACAGGUACUUAAAAAUGGAAGAGCUAACCACAUAUAUGAGGUGAAGAAGUUGAAUGAGAAUGAUUCUCUUCAACUUUUUUCUACACUUGCAUUUAACUUGUUGACUCCCGCAGCUGAUUUUCAAGAUCUAUCAUGCAAGUUUGCAGGAUAUGCCCAAGGUAAUCCACUUGCACUUAAAGUUUUGGGUUCUAAACUAUAUACAAAGUCUAGAAAAGAGUGGGAGAGCGAAGUGGAUAGUCUAAAGCAAUAUGCCGAGCCAAAAAUGUCACAUAUUUUGAAGAGUAGCUUAGAUGGGUUGCGUGAGCUAGAAAAGAAUAUAUUUCUUGACAUAGCAUGCUUCUUUAAAGGAGAAAAAAUGGAUACUGUAGAAAAAAUUCUAAGUAACUAUUAUAUGGGUGCAAUGAGUGGAAUAAGAAACUUAGUCGACAAGUGCUUACUUGAUAGCAUAGAUUGUUAUUCUAUGCACGACAUGCUUGAAGAGAUCGGCAAGGACAUUGUUCGCCAAGAAUGUAAAGAAGACCCGGGAAAGCGUAGCAGGUUAUGGUUUCCUGAAGACGUAGAUCAAGUGCUCAGAUAUAAUAAAGUAAGCGCUAAUUGUAUUUACAGUGUUUUCUAUUAUUUUAUAUAUUUGUGUUAUUUUAAUUAAAAUUUAUUUGUGAUAUCAUGUAAAUAUAUAAAUUCAGUUAAUUAUAUGUUUUCAUACGUUAAAAGUUUAAUUGUUUGUAUUUAUAUUGUAUCAAAUGUUAAUCAUUUUAAUUAUUAUUUCAAAAAAUAAAAUAUCAGUUUACUUACCAUGCAUACAAAUAAAGACAAAUGUCUUAAGAGUAUAACAUGGGAUCUACUCAAGGAUUUACUGGGUUGGUACUUAUUUAAUGCAUUGCUUUUAAAAAACAGCAAAAUGUAUCUUUAUGUACUGAUACUUGAUAAAAUGUUUUUCAUUAUUAGGGGACCGUAUCAAUUGAAGGAAUAAAAUUAGACAUGUUUCAAAUGGAUGAGCUGCAGUUAUGUCCAUCUGUUUUUCAGAACAUGCUUAAUCUUAAAUAUAUUUGCUUCUAUGAUUCAAAGAUUGAGAAGGGCUAUCGAAAUCCGAAGUUUCUUAUAGAGCAAGUUGAUAGUAUAUCUCUUCCUAAUAAGCUAAGGUACCUUUGUUGGGAUUAUUUUCCCCUUAAAACUUUAUCAAGUUUUAAUCCAAAGAAUCUUGUCAUGUUGAUAUUACGAAGUGGCAAUAUGGAACAACUGUGGAAUGAAAAUGAUCAUAUGGUAUGUGCUUUCAUACUUUCUCCAUCUAAGAAUUUUUUUAAGGAAAAAAAAUUAUAAUUUGAUGUAUCAAAUGAUCAUAUGAUGACAUCUUAUUUAAAGUUUUAAAAAAAAUAAAUAUAAAAGAUUUUAUUUUAUUUAAAUAGGUGACAUCAUUUGAUCUAUUAAUUGUGGGUGAAAUUUCAAGUCCAAUACAUCGGUAUAAGUUUUUGUUUUUCUUAUUAUUAUAAUUAUUUAUUUCCUUUCCAUUUUUUAUUGCCUAAAGUAAGUGGAUGACAUUUAAAUUUUUUUCCUGUACAGAAUCUUGUUAAUUUAAGGGAAAUUGACGUCUCAAAUUGCAAAAAAUUAAGGAAGAUACCUAAUCUUUCAAGAGCCCUCAACCUUGAACUCCUUGAUUGCUCUUACUGUGAAAGUUUGUUUGAACUUCCUUGCCUCAAUCAUUUGGCAUCUCGUGAUGAGGAUAAGCUUCGCCUUGAGGGAUGUUAUAGUCUCAAGAAGUUUCCUCAGGUCCCAAGUCACUUUUGUUAUUUAGAUUUACGAGAAACUGAAAUACAAGAAGUACCUGAUGCAAUUAAGUAUCUCCACAAACUUGAAAGAUUGUUGUUGAGCAAAUCAAAGGUAGAAAAAGUAUCGAUCAAUAUUUCAAAGUUGGAACUCCUUAGUGAAUUGAAUCUUAGUGAAUGCCCAAUGGUCGAAUUUCCAAAAAUCCCGAGGAGCUUAACAUGGUUAGACUUAUCUGGAACUGGAAUUGAAGAAGCUGCCUUGUCGUUAGACUCUUUAAGUAAUCUUCAAUACUUAAAUAUGAGCGGCUCAAGUAUUCAAAAGCUAAUGUGUAAUAUCACCCUGUUCGGUUCCAGAGAGUUUCCAACUGUCGAUUUGCCCACACCAAGCUUGAGGUCUAAAAUCCUUAACCAUAUGAGGAUGGAUCGUUGCGAGAGCCUCAAAUUACUCUCGGAGCUUCCACCAUAUAUGCAAAACUUGAAUGUACAAUGCUGCACAUCAUUAGAAAAAGUUUCCUUUGCAGAUCAAGAUUUAUAUCAGUUCGAUUCGUUAGGUGAUGAUUUGUUUGGCAUGCUAUUCUGUAAUUGCAUCAACUUGAAUCAAGAGUCAAUUGAUAACAUUGAGGAAAAUGCCAUGCUCAAAAUUGGAUCCCUAGCUAAGAAAUGGGCAGCGAGAUAUGAUUGGAAAUACCAGCGAGAAGACUUUCCAAGAUUGAUUUGUUGUUUCCCAGGAAACAAAAUUUCAGCAGAUAAGUUCAAGUGUCAGAGAAUGAAUUCUUCCUUGAGUUUGAAGAUUGCCCCAAAUAGGGGUAGUGGGAGCAGAUUUUUGGUUUUUGCUAUUUGCCUUGUGGCUGAUCUCACUCACUGCCAUCGCUUUAAAUAUCUUAAUUGUAUUUGUGAGUACCACCUUACAGCCGCCGGUGGUGGUGAUUCUAAAAGCUACAUAAGUAAGAUAUCUUUCUUCGAUUGUUCUGAGCCAAAUAAGUACAAGGGUGAUCACGUGUUUAUUCUAUCUAGCAACGACAUGGUUGAAGAAGACAAGAACUAUGAAGAGGCAUCAUUUAAAUUCUACAUCAUCGACAAUGAUGAUGAAGUUAAUGAAGAAGAAGACUAUAACAAGGUGGAAAGAUGUGGUGUUCAUGUAUUUUACGUGGAUGCUACUGAAAAGAGAGUUGCUGGGAACAAAAGAAGCUUUAGCCAUGAUGGUGAAGAAGGGGAUGGAGGACUUAAAAGAUUGAAAUAGUUUGUAUUUCUUUUCAUCUUUGGCUCUGUUUUUGAGGAGUUCCAACUUCUCAAUUAUGUCAUCCAAAUGCAUAGUUAGGGGUUUCAUUUUCAUCUCAUUUUUUCAUAUUAUCAUAAAUCUUCAUGUUAUUUUUCAUAUUGCCAUACUUUUGUUUUCCACAACUGUUAAUAGUAAAUUUUCAACUUAUAAAUUAGUGACAGAAAAUGAAGUGCUUUAAUUAAUUAAAACCAACCAGAAUGAAUCUAACUUGCUCUGCUUUAUAAAUUACUUGUCUUUUAGAAGGUGCUUUGCCAUACUGAAUCCUUGUAGUUCCACAUUGUAAAUGUUAAAAGCAUAAUUUAUGAACAUAAAAUUGGAAAUUUGUUCAAUAGUUUGUGAUAGUUGCUUAUUAUUAUUUUUUCUCAUCUUCAUUCCGCCGUAAUGUCUGUGUUGUUUUGUAGAUAUAGCAUACAUUGUCCAAGAACGAAAUUCUCCAUAUAUAUUAAUUAAUUUGGAGGAAAAUUGAACGGAAACUAGAGAUUUCAACACAGUAGCAAAAUGAUUCUGCUUUGGAGUUGAUAAAAUAUCCAUAGAGGAUUUUGGUGGGUACCAAAACUCAGAUAUUAAAAUUCAUACUUAAUUCUUAUUGACAGUUGACUUGUUUUUGGUUGGUUUUUUUAAUUCAUAGGGCCAAAUGUGGACUCGAUUCAGCUUCAUUGUUUAGUUUCCAGCAUUGGUGUCAUCUGGUAUCUCAAUACUUGCUGCAUUUUCUUCCAUUAGAAAGAUUGGUUAUUUGUGAGAUACGUUUUUCUUAUAUCCUUUGCUUUUGUGUUGAUGUAAGACGAAGGAAUGACAGAUCUUUGUGAAUGCCACUGCUGAAUUGGAGCUUUAGCCAUACAAGGAGGAACACCUGAGCUGUAAGAGCUUCAAUUUGUUUUACUGAAUGCUUGCUUUAUACAAGUGUUUGAACUGAUAUUUGGUGAAAAUGCAAGUUGUCAACAGAGUUGUCUACACAAAUGCAGAGUAAUCUUUUGAGGCCCUUUCUAGGUUCUGGCAAUUCAGUCUUGGUGGAGAAGUAAGUUACCUUUGACUUUGACUUCUUAUUAUGAUUUUAGGUUCAUAUGAUGAUUUUAAGCAUCCUUAAUCUUUUUUUUCCCAUAUUUAUCAAUGGGAUUAUAUAAAUCCAAAAUUUGCAACAGAUCUCAAAACUUGUGAGAUGAACACAUGGAGCUGGAGGCAACCUUUGACAGUUUUCAUUCUCAAGCUAGAUUGAGUUAGUUUCAUGGUAGAGGCAUUGGAGUUUGGGCUGAAAUUUCUUUGUAUGUUACUGCCUCUCAUGUUGUUUGAGCUUUGCAGUGAAGAGAUAUUAAGAUUCAUACUUGAAUUCUUUUUGGCAAUUGACUUGUUAUUGGAUGGUUUUGAUUCAUAGGAUCUGUGGUGGACAUCAUUUAGCUUAAUUUUUUGGGUAUUCGAUUUAUUUGAAUUAUUUGGAUUCUUUGAAUUCGAAAAAUCCUCGAAUUGAACUCGAAAUUUGAAAAAAAAAAUCAAGUUGAGUCAAUUAAUUCGAUUAACUCACUUAACUUGAUUCGAAUAAUUUGAAAUUCGACUUUUUUUUUCAAUGUUUUCGAAUAGAAUCGAAUUUUGCUCAUUCCUACUUGCUAAACAAUUUAGGUGAAUCCUUUUUUAAUUAGAAAACUGAUUCGAUUCUAUGUUUAAAAUAAAUGUAAGCAAGCAUAUUUGUUGGUAAAAGAUCUAUUCAAUCUCUCUCAAUGUUGAUAUUUAGUAAAUUGAUCUCUCUUAAAAAAAUUAGAACAAUUUAAAUUCCAUCAAUUUCGAAAGUGAGCAAUUAAGGUAAAUUAAUCACAACAUUAAUGUUGUCCAUCAAGCGUACAUAAUUUUGAUUGGUAUAAUAACAAAUUUACCCCUUAAAUUUUACAAUUUUGUCUUGAUUUAACAAAUUUAGCCCACAACAUUCGUGUAAAUGUUGAUACUAAAUUUAUUGAUUUUUUAGAACCAAGACCAAAUUGACAAAAAAUGGAAACAUUGAAGGCUAAAUUUAUUGUUAUACCAAUCAAAAUUAUGUACAAUUGACGAAAGACGUUAACAUCACGAUUAAUUGUCCUUAGUUACUCACUUUUAAAAUUAACAAUGAUUAAAUUACUUUAAUUUUUUUUUGAGAGUGACCAAUUUAUUCGAUUCCAAAAUUGAAAGAAACUAAAGAGGUCUUUUUAACCAAACUCACAUUACCUGUGCUCAAAAUAAAGGAUUAAACAGGAAACCCCCAAAGCACAAAGAAAAUCUAUCAUAAUUUUACCUAGGAAAAUAGAAACCCUUCAUUCCAAAGACUUUUCAUUUAGGGGAAAAAAGUGAAAAUUAUAAAGUUUGGGAAAUUUAAGUUCAAUUCACUUAAAAUUGUCUAAAAGUGAUUCUUAUUCUUAAAGAAAAUUAUAUGAGAUUUCAGUUCAAUUGACCCAAAUCACAAAGUGUGUAGAAGUCAAUAUUUUUGUUAGGACCCAAAAAGAAAUUCAAGAAUGGAAAUUUAUUUACUUAACAAUUUUGUGCCAAUGGAAGACCUUGACUUGGAAAUUAACACCCCCCAACAUCAUUGGAACAAUUUUUCUUGUUGAUAAUAAUCUUUAAGACAAAAAUAGCAUCACAUACAUACACAAGAGCUGAGUUACUUGAUUUACAAAUCAAAGUUCCAUAUAUUAAAAUAAAUUUUAAUUAUAAAAAUUUCAAACUUCAAAAAAAAAAAAAGAAAAAAAAAGAGAGAGCAGAGCAAGCAGCACAGUUAAUUUUAUUUGGUUCGAGUUUUUGAUGGUAGGCAGCAGAGUUAAAGGCUUUUGGAGAGAUAGAGUUUGAUUGGUGGUGCGGUUUCUAAGGUCCACACGCACAUUCUUCACUCAUAAAAUUGGCUAUGCUUCACCCUUUCAAUCUCAUUCCCGUUUAAUUGACUCGCUUUUUCUUCUUACCAUUAAAAAGAUAGAAGCAAAAGCAAAGCUCCCUCGGUUUAUUUUGUUCUCUUUUUCCUCAAUCUCACAAUCCAUACACCUUCAUGGCGUCUUCUUCAUCUUCUUCUCGUCAAAUGAAGCAUCAAGUUUUCUUAAGCUUCAGAGGUGAAGACACGCGCCUUAACUUCACCGUUCAUCUACUCCAAGCUUUGAAAGACAAGGGACUGAAUGUCUUCUUCGAUGAAGAAAAACUAGAGAAAGGGGAGGAACUUUCACAUGCACUUUCACAAGCAAUUGCAGCCUCAGAUCUCUCAAUCCUCGUUUUAUCUAAAGACUAUGCUUCUUCACAAUCAUGCUUAGCUGAACUUUCUGACAUCAUGGAUCGCAAGCGCAUGCCCACGGACAAACAUAUUGUUCUUCCCAUCUUUUACCAUGUUGAUCCUUCCGAUGUGCGAAAUAUUGGUGGGACUUUUAAGACAUCCUUCGAAGAGCAUGAAUCAAAGAGACCAAUUGAAGACAUGAAGCGAUGGAAAGUCGCCUUCGCUGAAAUCGGUGCAUCAAAAGGGUGGCAUAUAGAAGGAGGCAAAUCCGAUAGGUAACAAUACAUACAUUCUCAUCUUCUUAUAUUUGACUUAUAUAUAUAUCUUUCUCUUUUGACUGUUGAUUUUUUUUUUUAAUUUUCUAGAUUUGAAACUGAGUACAUUAAAGAUGUCGUUGAAUAUGUUUUAAAAAAGUUGAAUAGCAAUUGUAGAAGUGUCUCUGAAGAAUUGGUGGGAAUAGAUGAUCAAAAAAAGAAGCUUUUGGUGUUGAUUGAGCAAGCGGGCAUCCAUGUAAUAGGACUUUGGGGCAUGAGUGGUAUAGGCAAAACUACCCUUGCUGAUGCUGUAUAUAAGGAAGUCUCUCCAAAGUUUGAAUGUAGUUUGUUUCUUCAAAACAUUAGUGAGAAAAUAAAGAAACAGGGGAGUGAAUCUUUACGAAAUGAACUUCUUUCCAAACUAUUAAACAAUACUCUUUCCAUAGGAUACCCUUACCACGAGAGGCUGAAUAAUAAAAAAAUACUUCUUGUCUUUGAUGAUGUUACUGACCCAGACCAAAUGGAUUUUGUGGGUGUUAAAUAUUUUGGUCCUGGAAGUAAAAUCAUUGUAACAUCUAGAGAUAUACAAGUACUUAGGAAUGGAGGAGCAAACCACAUACAUGAGGUAAAGAAGUUAAACAUGAACGACUCUUUUCAACUUUUUUCUACAUAUGCAUUUCAAUUGUUGAAUCUUCCAGUUGAUUUCAAAUAUCUAUCAUUCAAGUUUGUAGAAUAUGCCCAAGGUAAUCCACUUGCUCUUAAAGUUCUGGGUUUGAAAUUAUAUACAAAGUCUAUAAAAGAGUGGAAGAGCGAGGUGACUAAACUAAAGCAAUGUGGAGAAAUAAAACUUUCACAUAUUUUGAAGAGUAGCUUAGAUGGGCUGGAUGAGUUAGAGAAGAAUAUAUUUCUUGACGUAGCACGCAUCUUUAAAGGGCAACACUUGAAUUACGUAGAAAAAAUUCUAAGUAAUUAUUAUAAAGGUGCAAGAUGUGGAAUAAGUAAAUUGGUCGGCAAGUGCCUACUUGAGGUCAAAUAUGAAUCUAUUUCUAUGCAUGGCAUGCUUGAAGAGAUGGGCAAAGACAUUGUUAUGCAAGAAUCUGAAUACCCUGGAAAGCGCAGUAGAUUAUGGAAUUGUAAAGAUGUGGAAGAAGUGAUCAGCUAUGAUAAAGUAAGUGUUAAUAGUAUUUAUAUUCUUUCUAUUCUUUCACAUGGUUUAAUAGAUGUUGUGGUGUACAAAAUAUUAUCCUUUUUAAUUAUUAUUUUAAAAAAUAAAAUAUUUAUUACUUCCCAUAAACAUAAUGACCAAAUGUCUUAUGAUGCAACAGUCAACAUGGAAUUUGCUGAAGGUUUUUUGAGUUUGUUAAAUAUAUAAUGCUUUACUUUAAAAAAAAUUAAACAGUAAAAACUUUGUGCAUCUAAAAAUUCCUCUAAUAAAAAGGUAUGCCAAGUUAGUUUAAAGUAUUUCCUAAUUUAAUUAACUUUUUUAUGACUGAUUUAAUGGAAUGUCCAUAAAUUUUUUUGUGUUAAUUCAUGAUAAACAAUUUUUUUGUCAGGGGACUGACCUAAUUAAAGGAAUAAAGGUAGACAUGACUGAAGUUGAUAGUCUACAGUUUUGUGCUACUGCUUUUGAGAAGAUGCAUAAGCUUAGAUAUAUCAACAUCAGCUUUCCUAAGAAAAUGUUGUGGCUUAAGAAGCUAUAUGCAAAUCAAGUUGAGAGUAUAUCUCUUCCUGAUGAGUUAAGGUUUCUCCGUUGGGAUGUUUACCCUUUCAAAUCUUUAUCUGGUUUUAAUCCAAAAAAUCUUGUCGUGUUGAAACUAUUACAUGGCAACAUGGAACAACUUUGGAAUGAAGACGACGAUAUGGUAUAUACUUUCAUACUUUCUUCAUCUAAGAAGUUUUUUUUAAGGAGAAAGAGGAUUUAUAAUUUGAUGUGUCAAAUAAUAUAUCGGAUGAUAUUUAUUUAAAGUUUUUAAAAUAUAAAUAUGAAACAUUUUAUUUAUUUAAAUAAGUGAAAUCAUUUUAUUUAAUUUUUUUAAAUAUAUAUAUAAAUUUAUUUUAUUUUUCUAAAAGAAGCAAUUUCAUCUAUUAAUGGUGGGUGUGAAUUAAUACACCCAAUAUAAAUUUUUAUUUUGAUAGUCUUAAUAUAAGUAGAUGAUGCUCUAAAGUAAUCAUCCUGUGUAGGAUCUUGUCAAUUAUUUAUUUUCUUUUUAUUUCUUACUUUCUAAAGUAAGUAGAUGAUACUUAAGAAGGAUAUAAUUAUUUUUAUAUAUUUUUCUUUUGCACAGAACCUUACUAAUUUAAGGGAAAUUGACGUUUCAUAUUGCAAGAAUUUAAGGAAGAUGCAUAAUCUUUCAGGUGCCAUCAACCUUGAACUCCUUCGUUGCAUUGGCUGUGAAAGUCUGGUUGAACUUUGGAGUGAAGAUGAUCAUAUAGUAUGUGUGCUUUCAUACUUAUUUCAUUUAAGAAUAUAUUUUUUUAAUUUAAUGUAUCAAAUAAUCAUAUGUUAUGUUGACAUCUUAAUUAAAGUUUUUACAAAAGAAAUAUGAAAGAUUUUAUUUUAUUUUAUAUAAAUUAGUGGCAUCAUUUGAUCUAUUAAUUGUGGGUUAAUUUUCAUGCCCAAUACAUCAAAUAUGAAUUUUUAUUUUUCUUAGUAUUAUAAUUAUUUAUUUCCUUUUUCUUUUUUUACUACUUAAAGUAAGUAGUUGAUGCUUAAAAGCAAUACAAAUGUUGUUUCUAUACAGGAGCUUGUUAAUUUAAGGGAAAUUUACGUUUCAGAAUGCAAAAAUAUAAGGAAGAUAUGUAAUCUUUCAAGAGCCAUCAACCUUGAAUUCCUUGAUUGCUCUUACUCUAAAAGUUUGGUUGAACUUUGGAAUGAAGAUGAUCGUAUGGUAUGCGUUUUUAUACUCUCUCUUUUUUUUGAAAAAAAUAAUUUAUAAUUUGAUGUAUCAAAUAUUCAUAUGAUAAUAUUUUAUUUAACGGUUUUUAAAAAUAUAUAUAAAAGAAUUUAUUUUAUUUAGAUAAGUGACAUCGUUUGAUUUAUUAAUACAUCAAAUAUAAAUUUUUAUUUUUAUUGUAUUAUAAUUAUUUAUUUCCUUUACAUAUUUUACUGUCUAAAGUAAGUGGUGGAUGCUUAGAAGUAGAACAAUUAUUUUUUCUGUACAGGACCUUGUUCAUUUAAGGAAAAUUUACUUUGAUGGGUGCGUGAAUUUAAGGAAGAUACCUAACCUUUCAAGAGCCAUCAACCUUGAAUUCCUUGGUUGCUCUAACUGUAAAAGUUUGGUUGAACUUCCUUGCCUCAAUCAUUUGGCAUCUCUUCAUCAAUAUAGUCUUCGCCUUAACGGAUGUUAUAGUCUCAAGAAGUUUCCUAAGGUCCCACGUCCCUUUUGUUCUUUAGAUUUACCAGAAACCAAAGUAGAAGAAGUGUCUGAUUCAAUUAAGGAUCUCCACAAACUUGAAACUUUGUGGUUAGGGAAGUCAAAGGUGAAAAAAGUAUCGAUCAAUAUUUUAAAGUUGGAAUUCCUUCGUAAAUUGGAUCUUAGUGGUUGCCCAAUUGAAGAAGUGUCGUUGCCUUUCGACCCCCUAUGUAAUCUUCAGCACUUAAAAAUGAGUGGCUCAGCGGUCAAAAAUGUAUCGAUCAAGUUGGAAUCCCUUCGCAAACUGAAUCUUAGUGGAUGCCCAAUGGUCAAAUUUCCAGAAAUCCCAGGAAGCUUAAUAAAAUUAAACUUAUCUGGCACUCAAAUUGAAGAAGUGUCGUUGCCUUUCGACUCUCUAUGUAAUCUUCAGCACUUAAAUAUGAGUGGCUCAGCGGUCAAAAAUGUAUCGAUCAAGUUGGAAUCUCUUCAUUAUCUGGAUCUUAGUGGUUGCCCAAAGAUCGAAUUACUCUCAGAGCUUCCACCAUAUCUGGAAGUCUUGAGUGUAAAUGACUGCACAUCAUUAGAAAAAGUAUCCUUUACAGAUCAAAAUUUAAAUCAGUUUGAUUCUUUAGAUGAUGAGUAUUGCAUAAAUCAUAACUUUUUAAUGCGAUUCCGUAAUUGCUUCAACUUGAAUCAAGACUCAACUAAUAACAUUGAGGCAAAUGCCAUGCUCAAAAUUGGAUCCCUAGCUAAGAAAUGGGCAGCGAGAUAUGAUUGGCAAUACAACCCUGACAGAGCUCCAAGUUUGAUUUGUUGUUUCCCAGGAAACAAAAUUUCAGCAAAUAUGUUCAAGUGUCAGAGCAUGAAUUCUUCCUUAAGUUUGAAGAUAGCCCCAAAUGGGGGUAGUGGGAGCAGAUUUUUGGUUUUUGCUAUCUGUCUUGUGGCUGAUCUCACUCACUGCCUUGAAUUUCAAUUACGUGAAUGUAUUUGUGAGUACCAACUUACAACCGCCGGUGGUGGCAAUGGUGGAGGUGGUUGUGAAAAUUUCAGAAGUGAGAUACGUUUCCGCAGUUUUUAUGAGCCAGUUAAGUACAUGGAUUAUCACGUGUUUAUUCUAUCUAGCAUCGACAUGGUAAUAGAAGACAAGAAUUAUGAGGAGGCAACAUUUGAAUUCUACAUCAAAAAUUUCCAUUUCGAUGAAGACAAUGAUGGAGGAGAAAAGUAUAUCAAGGUGGAGAGAUGUGGUGUUCAUGUAUUUUACGUGGAUGCUACUGAAAAGAGAGUUGCUGGGAACAAAAGAAAAGCUUUAGCCAUGAUGGUGAAGAAGGGGAUGGAGGACUUAAAAGAUUGAAAUAGUUUGUAUUUCUUUCCAUCUUUGGCUCUGCUUUUGAGGAGUUUCAACUUCUCAAUUAUGUCAUCCAAAUGCAUAGGUAAGGGUUUCAUUUCAUCUCAGUUUUUCAUAUUAUCAUAUAUUUUUUAGUUUUUUCAUUUCAUUUUUCAUAUUGCCAUACUUUUGUUUUCCACAAUUGUUAAUAGUAAAUUUUGAACUUAUAAAUUAAUAACAGCAAAUGAAGUGCUUUAAUUAAUUAAAACCGACCAGGAUGAAUCUAACUUGUUCUGCUUUAUAAAUUACUUGUCUUUCAGAAGGUGCUUUACCAUACUGAAACCUUGUAGUUCUACAUUGUAAAUGUUAAAAACAUAAUUUAUGAACAUAAAAAUUGGAAAUUUGUUCAACAGCUUGUGAUUUUUGCUUAUUAUUAUUAUUAUUAUUUUUUCCAUCUUCAUCCCCCUGUUGUGUCUGUGUUCUUAAAAUUCAGAUAUUAAGAUUCAUACUUAAUUCUUAUUGACAGUUGACUUGUUAUUGGUUGGUUUUUUUUAAUUCAUAGGACCAGUGGUGGACUCGAUUCAGCUUCAUUGUUUAGUUUCCAGCAUUGGUGUCAUCUGGUAUCUCAGUACUUGCUGCAUUUUCCUUCAAUGACAUCUAGAUUCAUUAGAAAGAUUGGUUAUUUGUGCCACUGCUGAAUUGGAGCUUUAGCCAUAUAAGGAGGAGCACCUGAACUGUAAGAGCUUCAAUUUGUUUUGCUGAAUGCUUGUUUUAUACAAGUGUUUUAACUGAUAUUUGGUGACAAUGCAAGUUGUCAACAGAUUUGUGAACACGACUUCAAAGUAAUCUUUUGAGGCCCUUUCUGGGUUCUGGCAAAUUCAGUCUUGAUGAAGAAGUUACCAUUGACUUUGACUUAAUUAUCAUGAUUUUAGGAUCAUAUAAUGAUUUUCAGCAUCCUCACCAUUUUUUCCCAUAUUUAUCAAUGGGAUUAUAUAAAUCCAGAAUUUGCAAGAGAUCUCAAAACUUGUGGGAUGAACACGUGGAGCUAGAUGGAACCUUCGGCAGUUUUCAUUCUCAAGCUAGAUUGGGUUAGUUCCAGGGUAGAGCCAUUGGAGUUGAUAGCUUCUUACCUUGGAUUUUGAUUGUCGUAUCAGUUUGGGCUGAAAGUUCUUUGUAUGUUACUGCCUCUCAUGUUGUUUGAGCAUUGCAGUGAAGAGAUAUUAAGAUUCAUACUUGAAUUCUUUUUGGCAAUUGACUUGUUAUUGGUUGGUUUUGAUUCAUAGGAUCUGUGGUGGACAUCAUUCAGCUUAAUUGUUUAGGUUCUACCAUUGGUGCUUGUGCCAUGGGCAGUAAGUAGAGAUUUAAUCAUAUUGUAUCUCAAGACUAUCUGCAUUUUACUUCAAUGAUUCGUUCACCCAUUGAUUUAUGCUCAUAUUUCCUUAAAAUGUUAGUAAAUAUAUAUGUUUUCAGUUCAUGAUUUCUGAUUUAUAUUCAUGUUAGAUAAGGUAAACCUACCAACUGUUCCCUAUAUAUAAUCAAUAGAUGCUUGAGAUUGGUUAAUCUUCUAACAUAUGGUUUUAUAUUGAUCACAGAGUAGGUGUUUUCUAUUUGUUAUGUUUUAUUUUUUUUGAAUUUUAUGACCGUGAUCCGUAGUUUCCAUAAAAUUUUAAUGAAAGUCAAGUCGGACAUAGUGCUGCACAUAAUUCCUCCCAUUCAUUCUCAAUUGUGGAAUUCACAAUCUGCCAGAAAUCAUACUCAUAAGAUUUCCCUAGCUUCCUUCCUGACCAAUUUGCAAACAUGUCCCUCGCACAAUUCCUAUGCUCCACCUUUGGCGAUAUGUCAGAAAUUACAAUCUGAAGGCCUUAAUUGUGUUUUAAUGAACCAAAUAGAUUAUUAGAAAAAUAUAGUUAAUUAUACUUAACAAAAUAAAAAGACAAGACCAAGCCCAAAUUAGUUAAUUCACUAACCUUUUGUUGGUCCUUGAUAAUUGUUUAAUUCGGCUCGGUUUGGUUCACAAUUUCUUAUAUUAAUUUUUUGUUUUGAUUUUUAAGGUUUAUUUUGAUAAAAUGAGUUUUGUUUUAUGGCUUUUAAAUAUUAUUUGAUAAAUUUCAAAUUUAUUUUCAUAAAUAUUUCUAAAAUACAAUAAUUUUUCAAAAACUUUUAAAUUACUUUCACUAUUUUAAAUAUAAAAUAUGUAUUUUUAUAUCAAAAAAGUUAAAAUUAAUUAUAUAUGAAAUAAAAAAUAAAAUUCGAUUCGAUUUCAGAUAAUAACCAAUUUUUUAGUAAAAAACAAACAAACAAAUAAAAAUUACAUCAAACUAAAUUGAUCAAAAGCACCCUUAACUUUUAUCUUGAUUUAAAAUAUUUAAAACAUCACGAGGGACUUUAUUAUAAAACUGUAAACUUAUCCUCUCAACUAAGCUCAAUUAAUCGCCAUUUUUAAAUUUAUAUUUUAUUAAUCGUUGAAAUAAGAAACAUUUUGGGUUUGAUGGGCCCACCCACCAUCAAAACACUCCCACUUUUGCGGUAAAAGAUAAAAAGGAGAAUUGAUUAUCUCCGGUGGUGUUGACUAAGAUAAUUGGCUAAGCUCAAGUCUAAGGAAAACGCCUUCAAUCUCUUUCCCAUUUAAUAAAAGGAUACCAAAGAUUAUGCAUAUUUUACACUUUUUCUUCUUACAAUAAUACCACAACCCAAGCAAAACUCACUUGCUAUAUUUUUCUCUCUUUUGCUUCAAUACUCUUCCAUGGCUUCUUCUUCUUCUUCAUCUUCUACUCUAAUGAAGUAUCAUGUUUUCCUUAGCAGAAUACCCUUAAAUUCUAUAUGAUGUUGUAAUAGCAUAAGGAAAAAAACUAAAAUAACUAGAAUAUCCUUAGCAGAAUUUUUUUUAGGUAGAUGAUUAUUGUUAUUGUUAUUAAAUUUUAAUAAGAUUAUUAAUAUAAAUAAUAAAUAAUUUAAUCAUAUGUUAUAAAAAAAGUUGACGAAUAUUGGGUUUGAAAGUGCUUCUGAAGAAUUGGUUGGAAUAGAAUAUCAGAAAAGGACGAUUUUGAAGCUGAUUAAGCAAAAAGACUGUCGUGUAAUAGGACUUUGGGGAAUGGGUGGUGAAGGCAAAUCAACCCUUGCUGAGGCUGUUUAUAAAAAACUCUCUUCAGAGUUUGAAACGCAUUGCUUUCUUCAAAAUGUUAGAGGAAAUAAAAAAACAAGGGAAGGAAUCUUUACGAAAUAAAUUUCUUUUGGAAUUAUUGAACUCAAAUGUUGAUAUAGGCACCCCCUCCAUUGGAUCCACUUUAACUCAAGAGAGACUCAACAAGAAGAAAGUACUUGUUGUCCUUGAUGAUGUUGAUGACUCAGACCAAAUAGAUUAUAUGGGUGUUAAACAUUUUGGUUAUGGAAGUAAAACCAUUAUAACAUCAAGAGAUAGACAAGUGCUCGAGAGUGGAGGAGCUGACACAAUACAUGAGGUGAAAGGGUUAAAUGAGAACAAUUCUCUUCAACUUUUUUCUACCUUUGAGUUUAAGCAGUUGAAUCCCCCAGUUGGUUUUGAAGAUCUAUCCCGUAGGUUUGUAAAGUACACACAAGGCAAUCCACUUGCUCUUAAAGUAAAAGAUAAUCUGGCGUGCAAGUAACACCAGUGUUGACUAAAGGAUAGUUGGCUAAGCUCAAGUCGUCGCCUGUGCUUUUGCCUAGGCCUUCAAUCUCUUUCCCAUUUACACUUUUUCUUCUUACAAUAAUACCACAACCCAAGCAAAACUCACUUGCUAUAUUUGUUCUCUCUUUUGCUUCAAGCACACUAUCAAUACUCUUUCAUGGGUUCUUCUUCUUCAUCUUCUACUCUAAUGAAGUAUCAUGUUUUCUUGAGCUUCAGAGGUGAAGACACGCGCCUUAAUUUCACCACUCACUUACUUCAAGCUUUGAAAGACGAGGGACUUGAUGUUUUCUUCGAUGAAGAAAAACUGGAAAGGGGGGACCAGCUUUCACAAGCACUUUCUCGAGCAAUUGCAGUCUCAAAUAUCUCAAUCAUCGUUUUGUCUGCAGACUAUGCCUCUUCGAAAUCAUGCUUGGUUGAACUCUCUGACAUCAUGGACCGCUAUAGCGUCGGACAACAUACUGUUCGUCCCAUCUUUUACCAUGUUAACCCCUCUGAUGUGGUGAAAAUUGAUGGGAGUUUUAAGAAAUCCUUUGAUGAGCAUAAAACAAAGAGGUCAGUUGAUGAAGUGAAACAAUGGGAAACCGCUUUUGCUGAAGUUGGUAAAUUACAAGGGUGGCAUAUAGAUGGAAGCAGGUCGGAUGGGUAACUAUAUUUGUCUCAUCUCCUUAUAUUUGACUUAUCUUCGUUUUGGCUUUCAUAUAUAUACUUCUUCUAUUAUUUGCUAGACCUGAAACCCAGUACAUCAAGGAUAUUGUUGCGUAUGUUAUGCAAAAGUUGAUGAAGCAUCAAGUUUUCUUAAGCUUAGGUGAAGACACACGCCUCAACUUCUCCAAUCACCUAGUAAAUGCUUUGGAAAAAGUAGGAAUUAAUGUCUUCCCCGAUAACGAAACACUGAAAAAAGGAGAGAAACUUCCACCAACGUAUUCUCGAACAAUUUCGGCCUCAAAUCUCUCAAUCCUCGUUGUAUCUAAAGCCUAUGCUUCUUCAAAAUCAUGCUUAGGUGAACUUUCUGACAUCAUGGAUCGCAAGCACAAUCCCAAUGACAAACAUAUUGUUCUUCCCGUCUUUUACCAUGUUGAUCCUUCCGAUGUGCGAAAUAGUGGUGGGCAUUUUAAGACAUCCUUCGAAGACCAUGAAUCAGAGCAACCAGCUGAUAGAGUACAACAAUGGAAAACUGCUUUUGCAGAGGUUGGUAAAUUAAAAGGGUGGCAUAUAGAAGGAGGCAAAUUUGACAGGUAACUAUAUUUUUCUCAUCUUGUUAUUUUCAACUUAUCUUUGUUUUAGAUUUCAUAUUUACUUUUUACAUUUUUUAUUGUUUUCUAGACCUGAAACCGAGUACAUUAAAGAUAUUGUUGAAUAUGUUAUAAAAAAGUUUACGAAUAUUGGGUUUGAAAGUGCUUCUGAAGAAUUGGUUGGAAUAGAAUAUCAGAAAAAUGCGAUUUUGAAGCUGAUUAAGCAAAAAGACUGUCGUGUAAUAGGACUUUGGGGAAUGGGUGGUGAAGGCAAAUCAACCCUUGCUGAGGCUGUAUAUAAAAAAACUCUCUUCAGAGUUUGAAACUCAUUGCUUUCUUCAAAAUGUUAGAGAGGAAAUAAAAAAACAAGGGAAGGAAUCUUUACGAAAUAAAUUUCUUUCGGGAUUAUUGAAAUCGAAUGUUGAUAUAGGCACCCCCUCCAUUGGAUCCACUUUAACUCAAGAGAGACUCAACAAGAAGAAAGUACUUGCUGUCCUUGAUGAUGUUGAUGACUCAGACCAAAUAGAUUAUAUGGGUGUUAAAUAUUUUGGUUAUGGAAGUAAAACCAUUAUAACAUCAAGAGAUAGACAAGUGCUUGAGAGUGGAGGAGCUGACACAAUACAUGAGGUGAAAGGGUUGAAUGAGAACGAUUCUCUUCAACUUUUUUCUACCUUUGCGUUUAAGCAGUUGAGUCCCGCAGUUGGUUUUGAAGAUCUAUCCCGUAGGUUUGUAAAGUACACUCAAGGCAAUCCACUUGCUCUUAAAGUUUUGGGUUCUGAUUUAAAUAAAAGAAGUAAAAAUUAUUGGGAAAGUAAGGUGGAGAAGCUAAAGGACUGUCCCCCAGAAAAAAAAAUUUCAGAGGUUUUGAAAAGUAGUUAUGAUGGGCUAGAUUUAGUAGAGCAGAAUAUAUUUCUUGACAUUGCAUGCUUCUUUAAAGGGGAACCCAUGGAAAGAGCAAAACUUAUUCUAAGUAGUUGUUAUACGGGUGUAGAGUGUGGAAUAAACAAAUUGGUUGACAAAUGCCUGAUCAAUGUCUCAUCUUCUACUAAUUUCUCUCUUGAUUAUUUUGAUUAUUCUACAAUGUGGCCAUGUAAAUUAUUACGAGAUGCAAUUGAUAUGCAUGAUAUGCUUGAAGAGAUGGGUAAGGACAUUGUUUGUCAAGAAUCUAAAACCCUUGGUAAGUGCAGUAGACUAUGGAAUCCGAAACACGUGGAAGAAGUGCUCAAAUAUAAUAAAGUAAGCACUAAUUAUAUUUUUUAAUAUACUUUAAUGAGAUAUUGUCAUUUGGUUGAAUGCCACUAUAUAAACCUAUACAUUUGAUAUCAUAUCAAGUAUUAUCCCUUUUAAUUAGUAUUUAAAAAAUAAAAUAAUUAUCAUCAUACUGGACACAUAAUGACUAUGUCUUAGGUAUAAUGUAGAAUCUGCUCAAGGUUUAUGACUUUGUUAAAUACUUAAUGCAUUGAUUUGAAAAAAUAAAAACAAAAGAAAAGAAAACACUUUCUGUAUGUAAAAGUGCUCAAUUAGUCUACGUCUAUCCUAAUAUAAUUAUUUUUUUAUGAGUUAUUUAAUGGAAUGUCUAUAAAUUUCUCCAUGCUAAUAUUUGAUAAAUUGGUUUUUGUUAUCAGGGAACUGAUCGAAUUCAAGGAAUAAAGGUAGCCUUGUCACGUAUGGGUAACCUAUUAUUCCAACCUUCUGGUUUUGAAAGCAUGAUUAAUCUUAGAUGUAUUUUCUUCUAUUUUCCUCGGAGUUGGUUGAGGAAAGAGCAUGAGGAUUAUAAGAAGCUACAUACAUACCAAGAUGAUAUUAUCUCUCUUCCGAAUGAGCUAAGGUAUCUUGUAUGGCAUUAUUACCCCUUCAAAUCUUUAUCAUCAAGUUUUAAUCCAAAGAACCUUAUUACAUUGGAAUUACCAUAUGGAAACAUGGAGCAACUUUGGAACGAACUUCAUCAGGUAUAUAUACUUUUAUACUUUCUUCAUCCAAGAAUUUUUUUAAGAGCACUACACCAAAACAGGUUUUUAGCGGCUUUUUUUUAGGCCUGUAGCGGCGCUUCUUAGCGCCACUAAAGGUGUUUGCGAUGCUUCCACAAGCGCCGCAAAAAAUGCCGCUAACGACAACGUCGCUAUGUUUGCAGCGUUUAAAAAAAUAAACGCCGCUAAAGGUCAUGUUCUUUAGCGGCGCUUAGAAAUAAACGCCGCUAAAGAUCAUGUUCUUUAGCGGCACUUAGAAAAAAACGCCGCUAAAGAUCAUGUUCUUUAAUGGCGUUUAAAGAAAAACGCCGCUAAAGAUCAUGUUCUUUAGCGACGCUUGAAGAAAACCGUCGCUAAAGGGCAUGUUCUUUAGCGGCACUUUAUACACAAACGCCGCUAUAGGGACACGACUUUUAGCGGCGCUUUUAUAAAAAAACGCCACUAAUUUGGGAUUUCUGUAAAAUAAAAUUUUCCAUUUUUUCAGCAUUCCUGUAGCAACAAAUCAAAAGCAACCAGAUCUAAACCAGCCAAAAGCAAUAAAGUUAUAUAAUAUUUCAAAUUAAAUGAAUAAAAUAAUAUUAAUAUCAAUAAAUAAAAGUGAAUUCAUAUUAUUUUUAAAAAAAUGUUAAAAGUUGAAAUGAUAAAAAUAUUUAUGCAAUACUCUAUGACGCGGAAUUUGCGACUGCUGAAACAUCUUCAACAUACUCUGAAGCUACUGUUGGAGUUCGUCGUACUUUCUGCUCUGCUCUGCUUAUCUCGAGUCCGCAUCUGCUUUAAGUUUUAGUUGGAGUUCUUCAUAUUUCUUUUGAACCUCUGUUUCUCUCACUGUAGCCUCUGCUUCUCUCACUGUAGCCUCUGCUUCUCUCGCUGCAGCCUCUGCUUCCCUCGCUACCGCCUCUACUUUAAGUUGUAGCUGGAGUUCUUCAUAUUUCUUUUGAACCUCAACUGUGGUCGCUUGCAUCUGAGCAAUCUGGUCUUUUAACCUCUGAACUUCAGCUUGAGCCUGACUCCCCGAAGCCAUGUAUUGCUGCGAGCUGGAUCCAAAAUAUUGGGUUGGGCUAGCAAAAGAUCUUUGAAAUCGAACCCGACCAUACCUUUUAGGACCCAAAACUUCAGUAAUAAUUUGGUUAACAAUGUCUUUGGGAUGAACAGAACUAUCACUAGAAGCAAUCGCUUCGUACUCCGCAUUUUUAUUCUUUAGUUUUUCCUAAUAAAUAAAUCACAUAGUUAAGAACGCAAUAUAUAUUAAAAAAAAUAAAUGCAACAUAACAAUAGUCGCAUUACAAGCAAUGAAUUAAACCAUUAGAAAAUAAACACUAUAAAUAACUAAAACAAGUCAAACGGUAUUAAGUAAACGUACCAUAAUUUCACCAGCUUCAAGAGUCAUAGCAGAUCCAUCUUUCUUCCUAUGUGUAAUUUCAAAAAGUUGAAGGCGUCCAACUUUUUGACCGGACGACAGUUCCUACAAUAUAGUAGUAAAAAUAUUAUUUAAUGGAAAGUUAUACAUAUUUGACAAUAUUAAAAAAUUAAAAAUACCUCCGCCUCAGCUACACAUGCAAAACUUCUCGACCCGGCUGUGUGAGUGAAUUUUUGUUUAUGCCUGCUGCUUUUUCCAACUCGUUCACGAUCCUACGUUAUGAAAUUUUUAGUACGUAAAUAGUAAAUACUAUAAACCAAAAUAAUUACAAUAAUUUGGAAGUACGUCAUACCUCGCCUUUCUUCGAAUGCCAAAAUCUAACCGCAUCUUCCCAUUGGUACCUCAGCAUACCCGGCGGGACAUUUUGUAAUUUCUCAUCGAGGGUUGUUUUUUUCUUAUAAUAAUAUUUCUUCAAAGUAUUUUUAUGUUCUCUCCAUCUUUUUCCCAAUGCCUUCUUUACAUAAGCAUCCAAGACCUCUAAAACAAACCUCGCCUACAAAAAACACAAGUUAAUAAAGUAAAUAUAAAUGAAACUAUUUCCCAAGUAUUAUAGAUGACAGUAACAUUUUGUUACCUUAAUAUUAUCGAGGGCUUGGUUUUUGUUGCUAUCAGGCAUUUGAUUCCAUGACUCGUAGUUGAUAGGCAACAUAUCCGUAUUUCGUGCUAAAAUGCUCAUGUAUCCUGCUAAAAGUCGAGCUUCUAAUCCAACAGGCUGACCAAAACUGUUUCUGCAUACAUUGACACACUCAACUAGAUCUAACUUGUAUAAAUCUCUAAGUAGCGUACGUCCUCGACCUCUACGUGUCCCACCAUUUUCAGCUGCAAAUGGUAUAUUAUAAUAUAAGAAUUUGAAAAAUAAAUCAAUUAUAAGUCAACACGCAUGUAAAUUAAAUAUAAAAUUACUUUGAACUUCUGUAGGAUCCUUAGGUGUAAUCGGAACAUUCGAAGAUCCAAUUACUAUUUGUUGUUCAGUACUAUUUGUUUCUGUCGAGUUUGGAUCAUUUUGAACAAUGCUUCCCCUUGGAAUUUUUCUUCUAGGCAUUUUAUCUGCAAUACACAUAAAAUAGUUGAAAACUUAAUAACUAAUUACAACAAUAACAACACAUAUAAAAUAGUUGAAAUAUAUAGUAAGACCAAGAUUUAAAUUAUGAUAUUACAUAUAAUUAAACAAUCGUAAAAUCUUACUACGUCAUUAGUCGUAAAUAUCUUCAUCCGUAUCCUGACAAACCCAUUGAAAUUGUGUAAUAGUACUAGGGAUAUUAUCGUUUAAGUUUUGUUCUGGAAAGGGCAAAGUUUUUGAUCUGUCGUUGAUGUUAUCUCUACUUCCACUGCCCAUGUCAAACAAGUCUCUAGGGAUGUUACGGAGUACAACGUAUCAACCCUCAUCAGUUGGAUCUUUUGAGUAAAAAACUUGUUUGACUUGAGAUGAGAAUACAUGCGGCUCAUCUAUCAGUUGUUGUCCUGUGUGAAUCAAUCGAGCGAAGUUCACCAUUGUAAAACCAAAUUGAUCUUGCUUAAUUCCACAAGCAGUAUUAACAUCGGCCCAAUCACCUCGAAAUAAGACAACUUUCCAUUUGCCAUAGUAAUCCAACUCAAUUAUGUCAGUAAAAAGUCUGAAAUAUUCCACAUUUCCCUCGACAGGAUUAUUGUCCCUAGCACUAGCAUAACUUGUAAUUGAGGAAUUAACAACUAUUCCACAAUUUUGCAUUCUCCUCAACCUCUCGCUAUAUUUUGUAUGAAAUCUGAAUCUGUUGAUGAGGAACGCACUAUAUCUUUUAACCACUUGAUUUGGACCUUGGGAGAGCCAUUUAACUUUGUCGUUUACAUUCUUCCCACUCCAAACCUAUUGAAUGGAAAGUAAACUGAGUAAUUAAAAAUGUUAUAAGAAAACAUUAAUAUUUGUAAGCGGAAGCUCCAACCGCAUACCGUUGGGCUUAACCAUUCAUGAAAAGAUUCUGUAAACAACUUAUUGAUAUCUCGAUAUUGUGUUCUUCGGGAGCGCGAACGAGAUCUCAACAUUUGUUUGUACUCGCUAUGUUAAAAAAUGUUCACUUUGUUAGAAGAUAAUCAAUUUUUAAUUUGAUAAAUAUUUAUCAAAUUUGUAGAACUUACUUCCGUAAAGGUUCCAUUAAUUCGUGGUGAAACAGAACAUAUCGAUGUGCUUGUACCCAUGAUAAAUGAUCUAAUUUUACAAUUUUAACUUUGCCGAUUGGUUCUCUAAAACUUUGGAACAAAUAAGUAUCGAUGAUGUUAUGGUCCGUGAGUCCAGCAUUCCUAUUUGGUCUGUUCAACCUUGUUUCAACAUCUUCCAAAUAUCUUGAGCAGAAGGUCAUACAUUCCUCUUCUAAGUAGCCUUUAGCAAUCGAUCCUUCUGGAUAUCGCUUGUAGCGGCAGUAAGACUUUAAUUUGGAUAGAAACCUAAACACGAUAUACAACACUAUCAAAAGUUGUAACUAAAGGCAUAGAGGUGAAUGAAGGAAAAUUUUAAAAAUUUUAAUUAACACCUUUCUAUGGGAUACAUCCAUUGAUAGAAAACGGGUUCGCCAAGAAUUGCUUCAUGUGGGAGAUGAAUUAUCAAGUGAACCAUAAUGGUGAAGAAGGAAGGUGGGAAGAUUUUCUCCAUGUUGCAUAAAGUCAAAGCGUCUUGAUCCUAUACCUUCUGAAGUUCUUGAACAUCCAAAACUUUGCCACAAAUGGCUUUCAUUAUAUUGGAUAGUUCAAUUAUACAAGACGUCACCUUCUUGGACAUACAACAUCGUAAAGCAACUGGCAGUAAAUCUUGCAUCAAGAUGUGAUAGUCAUGUGAUUUUAGCAAAUAUAAUCUUCGAUCUUUAACACUAACACAUCGAGAUAUAUUUGAUGCAUACGCAUCUAGAACAUUUAUAUUCUUCAACACCGUGCAGAACACUUCUUUUUUCGUCUUCGACAUUGAAAAAAUAGAAGGCGACAACCGAUAUUUCCCAUUCGGAAGUGGAUUGGGAUGAAGAUCAGGCCGAAUUCCCAUUUGGACUAAAUCAAGUCGACUCUAAAGAUUAUCUUUUAAUUUUUCGUCGACAUUCAAAAUUGUACCCACAAUGUUCUCGCAGACAUUUUUCUCAAUAUGCAUAACAUCAAGAUUGUGUCGUAAAAGGUGAUGCUCCCAAUAAGGCAACUCAAAAAAAAUACUUCUUUUUUUCCACAAGUCUGCCUCAUUAGGAUCGUCCUCUUGAUCAGAGUCAUCAUUAGCUUCAUCAUUUGAUCUUCUAUUUCUUUGCGUGUUUGGCGGUUGGUUCAUCUUCCCAUAAAUGAAAUUCAUAUCUUCCAACAUGAACAAGAUUUCAGAGCCACUGGUCUGCGAAGGAGCUUCUCUGAACUCUUCUGUACCGUCAAAUACAGAACUCUAAAAUCUAAAUCUAUGAUUUUUCGGUAACCACCGACGAUGCCCCAUGUAAGAGAACUUCUUCCCAUUGUACAACCAUUGCAAACAUGUUUGUGCAGCACAACAAGGACACGCAUAACGACCCUUGGUACUCCAACCAGAUAAAUAAGCAUAAGCGGGAAAGUCAUUAAUGGUCCACAUCAAAGCUGCACGUAAAUUAAAGUUCUCCUUUCUCAACACAUCGUAUGUCUUGACACCAACCCAUAAUUGUUUUAACUCUUCAAUAAGUGGCUGUAAAUUCCCAGGCCCUUUCUCUCUAAGGAUAAUCAUAGAUAAGAUAAGGGAAGAUUGCUUCAUGCAAAUCCACGGAGGCAGAUUGUAAGGAACAAGCACUACUGGCCAAGUACUGUAUGCAGUGCUCAUGAUCUUGAAAGGAUUAAAUCCAUCAGAUGCUAGUCCAAGCCAAACACUCCUAGGAUUGCUUGCAAAGCUUGGAAAUUUAUUGUCAAAUGAUUUCCAAGCUAAAGAAUCUGCCGGAUGCCUUAGUAAUCCAUCAUCGGUUCAUCCAUCAUGGUGCCACGUCAUAGACUCCGCUUUCUUGGACGACAUGAAAAGCCUUUGAAGUCUUGGUAUAAGGGGAAAAUACCGCAAAAUCUUGACUGGCUUCUUCCUCAACUGUGCAUCAUUUUCAUCGUCAUUCCAAUCUUCUGUGUUUCUAUUUAUCCAACGGGAUUGGCCGCAUACAUGACAGCACUGUUGGUUUUUCUGAUCGCCCCAAUACAACAUGCAGUCAUUUGGGAAACUAUGGAUUUUGUUGUACCCAAGGCCUAAAUCUUUUAUCAUUUUCUUCAUAUCUUUGCAUGACUGAGGGAUUUUUGCAAACGGAAAUAUUUCUCUCAAAAACUCUAACAGCAUUGUCAACGAGUUUCCGGUCCACCCUCCCAAACAUUUUAACUGAAAAAGACGAACACAGAAUGACAUUUUUGAAAAUUUUGAUCCCUCAUACAGUUCUUCGUUCAUGUCAUUAAGUAGAGCGUAGAACUUCGUCGCUUCUCCAUUCGGCUCUUCAUGUGGUACACUACUUCCCGGUUCGGUAAAAGCAGUUCCACCAAUAUUACAAUCAUCAGAUGCCACAAAAUCCACUGGGAACAACUGCACACCAUGAUUGUGCAUAUUAAAUGCAUCCUGCAACAUACCUUUCAUGUCAUCCCCUCUAUCAGACUGUUGGUAAGUAGUAUCAGGAUAAGAUACAUCCAUCGUUGAAGAGGAAGUACUAGGCGGGCAUUCUCCAUGAAAUAACCAUUGUUUAUAACCCCAAACAAACCCAUCAACAAUUAGAUGCCCGUAUACAACCUCACGAUAAUGCCAACUUAUGUUGACACACUUCUUACACGGGCAAAGAAUCAUGUUCUCUUGGCUUGCAUAUUGAAAUGCAAAAUUUAGAAAAGUCUGUACUCCAUUUCGAUAACCGUUGCUAACCCUUGACAAAUUCAUCCAAGACCGGUCCAUUUCUUAAUUCUUGUAGUCUGACGUUGACAAUAAUUUGCACUGUAAGUUAAAACGCUAGUUAUAACCAUAAAUGAGUUAUAUAAGUUAUGAUAUGAUAUAUUUUUAUGUAUUAUGUAAGUUAUGUAAGUUAUAUAUUAUGUAUUAUGUAAGUACUGUAAGUAAUGUGAGUUAUGUAAGUAAUGUAUUAUGUAAGUUGUGUAUAAUAUUAAUUAUGUAAGUUGUGUAUAAUGUAAGUUAUUUAAGUAAAUGUUGUAUUAUGUAAGUUAUUUAAGUUAUGUAAGUUAUGUAAGUUAUGUAAGUUAUUUAAUUUAUGUAAGUUAUGUAAGUUAUGUAUGUUAUGUAUUAUGUUAGUUAUUAUGUUAUUAUAUAAGUUAUGCAAGUUUCUAUAUAUGUUUAUAUAUUGUAUGUUAGUUAUUAUGUUAUUAUAUAAGUUAUGCAAGUUAUAUAAGUUAUUUAAGUUGUGUAAAUGUUGUAUUAUGUAAGUUAUGUAUUAUGUAAGAUAUGUACGUUGUAUUUUAUGUAAUUUCUGUAUUAUGUAUGUUAUGUAAGUUGUGUAGAAUGUAAGCUAUGUAAGUUAUGUAAGUUAUGUAAGUGGUGUAUUAUGUAAGUUGUGUAAGUUAUGUAAGUUAUUAUGUAAGUUAUGCAAGCUUAUAUAUAAGCUUAUAUAUAAUUAUUUAGAAAACUUAUAAAAUUAAUACUAAUAAAUUUUAUUACUAAUAAAUUUAGAACACUUAUUUAGAAAACUUAUAAAUUUAAUACUAAUAUAGAAAACUUAUGAAUUUAGAAAACUUAUAUAGAUAUUAAAACAAUAUUUAUAAUUAUUUAAAAAACUUAUAAAUUUUAUAGUAAUAAGUUUUAAAUAUAGGUUAUAUACCCAUACCAUAUAUGGGGUGAUAUAUUAAAAAUAUUGGUUUUAAUAGAUAUUAAAUUAUCAUUUACAAUUAUUUUUUAAAUUAAAAUAUUAUUAUUACAAAAAUUGAAAUAUAGGUUAUAUAUCCAUAUUAAUAUAUGUAAUAUAUAAAAAGAAUAUAAAUUUUAAUAUUUACGAUAUAAUAUUUCUGUCCAAAAUUUAUUGUGUUUUUGGCACGAAUGAUUGCGUUUUUUGCACGAAUGUAGCAAACCAUAUUCCUUUCUAAGUUGCUGCUGGAAAAUAUUAACAUGCUAGAGAGACUAUGAAAAUUAUGUGUUUAUUUUCUAAGCAUUGCAAACUGUUACCAAUUAAUUAAAAUAUUUCAUUUCAAAUAAAUAAAACCUAACACAUGAGGUACAUCUUGUAUAAAACUAACAAAUAUGAGAAAACCCAAUGUAUAAAAUACGCAGCAUUGAUUUAAAUGCAUAGAUGCAAUUGGCGAUUGCCAAGUUUAAAGCAAAGUCAAAUCCCCUAAUCUUCUUGUCUAUGAAGUCAAAAGUUUAAAGCAAAGUUAAUUUUAAACCCCCAAAUCAGUAACUUACCCUUGCAGAAGAUCAACAACUCCCCAAGCCUUAAUCCUCCAAUAGAUUAGUUGGUCUGUGACCUUCACCAAAAUAAUCCAAAAGAUUAAUAGCGAAAAUAAACCCCGAUUCAACAAGGUAACAAAUAAUGAAAUAAAGGGCUUUAAUCAAAAGAAAUAUAACCUUAAUCGAAACAAAUAACGAAAAAUCGUGCAAUGAGGAAACAAGGAAACUUAUAGUGAAUAGAAGAAGCGGACGACAGAGAAAGCGGGUGACAGAGCGACCGCCAGAGUGGAGACGACUGCAAUGACAAGAGGGAAUUUGGGAAUUUGGGGAUUUGGGGAAAUGAAAUCCGGGAAAUUGGGGGAAAAUGAAUUGGGGGGAAAUGAAAUCGGGGAAGUUGGGGGGAUAGGAAAUGGGAAAUUAGGGAAAUCAGAGUGGGGGAGAACUAAGGAAAUUCAGCGCUAAACAAAUGACGUCGUUUAAGUUAGUUCAAUUAAAAUUUGCGACGUUUAUAAAUAGCGCCACUAACGGAUUAAAAAAUCCUAGACAGAAAACGACAACGUUUAGCAAACACUUAAAACAUAAUUGCGGCGUUUAUAAUAAAAAUGCCACUAAAACAUAUCCUUUACCGGCGUUUUAGUACAAAUGCCAUUAAAAACGUAGAUAAAAACGACAACGUUUAGCGAACACUUGUAACAUAAUUGCGGCAUUUUUAUAAAAACGCCAGUAUCACAUAACCUUUUACGGCAUUUUCGUAAAAAUGCCACUAAUAAUGUAGAUAAAAACGACAACAUUUACAGAAGACUAAUAACAUAAUUGUGGCGUUACCUAACAACGCCACUAACACAUAUCAUUUUGCGGCGUUUUGGCAAAAACGCCACUAAAAACGUAGAUAAAAACGACAACAUUUAACAAAGACAAAAAACAUAAUUGCGGCAUUUUUCGUAGAAACGCCACUAAUAUAACUCCUUUUGCGGCAUUUUAGUAAAAACGCCACUAAAAAAUCAGACAAAACGAAACCGUUUUGCUACCUUUCAAUGAAUAUUUGUGGAGUUUUCAAGAAAAACGCCACUACUGGUCAAACUUAAAAUUAUUUUCAAAUUAUUUUAAAUAGUACUAUUUUAUUUUUUCUAUUUUUAACAUAUAUUUUUCUAUUUUUUUAGCAUAACCCUUAAAUGUGGAAAAUUAAAAUUUAAACCCUAAACCAUAAGCCCCUAACCCUUAGACUCUAAACCCGUAACCUUUAAACUUUAACCUCUUAAACCCAAAACAAUAAACACUCGACCAUAAACCUACACCAUAAAUCGUAAACACUAAACUCUUAACACUAAACCAUAAACCUUAAACUUUAUACCCUAAACAUGCACCCUAAGCUAUAAACCCUAAAUUAACCAUAAAUCGUAAAUCAUAAAUUAUAAACCCUAAAACCAUAAAUCUUAAACCUUAAACCAUAAAUCAUAAACCCUAAACCACUAAAGCCCAUGAACCCCUAACCCCCUAACCUAUAAACCCUUAAGCCCAAAACCCAAAGCCACUACCCCUUAGACCCUAAGCCUAUAACCCCUAAAUCCUAUGCUCCUAACCACUAAACACUAAACCAUAAACCAUGAACGGUAAAUCAUGAACUCUAAACUUAAAACUCUAAUCCUAAUAUAAUAAACAUUACUUCAUAAAUCCUAAAACCCUAAACUAUAAAAAUUAAACCUUAAAUACUAAACACUUAAACCUAAAAUAAAUUUAUUUUUACUUGUGGGGCUUACAAUAAAGCGCCACUAAUGUCUCUAAACCUCCACAACAAAACGAAGCCGUUUCCUUAAAUAUAUUUGCGGCGCUUAACACAAAUCACCUCUAAUGCUUGAAAUCUGCGGCGUUUAUAAAGUUGCGCCGCUAAUGUAACUAAACCUUAACAACAAAACGUUGUCGUUCUCGCAAAGCGCCACUAAUGUCCCUAAGCACAACAGGAAACGACGGCGUAUGCUUAAAACAUUUUGCGGCGCUUCCUCUUAAGCGCCGCUAGUGAUUGACUUUAGCGGCGAUUUCUCUAAAGCGCCACUAUUGUGUCUAAAACUCAACAAGAUCCAAACGACUUCGUUCGGUAAAANNNNNNNNNNNNNNNNNNNNNNNNNNNNNNNNNNNNNNNNNNNNNNNNNNNNNNNNNNNNNNNNNNNNNNNNNNNNNNNNNNNNNNNNNNNNNNNNNNNNNNNNNNNNNNNNNNNNNNNNNNNNNNNNNNNNNNNNNNNNNNNNNNNNNNNNNNNNNNNNNNNNNNNNNNNNNNNNNNNNNNNNNNNNNNNNNNNNNNNNNNNNNNNNNNNNNNNNNNNNNNNNNNNNNNNNNNNNNNNNNNNNNNNNNNNNNNNNNNNNNNNNNNNNNNNNNNNNNNNNNNNNNNNNNNNNNNNNNNNNNNNNNNNNNNNNNNNNNNNNNNNNNNNNNNNNNNNNNNNNNNNNNNNNNNNNNNNNNNNNNNNNNNNNNNNNNNNNNNNNNNNNNNNNNNNNNNNNNNNNNNNNNNNNNNNNNNNNNNNNNNNNNNNNNNNNNNNNNNNNNNNNNNNNNNNNNNNNNNNNNNNNNNNNNNNNNNNNNNNNNNNNNNNNNNNNNNNNNNNNAAAUUAAAGUCUUACUGCUGCUACAAGCGAUAUCCAAAAGGAUCGAUUGCUGAAGGCUACUUAGUAGAGGAAUGUAUGACCUUCUGCUCAAGAUAUUUGGAAGAUGUUGAAACAAGGUUGAACAGACCAAAUAGGAAUGCUGGACUUACGGACCAUAACAUCGCCAAUACUUAUGUGUUCCAAAGUUUUAGAAAACCAAUCGGCAAAGUUGAAAUUGUAAAAUUAGAUCAUUUAUCGUGGGUACAAGCACAUCGAUAUGUUCUGUUUCACCACGAAUCAAUGGAACAUUUACGGAAGUAAGUUUUACAAAUUUGAUAAAUAUUUAUCAAAUUAAAAAUUGAUUAUCUUCUAACAAAGUGAACAUUUUUUAACAUAGUGAGUACAAACAAAUAUUGAGAUCUCGUUCGCGCUCCCGAAGAACACAAUAUCGAGAUAUCAAUAAGUUGUUUACAUAAUCUUUUCAUGAAUGGUUAAGCUCAACGAUAUGCAGUUGGAGCUUCCGCUUACAAAUAAUAAUAUUUUCUCAUAACAUUUUUAAUUACUCAAUUUACUUUCCAUUCAAUAGGUUUGGAGUGGGAAGAACGUAAACGACGAAGCUAAAUGGCUCUCCCAAGGUCCAAAUCAAGUGGUUAAAAGAUAUAGUGCGUUCCUCAUCAACGGAUUCAGAUUUCAUACAAAAUAUUGCGAGAGGUUGAGGAGAACGCAAAAUUGUGGAAUAGUUGUUAAUUCCUCAAUUACAAGUUAUGCUAGUGCUAGGGACAACAAUCCUGUCGAGGGAAAUGUGGAAUAUUUCAGACUUCUUACUGACAUAAUUGAGUUGAAUUACUAUGGCAAAUGGAAAGUUGUCUUAUUUCGAGGUGAUUGGGCCGAUGUUAAUACUGCCUGUGGAAUUAAGCAAGAUCAAUUUGCUUUUACAAUGGUGAACUUCGUUCGAUUGAUUCACACAGGACAACAACUGAUAGAUGAGCCGUAUGUAUUCUCAUCUCAAGUCAAACAAGUUUUUUACUGAAAAGAUCCAACUGAUGAGGGUUGGUACGUUGUACUCCGUAACAUCCCUAGAGACUUGUUUGACAUGGGCAAUGGAAGUAGAGAUAACAUCAACGACAGAUCAAAAACUUUGCCCUUUCCAGAACAAAACUUAAACAAUAAUAUCCCUAGUACUAGUACACAAUUUCAAUGGGUUUGUCAGGAUACGGAUGAAGAUAUUUACGAAUAAUGACGUAGUAAGAUUUUACGAUUUUUUAAUUAUAUGUAAUAUCAUAAUUUAAAUCUUGGUCUUAUUAUAUAUUUCAACUAUUUUAUAUGUGCUGUUAUUGUUGUAAUUAGUUAUUAAGUUUUCAACUAUUUUAUGUGUAUUGCAGAUAAAAUGCCUAGAAGAAAAAUUCCAAUGGGAAGCAUUGUUCAAAAUGAUCCAAACUCGACAGAAACAAAUAGUACUGAACAACAGACAGUAAUUGGAUCUUCGAAUGUUCCAAUUACACCUGAGGACCAUACAGAAGUUCAAAGUAAUUUUACAUUUAAUUUACAUGCGUGUUGACUUAUAAUUGAUUUAUUUUUCAAAUUCUUAUAUUAUAAUAUACCAUUUGCAGCUGAAAAUGGUGGGACACGUAGAGGUCGAGGACGUACGCUACUUAGAGAUUUAUACGAGUUAGAUCUAGUCGAGUGCGUCAAGGUAUGCAGAAACAGUUUUGGUCAGCCUGUUGGAUUAAAAGCUCGACUUUUAGCAGGAUACAUGUGGCAUUUUAGCACGAAAUGCGGAUAUGUUGCCUAUUAACUACGAGUCAUGGAAUCAAAUGCCCGAUAGCAACAAAAACUAAGCCCUCGAUAAUAUUAAGGUAACAAAAUGUUAAUGUCAUCUGUAAUACUUGAGAAAUAGUUUCAUUUAUAUUUACUUUAUUAACUUAUGUUUUUUGUAGGCGAGAUUUGCUUUAGAGGUCUUGGAUGCUUAUGUAAAGAAGGCAUUGGGAAAAAUAUGGAGAGAACAUAAAAAUACUUUGAAGAAAUAUUAUUAUAAGACAAAAACAACCCUCGAUGAGAAAUUACAAAAUGUCCCGCCGAGUAUGCUGAGGUACCAAUGGGAAGAUGCGGUUAGAUUUUGACAUUCGAAGAAAGGCGAGGUAUGACGUACUUUCAAACUAUUGUAAUUAUUUUGGUUUGUAGUAUUUACUAUUUACGUACUAAAAAUUUCAUAACGUAGGAUCAGUGAACGAGUUGGAAAAAGCAGCAGGCAUAAACAAAAAUUCACUCACACAGCCGGGUCGAGAAGUUUUGCAUGUGUAGCUGAGGCGGAGGUAUUUUUAAUUUUUUAAUAUUGUCAAAUAUGUAUAACUUUCCAUUAAAUAAUAUUUUUACUACUAUAUUGUAGGAACUGUCGUCCGGUCAAAAAGUUGGACACCUUCAGCUUUUUGAAAUUACACAUAGGAAGAAAGAUGGAUCUGCUAUGACUCCUGAAGCUGGUGAAAUUAUGGUACGUUUACUUAAUACCGUUUGACUUGUUUUAGUUAUUUAUAGUGUUUAUUUUCUAAUGGUUUAAUUCAUUGCUUGUAAUGCGACUAUUGUUAUGUUGCAUUUGUUUUUUUAAUAUAUAUUGCGUUCUUAACUAUGUGAUUUAUUUAUUAGGAAAAACUAAAGAAUAAAAAUGCGGAGUACGAAGCGAUUGCUUCUAGUGAUAGUUCUGUUCAUCCUAAAGACAUUUUUAACCGGAUUAUUACUGAAGUUUUGGGUCAUGAAAGGUAUGGUCAGGUUCGAUUUCAAAGAUCUUUUGUUAGCCCAACCCAAUAUUUUGGAUCCAGCUCGCAGCAAUACAUGGCUUCGGGGAGUCAGACUCAAGCUGAAGUUCAGAGGUUAAAAGACCAGAUGGCUCAGAUGCAAGCGACCACAGUUGAGGUUCAAAAGAAAUAUGAAAAACUCUAGCUACAACUUAAAGUAGAGGCGGCAGCGAGGGAAGCAAAGGCUGUAGUGAGAGAAGCAGAGGUUCAAAAGAAAUAUGAAGAACUCCAGCUAAAACUUAAAGAAGAUGCAGACUCGAGAGAAGCAGAGCAGAGCAGAAAGUACGACUAACUCCAACAGCAGCUUCAGAGUAUGAUGAAGAUGUUUCAGCAGUCGCAAAUUCCGCCGUCAUAGAGUAUUGCAUAAAUAUUUUUAUCAUUUCAACUUUUAACAUUUUUUUAAAAAUAAUAUGAAUUCACUUUUAUUUAUUGAUAUUAAUAUUAUUUUAUUAUUUAAUUUGAAAUAUUAUAUAACUUUAUUGCUUUUGGCUGGUUUAGAUCUGGUUGCUUUUGAUUUGUUGCUACAAUAAGGCUGAAAAAAUGGAAAAUUUUAUUUUACAGAAAUCCCAAAUUAAUGGCGUUUUUUUUAAAAGCACCGCUAAAAGUCGCGUCCCUAUAGUAGCGUUUGUGUAUAAAGCGCCGCUAAAGAACAUGUUCUUUAGCGACGUUUUUCUUCAGGCGCCGCUAAAGAACAUGCCCUUUAGCGGCAGUUUUCUUCAAGUGCCGCUAAAGAACAUGAUAUUUAGCGGCGUUUUUCUUUAAACGCCAUUAAAGAACAUGAUCUUUAGCGGCGUUUUUUUCUAACCACCGCUAAAGAACAUGAUCUUUAGCGGCGUUUAUUUCUAAGCGCCGCUAAAGAAUAUGACCUUUAGCGGCGUUUAUUUUUUUAAACGCUGCAAACAUUAGCGACGUCGUUAGCGGCAUUUUUUGCGGCACUUGUGGAAGCGUCGCAAACACCUUUAGUGGCGCUAAGAAGCGCCGCUACAUGCCUAAAAAAACGCCGCUAAAAACCUGUUUUGGUGUAGUGCUCUUAAAAAAAAUUCUUGGAUGAAGAAAGUAUAAAAGUAUAUAUACCUGAUGAACUUCGUUCUAAAGUUGCUCCAUGUUUCCAUAUGGUAAUUCCAAUGUAAUAAGGUUCUUUGGAUUAAAACUUGAUGAUAAAGAUUUGAAGGGGUAAUAAUGCCAUACAAGAUACCUUAGCUCAUCCGGAAGAGAGAUAAUAUCAUCUUGGUAUGUAUGUAGCUUCUUAUAAUCCUCAUGCUCUUUCCUCAACCAACUCCGAGGAAAAUAGAAGAAAAUACAUCUAAGAUUAAUCAUGCUUUCAAAACCAGAAGGUUGGAAUACUAGGUUACCCAUACGUGACAAGGCUACCUUUAUUCCUUGAAUUCGAUCAGUUCCCUGAUAACAAAAACCAAUUUAUCAAAUAUUAGCAUGGAGAAAUUUAUAGACAUUCCAUUAAAUAACUCAUAAAAAAAUAAUUAUAUUAAGAUAGACGUAGACUAAUUGAGCACUUUUACAUACAGAAAGUGUUUUCUUUUCUUUUGUUUUUAUUUUUUCAAAUCAAUGCAUUAAGUAUUUAACUAAGUCAUAAACCUUGAGCAGAUUCUACAUUAUACCUAAGACAUAGUCAUUAUGUGUCUAGUAUGAUGAUAAUUAUUUUAUUUUUAAAUACUAAUUAAAAGGGAUAAUACUUGAUAUGAUAUCAAAUGUAUAGGUUUAUAUACUGGCAUUCAACCAAAUGACAAUAUCUCAUUAAAGUAUAUUAAAAAAAUAUAAUUAGUGCUUACUUUAUUAUAUUUGAGCACUUCUUCCACGUGUUUCGGAUUCCAUAGUCUACUGCACUUACCAAGGGUUUUAGAUUCUUGACAAACAAUGUCCUUUCCCAUCUCUUCAAGCGUAUCAUGCAUAGAAAUUGCAUCUCGUAAUAAUUUACAUGGCCACAUUGUAGAAUAAUCAAAAUGAUCAAGAGAGAAAUUAGUAGAAGAUGAGACAUUGAUCAGGCAUUUGUCAACCAAUUUGUUUAUUCCACACUCUGCACCCGUAUAACAACUACUUAGAAUAAGUUUUGCUCUUUCCAUGGGUUCCCCUUUAAAGAAGCAUGCAAUGUCAAGAAAUAUAUUCUGCUCUACUAAAUCUAGCCCAUCAUAACUACUUUUCAAAACCUCUAAAAUUUUUUUUUCUGGGGGACAGUCCUUUAGCUUCUCCACCUUACUUUCCCAAUAAUUUUUACUUCUUUUAUUUAAAUCAGAACCCAAAACUUUAAGAGCAAGUGGAUUGCCUUGAGUGUACUUUACAAACCUACGGGAUAGAUCUUGAAAACCAACUGCGGGAUUCAACUGCUUAAACGCAAAGGUAGAAAAAAGUUGAAGAGAAUCGUUCUUAUUUAACCCUUUCACCUCAUGUAUUGUGUCAGCUCCUCCACUCUCAAGCACUUGUCUAUCUCUUGAUGUUAUAAUGGUUUUACUUCCAUAACCAAAAUGUUUAACACCCAUAUAAUCUAUUUGGUCUGAGUCAUCAACAUCAUCAAGGACAACAAGUACUUUCUUCUUGUUGAGUCUCUCUUGAGUUAAAGUGGAUCCAAUGGAGGGGGUGCCUAUAUCAACAUUUGAGUUCAAUAAUUUCGAAAGAAAUUCAUUUCGUAAAGAUUCCUUCCCUUGUUUGUUUAUUUCCUCUCUAACAUUUUGAAGAAACCAAUGACUUUCAAACUCUGAAGAGAAUUUUUUACAUACAGCCUCAGCAAGGGUUGUUUUGCCUUGACCACCCAUUCCCCAAAGUCCUAUUACACGACACUCUUUUUGCUUAAUCAGCUUCAAAAUCGCAUUUUUCUGAUAUUCUAUUCCAACCAAUUCUUCAGAAGCACUUUCAAACCCAAUAUUCGUCAACUUUUUUUAUAACAUAUUCGACAACAUCUUUAAUGUACUCGGUUUCAGGUCUAGAAAACAAUAAGAAAUGUAAAUAAGUAAAUAUGAAAUCUAAAAUAAAGAUUAGUUGAAAAUAACAAGAUGAGAAAAAUAUAGUUACCUGUCAAAUUUGCCUCCUUCUAUAUACCACCCUUUUAAUUUACCAACCUCUGCAAAAGCAGUUUUCCAUUGUUGUACUCUAUCAGCUGGUUGCUCUGAUUCAUGCUCUUCGAAGGAUGUCUUAAAAUGCCCACCACUAUUUCGCACAUCGGAAGGAUCAACAUGGUAAAAGACGGGAAGAACAAUAUGUUUGUCAGUGGGAUUGUGCUUGCGAUCCAUGAUGUCAGAAAGUUCACCUAAGCAUGAUUUUAAAGAAGCAUAGGCUUUAGAUACAACGAGGAUUGAGAGAUUUGAGGCCAAAAUUGUUCGAGAAUACGUUGGUGGAAGUUUCUCUCCUUUUUUCAGUGUUUCGUUAUCGGGGAAGACAUUAAUUCCUACUUUUUCCAAAGCAUUGACUAGGUGAUUGGAGAAGUUGAGGCGUGUGUCUUCACCUAAGCUUAAGAAAACUUGAUGCUUCAUCAACUUUUGCAUAACAUACGCAACAAUAUCCUUGAUGUACUGGGUUUCAGGUCUAGCAAAUAAUAGAAGAAGUAUAUAUAUGAAAUCCAAAACGAAGAUAAGUCAAAUAUAAGGAGAUGAGACAAAUAUAGUUACCCAUCCGACCUGCUUCCAUCUAUAUGCCACCCUUGUAAUUUACCAACUUCAGCAAAAGCAGUUUCCCAUUGUUUCACUUCAUGAACUGACCUCUUUGUUUUAUGCUCAUCAAAGGAUUUCUUAAAACUUCCAUCAAUUUUCACCACAUCAGAGGGGUUAACAUGGUAAAAGAUGGGACGAACAGUAUGUUGUCCGACGCUAUAGCGGUCCAUGAUGUCAGAGAGUUCAACCAAGCAUGAUUUCGAAGAGGCAUAGUCUGCAGACAAAACGAUGAUUGAGAUAUUUGAGACUGCAAUUGCUCGAGAAAGUGCUUGUGAAAGCUGGUCCCCCCUUUCCAGUUUUUCUUCAUCGAAGAAAACAUCAAGUCCCUCGUCUUUCAAAGCUUGAAGUAAGUGAGUGGUGAAAUUAAGGCGCGUGUCUUCACUUCUGAAGCUCAAGAAAACAUGAUACUUCAUUAGAGUAGAAGAUGAAGAAGAAGAACCCAUGAAAGAGUAUUGAUAGUGUGCUUGAAGCAAAAGAGAGAACAAAUAUAGCAAGUGAGUUUUGCUUGGGUUGUGGUAUUAUUGUAAGAAGAAAAAGUGUAAAUGGGAAAGAGAUUGAAGGCCUAGGCAAAAGCACAGGCGACGAUUUGAGCUUAGCCAACUAUCCUUUAGUCAACACUGGUGUUACUUGCACGCCACAUUAUCUUUUUGAAGAAAGCAAUGAGUUUCAAACUCUGAAGAGAGUUUUUUAUAUACAGCCUCAGCAAGGGUUGUUUCGCCUUGACCACCCAUUCCCCAAAGUCCUAUUACACGACAGUCUUUUUGCUUAAUCAGCUUCAAAAUCGUCCUUUUCUGAUAUUCUAUUCCAACCAAUUCUUCAGAAGCACUUUCAAACCCAAUAUUCGUCAACUUUUUUAUAACAUAUGAUUAAAUUAUUUAUUAUUUAUAUUAAUAAUCUUAUUAAAAUUUAAUAACAAUAACAAUAAUUAUCUACCUAAAAAAAAUUCUGCUAAGGGUAUUCUAGUUAUUUUUAGGGGUGUGCAUAAUUCGGGUAAAACCGAAAAAAUUCGGUUAACCGACCAAAUUCGGUUAAUCGGUCGGUUAACCAAAUUUUUACGGUCGGGGGUCGGUUAAUUUUUUUUAUGAUUUUUUGUUAACGGUUAAUUCGGUUCGAAACCGGUCGGUUAACCGAAUUUUUUCGGUUAACCGAAAAAAUUAAUAAAUAAAAUUAUUCAACCCAACCCAAUUACCAACCUAACCCAAUAAAACUAAAACAAAAGUCUACCCAAUUACCUAACCUAAUAAAACUAAAACAAAAGCCUACCAAAUUACCAACCCAAUAAAAAUAAAACUAAAGUCUAACUCUUAAGUAUCUACCCAAUUACACAUGUUUUUUUGUUAGGUUUAAUGCAAAUGAAGAUUUUUUGGAGAGAAGAAAUGGAUAUAAAUGGAGAAUAUUAAAGACUUACAUUUAAACUAUGUGUUAUUUCAAGAAUUAAUUUCAAGAAUUAUGUAAUGUUUUUAAUUAUGUAGUGGUUCAAAGACUUAUGUAAUAUUUUUAAUUAUGUAGUGAUUCAAUUCGGGUAAUUCGGUUAAUUCAGUUAAUUCGGGUAAUUCGGUUAAUUCGGUUAAUUCGGUUAAAUCGGUUAAUUUGGUUAGUUUUUAACCAAAAAUAAAUACCAUACAAUUUUUGGUUAAUUCGGUUAACUAAUCUAAUUAACCGAAAAAAUUUCGGUUCGGUUAAUUUCUUUUUAAAAAAAUUCGGUUCGGUUAACGGUUAAAAAUUUUAGAAAGUCGGUUAAUUCGGUUAUAGCUAUUUCGGGUCGGUUAACCGGUCGGUUAACCGAAUGCACACCCCUAAUUAUUUUAGUUUUUGUCCUUAUGCUAUUACAACAUCAUAUAGUUUAAGGGUAUUCUGCUAAGGAAAACAUGAUACUUCAUUAGAGUAGAAGAUGAAGAAGAAGAAGAAGCCAUGGAAGAGUAUUGAAGCAAAAGAGAGAAAAUUUGGUUGGGUUGUGGGAUUAUUGAAAGAAGAAAAAGUGUAAAAUAUGCAUAAUCUUUGGUAUCCUUUCAUUAAAUGGGAAAGAGAUUGAAGGCGUUUUCCUUAGACUUGAGCUUAGCCAAUUAUCUUAGUCAACACCAGCGGAGAUAAUCAAUUCUCCUUUUUAUCUUUUACCGCAAAAGUGGGAGUGUUUUGAUGGUGGGUGGGCCCAUCAAACCCAAAAUGAUUCUUAUUUCAACGAUUUAAAAUACAAAUUUAAAAAUCGCGAUUAAUUGAGCUUAGUUGAGAGGAUAAGUUUACAGUUUUAUAAUAAAGUCCCUCGUGAUGUUUUAAAUAUUUUAAAUCAAGAUAAAAGUUAAGGGUGCUUUUGAUCAAUUUAGUUUGAUGUAAUUUUUAUUUGUUAGUUUGUUUUUUACUAAAAAAUUGGUUAUUAUCUGAAAUCGAAUCGAAUUUUAUUUUUUAUUUCAUAUAUAAUUAAUUUUAACUUUUUUGAUAUAAAAAUACAUAUUUUAUAUUUAAAAUAAUGAAAGUAAUUUAAAUUUUUUGAAAAAUUAUUGUAUUUUAGAAAUAUUUAUGAAAAUAAAUUUGAAAUUUAUCAAAUAAUAUUUAAAAGCCAUAAAACAAAACUCAUUUUAUCAAAAUAAACCUUAAAAAUCAAAAAAAAAAUUAAUAUAAGAAACUGUGAACUAAACCGAGCCGAAUUAAACUAUAAUGGAUGAUUCAAAAAAUAUAAAUAACCCGGCCCUGUGAACCUCUUUGAAACUUCACUAUCCAUGAAAUUAGCCAAUUUGGAAAAGGGUCAAAUUUUGAUUUUGAGUCCUUUUACUAUUCUCAAAUUCGAGAUUUAGUCCUUUAACUUAAAAUAAUCUCUUUAUUUAUAUGUUGUCAUUAGUUAAUUCAAACAAGACAAUUAACUAUUUCAAUUAAAAUUAAAACGUAUUAUUAUCAAAGUGAUAUAAUAUCUUGUAAAAGGUAACUAAAAUAAACAAAUAAAGAACAAAAAAAAUUGAGAGAGAAGUGAAGAUAAGGGCAUAGUUAACUUUUUCUAUGUUUAUUAAGAUAAAUCAUCUUAUGGAGCAAAUCCAAAAAUUAGUUUAGAGUCUACUGUUGGAGAGGAUAAUGAUAGUAGUUAUGGAUCAUCUGUUGGUGAUGAAAAUGCUGUUGAUUUUGCAUUAGAUGAAGUGAACAAUGUUGCGGUUGCAAUUAGUGGAAAAGAGGAGGAUGGGAAUAAUACUAAAACUGAGGUAUGGGACUUAGAUGAACAUGGCAGCUUGGUUGGGUUCAAUGAAGAUGAAGAACAUGAAGAUGGUGAGAGAAGAAGAAGCAAGUUUCUUUUAUACAAUGAUUGAUCUAAUCCGUUAAAAUUUAGUUUAGGAAUGUUGUUUAAAGAUGGCAAAUAGUUUAAGAGUGCAAUUCGAAACUACUCCAAAGAAUGUAGAAGACAACGGAAGUUUCUUAAGAAUGAAUUGAAAAGGGUUGUUGUGAGGUGCAUUGCUUCCCCUAACUGUCCAUGGAGAAUUUUGGCUAGCUACAAUCCUAUUCCCAAAUACUUGCAAGUAAAAACUUUUCAGGAGAAGCAUCAUUGUUUGGGUAGUUCUGAGAACAAAAUGAUGAUUGCUGCAAUGAUUGCCCAACAUUUUGAAGCAAUUAUCAAUGAUCACUUUAAGAUGCAAAUAAGGAAAAUUCAAAGAAGAUGUGCUUCAUAGAUGCAUGUAAAUGUGAGCAUUCAGUGUUGUUAUAGAGCUAAGAAAGUAGUGAAGGAGAAAAUGGUUGGGAAUUACGAGGAAUUUGGUCAGUUAUAUGACUAUACUCAUGAGUUAAGGUCAAAGAUGUCAGGCAGCACAAUAAAAAUGGUUGUUCAUAGUAGAUUCCCCUCCUUAUUUUAGAAGGUUUUAUCUGUGCUUUGAUACACUAAAGAGAGGCUGGAAAGUGAGGUGUAGGCCAUUUAUUGGAUUAGAUGGUUGCUUCCUAAAAGGGUCAUUUAAGAGUGAAUUUCUCACAAUUGUUGGAAGGGAUGCAAACAACCAGAUGUUCCCUAUGGCAUGGGUUGUGAUUGAAGUGGAAUACUUUGAUUCAUGGGCCUAGUUUCUUAGUCUCCUAUUAAUUGAUUUGGGCUUGGAGGAUGGGUAUGAGUUCACAAUUAUCAGGGACCAACAAAAGGUUAGGGAAUUAACUAAUUUGGGCUUGGUCUUGUCUUUUUAUUUUGUUAAGUAUAAUUAGCUAUAUUUUUCUAACAAUCUAACUGGUUCAUUAAAACACAAUUAAGGCCUUCAGAUUGUAAUUUCUACAUAUCGCCAAAGGUGGAGCAUAGGAAUUGUGCGAGGGACAUGUUUGCAAAUUGGUCAGGAAGGAAGCUAGGGAAAUCUUAUGAGUAUGAUUUCUAGCAGAUUGUGAAUUCCAUAACUGAGAAUGAAUGGGAGGAAUUAUGUGCAGCACUAUGUCCGACUUGACUUUCAUUAAAAUUUUAUGGAAACUACGGAUCACGGUCAUAAAAUUCAAAAAAAUAAAACAUAACAAAUAGAAAACACCUACUCCGUGAUCAAUAUAAAACCAUAUGUUAGAAGAUUAACCAAUCUCAAGCAUCUAUUGAUUAUAUAUAGGGAACAGUUGGUAGGUUUACCUUAUCUAACAUGAAUAUAAAUCAGAAAUCAUGAACUGAAAACAUAUAUAUUUACUAACAUUUUAAGGAAAUAUGAAGCAUAAAUCAAUGGGUGAACGAAUCAUUGAAGUAAAAUGCAGAUAGUCUUGAGAUACAAUAUGAUUAAAUCUCUACUUACUGCCCAUGGCACAAGCACCAAUGGUAGAACCUAAACAAUUAAGCUGAAUGAUGUCCACCACAGAUCCUAUGAAUCAAAACCAACCAAUAACAAGUCAAUUGCCAAAAAGAAUUCAAGUAUGAAUCUUAAUAUCUCUUCACUGCAAUGCUCAAACAACAUGAGAGGAAGUAACAUACAAAGAACUUUCAGCCCAAACUGAUACGACAAUCAAAAUCCAAGGUAAGAAGCUAGCAACUCCAAUGGCUCUACCCUGGAACUAACCCAAUCUAGCUUGAGAAUGAAAACUGCCGAAGGUUGCAUCUAGCUCCACGUGUUCAUCCCACAAGUUUUGAGAUCUCUUGCAAAUUCUGGAUUUAUAUAAUCCCAUUGAUAAAUAUGGGAAAAAAUGGUGAGGAUGCUGAAAAUCAUUAUAUGAACCUAAAAUCAUGAUAAUUAAGUCCAAGUCGAUGGUAACUUCUUCACCAAGACUGAAUUUGCCAGAACCCAGAAAGGGCCUCAAAAGAUUACUUUGAAGUUGUGUUCACAAAUCUGUUGACAACUUGCAUUGUCACCAAAUAUCAGUUAAAACACUUGUAUGAAACAAGCAUUCAGCAAAACAAAUUGAAGCUCUUACAGUUCAGGUGCUCCUCCUUAUAUGGCUAAAGCUCCAAUUCAGCAGUGGCACAAAUAACCAAUCUUUCUAAUGAAUCUAGAUGUCAUUGAAGGAAAAUGCAGCAAGUCUUGAGAUACCAGAUGACACCAAUGCUGGAAACUAAACAAUGAAGCUGAAUCGAGUCCACCACUGGUCCUAUGAAUUAAAAAAAAAACCAACCAAUAACAAGUCAACUGUCAAUAAGAAUUAAGUAUGAAUCUUAAUAUCUGAAUUUUAAGAACACAGACACAACAGGGGAUGAAGAUGAGAAAAAAAUAAUAAUAAUAAUAAGCAAAAAUCACAAGCUGUUGAACAAAUUUCCAAUUUUUAUGUUCAUAAAUUAUGUUUUUAACAUUUACAAUGUAGAACUACAAGGUUUCAGUAUGGUAAAGCACCUUCUGAAAGACAAGUAAUUUAUAAAGCAGAGCAAGUUAGAUUCAUCCUGGUCGGUUUUAAUUAAUUAAAGCACUUCAUUUGCUGUUAUUAAUUUAUAAGUUCAAAAUUUACUAUUAACAAUUGUGGAAGACAAAAGUAUGGCAAUAUGAAAAAUGAAAUGAAAAAACUGAAAAUGUAUGAUAAUAUGAAAAACUGAGAUGAAAUGAAACCCUUACCCAUGCAUUUGGAUGACAUAAUUGAGAAGUUGAAAGUCCUCAAAAGCAGAGCCAAAGAUGGAAAGAAAUACAAACUAUUUCAAUCUUUUAAGUCCUCCAUCCCCUUCUUCACCAUCAUGGCUAAAGCUUCUUUUGUUCCCAGCAACUCUCUUUUCAGUAGCAUCCACGUAAAAUACAUGAACACCACAUCUCUCCACCUUGAUAUACUUUUCUCCUCCAUCAUUGUCUUCAUCGAAAUGGAAAUUGUUAAUGUAGAAUUCAAAUGUUGCCUCCUCAUAAUUCUUGUCUUCUAUAACCAUGUCGAUGCUAGAUAGAAUAAACACGUGAUAAUCCAUGUACUAAACUGGCUCAUAAAAACUGCGGAAAGAGAUCUCACUUCUGAAAUUUUCACAACCACCUCCACCAUUGCCGCCAACGGCAGUUGUAAGUUGGUACUCACAAAUACAUUCACGUAAUUGAAAUUCAAGGCAGUGAGUGAGAUCAACCACAAGGCAGAUAGCAAAAACCAAAAAUCUGCUCCCACUACCCCCAUUUGGGGCUAUCUUCAAACUUAAGGAAGAAUUCAUGCUCUGACACUUGAACAUAUUUGCUGAAAUUUUGUUUCCUGGGAAACAACAAAUCAAACUUGGAGCUCUGUCAGGGUUGUAUUGCCAAUCAUAUCUCGCUGCCCAUUUCUUAGCUAGGGAUCCAAUUUUGAGCAUGGUAUUUGCCUCAAUGUUAUUAGUUGAGUCUUGAUUCAAGUUGAAGCAAUUACGGAAUCGCAUCAAAAAGUUAUGAUUUAUGCAAAACUCAUCAUCUAAAGAAUCAAACUGAUUUAAAUUUUGAUCUGCGAAGGAUACUUUUUCUAAUGAUGUGCAGUCAUUUACACUCAAGACUUCCAGAUAUGGUGGAAGCUCUGAGAGUAAUUCGACCUUUGGGCAACCACUAAGAUCCAGAUAAUGAAGAGAUUCCAACUUGAUCGAUACAUUUUUGACCGCUGAGCCACUCAUAUUUAAGUGCUGAAGAUUACAUAGAGAGUCGAAAGGCAACGACACUUCUUCAAUUUGAGUGCCAGAUAAGUUUAAUUUUAUUAAGCUUCCUGGGAUUUCUGGAAAUUUGACCAUUGGGCAUCCACUAAGAUUCAGUUUGCGAAUGGAUUCCAACUUGAUCGAUACAUUUUUGACCGCUGAGCCACUCAUUUUUAAGUGCUGAAGAUUACAUAGGGGGUCGAAAGGCAACGACACUUCUUCAAUUGGGCAACCACUAAGAUCCAAUUUACGAAGGAAUUCCAACUUUAAAAUAUUGAUCGAUACUUUUUUCACCUUUGACUUCCCUAACCACAAAGUUUCAAGUUUGUGGUAGAUCCUUAAUUGAAUCAGACACUUCUUCUACUUUGGUUUCUGAUAAAUCUAAAGAGCAAAAGGGAGGUGGGACAUUAGGAAACUUCUUGAGACUAUAACAUCCGUUAAGACGAAGACUAUAUUGAUGAAGAGAUGCCAAAUGAUUGAGGCAAGGAAGUUCAACCAAACUUUUACAGUUAGAGCAACCAAGGAAUUCAAGGUUGAUUGCUCUUGAAAGAUUAGAUAUCUUCCUUAAAUUCACGCACCCAUCAAAGUAAAUUUUCCUUAAAUGAACAAGGUCCUGUACAGAAAAAAUAAUUGUUUUACUUUUAAGCAUCAACCACUUACUUUAGACCGUAAAAUAUGUAAAGGAAAUAAAUAAUUAUAAUACGAUAAAAAAUAAAAAUUUAUAUUUGAUGUAUCAAGGGUGAAAAUCCACCCACAGCUAAUAAAUCAAAUGAUGUCACUUAUCUAAAUAAAAUAAAUUCUUUUAUAUAUAUUUUUAAAAACCUUUAAAUAAAAUAUUAUCAUAUGAAUAUUUGAUACAUCAAAUUAUAAAUUAUUUUUUUCAAAAAAAAAAGAGUAUAAAAAUGCAUACCAUACGAUCAUCUUCAUCCCAAAGUUCAACCAAACUUUGACAGUAAGAGCAAUCAAGGAAUUCAAGGUUGAUGGCUCUUGAAAGAUUACAUAUCUUCCUUAUAUUUUUGCAUUCUGAAAUAUAAAUUUCCCUUAAAUUAACAAGCUCCUGUAUGGAAACAACAUUUGUAUUGCUUUGAAGCAUCAACUACUUACUUUAAGUAGUAAAAAAUGAAAAAGGAAAUAAAUAAUUAUAAUACUAAGAAAAAUAAAAAUUCAUAUUUGAUGUAUUGGGUGUGAAAAUUAACACACAAUUAAUAGAUCAAAUGAUGCCACUAAUUUAUAUAAAAUAAAAUAAAAUCUUUCAUAUUUCUUUUUUAAAAACUUUAAUUAAGAUGUCAACAUAUCAUAUGAUUAUUUGAUACAUUAAAUUAAAAAAAAUCUUAAAUGAAAUAAGUAUGAAAGUACACAUACUAUAUGAUCAUCUUCAUUCCAAAGUUCAACCAGACUUUCACAGCCAAUGCAACGAAGGAGUUCAAGGUUGAUGGCACCUGAAAGAUUAUGCAUCUUCCUUAAAUUCUUGCAAUAUGAAACGUCAAUUUCCCUUAGAUUAGUAAGGUUCUGUGCAAAAGAAAAAUAUAUAAAAAUAAUUAUAUAUCAUUGUCAAGUAUCAUCUACUUACUUUAGGCAGUAAGAAAUAAAAAGAAAAUAAAUAAUUGACAAGAUCCUGCACAGGAUGAGAACGAAAGUAGUUUCAUUACUUUAGAGCAUCAUCUACUUAUAUUAAGAUUAUCAAAAUAAAAAUUUGUAUUGGGUGUAUUAAUUCACCCACCAUUAAUAGAUGAAAUUGCUUCUUUUAGAAAAAAAAAAUAUAUAUAUUUAAAAAAAUUAAAUAAAAUGAUUUCACUUAUUCAAAUAAAAUAAAAUGUUUCAUAUUUAUAUUUUAAAAACUUUAAAUAAAUAUCAUAUGAUAUAUUAUUUGACACAUCAAAUUAUAAAUCCUCUUUCUCCUUAAAAAAACUUCUUAAAUGAAGAAAGUAUGAAAGUAUAUACCAUAUUGUCAUCUUCACUCCAAAGUUGUUCCAUGUUGCCAUGUAAUAGUUUCAACAUGACAAGAUUUUUUGGAUUAAAACUAGAUAAAGAUUUGAAAGGGUAAACAUCCCAACAGAGAAACCUUAACUCAUCAGGAAGAGAUAUACUCUCAACUUGAUUUGCAUAUAGCUUCUUAAGCCAUAACAUUUUCUUAGGAAAGCUGAUGUUGAUAUAUCUAAGCUUAUGCAUCUUCUCAAUAGCAGUAGCACAAAACUGUAGACUAUCAACUUCAGUCAUGUCUACCUUUAUUCCUUUAAUUAGAUCAGUCCCCUGAUAAAAAAAAAUAUUUAUCAUGAAUUAACACAAAGAAAUUUAUGUACAUUCCAUUAAAUCAGUCAUAAAAAAGUUAAUUAUAUUAGGAAACACUUUAAACUAACGCAUACCUUUUUUUUUUUUUGAAGUUUGAAUUUUUUUAAUCAAAAUGGCUUUUUAUAAUUAAAAUUUAUUUUAAUAUAUGAAACUUUGAUUUGUAAUCAAGUAACUCAGCUCUUGUGUAUGUAUGUGAUGCUAUUUUUGUCUUAAAGAUUAUUAUCAACAAGAAAAAUUGUUCCAAUGAUGUUGGGGGGUGUUAAUUUCCAAGUCAAGGUCUUCCAUUGGGACAAAAUUGUUAAGUAAAUAAAAUUCCAUUCUUUGAAUUUCUUUUUGGGUCCUAACAAAAAUAUUGACUUCUACACACUUUGUGAUUUGGGUCAAUUGAACUGAAAUUUCAUAUAAUUUUCUUUAAGAAGAAGCACUUUCAGACAAUUUUAAGUGAAUUGAACUUAAAUUUCCCACAACUUUAUAAUUUUCACUUUUUUCCCCUAAAUGAAAAGUUUUGGGAAUGAAGGGUGUUGUGUUUCUAUUUUCCUAGGUAAAAUAAUGAUAGAUUUUCUUUCUGCUUUGGGGGUUUCCUAUUUAAUCCUUUAUUUUGAGCACAGGUAAGGUGAGUUUGGUUAAAAAGACCUCUUUAGUUUCUUUCAAUUUUGGAAUCGAAUAAAUUGGUCACUCUCAAAAAAGAAAAUCAAAGCAAUUGAAUCAUGGUUAAUUUUAAAGGUGAGUAACUAAGGACAACUAAUCGUGAUGUUAACGUCUUUCGUCAAUUGUACAUAAUUUUGAUUGGUAUAACAAUAAAUUUAGCCUUCAAUGUUUCCAUUUUUUGUCAAUUUGGUCUUGGUUCUAAAAAAUCAAUAAAUUUAGUAUCAACAUUUACACAAAUGUUGUGGGCUAAAUUUGUUAAAUCAAGACAAAAUUGUAAAAUUUGAGGGGUAAAUUUGUUAUUAUACUAAUCAAAAUUAUGUAAGUUUGAUGGACAACAUUAAUGUUGUGCUUAAUUUACUUUAAUUGCUCACUUUCGAAAUUGAUGGAAUUUAAAUUGUUCUAAUUUUUUUAAGGGAGAUCAAUUUACUAAAUAUCAACCUUGAGAUAGAUUGAAUAGAUCUUUUACCAACAAAUAUGCUUGCUUACAUUUAUUUUAAACAUAGAAUCCAAUCAGUUUUCUAAUUAAACAUGGAUUCACCUAAACUGAUUAGCAAGUAGGAAUGAGCAAAAUUCAAUUCUAUUUGUAUUGGCAAGCAUGCAAUCUUUGAUUUUUUCAAAGAUGAAUGGUGUCAGAAAGUUGGCACCGAAAAUCUAAGCAUUUAAGGCAUAGAUUUUUGAGUUGAAAUUUGGCUUGGAAUAAUUGCAAUUUUGGUCCCUAAUUGUAUAGGGACUUUGCAAGUUGAUCGUUGAGCUUCAACUAUAAAUAGGCCUAGCUAUUUCUCAUUUUCACCAUCCCACAAAUGCCAUUCUCUACUUAAGGCAUUAUUCUCUCUCCUUAUUUGUAAAAUUUCACUUGUAUUUUGGAGUGAAAUAUAUUUGGUAGUGCCCGAGGACGUAGGCAAAAUUUGCUGAACCUUGUUAAAAUUCUAGUGUUCUUUAUUGUUUAUUUUGCAUAUUUUGUAAGUGUGAUUGUAGUGAUUUAUUGUGCUAUUAAAUUACGAUAGAGGGAUAUUCUGGCUAGGAAAGACCUGGGAAUUGAACUUAGUGUGAUUUUUUAGUACAAUAAUUUUACUCUUUUACACGCUUUCGCGCAACAAUUGGUAUCUGAGCUAGAUUCGUACUUGGGGAAUACGACCAUUUACGAUACUAUUUACGUAUACGAUAUUGUUCAUCCACGGCACUAUUCACGUAGACGGUACUGUUCACAUAAACAGUAGUUGGGAUCGAGGAGAAGAAUGGCAGAGGCAUCGUCAUCAACAAAGACUACCGUGACCAAUGCAAAAUUUGAAGUAGAGAAAUUUGAUGGUACAAAUAAUUUUGGUAUGUGGCAAUGUGAGAUCCUGGAUGUCUUAUGUCAGCAAGAGUUGGAUAUAGCUCUUGAAGAAAAACCUGACAAGAUGGAUGACAAGGAGUGGGCCAAGAUCAAUAGACAGGCGUGUGGUACAAUCCGCUUAUGUCUGGCCAAAGAGCAGAAGUACUCUGUCAUGAGGGAGACAUCAGCAAAGAAGUUAUGGGAUACACUGGAAGAAAAGUUUCUAACGAAAAGUCUUGAAAAUAGGCUUUAUAUGAAAAAGAAACUUUUUCGAUUCACGUAUGCACUCGGUAUGUCGAUGAAUGACCAUGUGAACUCAUUUAAUAAAAUUUUAGCAGACUUGCUAAAUUUGGAUGAGAAGUUUGAAGAUAAGACAAGGCAUUAUUGUUGUUGAAUUCUCUUGCCGAUGAAUAUGAUCAUCUUACCACCACAUUGCUUCAUGGGAAGGAUACGAUCACAUUUGAUGCAGUCUGCAGUGCGUUGUACAGAUCUGAGACUCGAAAGAAAGAUAAAAGAGAUCACAGAGAUACAACUGCAGAAGUCUUAACAGUAAGAGGUCGUUCACACAGCAACAAACCUGGUAGAAGGGGCAAGUCCAAAGGGAGACCCGCCAAAGAUGAAUGUGCUUUUUGUCGUGAGAAAGGGCAUUGGAAAAAGAAUUGUCCUAAGUUACAAAAGGGCAAGGCUAUUUCUAAUGCAUGUGUAGCGGAGCAUGAUGAGGAGUCAGACUUUAGCUUGGUUGGCAUGGCAAUGACAUGUCAUACAGAUGAGUGGAUAUUGGAUUCGGGAUGUACUUACCAUAUGUGUCCUAAUAAGGACUGGUUUUCUAGUCUUGAAGAACUAGAAGGUGGAGUUGUUUUUAUGGGCAAUGACAGUGCCUGUAAGACAAUGGGAGUAGGUACAAUCAAAUUAAAGAAUCACGACGGCUCAAUCCAAGUCUUGAUAGAUGUUCGCUAUGUACCUAGCUUGAAGAAAAAUCUCAUCUCAUUAGGGGCCCUAGAAUCUGGGCUCACAGUCACUUUGAGAGAUGGAUUACUAAAGGUAGUAGCUGGGGUAUUGACAGUGAUGAAAGACACUAGAAGAAAUAACUUUUACUAUUUAAAUGGAAGUACAGUUAUUGGAUCAACAUCAACAGCUUCUGCAAAAGAUGCAGAUUCAGAGGCUACCAGUUUAUGGCAUAGGCGAUUGGGACAUGCUGGUGAAAAAGCUUUGCAGACUUUGGCGAAGCAAGGCUUGUUGAAAGGUGCAAAUUCUUGCAAAUUGGAAUUCUGUGAACAUUGUGUUCUGGGCAAGCAGACGAGGGUAAAAUUUGGUUCAGCAAUUCACAAUACGGAAGGAAUUCUGGACUACGUUCACAGUGACGUGUAGGGACCUACCAAAGUGGCUUCUUUGGGAGGUAUGCACUAUUUUGUUACUUUUGUUGAUGAUUAUUCAAGAAAAGUAUGGGUGUAUCUAAUGAAAAGAAAAAGUGAAGUUUUGGAUGCAUUUCUGAAGUGGAAGAAGAUGGUGGAGACUCAGACUGGUCGAAAGGUCAAACGACUUCGAUCAGAUAAUGGUACUGAGUACAAAAAUGAUCCAUUUCUACAAGUAUGUCAAGAUGAGGGCAUUGUGCGACACUUCACUGUCCGGGAUACACCACAGCAGAAUGGGGUGGCAGAACGUAUGAAUCGGACUAUACUGGAGAAAGUUCGAUGUAUGUUGUCCAAUGCUGGAUUGGGCAAGGAAUUUUGGGCUGAGGCAGUUACAUAUGCGUGCCAUCUAAUCAACCGGUUUCCAUCAGCUGCAAUAAAGGGAAAAACUCCUAUGGAGAUGUGGACUGGUAAACCUGCUACUGAUUAUGAUUCUUUACAUGUUUUUGGUUCCACUGCAUAUUAUCAUGUAAAAGAAUCUAAGUUAGACCCAAGAGCAAAGAAAGCAUUAUUCAUGGGUAUAACUGGUGGAGUAAAAUGAUACCGUCUCUGGUGUCCUGAUACAAGGAAGAUUGUUUUCAGUAGAGAUGUGACUUUUGAUGAAUCAACCAUGAUGAAGAACAAAGAUUCACAAAAGGAUGACAAAACCAGUAGUACUUUGCAGCAGGUGGAGCUUGAAAAGGUUAAUGAUGAUCCAGCUAAUAUUGAAGAAACAAAUGAUGAAGAAGUUUUGACUCAAGAACUUCUACAGCAACAAGAUUCAAUUGCAUAUAGGAGGCCAAGAAGAGAGAUUCGUAAGCCUGCUCGCUUUGAUGAUAUAGUGGCCUAUGCACUUUCAAUUGCAGAUGAUGAUGUUCCUUCUACUUACACAGAAGUAAUAAGUAACCCUGAUAGUGUAAAGUGGAAGCAAGCUAUGAAUGAAGAAAUGCAGUCUCUUCAUAAAAAUAGGACUUGGGAGUUGGUGACACUGCCCAAGGGAAAGAAGGCAAUUGGAUGUAAAUGGGUAUAUGCAAAGAAAGAAGGAUUUCCUGGUAAAAAUGAAAUUCGAUACAAGGCUAGAUUGGUAGCAAAGGGUUACGCUCAGAAAGAAGGAAUAGACUACAAUGAAGUGUUUUCUCCAGUUGUGAAGCAUUCGUCUAUUCGGAUUUUGCUAGCCUUGGUUGCGCAAUAUGACCUUGAACUAGCUCAGCUUGAUGUGAAGACGGCUUUUUUACACGGUGAUUUGGAAGAGGAAAUCUAUAUGACUCAACCUGAUGGAUUCAAGGUUGCUGGUAAAGAAAAUUGGGUUUGCAAACUGAUGAAGUCGCUUUAUGGAUUGAAAUAAUCUCCGAGACAGUGGUACAAGCGAUUUGAUCAGUUCAUGAAAGGGCAAAGGUACACAAGAAGUAAAUUUGAUCAUUGCGUGUAUUUUCAGAAGCUACAAGUAGGAACUUUCAUAUACUUGCUCUUAUAUGUUGAUGAUAUGCUGAUAGCAUCUAAGAGCAAAGUUGAGAUUGAGAAAUUGAAGACUCAACUCAAUCUUGAAUUUGAGAUGAAAGAUCUAGGUGAAGCUAAGAAGAUUCUUGGCAUAGAAAUAUGUAGAGAUAGAGCUCAAGGCAGAGUUAGCUUGUCUCAGAAGCAGUAUUUGAAGAAAGUACUACAGCAGUUUGGCAUGAACGAGCAGACCAAACCAGUAAGUACCCCGUUGGCUUCUCAUUUCAAGCUUUCUGCACAACUAUCUCCUUCGACGAAUACGGAACAAGAAUACAUGUUACAAGUUCCGUAUUCUAAUGUAGUGGGUAGCUUGAUGUAUGCAAUGGUGUGUACAAGACCCGACAUUUCACAAGCAGUUAGUAUAAUGAGCAGAUAUAUGCAUAAUCCUGGAAAAGGACAUUGGCAAGCUGUGAAAUGGAUUCUACGAUAUAUUCUGAAGACCGUGGAUGUUGGAUUACUGUUCAAGCAGGAUACUACACUUGGUAAAGGUGUUAUUGGGUACGUUGAUUCUGACUAUGCCGGUGAUUUGGACAAACGAAGAUCAACCACCGGUUAUGUGUUUACACUUGCUGGAGGACCAAUAAGUUGGAAGUCUACACUACAGUCUACAGUUGCGUUGUCAACCACAGAAGCCGAAUACAUGGCUGUAACAGAGGCUGUAAAGGAAGCUAUUUGGUUACAAGGUAUGGUUAAAACCUUGGGAUUGGUUCAGGAGCAUAUUGACGUGUAUUGUGAUAGUCAAAGUGCUAUUCAUUUAGCAAAGAAUCAAGUCUAUCAUGCACGUACAAAGCAUAUCGACGUACGAUUCCAUUUUGUGCGGGAAAUUAUUGAUGAGGGGAAAAUUCGUCUUCAGAAGAUCAAGACUGCAGAUAAUCCCGCAGAUAUGAUGACCAAGGUGGUAACAACAAUCAAGUUCGAACAUUGUUUGAGCUUGAUCAAUAUUCUGGAAGUCUAACAGUUGAAGAAGGCACUAUCAAGUAUUGUUGUCAAAGGCAGAAAGAAUUGUGUGAAGAUAAGAUUAUCCUAAUCAAAUCUUCAAGGUGGAGAUUAUUGGCAAGCAUGCAAUCUUUGAUUUUUUCAAAGAUGAAUGGUGUCAGAAAGUUGGCACCGAAAAUCUAAGCAUUUAAGGCAUAGAUUUUUGAGUUGAAAUUUGGCUUGGAAUAAUUGCAAUUUUGGUCCCUAAUUGUAUAGGGACUUUGCAAGUUGAUCGUUGAGCUUCAACUAUAAAUAGGCCUAGCUAUUUCUCAUUUUCACCAUCCCACAAAUGCCAUUCUCUACUUAAGGCAUUAUUCUCUCGCCUUAUUUGUAAAAUUUCACUUGUAUUUUGGAGUGAAAUAUAUUUGGUAGUGCCCGAAGACGUAGGCAAAAUUUGCUGAACCUCGUUAAAAUUCUAGUGUUCUUUAUUGUUUAUUCUACAUAUUUUGCAAGUGUGAUUGUAGUGAUUUAUUGUGCUAUUAAAUUACGAUAGAGGGAUAUUCUGGCUAGGAAAGACCUGGUACUUAAGCGAUCUUCGUGAUCCACCUCCCUUUCCUGGGAAUUGAACUUAGUGUGAUUUUUUAGUACAAUAAUUUUACUCUUUUACAUGCUACCGCGCAACAAUUUGAAAAAAUAGAAAAAAAAUCGAAUUUCAAAUUAUUCGAAUUGAGUUAAUUGAGUUAAUCAAAUUAAUUGACUCAACUUGAUUUUCUUUCAAAUUUCGAGUUCAAUUCGAGGAGUUUUCGAAUUCUAAGAAUCCAAAUAAUUCGAAUAAAUCAAUUGCCCAAACAAAAUUAAGCUAAAUGAUGUCCACCACAGAUCCUAUGAAUCAAAACCAACCAAUAACAAGUCAACUGCCAAAAAGAAUUCAAGUAUGAAUCUUAAUGUCUCUUCACUGCAAUGCUCAAACAACAUGAGAGGCAGUAACAUACAAAGAAAUUUCAGCCCUAACAGAUAUGAUAAUCAAAAUCCAAGAUAAGGAAAUAUCAACUCCAAUGCCUCUACCAUGAAACUAACUCAAUCUAGUCUGAGAAUGAAAACUGUCAAAGGUUGCCUCCAGCUCCAUGUGUUCAUCUCACAAGUUUUGAGAUCUGUUGCAAAUUCUGGAUUUAUAUAAUCCCAUUGAUAAAUAUGGGAAAAAAAUAUUUAAGGAUGCUGAAAAUCAUCAUAUGAACCUAAAAUCAUAAUAAUAAGUCAAAGUCAAAGGUAACUUACUUCUCCACCAAGACUGAAUUGCCAGAACCUAAAAAGGGCCUCAAAAGAUUACUUUGCAUUUGUGUAGACAAAUCUGUUGACAACUUGCAUUUUCACCAAAUAUCAGUUCAAACACUUGUAUAAAGCAAGCAUUCAGUAAAACAAAUUGAAGCUCUUACAGCUCAGGUGUUCCUCCUUGUAUGGCUAAAGCUCCAAUUCAGCAGUGGCAUUCUCAAAGAUCUGUCAUUCCCUCGUCUUACAUCAACACAAAAGCAAAGGAUAUAAGAAAAACCUGUCUCACAAAUAACCCAUCUUUCUAAUGAAAGAAAAUGCAGCAAGUAUUGAGAUACCAGAUGACACCAAUGCUGGAAACUAAACAAUGAAGCUGAAUCGAGUCCACAUUUGGCCCGAUGAAUUAAAAAAACCAACCAAUAACAAGUCAACUGUCAAUAAGAAUUAAGUAUGAAUUUUAAUAUCUGAGUUUUGGUACCCACCAAAAUCCUCUAUGGAUAUUUUAACAACUCCAAAGCAGAAUCAUUUUGCUACUGUGUUGAAAUCUCUAGUUUCCGUUCAAUUUUCCUCCAAAUUAAUUAAUAUAUAUGGAGAAUUUCGUUCUUGGACAAUAUAUGCUAUAUCUACAAAACAACACAGACAUAACGGGGGAAUGAAGAUGAGAAAAAAUAAUAAUAAGCAACUAUCACAAACUAUUGAACAUAUUUCCAAUUUUAUGUUCACAAAUUAUGCUUUUAACAUUUACAAAGUGGAACUACAAGGAUUCAGUAUGGCAAAGCACCUUCUAAAAGACAAGUAAUUUAUAAAGCAGAGCAAGUUAGAUUCAUUCUGGUUGGUUUUAAUUAAUUAAAGCACUUCAUUUUCUGUCACUAAUUUAUAAGUUGAAAAUUUACUAUUAACAAUUGUGGAAAACAAAACUAUGGAAAUAUGAAAAAUGAAACGAAAAAACUGAAAAUUUUAUGAUAAUAUGAAAAAAUGAGAUGAAAAUGAAACCCCUACCUAUGCAUUUGGAUGACAUAAUUGAGAAGUUAAAACUCCUCAAAAGCAGAGCCAAAGAUGGAAAGAAAUACAAACUAUUUCAAUCUUUUAAGUCCUCCAUCCCCUUCUUCACCAUCAUGGCUAAAGCUUCUUUUGUUCCCAGCAACUCUCUUUUCAGUAGCAUCCACGUAAAAUACAUGAACACCACAUCUUUCCACCUUGUUAUAGUCUUCUUCUUCAUUAACUUCAUCAUCAUUGUCGAUGAUGUAGAAUUUAAAUGAUGCCUCCUCAUAAUUCUUGUCUUCUUCAACCAUGUCGUUGCUAGAUAGAAUAAACACGUGAUCACCGUUGUACUUAUUUGGCUCAGAACAAUCGAAGAAAGAUAUCUUACUUAUGUAGCUUUUAGAAUCACCACCACCGGCGGCUGUAAGGUGGUACUCACAAAUACAAUUAAGAUAUUUAAAACGAUGGCAGUGAGUGAGAUCAGCCACAAGGCAGAUAGCGAAAACCAAAAAUCUGCUCCCACUACCCCUAUUUGGGGCUAUCUUCAAACACAAGGAAGAAUUCAUUCUCUGAUACUUGAACUUAUCUGCAGAAAUUUUGUUUCCUGGGAAACAACAAAUCAAUCUUGGAAAGUCUUCUCGCUGGUAUUUCCAAUCAUAUCUUGCUGCCCAUUUCUUAGCUAGGGAUCCAAUUUUGAGCAUGGCAUUUUCCUCAAUGUUAUCAAUUGACUCUGGAUUCAAGUUGAUGCAAUUACAGAAUAGCAUGCCAAACAAAUCAUCACCUAACGAAUCAAACUGAUAUAAAUUUUGAUCUGCAAAGGAAACUUUUUCUAAUGAUGUGCAGUAUUGUACAUUCAAGUUUUGCAUAUAUGGUGGAAGCUCUGAGAGUAAUUUGAGGCUCUCGCAACGAUCCAUCCUCAUAUGGUUAAGGAUUUUAGACCUCAAGCUUGGCGUGGGAAAAUCGACAGUUGGAAACUCUCUGGAACCGAACAGGGUGAUAUUACACAUUAGCUUUUGAAUACUUGAGCCGCUCAUAUUUAAGUAUUGAAGAUUACUUAAAGAGUCUAACGACAAGGCAGCUUCUUCAAUUCCAGUUCCAGAUAAGUCUAACCAUGUUAAGCUCCUCGGGAUUUUUGGAAAUUCGACCAUUGGGCAUUCACUAAGAUUCAAUUCACUAAGGAGUUCCAACUUUGAAAUAUUGAUCGAUACUUUUUCUACCUUUGAUUUGCUCAACAACAAUCUUUCAAGUUUGUGGAGAUACUUAAUUGCAUCAGGUACUUCUUCUAUUUCAGUUUCUCGUAAAUCUAAAUAACAAAAGUGACUUGGGACCUGAGGAAACUUCCUGAGACUAUAACAUCCCUCAACGCGAAGCUUAUCCUCAUCACGAGAUGCCAAAUGAUUAAGGCUGGGAAGUUCAACCAAACUUUCACAGUAAGAGCAAUCAAGGAGUUCAAGGUUAGUGGCUCUUGAAAGAUUAGGUAUCUUCCUUAAUUUUUUGCAAUUUGAGACGUCAAUUUCCCUUAAAUUAACAAGAUUCUGUACAGGAAAAAAAUUAAAUGUCAUCUACUUACUUUAGGCAAUAAAAAAUGGAAAGGAAAUAAAUAAUUAUGAUACUAAGAAAAAUAAAAACUUAUACCCGAUGUAUUGGGCUUGAAAAUUCACCCACAAUUAAUAGAUCAAGUGAUGUCACUUAUUUAAAUAAAAUAAAAUCUUUUAUAUUUAUUUUUUUAAAAACUUUAAAUAAGAUGUCCUCAUAUGAUCAUUUGAUACAUCAAAUUAUAAAUCCUUUUUUUCCUUAAAAAAAUUCUUAGAUGGAGAAAGUAUGAAAGCACAUACCAUAUGAUCAUUUUCAUUCCAAAGUUGUUCCAUAUUGCCACUUCGUAAUAUCAACAUGACAAGAUUCUUUGGAUUAAAACUUGAUAAAGUUUUAAGGGGAAAAUAAUCCCAACAAAGAUACCUUAGCUUAUUAGGAAGAGAUAUACUAUCAACUUGGUCUACAAGAAACUUCGGAUUUCGGUAGCCGUUCUCAAUCUUUGAAUCAUAGAAGCAAAUAUAUUUAAGAUUAAGCAUGCUCUCAAAAACAGAUGGACAUAACUGCAGCUCAUCCAUUUGAAACAUGUCUAAUUUUAUUCCUUCAAUUGAUACGGUCCCCUAAUAAUGAAAAAACAUUUUAUCAAGUAUCAGUAUGUAAAGAUACAUUUUGCUUUCUUUUAAAAGCAAUGCAUUAAAUAAGUACUAACCCAGUAAACCCUUGAUAUUUUUUUUUUUGAAAUAAUAAUUAAAAUGAUUAACAUUUGAUACAAUAUAAAUAUAAACAAUUAAACUUUUAACACAUGAAAACAUAUAAUUAACUGAAUUUAUAUAUUUACAUGAUAUCACAAAUAAAUUUUAAUUAAAAUAACACGAAUAUAUAAAAUAAUAGAAAACACUGUAAAUACAAUUAGCGCUUACUUUAUUAUAUCUGAGCACUUGAUCUACAUCUUCAGGAAACCAUAACCUGCUACGCUUUCCCGGGUCUUCUUUACAUUCUUGGCGAACAAUGUCCUUGCCAAUCUCUUCAAGCAUGUCAUGCAUAGAAUAACAAUCUAUGCUAUCAAGUAAGCACUUGUCGACUAAGUUUCUUAUUCCACUCAUUGCACCCAUAUAAUAAUUACUUAGUAUUUUUUCUACAGUAUCCAUUUUUUCUCCUUUAAAGAAGCAUGCUAUGUCAAGAAAUAUAUUCUUUUCUAGCUCACGCAACCCAUCUAAGCUACUCUUCAAAAUAUGUGACAUUUUUGGCUCGGCAUAUUGCUUUAGACUAUCCACUUCGCUCUCCCACUCUUUUCUAGACUUUGUAUAUAGUUUAGAACCCAAAACUUUAAGAGCAAGUGGAUUACCUUGGGCAUAUCCUACAAACUUGCAUGAUAGAUCUUGAAAAUCAGCUGCGGGAUUCAACAACUUAAAUGCAAGUGUAGAAAAAAGUUGAAGAGAAUCAUUCUCAUUCAACUUCUUCACCUCAUAUAUGUGGUUAGCUCUUCCAUUUUUAAGCACCUGUCUAUCUCUAGAUGUUACAAUGAUUUUACUUUCUGGACCAAAAUGUUUAACACCCAUAAAUUCUAUUUGAUCUGGGUUACUAACAUCAUCAAGGACAACAAGUACUUUUUUAUUGUUCAACCUCUCUUGGUAAGGGUGUCCUAUGGAAGGGCUGUUAAUACAAAUUCCUUUUUGGUUUAAUAAUUUGGAAAAAAGUUCAUUUCGUAAAGAUUCAUUCCCUACAUUUUUUAUUUUCUCACUAACAUUUCGCAGAAACAAGUGGCUUUCAAAAUUUUGGCAGAUUUCACUAUACACAACAUCAGCAAGGGUAGUUUUGCCAAUACCACCCAUUCCCCAAAGUCCUAUUACACGGCUAUGCUCUUGCUCAAUCAGCCCCAAAAUUAUCUUUUUUUGAUCAUCUAUUCCAACCAAUUCUUCAGAAACACUUGUACAAUUGCUAUCCAACUCUUUUGAAAUAUAUUCAACCACAUCUUCAAUGUACUCUGUUUCAUAUCUAGAAAAUAGUUAAAAAAUCGACAGUCAAAAGAAAGAUAUUCGUAUUAGUCAAAUAUAAGGAGAUGAGAAUAUAUAUAUAUAUUGUUACCUAUCGGAUUUGCCUCCUAUAUGCCACCCUUUUAAUGCACCGACCUCUUGAAAUGCAGAUUUCCAUCGUUGUACUCUAUCAGCUGGUUGCUUUGAUUCAUGCUUUUGGAAGGAUGUCUUAAAAGUCCCACCAAUCUUUUGCACAUGGGAAGGAUUAACAUGGUAAAAGAUGGGAAGAACAAUAUAUUUGUCAGUAGGAUUGCGCUUGCGAUCCAUGAUGUCAGAAAGUUCACCUAAGCAUGAAUUUGAAGAAGCAUAGUCUUUAGAUAAAAUGAUGAUGGAGAGAAUUGAGGCCGCAAUUGCAUUCGAAAGUGCUGAUGAAAUUUUCUCCCCUUUCUUUAGUGUAUCGUCAUCGAAGAAGACAGUCCAUCCCUUGUCUUUCAAAGCUUGGAGUAGAUGAGCGGUGAAGUUAACGCGCGUGUCUUCACCUCUGAAGCUCAAGAAAACUUGAUGUUUCACUUGACGAGAAGAAGAUGAAGAAGACGCCAUGUAAGUGUAUGGACUGUGAGGUUGAGGAAAAAGAGAACAAAAUAAACUGAGGGAGCUUUGCUUUUGCUUCUAUUUUUGUAAUGGUAAGAAGAAAAAGUGUGUCAAUUAAAUGGGAAUGAGAUUGAAAAGGUGAAGCAUUGCGGAUGAGUUUUUACUGAUAAAAAUUUCAAUAUUUAAUCCGCUUAUCGAAUCUAAAACCUCCAUUAUCAAUAUACCAAAUAUUUUCUUAUUAAUUGAAUGCUAAAACUUAUCUAAAUAUAAGUUAAAAAUUAAGGGUUAUUUAGACUUUAAAGGCUUAUUUGGGGUAUGAUAAAAGUACAAGAGAUUAUUUAAAUGAUGCUAUAAAUCAUCUAUAAGAAAAAUAAAUAUUAAUUGAUUUUUGUAAUUAAACGUAUAACUUCAAAAAAAAAUUGUCACCAUUCUUGAAUUUCGUUUUGGGUUAUGAUAAAAUUUCUAAUAAAUUUCCUAACAAAAAUAUUGACUUUUAUACACUUUGUCAUUUGGGUCAUUGAACUGACUUUCAUAAGAAUAAUUGCCACUUUUAGACCAUUUUAGGUGAAUUCAACUUAAAUUUCCUACAACUUUCUCAACAAUAAUCGCCACUUUUUUCCCCUAAAUGGAAAGUCUUUGGAAGGAAGGAUGUUGUGUUUCUAUUUUUCUUGGGAAAUAAUGAUAGAUUUUCUUUGUGCUUUUGGGGGGUUUCCAUUUUAGUCCUUUCUUCUGAAAUAGGUAGGGUGAGUUUGGGCAAAAAUAUCUCUCCAAUCUCUUUCAAUUUUGAAAUUGAAUAAAUUGGUCUCUCUCAAAAAAAUCAAAGCAAUUUAAUCAUUCUUAAUUUUGAAAGUGAGCAACAAAGAACAAUUAUUCAUGACGUUAAUGCUUUUCGUCAAUUGUAUAUAAUUUUGAUUGGUAUAAUAAAAAUUUUAGCCAUGUUUACAUAUUUUGUCAAUUUGGUCUUAAUUCUAAAAAUUCAACGAGUUUAGUAUAAACAUUUACACAAAUAUUGCUGGCUAAAUUUGUUAAAUCAAGACAAGUGAUAUAAUUGUAAACUUUGAGGGGUAAAUUUGUUAUUAUACCAAUUAAAAUUAUUUACAUUUGAUGGAAAACAUCAAUGUUGUGAUUAACUAUCAUUAAUUACUCACUUUAGAAAUUGCUCCGAUUUUUUUAAGAGACUCCAAUUUGCUCAAUACCAAAAUUGAUCAAAGAGAUUGGAUAGAUUUUUAACCAACAAAUAUGCUUGCCUACAUUUAUUUUAAAUAUAGAAUCGAACCGGUUUUCUAAUUAAUGGUCUAUUUGUUUGUAUGUAAAAUGUUUUCCAUAACAUAUUUUCAUUGUUUUACCGUGUUUGUUUGGUGAAAAAUGAAUUAUUAAAGGAAAUCAUUCUUCAAAAAAAAUGUAAAAUCAAGACUUUUUCAAGGAAAAUAUCUUACCAAUUUUUUUUCCCGUAAGAUAUUUUCUAAACUAAUAAGACUAUAUUGACUAUCUUCACUGUCAAAAAAACAAAAAAAAAGGGAAGCUUUCAGAGCAACAAAAGGAAAGCUCUCUUCACUGUCGAAGAAAAUAGUCCCUCAUAUUAUAAUUUUAUAUUUUUACAAAUUAGUCCCUGGAAUCUAAAUUUUUACUAUUCUACAAUUUAAUUCCUCAAAAAUAGAUUUUAUUAUUCUACAGUUCAGUUCUAAACCUCUUUUUGUACAAUUCUGCAAAACAGUCCCUUCUCUAAAAUUUCUAGAUUUUAUAAUUUAGUCCUUACAAUUAAAAUUUUGUUUUGGUCCUAUUAUUAUUCCUAAAUUUAGAUUUUUAUUUUUAUACUUUAAAAUAGAAUAAUUUGAUCCUUUACUACAAUAAUAUCGUCAAUUAAUCAAAGUAAAUAUUACUAUUAAUUAUUCCAAUUGAAAUACUAACGUGAAUUUUUUAAAAAAACAUUGCUUCCAUCAUAAAGAUUUCAGCAUGACUAGCUAAUAUGGAAAUGCACAAUCAAUAUUCCAUUAUCGUUUUACAAAAGAGUGAUCAAUUUCCCUUUUGGAUGACCAAAUUAACAAAAAUAUUAGAGCAACCAAAAUAGGAAUGACCCCUAUUUGAAAUAACUAACGAGAUAAUAAUUUACCCAUAAAAGUUUAAGAGCUUAACUGAAUAAAGCUUAUGACUUAUUUAGUAUAGUAGUCUAAGCAAAUCAUCUAUAGGAAAAAAAAAGUUACUAGUUGAUUUUGUAGCCAAAUCUAGUUGAUGGAUAUUAAGUAAAUUUCAAAGCACAAAAUAUUGAUGCCCAAAUUAGCUUGGAUUAUUAUAAUAAUAUAAAAAUAGGACAUAUUUAGAAACAAAUUAAAAAGGUAAUCCUCUUUUAAUAAAUGUGAAAAAUAGGUCGUACACCGGCAUUAGUAGUGGAGCUUUUAUUUUAAUGCCACGAGUGAGAUUAAAAAAUUGUCUUAUAUUAAUUCAUUGAAUAUUGCAAAAAAUAUGCUACAAAGAUGUCAAGAAUCUUCUCCUUUUUCUUUUGUUUUUUAGCUGAAUUUACAAAGCAAAUCUGCAUAUUACAGUCAUACAUAUUGUUCCAAAAUGCAUAAGGAGAUAAUGCACCAAAUUAAGCAUGGAAACUCACUUUUUUGUUUUUGAUGAGGUGAUAAAGACUACAUUAAACUUAUUAAUAAAAUAUUUUUAUUGGCUGAGAAAAAGAAAAGGUUGCUUUUGCUUUUGACACCCAUUUCAAAAUGACUAAUAAACAGCACUUCAAAAUAUCAUCCAACCUUCUUUCUUUCCUCGAAGCUACAUAUGUAGGAAUUUGGAUAAAUCAAACCAGAACCACCCCUGGGCUGAAUUUUCAUGGAAGUUCCACCAAAUUUGCACAUCACAACCGUACAUAUAGCUUGUAAAAUGCAUAAGGAAAAAAGUAAGUUGAUAAUGCACCAAAGAAUGAAAAUUCUAAAUCACAAGCUAUUUGUACAGCAUGUGAUUCUGGUUGGUUUUGAUUAAUUAAAGCACUUCAUAUUUCUAUCAUUGGCCAUUAAUUUAAAAGUUGGAAAAUAAUAGUUUAUGUGUUACAACGUAAAUGUUGAGUAAAAUACUAUUCAACGUACCAAUAUCGGCACAUUUUCUAAAUAGCUCGGGUCUUGGGCUAGAUAGUUUGGCCUCGCUCAAAUUUGAUUAUUUCUUUUCUGUUGUUGUUUGCUGCUGUUAUAUUGUUGUUUCGUUACAAUUUUAUUAUUGUAUUGUUAAUAUUUUAUUGUUAUUGUUUGGAUAUUGAAUUUUUGGUUUUAUUGUUAAUUUUGCUACUAUUUUAAAACCAUUUGAUUGUUGAGUUGCAACCGUGUUAGUGUUAUUUAAGUAUAAAUAUUUAUUUUUAAAAAUAUAUUUUUAAUUUGUUGAGAAACAUUUAUUUUAAUAUUUUGUGUAUUUGAUAAAUUAUAUUUUUUAAAAUUAUCUUUACAUAAAAAUAAUCUAAAGAAAUUAAUACGGGUAGGUCAGCCCGAGCUUAGAAAACGGGCCUAAAAUUUUGCACUGGCUCGACUCAUGAUCAAGUCUAUAUGAACUUUAAAUAAUCAACUCAUUUAAUUUAUCCAACCCAAUAUCAAGUUUUCAUUGCAAAAAUAUUAUUUAUAUAAUUAAUUAAAAUAAAUUUAAUUCAUUGAUUCAAUUAAAUUAUUUUCUCAACUAAAUUUUAAUUUUAUUAAAGUCAUGAUAAUUUUAUCGUACUAGAACCUAUAAUUAAAUAAAUUUUGAGUUAAGGCACGUGUCUUCACCUCUCAAGGUUAAGAAAACUUAAUGCAUCAUUUGACAAGAAAAAGAUGAAGAAGAUGCCAUGAAAGUGUAUGGAUUGUGAGAUUGAGGAAGAAGAGAGGAAAGUACACAAAGGGAGCUUUGGCAUCCUAGUAUUAAAUGACAAUGAGAAUAUGAGAUUUAACAAAGGCAACGACUGGAGGAGAUUAGCUAAUUAUCUGAGUCAAGAAAAUUGUCACUCUCACACUUUCCAGAAAUGACAGUCUUCUUGAUUUGUAUAUUUUACCCACAAUAGUCAAGGUCUUCCAAUGGGACAAUGUUGAGCAAAUGGUUAAAUUCUUAAAAGAGUCCUUGAAUAGUUUACUUUUGUUGUACCCAAAUAAACCCCUAUGUUUUUAUCUGUGUUUAAAUUAGCCCUUAUUUCAAAUGACAUGUUAAUUUUAAACUAAGUUGGUGACGAGGAGACUUAUAAUCACCAUUUAAUAUAUUUUAUUUUGUGUUUAUUGUUGUGCAAAGUUUAAUUAUUAUUGUUAAUUUUUAAAAACCAAGUUUAACUUAAAUCGUUUGUUAGUUAAAAGGAUAAUAAAUCUCGUAUUGCUUAAGAACAAAGCACAAAUUGGGAUUAUGAAUCUAUAUAAAAGCCCAUAUUUCACAUUAUUUAGAAAAACAAAGGCAAAAAGAUUUUGAGUUUAUAUAAAGAACCAUAUUUUACGCCUUAACUCUAUAUAUUAGCCUUCUGGUGAUGUGGACUUUGAUGAAGAAGAAGGCAUGAAAGAGUAUUAAAAGGGAGUUUUGACCAGCAAGAAAACUUGUUCCAAAUGACGAUGAUGAUAAUGAUGGGUGUUAAUUUCCAAGUCAAGGUCUUCCAAUGGGUUUUGACCAACAAGAAAACUUGUUCCAAAUGACGAUGAUGAUGAUGGGUGUGUUAAUUUCCAAGUCAAGGUCUUCCAAUGGGAGACUAAAACUUUUCUAGAUACAAGUUAAAAAUUAAAAUUAAUUUAUUUGGAUAACAAAUAAAGUUUAAAGGCUUGUGUGGGGUAUGAUGAAAGUACACAAGAUUAUUUAGAUAAUGUGAUAAAGGUUAAUGGCCUAAUUAAUAUGUUAGUAUGAGUAAAUCAUCUAUACGAAAAUAUAUAUUAGUUGAUUUCGUAACCAAACGUACAACUUCAAAAGCAAUUGUUACCAUUCAUGAAUUUUUUUUGGGGUUGUGAUGAAAUUUCUUACGAAUUUCCUACCACUUUCUUGAAGAAUAAUUUUCACUUUUUUUCCCUAAAUAAAAAGUCGUUGGAAGGAAGGGUGUUGUGUUUCUAUUUUCCUAGGUGAAAUAAUGAUAGAUUUUCUUUGUUAGUCCUUUCUAACAUAGGGAAGGCAAGUUUGGGUAAAAUGACUUCUUUAGUCUUUCUUAAUUUCAAAAUUGACUAAAUUGAUCCCUUUAAAAGAAGAAAAAUUUAAUCUUUGUUAAUUUUGAAAGUGAGCAACACAUAAAUUUUGAAAAUUGAAUAAGGACAUUUAACUACAUCGUUAAUGUCUUCUAUCAAAUUCACAUAAUUUUGAUAUUGAUAUCAAAUUCACAUAAUUUUGAUAUUGAUAUAACAAUAAAUUUAGCCCUUCAUGUUUGCAUUUUUGUCAAUUUGAUCUUGAUUCUAAAAAAUCAACAAAUUUAGCAUUAACAUUUACACAUUUACACAAAUGUAACAGUUUGAAUUUGUUAAAUCAAGACAAAUUAAACAUGAAUUCACCUAAACUGCUUAGCAACUGAUUUAGAGCUUAGAUCAAUAGGAGAUACCAUUGUUAUAGAAUAGUAAGUCUUUAAAGCAAAUAAAUAUUUGGAUUUGCCUACCCUUGAGAGCUUAUAUGUACUUUGAUCUCUUGUGUGAUAUUUAGUAAGUCUUUACAGUGUCUAAUUAUUUAGAUAUUUGAUGGGUUUCUAUUGCUCUGCAAGAAAAUGAAAACUUGAGCUUACCCAAUUAUCUAUCACGCACAUAUGUGCGUAUGUACCUUACAAACCCAUCAGAUUCUAUCUUUUGAAAAGCCUUUUAACUCUGCUGCCUAUCAUCAUAAUUUUACAAUCUAAUGAAAAUGAUUAAGUUUAAUACAAUGAAGUUUACAAUCAAGUGGAAUAUAUUUGAUUAAACAUCGUUUGAAGAUCAUAUAAAAUAAAGGAAACAAAGUGUAAACCUUAAAAUAAAGCCUCAAUGCCUUCAACUGCUAACUUGAGUCGGAGCUUCCAAGCAGCACGUAAAACAAAAAACAAUAAUACAACAUAAUGUAUAAUGUCAAUAAAUACAAUGACAUGAACAUCAAAAUCCGAUCCACCCUGUCCUUGGCUGAUAUGCCUUGGCAAGACAUUUACGAAAAUCAAUAUCUUUCACUUGAAGGAUCAAUUGAUUAGCUCGGAUACGUCCCCAAAAGUAUUCGAGGUUGAAUUGAUACACAAUGAAACUGUCAUGCUCUAGUUCGAAGCUUCAAGCACAUUAUAAUAGCUCGAAUCACAGCCACGUUUUAUGACUGCUGGAAUUCCGGCACCCCCUUAACAUCAUUCUCCCAAAACAGUGACUGUAAAUUCACAACGAACGAUCACCGUAUGCAGCAAAUGGUUAUAGAAAAUCGCAUCGUUUGUUUCAAGACACAAACACGACACUGCAACCGCAUAACAUGUUCAGCUAAGAUCAAACACCUAUAGAUUUGUGUAAAUAAUGCAAUAUAAAAUAAUCAGAGUAGUAUAAUUUGUGUUCUCUUGUAGUAAAAUCAUAGUUUAGGAUUAGAGAAAGUGACUGUAAAGACAAAGUUUCGAAGCUCAUAAAAAUGAAUGCAUGAACCAAAUGGAUUAAAUCCAAAUUAUAUGAAGAACAUAAGGUGAUAGAAUAGUUAAUGCUUAGUGACUAAAGUCCCUGAUUGCCAGCUCCAGUAUUCAUCCUUUCUAUCCAAAAAGAGAGUAAAAAUCUGGAAUUUUAAUCACAAAAAUCAAAUCAAAGUUCAAUCUCUGAUAAUCUAAAAUACAAAAAAAGGAAAAUUAAUUCAAAUUUCAGCCCAAACUGAUAUGAUAAUGAAGUCAAAUGGCUCUACCUUGAAACCAACUCAAACUAAACCCAAAUCAUUUGUUUUUAAAAAGCAGAUGGCCAUGAGGGUUGUAAAAGAUCACAAUGAAACAAAGGUAAUUAAGCUCACAAGGAAGGCUAAAUUGGCAAGAGCAUAUGGCUCCUCAAAAGCUCCAA